UUAGUACCCUAUGGUUUAAAGUGUAUCUAGUUAGUACCCUGCGGUUUGGCACUUUCUCAGCUUAGUACCCUGUGGUUUAAAGUGUAUCAAGUUAGUACCAUGUGGUUUCGUAUUUUCUCAUUUUAGUACCCUGUGGUUUAAUAUUUCGUUAAAUUAUAUACAAAAAACUUCAGAUAUCCUACCUAGGUUUAUCGAAUAUUCAUUUUAGUACCUUUUAGUUUUAACUUUGUCACUGAUUUAGCGAAAAAAAAAACCCGAAAUGGAUAAUAAAAAGAGAAAAAUAAAACUACAGGGUACUAACUUGAUACAAAAAUGAAACCACAGAGUACUAACUUGAUACACCUUAAAUCACAGGGUACUAAAGUGAGAAAGUGCAAAACCAAAGGAUACUAACUUGAUACACUUAAAACCACAAGGUACUAUAAUAAGAAAAUGCGAAAUUACUGGGGGGUUAUUUGAAGUUUUCCCUAAAGCUUAAGAAGUAAGUGUCACAAGUCUCAAAGUAUGAGGCCAAAAGUGUGAUUCAGCCAAAAUAAAAUAAAAUAAAGUGAUAGUGACAUUGUAUUCAAUCUAAAAGCAAGGUACAAAAAAUACCACGUGUAAAUACAUUCUCCAAAUAUAUAAACAUUAAAAUGUUAUGUAAGUCCAACUAAUUUUGGAAGCAUUUUAACUCUUUCCCAUUUUAAUACAAUAAAAUGAUGUUGAAAUUUAUCUUUAUUUAGUAUAAAAAAAGAACUUUGGACAGAUCACAAUUUGCUCUUUUACAAUUUAUCUUUAUUUUAUUUUAUAAUUCUAUGCUUUAAAUAAUUGUAUUUUAUUAUUACCUUGAAUUUUAUUUUUAUUUUGCCAUAAAAAUUUACUGGUAAAUGGAAGGGUAAAGUAAAUCAAUCAUAGAAUGAUCAAUAUAUACUAUAAAAUAAUAAAAUAUCAGAAACUUAUAUUUUGUCUCCUUCAAAUUUCAGAAAUAUUUUCAGAGUAUUACAGUGUUAAUAAAGAGGCCAAAAAUGACUAGAUUAUUCUUAUUUGCUCUAUAAAGAAAAAUUAAUUUUUUUAUAUAUUUGUUAUUUUUAAAGAUAUGGUGUAAGUGAUAGAAAUAAAUAGAAUAGUGGCAAAACUUUGAUGUAGGGCGACUAAAUGCAUCAAUUCAAAAUUUUGAGAGGUUAAAAUAUAAAUUUUUGAAAGCGAGGGAGAAAAACUGAAAAUACAAAUAUUAACAGAGAAAUUUUCUAUAUUUAUGCACCAUAUUAUCUUAUUUUCCUAUUCUAUGAUGAUAAGCAUUAAUAUACAUAGUUGUUACGCAUAGUUUUUUGAACUAGAGAAUGCCAAAUACAAAUCCACUAAACCGCAAUACAGUUUUGACUAUUUAUUGUUAGCUAAAGUAGAUCCUAUUUCGUAUAAGCUCAGAAAACUAGCAAGUUGAGUUUAGUUGAGUCUAAUAAAUUGAGUUAUGAUGCGGCCUCAAUAGACCUAAUGACAAAAGACUCAAUAAUAAACGUAAUGUUCAGAUGAAUUAAGACGAGUCGAAGCCUACGAGCGCUAUUGCUGAGCCCUUAAAUGCAAUAAAUGCGCUCUUUCUAUCAAUACAUGCUUUUGAACACUUAAGAUCUACAUAUAGAUGGGAUGGGUAAGUUAAAAUUUACACAACUGACUAAUAAAUAGAUUGAUAAAAUCUACCCAAUUUUAAAAUUUGCCUUGUUAAUUUAAAAUAAGUUUAUGGGGUAGACCAUGGGCUGACGCAGAACAGGGCAUGUGAUAACAAAAAAUCACUCCCUCGAUUUUUAUUCUUUUAUAAUUUACAUUUCAAUAUUAUCAAGUUUUUCUUAGUUAGAUCCCUCUGCCAGUUAUAAAAUAAAAGAGAAAAAAAAAAAAAAAAUCUAAAGCCUUGUUUGGUAUCAUUAUUCUUUUAUUAUUUUUUAAAAUACUAAUUUUUUAUAAUUUGAUGUGUUUGAAAAAAAAAAAUAACUUCUAUUGUUAUAAUUGAUUAACUUGCAAUACAUUCAAUUGAGUAAUAAACGAUACCUUAUUUUUAAAAAAAUUUGAAAGCAAAAAUUAAAUUUUAUUUUUUGUUGCGAAGCCUCUGAAUGAAAAAAUUGUAAGCAAUCCACCGUACAUUCUUUCGCCUUUUAAUACACAAAAUUCUAUUUAAAAAAUAAAAAACAAAACAUGAUGCCAAACAAGAACUAAAAUUUUUAUUUUUUUUAACUAUCAAUAAUGCAUGAGAGUUGUUGGCAUUCUAUCAAACCGACGUUAAUAAUCAGACUCAAUCCGAUAAUAAUUAUUAUGUUAUCUAAUUAGACUAAAUUUAAUCCCAUUAUAAAUUUGUAAAACUAAUUAGAGAUUCUUUCUAAUUAAAUUACGAUGACGAAUAAUAAACUGAUUCAGUUUAAUCUUCUACUUACCUUCCUGGUGUUGAAAAUCCUUGCAAACACACAGAAAAUUGCAAGAAAUUUUGUAGACAUUUGUAAGAAAUUUGUGUGUCAUCUUAUAAGUUAGCAAAUCCACAUCCUCCAUAAGUCCAUUGAUCCUAGAGAAUCUUGAAUGGUGGACUGUAAACCUAGCUUGUCCGCAACUUGAUUUAUCGCGGAUUUGGAGAGUUAGACAAUCUUCAUUGACUAUCCAAGAACAUACGAAUCAACCUCAAGAACCCUAAACCGAUCACGUUCGAAGAAAAAUUAACGACGGCUCACAUUAAAGGUACGAUCGAAUACAUCUGCUGCAAAAGUCAAAGUCCAUUUGGUUUCCGACAACGCCACCUUCCAAAUGGGCCAUGCAUAGUUUUAUACAAAUAUUAAAUUGAUUAUUAAAGCACAACAAAAAUUUCCAAUUCUUUUAUUGAUGAAAGGUUUUCUUUUUUUUUGCAUAAAAAAUUUAUUAAUUUUACAUUUUUAUAAAAGCGGAGAAACUGAUGAAAAUUCAUGUAUCUUAAAUUACAUCUUGUGAGAAAAAUAUCCUAUUUAUGAAGGAUUACGCUGGUUUGGUAUCGAAUCUUGAGAAAAGCAUCAAGGUUUACAUCAAAGUGGUAACAUGUAAUUAAGAUUUGAAAACAACCAUUAGUUUAAAGGGUUUGCAUAGAGUUUUGGUCGAGUAAAUGCAAUCUAAGGGAACAAGAAUUUGAUCACAUUAAUAACAUCUCGAUUCUUAAUUCAAAAGCAUAAGUAAAAUACUGCUCCUAUGACAAGAAAGGGAAAUUCAUGGAAACAUGAGAUUCAUCAAGUGUUUUGAUUGAAAAGUACCUCAUGCGUAGAUAUCCAAGCCUCGGCAGCAAAAUGUGCACAAAUGACUCCCGAAUUCGGAUAUCACAUCGACCAGUCCACCGUGGCCGCCAACGGCUGUUACCUGCGUAGCAACAUAGGAGAUCGAGGGAUCAGCUUCAUCGAUUUGGUUUCAUAUGAGCAUCAUCAAACAGAAAUCAUCCAGUUAAAGAUUGUAAAUGGAGAAGAGUAGUUUACAGAGGUUUUGAUGGUCUAAAUGACCGGAUAACGAAACAUUACCAAAUUACCGGCCAUUCAUAGAAUGCAAGUUCUAUCAACAUCGAUUUCUCUCAGUGCAAUUACUGUAUCAUUUGAGAAAGUAAAAUGUUUCAUAUGAUUGAUUUAUGGAAUUAAGCAGCAUUUGUCACUCUGGCUCAAAUAGGACAUUGAGGCGACUUAUAAUCAAAAGUUUCAUUCUCUACAAUCAUCUAGAUUAUCAUAGAAUAGGAAAAUAAGAUAAUAUUUUGCAUAAAUAUAGAAAAUUUCUCUUCCACAUGAUUUUCUAGAGGGGUUGCUUUCAAGUUCCCAUGAGAGUUCAGCUACAGCCACAAACAAGCCUUACAAUUUUCAAUUGAAACAAGCAGUUUCAUUGAUCUCCUAAUUUUGCCUUCGCCAGGGCACACAGCAAAGAAAGAAAACAAUCUUGGCAGUCAAUUAGAAAAAAAAUCUUGGUAGUCAAUUAACCUAACUAAUAAAUUUAUCAAAUAUACAGGAUAAGUUAUGGUCCUUACAUGGCAUACUCUAGCUUCUGAAUUGGCAAAAUAUUUCCGUGCUACAAAUUAAGGAAAGAGAGAUGGAAAUUACCCCAGAUGGAUGAACUGAUAUGCAAAAGGCUGAAUGAGGAGCACACUUUAUUUGUGAAAGAAUCGACCCAUCUAAUGUGAAACGUGAGAGCAGAGGCUCUGAACCAACUGCUAGAAUCUGAAUUCAGAAAAGUAAUAGUCGGUAAAUGAAGGUAAAGAAGUGACCAGAGUUGCAAACAUAAAAACUGAAUCCGAGGGUUAAAGCAGACGGUGGAAAACUGAAUUAUAAUAACACAUAGAUAAUGAUAAACAUAAACAUGAACACAUAGGAAGUUCUGUUUUUCUCAUAUGCAGUAUCAAGUAUUAAAGUAUUAUUUACGAAGCCCUGCGCAUUGCAGCAUCCUUUUUUUUAAAGCAGUAUAAUAUGUAAAGGGCCUAAAGUAACAAGAAUAGAAAAUGUCCAUCCUACAAAUGCAAAUAAACCAUUUUGCAUUGACAAGCUGUUAGCAGGGAACAUCUUACUUGGUUCCCAUGAAAAAGUACAUCCUGAACAGGAGCACGGCAAUCUACACUAAAAAUGCACUCAUUUGACAGCAAGCUCCAAACUGAUAGACUAUUAGAAGUGCCACAAACCUGAAAACGAUUAGUAGUUUAGUAAUAGAGAGGUAAGGAAUAAGUAACAAAUUUCACUGCUAGUCCAAACCAAAAUAAAAGGAACACUUCGCAUAGCGCAUCAAUUCAAAUGGAAAAGGGAAAUGAGAAAAAUGCAACGCAUGGAGUUUAAUUUUGCUUGAAGUUUUUAGCGUUAUUUUGUAUGAGCUUAGACACCUUGAGUAAAGGAAACAAGUACUAGCUAACUUGUAUUAGUUGGAAAAACUUUUACCAUCCAGCUUUCGCUUGUGUCGAUGGCAAUGGAACUAACCCAUGCAGACUCCUUGAGCUUACGAUUCUUGUCUGGGUAUAAUAUUUGAGUACAUCUUCCACUUCUGCAAUCUGUAUUUAAGUGCAUAUGAGAAAACAUAGAUAAGCAUCAUACAUGCAUGAAUUUUAGAUGCCCGGGUAUGUAUAGGUCUUAUCAAGGGCCGAUGCAACAAGACAAGCUUGUCAAGGAAGCUAACAAAAGAGAUGAUUACUAGGCGUCGGGAUUACGAACAAAUUUUAUACUAACACCAAUUAAUAGCAGAAAUGCAUUCUUUUUGGCAUAAUAUGAAAAUUAUUUCUUUAGCAGGAGUAACUUCAUUCUUUUACAGGCCAUGAUGGAUAAUCCAAAAACCAAUAUUGUUUAUCAUACUGAUAGAGUCACAGAUGGAUAUUUGUUGACUUUCAUAAAUUUAAUGAAGAAGCAACAAUAAAGUCUUCUUGCAACUAAAUAUAAGAUAUAAACCUCACUAACUAGAUUGACAUAGAAAAGCUUUUAGGAUCUGUAACCUACAAAAACUAAUACAAACUAAGAAUAGUAGAAAAUAUAAACCCACCCCAUAUCCGGGCUGUUCCAUCCUCUGAACCUGUUAUGAUCUGAUACAAGAAAAACAAAACAUUAGCAAACAAGAAAAUAUAAAAUGUAUAUCUCCACAUGAUUAAUGCAAUACCAAGGCGCUUGUGAGAAAUUUGCUAGACAAAUGACAGGUAGGGUUACCAAACUUAUCAGUUCCAGUUAAGGUUCAUAUAACCCAGUAGCAGCCUUCAUGUGUUAUAGUAGGAACAAAAUCAGCUAAGUGCCUAAGAAAAAAAGAAUAUCCUAUAAAGAGGGUUCUUCAUCUUCGCGACACAACAAAGAAAACGAGAAAAAUGUAAUUGCAUGUAACCUCUCGAUAUCGAAAGAAACAAACCAAUGCCUAUGUUAUCUACUGAAGGAAAAACAGAGGAUGAAGAGCGUGUCACUUACCAUAUAGGUCAAAUGUUCGCAAACCUUAUCCCCACAUGAAUAGAAACUGUCUCCCAAAUUUGAAUCCAUUUAACAUUGAGUGAAAUUGAUAAAAAACAAUGAGGAAAUGAACAAACCUGGUUGCUUGAUGUUCGAACUGCAAUGCUAUGCAAAUACUCAGAAUGCCCCUUAAAGAUCAUUUUACAUUUGCCAGUCUCCUGCAGCAGCAAUUAUGUCCAAUGAAUAGGCAGUAAUGAUAAAUUACAACAUGAGAAAGAGCUUAGUUUAUAAGUUUACAAGUUGUCAAAGUUUCUACUAAUGUCAAGCAAGAUCAUUUUUCUCUCUUUAAAAUGAGCUUUCAACCUAAUCUAUUUACCUUAUAGAGAUACAUACCACAUCCCAACAAUAUGCGCAUGCAUCACCAGAGGCUGAAUAAAUGGAACCAUCCUAUUCAAGAAGAAAGAACAUCAUUUAAAUGAGAAAAAGAACUAACCAGUAAUGAGUGUCGCUUGCGGACAUGAAAGGAUAGUGAAAGAGAUCAGUUCUUAUUUCAGGGGCUCUAAAUAAAAUGCAAAGUAUUAACACAGUCAUUUUCUGGAGACCGAUCUAUGCCAUUUGGAGAAUCAUCUUUGCCCCUUAUUAUAUGCCCUAAAAGAACUUCAAAAAUGAUUCUAUUAUCUUUAUAUCACAUUUUGCAGGGGACAAGAUUUAUGCAUCCGCUGAAAGGAGAAAUGCUGAUUAUUUUUAAAAAGGAGAGCUUUGGUGAAGGUUUCAGUGCUAAGCCUCAGUUCCAACUCUCCAUAUCAGAUCAGUUAAAAGGUUCAUAUUCCUGAUUUGCACAUACAUUUUAAGUUUGGCCCAAAUGACUUUAAGAUUCAGCUGUUCCAGUUUUGUUAAUUUUAGAUUUUAGUUUACUAGUUUCGUUGCGAGUAAGAAAAUAUCCAAAGUUUCUAAUGAAGUCUGCAAAAGAGACCACACAAGUAAAAAAUCCGAAAAAGGUAUUACCUGCUUAUUAACUGCAAUGGCAUUAUUUUCAGGUACCGGAGAAAGGACGCCCCAAGGACCUCUAAAAAGCGAGGAAAAGAGAAAAUUUAGGCUCCAGAAACAUUUUAAUCAGAGAGAGAUAGAGAGAGAAUUGCAUAUAUCACUUCAUAUGCAAUAUAUGAUGCUUCAUAACUCCUUAAUCCUUCUUUACUUCAGAUGACUCCUUAAUCCUUCUUUACUUCAGACGCCUUUUUUUAUUUCCUAGCUGUUUUGCCCUAAAACUGUAUUUCAUAUUUGUGGUCCCACCUCACUCGCCCAAUCAAAAUCAUGGCUGUACAUGAAGUUAAAAUGACCCCAUGUUGAGAUAACAUAUAAUUAAGAAAGCAUUUUUAAGAUACAUAUAUUUGCAAACUACUGAUGCUUAUCACGAGCCUGCUUCACAACAAGGGAGGUAGAGGGUUACAAUAAGUUGAUAACGGGACUCAAAACUUGGGAAAUAAUCACGUCUGUAAUCCCAAUCAUAUAUGUUAUAUCUACCCAUACUUGGAAAAAUCACCGACCAUACAAAGAUAAAAUCAUAUCAGCCACACUUAGAAAUCAAAACACCUAACCAGAAGAGGUAGCAAUAAGAUGGAAGUCCAAAAAGAAAGGAUGAUUGUAGUAUCAAGAUACUGAAGUAGUCUCAAGCAUGUUACUGUUACAAGGGCAAAGAAUGUGAUGCUCCUAUUUCAUGUUUUUCAAUGGUUCAAAAAAGCACCAUUUAAGGAAGGAAGCACACAAUGCAUAAGAUGCUAAAGCAAAGCAAGUGUUAUCAUGUAGGUCCGUGUACCAAAAGUGUCUCUACAUGAGAAGGUCCGUGACUGAAGCAGUAUUUAUAUAACUAUACAGCUCAAUCAUGGACAUGGUAUGAAACAAGAAAUUGGAGCAGAAUUUUAGGGGGUGUUUGGUUCACCCCUUCUUCACCCUAGAAUAGGAAUCGGAAUGGACGAAUCCAUUUGUCCGUGUUUGGUAUGCGGGAUUUCCAUUCCGAUUCCGAUUCCGGGUGAUUGGGAAUCCCCCUACUUACGCAUUUUUCCAAUCCGGCUAAGAAGGCUGGAUUGGAGAUUGAAUCUGGGCGGAAUGGAUUUGUUCAGGUUAAAUUUAACUUUUUUAAGCUUAUUUUUAAUUAAAACAUAAGUUUAUAUUUUAAAAUUAUAUUUAUAAAUUUACAUUUUAAUUUGAACUUAAAUUAAAAAUUAAAAUGCAAUCAAGUAUUUCGAAUCUAAUUUAUAAAUUUGAAUUUAAAUUUAAAUUUAAUUUAAAAUCUAAAGUUUUAUUCAAAUUUUAUUUAAAAUUUAAAUUAAAUUUAUGGAUUCAAAUUGAAAUUUAAAUUAUAAUUGUAAGUUUGAAUUUGAAUAAAUCAAAAUUUAGUUUUAUAUUUUGAACUAUCUAUUCAAUUUCAAAUUUUAAUUUUUAAAAAAAUAUAUAUUUAAAAUUUUGACAUCAUUUUAAAAUUUUGACCUAAUAUUUAAUUUUCAGUUUGAAUUUAAACUAAUAUAUUAUAAAGAUAAAACUAAUAUAUCAAUUUGAUUACGUUUCUGAUAUCUAUCUGAACUAAACACCCACAAUGAGAAUGAUUCAUUCUGAUUCCGAUUCAGGUGGCGAACCAAACAGAAUGAGAUAAUGAAUCAUUUCGAUUCCACUUCUAGCUUAUUCUCAUUCCGAUUUCGACUUGAACCAAACACACCCAUAUUUUCUUCUGAAUGCUAGUUCUUGUGCAAUCAACAACAUAAUAUUUGGUAAACAGCAAGAUGAAAAUUAGUUAGUACAAAGCAAAUUACCAAAAAAAUAGUUAUAAAAGUUAACUAGGAAAAUAAAAAAUGAAGGUUAUAAAACAAUAAAUAAAACAAAGAAUGGUACACCUUUCACCUUACUAAAAGAUUUGCUUUGUUCUGACUAGGUAAAUGCGAUAAAAAAGUUCAUUAACCUUGCAGAACGCUACAUAUAUAAUGCAAUCUUUUGUAACAUCUGGGACAAAUUUGCUACAAAUAUACUAUGGAUUUGCCGAUACCAAGCUGAGUGAAUGAGCGCAUGAAGGAAUGCUUUCAAAAGCGGUAGAAAGAUACCAUGUUCGAUACUCACCUAGAUGGACAACCAGUCAACCUCGAUUCCCUUAGCAGUGGCAUUGUGAAAAUGGAAAGAGCUCCUACCCAGUAGCAAAAGUACUAUACUAAAGCUCAUUUUCCCUAAAUAGCUGGACCUUGGGCAAUCUACUCCUGCCUCGACAAGAUCUCAAUCAGUAAGACAACAAGCUUCUUGACUUGAAAGACUACUUCCUUUGCCCUCUCAGUUCUCUCCUUCCUUUCUGGAGUAAGGGGCCGAGUCUAUAUCCCUCAAAGACGACCACUUGAAGAAGUCCUUCAUUGGACUGACAUCAAAGUGCCAAUCCAAAGAUCAGAGACAACUCUCGGGAUCCCACCCCUCGCCCUUUUAGGCUAAGGGAAUGGUUCUCGAAGAGGAAGGGUUCAGAGGCCAGUCCCCCUUUGAAGAGGGGAGGUGGACCUUAAUGUACGCACUAAGAACUCUCUUGAUAUAAGAGAACUUAGCACUAGAUGAGUACUCGUGAAGAUGGAGUAAAUGGUCAAAUAAUAAAGGUUAUGUGUGUCAAGGAGAAAGAAUAAGAGGAUUUUCACAUCGACUGGGGUUUUAGUCUAUCAAAGGGUAUCUGAUAUAAAUUAUAAAUAAUCCAAGAGGAAAGAUAUUUUAUAUGGGUAUAAUAAACAAGAAGGAUAAAAAUAUCAACUGAGUCAAAGUCUCUGAACAUAUGUUAUCAUAUCAGACCUCAAUGUAGACUAAUGGAGAUGCACUAAAUAGGAAGAACAAAAACAAAAUACCAAAGUUAAUUUAAGAUAAAAAAAUUUCUAUUGUAGAAAUCUUACUCAUGUUGAGGGUUCACAAAGUCAAGUAUUGGCUUCAGAUGGUUACCUGCAAACAAGAAUGCUCAAAGCUUCACAAUGCAGCCCAAAAUUACUUCACAUAAGACCAUUCUGUCACUGGAACCAUCAUAGUUUCAUAGAAGAAACAGCAAAGCAAGUGUUCAUGAGAAAGUAAAUAUAGCCAUAAUGUAAGUAUAUAAAUGUGACUCUUCUAAUCUUCAUAUCCAAGUCCAUAAACAACAUAAGCAUUUAUAAUUUAUAGUUACAGAACUAACAAAACAUAGGGGUAAAGCAAUGCAUCUUUAGAAUCCAAAUAUCACCAAAGCUGCUCCUUGGCUUUGUCAUUACAUUGCAAUCUUGGAAUACUGUAACAGUUUUCUUCAUAGAAAGGCACAGUGAACACAUGGCCAUUCUUAGAGCAACAGUAAGAAGAGACUCCCUAACUAAGAGAUCUGUGGCCAUUUGAAAUACAAAUAUUUCCAAAGAAAGGAAACAUUGAAUAUGUAUCAAUGAUUUGCAAGAUACCUUGAAGAGAAAGAGGAACAUCAGAACUUAGUACUUCAAUCCAUCUCCAGCCUCGUAUCCUGCCAUCAUCACCACAACUGCAUAGAACGCGCAAUGUAAGCUUAGUGUUCAGAUAAUCUGAGAAGAUAGCAGUAAUUCGCAACAAGUAUCAUUCUUGAAAAGAAUAAAAACAUUAGGACAAGGUCAUUUUACAUAAAGAAAUAACUUGGGUUGUUUAUUAUGAUGAUAGAAAUGGAAAAGACAUAUCUUUAAUUGUACGAAAUAAAGCAUGUGAAGAUAUAUGAUGAGCGUAGUACGAACCUCAAUAACAAAGAUUCCUCUCCAUCCUCAAAGAAUUUUAAAUCAUAUGCAGGGCCUUUGUGCCCUUGAAUGAUGCAGAGUGGAUCCACAGAUGAAGAUUCAUAAAGAUGCCUUCACAUGAUUAAUAAGAAUAAAUUAGAACUAAUUGUUAAUGGACAAAAAUAAGCAAAUCAGGGCAUUUUAGUAACACUUACUGUUGAUCAACUUUCCUACUAAAAUGCAUAGGCUGCAAAAGAGAAGCUAAGUCAACAGGUGGUUCAUUUACCAGCAAAAAGAAAAGAAGAACAUUCUAUGCCCAAUAACAUUUCAUUUUUUUCCCUUAAUUCCCGAAUAAUUGAGAAUGACUGUAGCUAAAUAACAUAGAAAACACUUUGUGUGCUUAACUAGGCUUGAGAAUCAAAAGAAAAAUAAUUGAGGUAUUAUAGCCUGCACCUGGUAUACCCAUAAAUCUCAUCAACCACACUAAGAAUUUGUUGAUGAAUGUUUUAAAAUCAAAAUUAAAUCGAAUAGAUGUGAUCUACAACAUGGAUCACAGCAUCUAAAGGUCCCAUGGAUGAUACAUUUUGAAAACAUAUUGGCUAGGUGUCAAGUAAUGCCAAAAUCAAUAUUAUAGAAAAGGACAUUGUUUAGUUCAUACAAAAUAAGUCAACAAAAUUUGUAGUUUUUGAUAUGUAGGCCAUUUGAGUAUCAUAGAGCACAUUCAAUGAAUUAAAUUCUGAUUUUGAGGCAUCCAUGGUAGGUUUAAGGUGUGCAUCGCACGUCGCACCAGGUGCAUGCAAUAAAUUCUCAUAGUUGAGAGGGUCUCCAGACAAUUUCAUACAAUUUUACCUAAAAUUGUACGGAGACCCCCUCAACUGUAGGCCAUUUUUUAAAUGUCUUGACACCCUGUUUGAAUCGAGCCGAGUGUCCCAGACGGGUUGACCGAGUCAAACUGUUGACCAAGUCAAAACAUUUCUGACUUACGAAUCAGCUCAGAAGAUGACCCUCGAUUAAUGAGAUCAAGAUAGGUUGAGGAGGCAUCUGCUCAACCGGUUUCUUUCUCAAAUGCGUAAAAGCUCUUCGGAGAUGAAACGAACUCAAGAUCUUCGCACUGAAUCAGCUCAAGCUAGAGCCGAACUAGUUGGAUUUCAUUAAAAUAUUAAGUAGAACGCUGAAGGUUACAAGGAAAAGAGCGCUAAAGCUCAAGUUACAGUCUCUCGACUAAAACUAAAAGCUAAACUCUAAAAACUAUAGCCAUUCUUAGGAAAAGCUAUAAAUGCUGAGAACGGAAAGAAGUUUAAAAACAAUGGUCUUCGACACGGGAAAAGACUUUUAUUGCAGGCAACUUUCCGCUAUUUAUAGACUUACUAUCAAUCUUCAGUUAGUUGUUGUACGGUUGUCGCUUCGUGGGGAAUGCUCUGGCCAUUUUCUUUCGGUUACAAAAUCACUCUCUCGUCUCUCAACCGUUCCCACCCAAAAUCCAUUUGUCUUUAGGCUCUUUUUCUCCGGUUCUUGGUGUACCACAUAUCUUUUUUUUUUUUUGUUUGACCUCAUGAGCUGAGCCGACUACCAGUUUAUCACAUUUUCUUACGCCAACACACCCACUUAACUUUUUACUUUUUUUAUUUAGCCAAAAUAAAUUGGAGAUUAUCAAAUUAGUUAGCAAUUCGAUCAAAUUAAAUAAUUUUAAUCACUUAUUAGCAAAUAAAAUUGAAACAGUACCCAGCUAAUAGCUCAUAGAGACAUUAAAGUUGACCAAAUUUUCUACUUAACUAACAAUAAUAACUCAAAUUAAAAAUAUAUAUGCUGAAGCGAAGGGGAUCUCAAAUAGAAAAAAAUAAAAAAAAGUUAAAUUGAAGAGUCUUUUCAAAAUGAUCAAUAUUUGAGGGGGUUUCCAAACAUUUUAACCUCCAUUUUAACCCAAAAAUCGAGUAAAUAACCCGUGAUUCUGCAUAAACUACUAAAAACAACAGUAAAGAGAGUUAAUUGAUCGAAGUAACCUGGGAAUGGGAGGAGGAGAUGCAGGAGGAGAUGGAGUAGGAGGCGAGGGAUCCGUCGCUCGAGGCGACGACUAGGGUUUUGGGGCUAGGGUUUUGGGAGGGAGCGAACGCGGUUCUAAAGACGGUGCGAGAGACGAUCUCCCUCUCCGUGAGGACGCUCCGCCUAUAGCCUUCUUCGUCCCAAUCCCUCGCAUCCCAUCGUCGUCGUCGUCCUCCUUCUCCUCCGGCCCCCGCCAUUGUCGACCUCGGGAGCUUUUGCGCAGCGUUCGAAACGAGCGAGAGAGGGGAGUAAAGGGUUCGUGUUUUCGUAGUUAAGAGGUAAAAUUGUAUGGGAACCCCUCAACUAUGGGAAACGGUGACAUUCACUCCUCAACUUCUUAUUUUUCACUUUUUGGUGAUAAUUUCAUAUGUAUAAUAAUAAUAAUUUAGGCGUUUAAAAUUGGGGAUUUAUUACUGUAAAGUUUUAAUUAUUAUAUUUUUUUUUUGAAGCUUCAAAAUGUAGAAAUUUAUCUUUAUAAGUUAAUUAGCGUAAGUUAACCAUUAAAUUUCACUGUUUGGAUCAUUAUUCGACGUUUGGUUAGAGAAUAGGGAUAGGGAUAGGCCCUUAUCCCCUUUAUACCCAAACGCUAAUUUUUUAUCCGAUAAUAGUAGUUCUCGGUUAUCCCCACCAACACCUCUAUUUUCUAUAUAAAACUAUCUAAUAUUUUCUUAUUCCCGGGAACAACCCAAUUUUCAUCCAAACGCUAUUUUUCUUAUCCCCAUACUUGUACCUAUCCCUGUAAUAGUUAGUUCUUGCUUAUAUCCGAACCAAACUGUAGAUAUAUCAUUUAGUUUGGGUAGAAGUAAGUACUACUGCCUAUUCUAGGGAUAGGUAUAAGUUCAUGUAUAAAAUAAGAACUAAACCAAUAUUGCGUUUGGAUGAAAAUUGGGUUGUUUCGAGGAAUAAGAAAAAUAGCAUUUGGAUAAAUAAAAUAGAAUAAGAAAGAUAGUAGGUAAUUAUAAAUAAAAAAUAAUAAUAUUACCCCUCACAUUAUAUUUGAAUUUGAAUUUUUAAAUUUUAUAUUUAAAAUUUUAAUUUUUAAUUUUUAAAUUUUUAAAUUAAAAUUUUGAAAUUUAAAAUCUUAAUUUUUAAAUUCAAAAUUUUAAACUUUAAAUUUCAGACCAAAUUUAAAUUUGAAAAAUAUAAAAUAUCAAAUUUUAAAUUUUAAAAAUUUUAAUUUUUAAAUUUUAAAUUUAGAAUUUAAAAUUAUAAAUUUUAAUUUUGAGAUUACAAAUUAUAAAUUUUAAAAUUUNUUUAUUAUAAUAUUUAAAUAUAAUUUAUUAUAAAUUUUUUUAUAAUAUUUAAAUAUAAAUAAUAUGUAUUAAUAUAGUACAAUUAAUAAUUUUAUAAUGAACAUAAUAUAUUAUAAUAUAUAACAUAUUAUAUUUAUAUAAUUUAGUUUUAAUUCAAUUUAUAAUUUUAAUAAAGUUUGAAAUUAAAUAUUGAAAUAGCACUAUUCCACUAAAAUGGUGGAAUAGCAAAACCCAAGUUAUUCUGGGAUAACCGAGAAUAGCAAGGUUUGACAGGAAUAAAAUAUUCUGGUCGAAAAUCAUCCCGUUUGGCAUAAUAGCGGAAAUAACUUUUGUUAUUCCUGCUUAUAUCCCAAACUUAAAAUCCAAAUUAGGUUUUAAUAACUAAAAAAAUUUAAUGUGGUAGGUGAUAGAAAACUAGUCUUUAGAUAGGCUAGUUGUAUUUUUUUUUUUUUUUUUAGAGAAAGGUCGCAUUCUACCUGGUUCGUUUAUUUCAUUUAGAAAUAAACUUAGCUAGAAAUAUGAAUCAACUAAGAUUCGAACUUGGGUCUCGGGUACCAACCACUAGGCUAGUUGUAUGUAGAUGUAGUAUUGCUAUGAGUUCCAACUAAGAUUCGAACUUACAAAGUUACAACUCUAUUGUUGUAAUCUUACAACUUAGCUCAUCUAAAGGCUAUAAUCACCAUAUUAGUCUUAUUAAUUUUUUUAACACUAAAAAUCAAAAAUAGAUUGUUUAAUUUUUUAAACUAUUGGAUCAAGGGUUGUAAAGAUUAUAGAGUUGUGUUUCUAGAAAAAGUGUGAAAAUUUCUUUUUCGAGAAAAUAAAUUUUUAUGAAAAAACUUCUUUUAAAGCUUUUCGCCAGUUUAGUUUCAAAGAAAACUAACAUUUUUGAAAAGUUAUUUUUCAAAUUUGAUGGAAAAAUCGUGUUUUCGUUUCCUAAACAAAACUCAAAAAAGAAAAACACUAGCUUUCCAUAAAAUUAGAAAAGUAGCUUUCUAAAAAUAUUAAUUUUUUAAUACCAAAUAGGUGAAAAUUUAAAAAUAUUUUUUUUAAAUUUUUUGGCUAAAUUAGAGAAGACCCCAUUAUAAAUAUUUGCUUGUUUACUUUUUCUUCUUAAUUUUUAAAAAUUUAUAUUUUACUCUCUCAAUAUUUCAACUUAUUGUAUUUAACUCCUCUAUCAGGGUUCCAUUACUAUUCUAUUCAUUUCUUAUAAUUUAUAAUAAAAAUGACCUUUAAAAUGACAUAUUAUUUUUUUCUUUAUAGAGGAACUAAGGAUAGUUUUAUCAUUUUGCCCGCUCCAUUAACAUCGUGUCCCCUGAAAAUAUUUUUGAAAUUUUUAAGGGACAAAAUAUAGAUUUUUAAAAGUCAGAGAAGAAUAAUAAAAAAAAAAAGUAUUUACAUAAAAAUUUUCUAUAAUUUAGUUUUUAUUAAAAAAAUUAUCGAAGAAUAAAAUAGUCCUUAACACCCAGUUUGGUUCGAGUACAUAGGGCUCCGUUUGGAUCGGGAAUUAGUAGGAACUAGUUAUACCGAGAAUAGGUACAAGUAUGGAUUUUUGUAGAAAUAAGGGUAUUUUUUUGUUUGGAUGAAAUUGUGAGUAUAAGCUGGAACUAGAAAAAUUGUGUUUGGAUGAUUUUUGAGAAUAAGAGGAAUAAUUGGUAGUUAUAAAUAGAAAACAAUAAUAUUAUUCCUAUAAUUGAAUUUUAAACUUAUAAUUUUAAAUUUAAAAUUUUAACUUUUAAAUUUUAAAAUUAGAUAUUAAAAUUUUUAAUUUUAAAUAUCAAAAUUUAAAUUUCAGACCAAAUUUAAAUUUCAAAGUUAUAAAAUAACAAAUUUAAAAUUUAAAAACUAACCAUAUCAAAUUUAAAAUUUAAACUUUAAUAAAAUUUAAAAUUUUAAUUUAUUAAUUAUAGUUAUAAAAUUAUAAAUUUUAAAAAUUUAUAUUUAAAUAUUCUCUCUCUCUCUCUCUCUCUCUCAAGUGGGUUGGAACAAGCUUGGGAACAAGCUUGGCAACGGGUGAUCCGUUAUGGUGGGAACACUUGUUCUCACUAUGAAAAAAUUGUGUUUGGGUAUAAAGGGAGGGAUAUCCUCCUUAUCCCCCUUUUAUAUCCGAGCCAAACGGGGUGAGGGGGAAUAAGAUCUUAUUCCUUUCAUUUGUAUCCAAACAAGAAUUGGAAGAGUUAGGAAUUAUUAUUCCCACCCCUUAAUGGCAUGUUGUUUUGUAAUUUUUAUUUCAAAAUAUUAAAUUAUUUAUCUCCAUAAUUUUUAUUCAAUUUUAUUAAUCAUUUUUAAACUCACCAAUUUAAAUGCAUAUUACUUUACUUAAAAAAUGAAAGUGGAAAGUUUAUACUGCCAUAGGUUCAGAAAGCGAGAUAGUUAUUUCUUAAUUUUUACUACCAAUUAUUUCUCUUAUUCUUCUUAAUAAUUCAAACACUAUUUUUUUUUAUUUCUGCCGAUACUCUAAUUUUUAUCUAAAUAAAAAUUUAUUUUAAAUUUUACUUAUAUCCGAACCAAACAACCGAUGGCUACGGAGAUAACUCUAGUAUAAUUAACCCAAUUACUUAACCCAAUUAAUUAAUUAAUUAAUUAAUUAAACAGAAUAAUAAUAAGAGGGGUAAGGAAGGGUUCUUUUUCUCCCUUCGUCUCUUUCGUGCCGCAAUCGGACCGCUGUGUUCGAUUUGGAUUGAGGCGUGCUUCGAUUCGACGCUUCCCGACCUUUCCUCCAUCGCCCGCCCCCCUCCCCCUUUUUCUCGUCGUCUUCGUCCUCUUCCUCUUCCUCUUCCUCGGUGCUACCGAAACCAAAAACCCUAGACCAAUCAGGAGGCGACUUCCCUCGGCAAUCGAAUCCCUAGUUUCGGAUCUCCCUUCCUGCCCUUCCGAUCGGAGCUUCCACGGGGUUUUGGUUUUAGGGCUAGGGUUUCGUGUCUCUGAUCCGCGGAGAUGGAGCCUCGCGUGGGGAGCAAGUACCGCCUCGGUCGCAAGAUCGGGAGCGGUUCCUUUGGGGAGAUCUAUCUAGGUUCGCGCUGAUCUUGGGAAAUUCUUCGUAAUUUUUUUGAGCUUUUAGAAGGAUAAAGAUUUGGUUUUUACGGGUUUCUGAAUGAUGUUCUGGUUACUUUGUAUAGGUACUAAUGUUCAGACGAACGAGGAGGUCGCGAUUAAGCUUGUAAGUAUCGUAGCUUCGGGAGAGCAGUGCUUGUGUGUUGGGCCUGCUUAAUAUUGAUGUUAGAUCUUUGCUUUAUAUGUGUCAUCCCUUUUUUCUCCUACUAUUAGGUCAUGUGCCAGUUUUAGGUGUUCAAUCUUGAUUAUUAAUGUUUGUAGUGGUGUUAGAUUUCUUUUGCUAGCUUUGUAGAUUACUUCCGAGGCAAUUAGGAAAUAGUUGUGUGUAUGUUGAUUUGCUCCAUUAUUUACCUUUGUUUGUUGUAGAUAUAUGUAGAGCGUUAUAUGUAAUUUUUUUACUACCUUCUUUAAGUCGAGAUCGGCAGAUCCUAGUACUUUUUGCCCCGCUUUAAUCAGUUCUUGUUUCUAGCUUCGCCGAGCUCCACCCUAUGUUAACCGCAUGACAGUUCUUUAUUGUCAAGUUUGAUUCAAACAAAAUACAAGUUUGAUUUGCUUGGUUAGAACUUUAGAUGAGUCUUUGCUAAGACGGAAUAACAGUUGCUACUCAAAAAAGGAAAAAGAAAAAGAAAAAAGUAAAAAAGACAACAGCUAGCAAGGAUGCCUAUUUGAGCUGUGAUUUUAAUGUUGGAGGUUGUAAAAGGUCAUUCUAAAAAUACAGGCGCGACAGAAGUGGAAGACUCCAGAUCCAGAGAGAGCUGGUGAAAUAGAAGAAGGGUGUUAUCUAUAGGGUUAGACUGAAGAGUACAUUAGAGAUAGCUGUUGACUAGGCAAAAUCCAACUGCCAUUCCAUAGAGGAAGUAAUUAUUUUUUAGUAUCUAUUAUUUACCACGCCUGUGGGUUGUUGAUGGGGACAUCACAAACCUGCAUUGUUGCUAUUUCCAGGAUUAGGCUGCUUAUAGGGGUAUUGCACUUGCUCAGUUUUAGGUGAUCUUCCAUAUGGUUAUAACAUGUUAGUGUGGGAUUGCAUGGAUAUUUACCGACACAAGAUGCUCCUUGAUCCUCUUGUCAAGAUUUAAGGAUGUCUUCAUAUUUUUUCAAUGACAGUUUCUCUUUAAACUGCUUGCAUUAUUGUCUUCGUGAAUGAUAUCUGAAUUGUAUGCAAAUUUAUUUUUUUAAUGAAUAUCUCUAGUAUAUAAUUCUUGCAACUACCUUGUACCCUUUUCUUGUCCUAAUGUAGAUUAUUCAGUUUCUUAUGCUUGUUAUAAUUAUAAACCAAUUUUUUUUUGUUGAAUUUGCUUUUGCUAUUGUGAUAAUGUUCUGGUGGUUUAAAAUGACAUACACUUUCUUUCUUUCAGGAAAAUGUGAAGACAAAACAUCCUCAAUUACUAUACGAGUCAAAGCUGUAUAGGAUUCUACUAGGAGGAAGUAAUAGAACAUUCUCCUUCCUUUUUGACUUGUUACUGACAAAUAAUGGCUUUUGAUACAUAUACUCUUCCAUUUUAUUAUGGUUUUGGCAGCUGGAAUUCCAAAUGUGAGAUGGUUUGGCGUUGAAGGAGACUAUAAUGUCUUGGUGAUGGACUUAUUGGGACCAAGUCUCGAAGAUCUUUUUAACUUCUGCAGCAGAAAACUCUCGUUAAAGACUGUUCUGAUGCUUGCAGAUCAGAUGGUAACGUAUUACCGUACAUGCUGUGAUUUACCAUAACCGCUAUAUUUUCUUGUGCUAUUUUAUUUGUCCAAUACGCCUCUGCAUAAUCUGUUGCCACUGUUUUUCUUUUGUACAUGUGUCCCUCAUGUUGGAACUAUUUGGCUCAUGUAAUAGAAGGCCCUCUUUUCUUUGUGGUGCUUUGUGCCUUGUCAUUUGUGUUCAUUUCAUGCUAACAUAUUUAGUGAGGAAGUGCACCUUCUCUUUUAAACAUCGUUUGUAAUUACACGUCUAUCUUAGUAUUUUCUUCUCAGCAUGCUCAAAUUUUGUUCUUCGUUUUCUUUAUGUUGAUUUUACUUUUUGUAACUCGUGUUAACUUUUCUACUUAGAUUAAUCGAGUGGAAUUCGUCCACUCAAAGUCUUUUCUGCAUCGAGACAUUAAGCCGGAUAAUUUUCUAAUGGGUCUUGGAAGGCGAGCUAAUCAGGUGGCCUAUUGAAUUUCCUUGAAUGUAGUUCUUUUUUAGCACUUUUUACUGUCGAUUUUAUGAUCUGUUUCAUUUUGUUACUUUCCUUUUUUCCUCUCCAGGUCUACAUUAUUGAUUUUGGUCUUGCCAAGAAGUAUAGGGAUACUUCAACUCACCAGCACAUACCAUACAGGUAUCUAUUGCAUUCCUUAUUUUCUUUGGUCUGCUGUCUUGAGCGUGUGAAAAGAGUGAUGAUUCAAGUAGCUAAAUACACCACUUCAUUUUAUAUUUUAGAUUUUGUGAAUGGUAUGAAUCUUGAAAGUGUAAAUCUUUUUCCCCAUAAAAAUAUGGGUUGUCAACAGAGAAACAGAAAUUCUAAAUCAUUUCUUCUUGGAUAUGCAAUAUGUUUGUUGUAAUAUCAAUAUAGAGAGCUGAAGCAACAAAUUUGUUCCAUUGAUACCACAUUAUUAUAAUGGUAUCACUAACUUGACUUCUGGUGUUUUUACACUUAAUAAUUAGCAAUCCCUUAUUAAUUAGCUAUUAAACCAGAUCUUCAUAUAAAGUUUUCGCUGAUAAUGCAGAGAGAACAAAAAUUUGACUGGGACUGCUAGGUAUGCCAGUGUGAACACCCAUCUGGGCAUCGGUAAGUAGAGUGUACAUUAUACCUGAUUUCUGAAGCAUUUUAUUGGAUAGCAAGCAUUCUAAAAUGCUUCCUUCUGAAUUAUUGCAGCAGACUUUUUUGUUUUUUUGUUUUUUACUUUUCUUCUUGCAUUAGAUACUUUCAUCAGAUGCUUUGUUUAGCUUGCAUUCUUAUUCAUAUUUUGAAUACUUUUUUUUCUCUGGUGCUUAGAGCAAAGCAGGCGGGAUGACUUGGAAUCUCUUGGAUACGUACUCAUGUAUUUCUUAAGAGGAAGGUUUGUUAUCUUAUUCAUUUUCCUACCCUUUAUUCCUUUUCUUCUGUUAAAUAAGAUUUUUUAAACCAUAUGGUACUUUUGCUGUCUUCAGCCUUCCAUGGCAGGGCUUGAAAGCUGGAACCAAAAAACAGAAGUAUGAAAAGAUUAGUGAGAAAAAAGUUGCCACAUCAAUUGAGGUGAUCUCUUUGUUACCUGGUGAAUUGAACACAACAUAUUGUUUCUAUUACAAUUCAGUGAUGAUUAAGAAUUUUUGAAUGAUUUUCAGGCUUUAUGUCGCGGAUACCCUACUGAAUUUGCAUCAUACUUUCACUACUGUCGUUCACUUCGCUUUGAUGAUAAGCCCGAUUAUUCUUACCUUAAGAGAUUGUUCAGAGAUCUUUUUAUCCGCGAGGGUUUGUUUCCUAUUACGAUUUUCAUUUGAAGAUAUCAAAGAUGAAAAUUUAUGAUAACUGCACAAUAUGUGGAUAAUUUAGCUACUUGAGGAUGGUGAUUUUCUGUGAAUUUUUCUGUUUUUGUAGGAUUUCAGUUUGAUUAUGUGUUUGACUGGACCAUUUUGAAGUAUCAGCAGUCGCAGAUUACCGGCGCUCCUCCUCGUGUUCUUGUGAGCCACAUGCUUAAUAUAUGUUUGUAUUUUACUUAUUUUCUUCACUAGAAGUUUCUAAAUCUCCUCUAAUUGUUAGGGACAUGGUGCUGGACCAAGCUCUGGUGUGGCCCCUCCGAUGGUAAAUGAUAGGCAAUCAGGUAGUGCAUCUAACAUCCUCAUUAUUUUCUAAGUUUUCCUUUUUCUUGAAAUUUAUGCAACAAGCAACUGUUCCUAGAACUGAUCAAAUGUUAAACUCUUAAAAACAUAGUCAUUCAAGAUUUUUGUUUUAGUUUGACUACUAGGCAUCUGAUUUAUAUUGAUUCCAGUGAUCAUUAAUCGAGAUUUAUAUGCUCUUAGUUUGAUGAGAAGUGUUUAUCUUAUUAUUUAUUUUGAAAACUUGAAUACCUCAUGGAGGAGUAAUCUGAGCUGUUGAAUAUUUUGUUGUAGGUGGUGAAGAAGCAAGGGCGAGUGGCUGGUCAGCAAUGGACCCUUCGAGGCGGCGCGCAACACCUCCAGCUGUGAAUAGUGGCAGUUUGUCAAAGCAGAAGACUCCUGUGGUGAAUGAUUCAUCCGGUACUAAAGAUGCCAUGGUGAGUUCUUAUUUUGUUUUGAUGGCUUUUCCUGCGUGUUGCUAUUUAAUUUUGUAAUCAUUAGAUCAGACGUUGUUGGGCUUUUAGAAGAUCAGUUAGUGUCUUUACUUCUUUUGUGCGCGUUAUUGUGAUAUUCGAGAUUUAAUCACUAUUGUUGGGCUAUAUCUGGUUUCCUUGUUGCUCGUGGCAUUUCCCUUUUUUAUGAUUGUUUAAGUGUGUUUUCCUGCAUAUUUUUUUUCUCGAUCUGAUGUCUGUGACACUCAACUAUAAGGCUAUGCGCAUUCUACUCAACUUUUCAACUUUGAUCCGCCAUGUUAAUUUUGAUCAAGAUAUUCCUUUGGAAUAUUUCACAAGUAGUUCCUGAGAGAUGUUAAGUGGUUAUUGUUUGCAGUAUAAUUCCUGACCGUGAAAGCUUAUAUGGUGUAGUUAUCCAGCUCAACUUUUCUUGGACGGUCAAGUGGAUCCUCAAGGCGAGCAGCUGUUUCUAGCAGCCGGGAUGUGGCAGGUCCAGAAAUUGACCAAUUACGAACUCGUACGACAGACGCAAGCCCUGGAACUUUCCGAAAACUCUCCGGUCCUCAGAGGAGCUCACCUCCGGUCGGUUCUGCCGAGCCCAAGCGCUCAUCUUCUGGCCGGCACUCGUCCAACAUCAGGAACUACGAGUCAACUCUUAAAGGCAUUGAAGGCCUUAAUUUUGACGGCGAUGAGAGGGUCAAGUACUAAUGAGCUAUAACUCGCUGAAUGAGAAAUUGUCAUAUUUGUCAACACUCUGAUUGGAGGAAGUUACAUACUUGGUAUGUCCUUUUUCCUUGAGGAGAGGGGAGAGAGGGUUAUGAAGAGGCCGGGUGGGGAUGUGGUUGGGGUUUGAAGUGCUUUACUGAGGUAUUUUUCCUGGAGAUGGCUAAUAAGACUAUGAGAAGGGUGGGUGUGAGGAGAAGGGAGGUGGUUUUGUACAUUUGGAGCUCUUUUAUUUCCUCAGGCCUCGUUAUUAUUAUUCUAUUUAUUUUCCUCGGAUAUUCUUUGUUAGGGUGGAAUUUACAUCCCAUGUUGUUUCCACAAAGUGUGACAAUGGUGUUAAACCAUUGGAAUUGUAUUUAAAAUGAAGUGUUCAGGACUGCAGUUAGGAUUCGUGUUUCUCUUUGCUGGAUAGUUAACUUGUACCUCUUUUUCUAUCUGAGUGAUGAAUCAUAGUUCUUACCUCCUUAGAUGUUUCUAUAUUGAAUCAUUUUAUCUGCGGAUCAUUAUUAUUUUUAUUCUUUUCCCCAUCAAAUAUGGAUUUCUACAUCAAGUUUGUUGGCCAGGUUAUGUGUUGCGAUUCUUUCGUAACAGAGUUUUGUAUUGUGGAUGGUGCUUUUAAAAAUAUAUAUAUAUUUUUAUUUUUUUUAGGGUUUUCUGGAGCAACAGAAGGACUUAUAUAUCAUUCUUUGAGCAUGAUAACUAUUGGUCUUCUAAAUUGCUGAGCAUAUCUUAGUUUGUUCUUGUAUAUGAUUUUGCAUUUUCCUCAUUUUGUGCUAUUUGUGCCAAUCUUAAAAGCACUUUACAGGAUGGUACUUGCAGAGCUGAGAUUGAAGCUACAAUUGCAAAGCUUAUUGGAGAAAAGGUUUAUUAGACCUAGUGUAUUGUUUUAGAGAGCGUCGGUGUUGUUUGUGAAGAAAAAUGAUGAAUCAAGAGUUGAAUAAAAUGACUACUAAGCAUAAUAAAGUAUCCGUAUUAAUGACUUUUUAUGUAUUUUAAGAUAAAUUUGCAAUCUGAAUAUUACCAAAGAUGUUCUUAAGAUGGUGUUCAGAAUAGGGUCUGAGCAUCAUAAGUUUAUAGUAAUGCCGCUUGGAUCGGCAAAUACUUCAUCAGUUUUUAUGGAUAUGAUGAACGUGUAUUCAAACUGUACUUAAAUUUGUUUAUAGUGAUGUUUAUUGAAUUUUGGGGGAGUAAAAACUAUAUGCCAAGCUAUAGAUGAGGGUGUGUGACAAGGUUGAAGCUCAGGACUACUAGCAUUGGUAGUUCGGCAUCUUGUGUAGAUUACUAAUGAGGGGAAAGUACUUCGAGUUUUCUACAAAAGGUAUUUUAUGUGUUGCCUAUAAGAAUCAACGGAAGUGUUGGAAUCAUGUACAUCAAUACAUCAACAGUUUGCGAUAGAACCUUUUCUCUUAGUGUUGAAUCUGAUUUUUCAUAAUGGCUCUAAAAUGUCGGAAAUAAGAUAUUUAAUAUCAACUUAUUUGGUAUGAAAAUUUAUUGUGUCGGUGAUUUGGGGAGAGGGUAUAUUUUUACCAAGGAGGUAAUUAUCUUAUUCUAAAACAUAAUUUGAAAGUCAGAACAUGAAAACAUGGCCCAUUGAAAAAGUGAUGCUAGGGCUUCCCACUUUUGCCAGUCAAUUCAACCUUUUGAAGCCAAGUUCCUUCACUUCGGAGUGUUCCACACUGUACGGUAUGUCUUUUUCUUUUGGAAAAAUGGAAUAAUUCAAGGAACUAUAACCCUAAAAAUGCGAUCACAUCACUAUAUCAGCCACUUUUGCACCACUUCACGAAUGAAAGCGGCAACGAAACACCCACACCGCCGGGUUCUAAUUUUUAACACGACAGACGAGUCGGUGCCGUGGCACCCUUGCUUCUAAUUUUUAACACGACAGACGAGUCGGUGCCGUGGCACCCUUGCAUCGCCGACUUCGACACGGUAAUUGAACAACACGCUCGGCCGAUGAAGUCGGCGACGGGGCACUGAUCCGGCGCCGAGAUUAGCAGGGUAACGACUCGUCUUUUUGUUACGUACGUUCGCAACUUCAUUUCCGAGGCAGUGGGAAGCGAGAGUUUUAGAGAGAGAGAGAGAGAGAGAGAGAGAGAGAGAGAGAGGGAGCUUGCGAGUCGCGAGAGAGAAGGGCCAUGGCGGGAGGGGGAGCGCUCCAACUCCUCCCCUCGAUCCCCUCCACCGCUCGCUUCCUCCUCCGCUCCGCCGCCGCGUUUCGCCCAGCUUCCCGACGCGCCGCCGCCGCCGCCGCCGCCGCCACCGUCGGCGGCGUCUCUGGCCCGGCGCCUCGCUCUCCCCCUCGCCCCUCCUUUGUGCGUGCUCCCCAAGCCCGCCUCCAAUCCAGUACGCUCUUCUCUCUCUCUCUAGAUCUCUCUCUCUCUAGCUCUAGAGAGAGAGAGAGAUCUCUCUCGCUCGUUUUUUUUUUUUUAACUGGGUAACGCUUUUGGUGGGAACGUACGAAUCUUUACAUAAAGUAAAGCCUUUGUUAAUAUAGUUACCCACACUUUAUAAAAAGUUUCAAUUUUGUUGCCUAUUCAAAUAACAAUAUUACCUUUCCUCUUAAAGGUACUAAUUUUACCAGCUAAUUUUGUAGUACUUUUUGAAAGAGCUGUUUCGAACUUAUAAAAUUUUUAACUUCACUACCCAACCUAACUUUUCUAUAAUAUAUGUCAUGAGAAUAUAUAAUAUCUUAUCCAAAUUGUUACGAAUGCUGUAAAGUUGGAUAGUAAAAUCAAAAUUUGUAAGGUUCAGGUAAAGUUCGAUAUAUUGUAUCAAGAAAUUGAAAGAUGGGAAUUAUAGACAACUCAUUAUUAGAAAAAUAGUGAAUUUGGUAUAGGUAUCGUAAAUUACGUGAUUGAAGCAUCCAUCGAAUUUCUUUUUUUUUUUUGUCUAAUAUAAAAAUUGUACAUAAAACACAUCAUUUUUUCUAAUUGAAUGCAAGGGAUCUGGAAGUUUAGUACAGAUGCAUGUUUUUGAGUUUGCUGACUAGUACUGUCGGAAGAAUCGACAUGAUAAAUUUUGUACGUAAGCGCAGAUGGUGAACUAUAAGAACAACACAAAUGGUUUUGUUAAUUUGAAGAGAGGUGAUUAGGAGGGUAAAUGCUAAGCUAACUAGAUGCAUGGUCUAAUUAUUUUUUUACUUGUAGUUGUAAAAGAUGAAGAGAAUAAGAAUUAAUGUUUGCAGUGCUGUGAACGGCGGCGGAAAACUAUGGCCUCACUUUUUUUAUUCAUUGUCGUGAGAUGGCUCGCUACUUUGUCCGUUUCAGACUUUUCUGGCACGGAGGCUGAGAGCCACGAACCGUUGGGACAGUCUGAAAUAAUCUUUUUAGGCACAGGAACUAGUGAAGGUAUUCCUAGAGUGAGCUGCCUCACUAAUCAGUCGAAGACCUGUCCUGUAAGAUUAUUACCUUUCAAGUUUAUUGCUUUCGCCAAUAAUUUUGAUCUGCAUUAUGAGAGUUGUGUAUAUAUACUUUUCUUUUAAGAGCAAUUUCCUUUUUGCUUUCCCCCUAUCAACUGUUAUUUGAGAUUUUAUCGAACGGCUCUUUUCGCCCUUCGCAGGUUUGCUCAAAAGCAACUGAACCAGGCAAUAGAAAUAGGAGACGUAACACGAGCAUUCUUUUACGUUAUACCAGCUCUGCAGGAAGAUUUAACAUUCUCGUCGAUGCUGGCAAGUACGCAUUAUGUAACCUCCCCAUUUCCCCCUACCUUUUCUCUGUGGGCUUCAAUCUCAUCCUGGGAAUUAUACUAUUAUUAUUUUUAAUUUUUAAUUUUUAAUUGCAUUCUAUAUAUAAUCUAUUUGUUGAUAAGAAACAUCUGGCAUGAGGAGUCAUUCUAAGUUAAUUAAUUUUGCAAAUGAUCGAAUGCAGAUAGUUUGUUUACUGCAGUAAAGGUUCUGUCGAAGUAUUCUUCGUCUUCAAUUUAACUAUCAGAAAGAAAUCCAGCUUUGUGUUAAUUUGAUUAGCUAGCCCUUGUAUAAACUGGAUUUCUAGCUAAUGCAAUGUCCAUUCUUUCAUAUCAGCUUUCUAAAAGGACCCAUAUCAAUCCUCAUCAAUCUUCUAUGUUGUAUGGUGAUUAUAAUGGCAUGUAAGUUUUAAGACACAAAAACCUGGAUCGUGCAAGAGAAUCCGAAGGAUGUCUGGUAUAGUGGGUGCAGAAGGGCGUAGUUUUUGAGAAUUUCAAAUAAGCCUGAAGAGAUUGAAAUAUACAAUAAUGUAAAUCUUGAUAAUUUUCAUAUAUUUAUAUAUAGAUGCUUAUGUAAGGUGAUUGAAGCUGUGUAAUACUUAUUGCUAAAACUAGCAAGCCAUUUAUGUCCGUCAAAUGUAUUUUCUUAUUUCCGAUGUUAAAAAUCUCCCCUCAGCUUUGCUUUAUCAAAUAGUCAUCAUGUUGUUAUUUAUCUUUUUUUUCCCCUUUUUUUUUUUUUUUUUUUUUUUCUCUUCCCUACCUACACUUUCCUGAAAAUCAGGACAAAGUGCGUCUUCAGUAUCUAGAGGAUCUGCAGAUCACAAUAUUUUUUAGUUGCAAUUAAUCUAUCCAUGUUGUUAUUCACCUCGAUGCUUGUGUAACCAUCUCCAAAUUUAUGAAUUGGACAUCACAUUUUACAACACAUUUAGGGAGAAAACAAGAUAACAAAAACAGUAAAGGCACUUGUUGAGUAACCUAUUAUUAGAAACUCACUUCUGAUAUUGUUUCUCUGUUAAUGGUAUUCUACAGAUUUUUCUACCAUAGUGCCCUCCAGUGGUUUCCUACUUUCGGGUAAGAGUUACAUUUUUAUUCUUGGCCAGCCAAUUUGCCAUGGCUCAAUAAAACUAAUUGAACUGUUGACUAAUGACUGCACAUUUGCAAAUACCAUUGACUGUUAAUUUAGUUUUCUCUGUAGUUUCUUCUUGAUUCACCUGUAAGGCGUAGUUUGGAUUGGACAAAUAUAUUUCUGUUUGCAUCUUCUGUUAACUUUAUACUCAACAUGGUCUUCAUAUGAUCUUCUGUUCUUAUUAAUUACCAUUUGUCAGGUUACGACAAAUUGAUGCAGUCCUCAUCACCCAUUCUCAUGCAGAUGCAAUUGGAGGUAUCUAUUUAACAUUAAGUUUUUUUUUUCUUUUAUACUACUAGAAAAUGAUUUUUGAUUCAAGGUUGGCGAAGAUUUUCUUUUUUAGCUUGAGCCUCUUGUAAUCUUACUGGCAAACUAAUUGAAAAAAAUUAUUCAUGGAGUGUGAAUGAUCAGCUCUGUCUUUUGAUAGUUGUCGAGACUAUUGAGAGUGAUGUCCAAAUACCGACGACCUUUGAUGUCGCUAGCGCUAAACACUUUACUUCUGUGGAGUUUUUCCACAAGUUAUAUUGUCAAUUGUUGUUGGUGUUUUUUAUUUUUUUUAAUUUCUAUCUUCUGAAAAUACAUAUUUGUUACGAAAAGAUGUUUUCGUAGAAUAUUUGGACGGAAGAUAGACAUCAUUAUUAUUAUUAUUUUCCCAUAAUUACUUUUUGCACCUUUUUCUGGUACAGGUCUUGAUGAUCUCCGUGACUGGACAAACAAUGUCCAACCCUACAUCCCGAUUUAUGUGCCCAAACGCGAUUUUGAGGUUCAAAAGUACUUUUCUCUAAUACGAUCAGUCUUAUUCUUAUCAAAAUCGAGUGAUUGAUUAAAUAAUUAUUUUCAUUUUAUUGCAGAAAAUGUUGUAUUUAACUUCUCCCGCGUGAUGUUCUUUGGGUGUGUUUCAGGUAAUGAAGAAGACCCAUUACUAUUUAGUCGAUACAAGUGUAGUAGUACCUGGUGCUGCAGUUUCAGAGUUGCAAUUUAAUAUAAUUGAGGAGGAACCGUUUGUCGUUCAUAACCUGAAGGUUGGUCUUAGCAAGAGGAGGUUACUUUUGAUAUCAAACUUAAUUCUUGAAGUUACAUGCCAGCUGCUCUGCCAGUUGAUAUAUAUAUAUAUAUAUAUAUAUAUAUAUAUAUAUAUAUAUUUUUUUUUUCCCACACAAGUUUUCUUGAUCAAUUAGGGGUCUGCAUUCAUUCUUUUAGCUCUCCAGAUAUGGUAAAUCAGCCUGCUAAUCUAAGAAUUCUAUUAACCAAUUAGAUUGAGGAACUGUUCUCAUUGCUAGUUUUGUUACUGUGAUGUAUUAAGAAAGCUAAAAGGGAAAGACCGAAAGACGUGGAUGAAGGUCGUAAUAUAGUGACAUGGGGUUUGACAAUUGGAUAGCUUGGGGAAUAUUAACAUAUAUAAACUGGUCGUGAAUAAGUAUCCAAAACCAGUUACCUAACAAAUUAUAACUGUAUGGUAUAUGCUAUCAUUUGUUUUGGCUUCUCUGUAAGAUGAAUAUGGUGAUUUAUGUUCUUCCCCUAAGAACGCUUCCACUGGUUCAGGUGACUCCUUUACCUGUUUGGCAUGGUGGCGGCUAUCGUUCUCUUGGUUUUCGCUUUGGUGAUAUUUGCUAUAUAAGGUAAGCCAUUUUUAUGCACCAUGGAAAUGUUUUUCGCCCCUUCGUAGUUUGUGUUCCUUAACAGCUAUUUGCAAUGCAGUGAUGUCAGUGACAUACCGGAAGAAACUUACGAGCUUCUCAAAAAUUGCAAGCUUCUUAUUUUGGUACUAUUACUUUGUUUGAGUGUUACUGGUGGAUACAUUGCAGUUUCUAAUAUCUCUAAUAUUGAUCUUUGCAAAAUUCUUCAUGUUCAUUCUAAUAAUGAUUUUUUUUUUUUUUUUUAAGGAUGCACUAAGACCGGACCGUUCUUCUUCAACACAUUUUGGUUUACCAAGGGUUAAUAUCUUCUCUAUAUCUAAAUUAGUCUGUUAUAUUAUGUUUUGCCAUUUUUACUUUUUUCUGAAACUCUGUUUACUUAAUUCUCAGGCUCUGGAUGAAGUCCGGAAAAUCAAACCAGCGAGAACUCUUUUCACUGGUAUGCUUCUGCUGAUUCUGCUUUCAAAUCACAAAGUGGUGAUUCUUAAUUUUAUCACAUGAUACUAUCUUACAAUCUUGUGAUUGAAAAAAUGACCAAUUUCCUGAAAUGAACCUGUACAAAAGUUGUUGAUGAUAUUUCACAUUGUUUAUGCUGAUUGCGAGUAUUUGACAAGGUAUGAUGCAUUUGAUGGACCACGACAAAGUAAACGAAUAUCUCGCCAAGCUGAUGGAAACAGAGGGUCUCGAUGUCCAAUUGAGCUACGAUGGCCUCCGCGUACCUGUAAACGUCUAGACUACGGCAUUCUCUCAAAUUUUCUUUACUGAUUCUUUUUUUCCACAACAAUAAUGUUUAAUCUACAUGAAGCUUGUGAAAGAAAUAAAUUUGUCUCAAUUUUGAAUCCUUUAAGAAGGGGUCAGAUGAUCAUGCCAUGUAACCUGCUCAGAUUAUUGGCCUAAUGCCUGCCACUUUGUAUUGAUUCUUUUGCAUAAUAAGAUUUUGUGGAUGGUGAGAAUAGAGCCACUUUGUAUUGAUUCUUUUGCAUAAUAAGAUUUUGUGGAUGGUGAGAAAACUAUUCUUGGUUCAUAGUAUUUUCUGUGAAAAAGUUGUGAAGAAAAAGUAAAGUACAUUGCAACAUAAUCUAACAUGCAUAGUUGCUGAAGGUCACUGACAGAUCCUGUUACAGAGUCAUUUACUAUAAUGAAUCAGUUAAAACCAUGAAAAACAAAGUAGACAACUGCAUGAGGGGAAAGAUUGCUGUUAAUGAAGUUAAACAAAUUAUCUGAAAGUGAUCACUAUUUGCUGCACAUCAGAUCUUCAUUAUAAAUUCCCCAGUACAUAUUUACAGAAACAAACCAAACAAUAAGAGUACAAGUGUGUGUACGACUAUCAAAAUAUACGAUGAUUCUCGACUGAUUCCGAUUGAAACAAUUCAUUUGCUGAGCUUAGACAUAGAACAAAAAUGUCUGAGGUCCUCUUAAGAAUUCAAAAGAAAAGGAAAAAUAUAUUUUAAGGAAUCUUUUGGAUGAUUGUACAAUGAGGAAGAUUGCAAUUACUACCCCAGGUCUUAAGCUGAAGAACAGGAGAUGCUGUGUGUCGAUCUGCGGCUCGGCUUUAUUAAGUUCCCACUUGAUAAGGGAAACACAAGUAGCUGAAACCACGUUCUCUGUUUGCGAGGGUUAUUUGUGAAAAGAAGCCAAACUGGUUAAAUGUUCGUGGAUCAAGCUUUAAAAUGGCCCUUCAAUGUAUAGCUUUAAAGUAGAAAGGCUCUUCUUCCACGUUCUCUGUUUGCGAGGGUUAUUUGUGAAAAGAAGCCAAACUGGUUAAAUGUUCGUGGAUCAAGCUUUAAAAUGGCCCUUCAAUGUAUAGCUUUAAAGUAGAAAGGCUCUUCUUCCAUUUAACAGCACAUUAUUGAUAUUCAAAUCUCCUCAACUUUUCCUUUCUCCAAAAAUGCCUGAUAUUGAGCAUGCCGAGAAGCUGGUAAUCCUUAUUCCUGGACAUGCAUGUUCUUGCAGACAAAGAAAAGGAAAUCUUAUCUACAAAAUGCUUUCGCCACCCUCCGAACCCGUUUGAAAUCUUUGUUCAAUCCCAUGCUCGCUUGAGCUUCUCCCCGAUAAGUUCCUCCCUCUAUCCCAAAACCAUGCUCCUCUACUUGUUCUCAAAGGGCCUGAACUCGAAAUCCUCCUGAAGGAACCAGUCGCAUCCCUCGUAAAACGCGCUGAGGUACUCAACACGUUAGAAGAGGAUAAUUUCCUUUCUGCUUCCAUGUCCAAACAUCCGCUGAGUCUCAAUUCCGUGUCUGGAGUAUGUGAAUCUUCUCGGCUAAAACUUUCCGACACUUUGUGCUCGUUGCCCUCGUUGCAUACCAGCUUCAGGGCUUGAACCACCUCACCCAUGAACGGUCGUUGAUCGACUUCAGGCUGAACGCACAUUGAGACAAUAGCCGCUACUUUUGCCAAGCUGUCGUAUUUAUUAAUGUCGAGAGAUGGAUCGAUUAUCGUCUCUAAACUCUCUUUACUUGUAAGAAGUGGGCGCGCCCAUGUUACGAGAUUUUCUUGCCCCGGGGGUCGCAACAUAUCUACUGGUUUCCUUCCCGUGAGGAGCUCAAGAAGGACAACUCCGUAGCUGUAAACAUCGCUCUUGACAAGAAGAUGCCCUGUCAUAGCAUAUUCAGGGGCAACAUAUCUAAAGACAAAAAAGAGGGCAACAAGUGAAAUUAGGUGAUAUUUAGAAUUCAUCAAUGGUUGACAAAGAGAAGAAUGAUUUGUUAAACAAUAUUAGAUACCCGAAGGUUCCCAUAACGCGAGUCGAAAUGUGCUCGUGUGCCUCGUCCCGGGCAGCUCUGGCUAGGCCAAAGUCGGAGACCUUAGGGGUGAAAUCAUGCUCCAACAAGAUGUUGCUGGACUUGAAAUCGCGAUGUAUGACACGAGGGUUUGAGUCCUCGUGGAGGUAGGCAAGAGCACGAGCUGCACCGAGGGCAAUCUUAAGCCGUGCAUCCCAAUCAAGUGGAGCGGUUUCUCUAUCCGGUCCUGAUUAUAAUUCACAAUUCAGAUCAGUUCUUAGAAGCUCCGAUUAAACUACUAGUUGCCCAAAGAAGUAAUGUUGGUAUCCUCAAAAUAUAUGUAUGAUAUGUAACAGUUCAAAUUCGCUGUUCCUCACAAAUAUAUCGGUACAUUAAGUUGCAGCAUCAUCCAAUUCAUGGGGGAAGCUGGUUUUGAUAUUAGUAAAGGCUUUUGAAAGAUAAGUAACUUCUGCAAGUUUAAGGGUAUAAAUGUAAGACAUUUAAGUUAUAUAACGGCAUACGCAAAAAUUCAGAUUUGCAGGGAUGUAUAUCUGAAAAGAAAAUUCUGAAGAGCAUGUAUGCAAUUUAAGUGCGUUAGCAAUUACCAUGCAGAUGAGAUUCCACGCUACCGUUGGGAAUGAGUUCAUAGAUCAGACAGUGCAUAUGCUCCUCAGUGCAUAUACCCAACAACUUAACCAAAUUCCUGUGGUGCAGACGGCUCAGCAUCUCAACCUCAGCCAAGAACUCUCUGCUGCCCUGCUGAUCUUCCCUCUUAAGAACCUUUAUAGCCACACACCUCCCGUCAUCGAGAGUCCCUUUGUACACACGUCCAAAACCACCUUCGCCGAUUAUUUUGGACUCGUCGAAUUUGUUUGUAGCUCUUUCCAUCUCCGCAAGGCUAAAUGUUUUUGCCGUGCCCGCACAUGUUGCGAUGCUCGAGGAGAAGGAUGCUGAUGCUGAGCUAGGUUGGCUUCCUAAUGCCCGAGCUCCCGUCCCUAUGAAAUAAAUAAAUAAAUAAAUAAAACCUCCAAUGAAGAGUUCAGCAAUUAGGGUUGAGAACAAAGAGUCGAUGGAAGCUAUAUUCACUUCUUUCACUUCUCAAGCAAUGAAUGACAAAGUUCACGGAUAAAAAAUAAAUUUACGAUGCACGAGUUGAUAAGAAGUUCAUGUUGACAAACAUGACACCUUGGGCAUGAUGAUCCCAUGCCUAUAAUUUUAUUUUGUGUCAAAAAAAGGAGAAAAAUCAAAAUACUCGAUUAAAAUUUCAAGCUAAUCUCAUGAAUAUUCAAUUUCUAGGUAAAAAUUAUUUCUAUAAAGCAUCGUAUCAAACUCUGUAUUCUAUUGCAGCUCAGACAUGUAAACCCAAAAUAGAGCAAGAAGUUCACUGAAAAAUGAUAGAGAAAGAACAGAAAAAGUGUGCGAUUUCACACCCAUUAUGUUGUUUCUACAGCAAGAAAGCUUGAAUUAUGCAUAUGCUCACCAAUUCACAUGCAUUUUCUUCCUAAUGCCAAAAACAUGCAAGAGACUUAAAAGUAAACACCAAUGAAGGGAAUAGGAUGUAUCUACCUUGCGACUUAGCAAAAGAAGUAGUUGGUCCUAGCGGAUGAGAACGAACUAUGCACUUCAAGAAUACCAUCCACGCAGCUCCAACACACAAAACUAGAGCAAAAACAGCCGACAAAAUAAUAAUAACUAUCAGGCUGCCACUUUGUUUUUCUCGAUGCUUUCUCACAUUGGCGGCAAGAGGUCGUAUAGACUUCGGAUUGUUUCCGUUAAUUAAUACCCCAUCUUCACUACUCAUAUCUCCAGGUGCUGCAGGUGGAGACAAAGAAAGGCCUGUAGAUACAUAUAUUAAAAAAGUUAAAAAUCAGGAAAAGCCAAGUAAAACAUGUGUUAUGAAUAUUAAAAAAAAGAAACAUUUUAGGAAGAAGUUCAAUAAAAUCUCUUUGUACGUCAUGAACGAGUAAAUGGCCACAUCUUUGGUUAUGUAAAAACAGAUACCUGAGGUUUUGCAUUCUCUAGAAGUGUGUGUUUUUUUUUUUUUUAACCCGGAACCAAAAUUGUUGGAAUGAGCAUUUUCAAUACUUGUUUCCCUGAUCCAAAUUUAUCCCCCCAACUAAAAAGCCUUAAAAGAUCCGUAUAAGGAGAUGUAACAAUGGAAAAACUUGACAUUAAAUUAUCACUAUUGGACGAUAUAAGAAAACCAAAAUGCACAAAUAUAAGGAAUGAGGGAGCUUCAUGAUUAACCUGGGUAGAUAACAUAUAAAACAUCAUAAUCCCCAAAGUAGGAAGCAUUUAUGAAAACCUCCUUGUGCCAAAACUUCUCAUUAACCAAAAAGAUCGUCGUGUUAUCGAAUUUGUUGCCGAGUGGGAUGAGAUCAAUGAAAACGACAGUCUUCUCAGGCUGCUCAUUUGCGGCAUUUGCUCCCAUGAUUCGGACCUGACUUUGUUUCAUUAACACUCCAUUAGCAAGUUCUUGGGCAAGCUCAGAAACCAAAGUAAAGAACGUGUAUAAGGCAACGUUUAAGCGUAGCCCAACUUUUAUUGGCAACACACAAGCACAUGGCGAUCCUGGUGGGCUAUUUGUCCAAGGAUCUGAGCAUGAUAGCGGUGUACAAUCUGCACAUAAAACCAACAGUACAUCAAUAAAACACUUAAAACUUUAAGGUCGGAUUUAAGAGAAUGAAAGCAAAUUAUUGAUCUUUCGACAAGUUUUGCGGCACAAAUUAGAAAAGUCCACUAUAACUUUGUAAAAAAGAAAGCAUGUGAUUCUUAAACACACCUAAAUUAGGUGGCGGAGGCGGUAAUGUAUUAAUAGGUUCUGGUGAUGGCGCUUCAUGCUUUUCUCGGGUGGAAGCACUGGGAGGGGGCAUGGGAGAUGGAACAGGCCCUAUCAUCAUGAGAGUUUUGUAAGCAAAUGAAAUAAGUAUUAAAGGAUAGAGAAUCCAUAAAAAGAAACAAAAACUUCAAAAAAGAAAAUCAAUAUCUCAACAUACGUCUGUUUAUGGUAGAUGGUAUGUUUAUUGAUGGAGAAGAGGAAGGAGCUUGUCGACUAUCUGCUGAAUGAAAAGGAGCCUGAGAAAUUGAAGGGCCUGAAGAACAGACAAACAGUCCAAAUUUAGAAGCAAAGGUAAUUAUGUUAUGAAAGCUCCAAAUAUAAGCAAUUUUACCAGUUCCUACCUUGAGCAUGGGGUGGCGAAGGAUGAUGCCUUCGAUUAUUCUUGGGGGACGCUGCUGGAGGACGUGAAGGAGCCGAAGACAGCAAAAAGGCUUUUCAUUAAGUCAUUUUGGAAGUUAAUAAUACACUAUUAGCAAAUUUAUCCAACCUGGAGAUUCCGAUAUAUUCGGCUGGAAUGGAGCAUGUGCGGGCUCUGGUGUUCCUCUUCCUUUGUGGUUAUGAGUUGUAGAAACAGGUACAGGUGCAGGACUAUUAAGUGUUCUUCCCGAAGGAGAUCGAUUAGGUGAAUUCAAAGGUGCAUGUAUAGUUUGUGGUGGUAUCUUUGCUUCGUGUGGAGAAGGGCUUAUCAGAGGGGAAGAAACUGCAUUAAAGAAAUCGGCUCUCCGUUAUUAUAAUUUUCUCAUGAUAAAGGGAUAAAAUUUCAUUUGCAGCCCACAAAUGAAUGUCUACUUUAUUUGAACUAGCAAAGAGAUUGUAUUCGGCAUCAUUAUUUAUCUUUACAAGAAGGAAGAGAGUGAUUAAUAGGGAACUUUUAGUCCCUGUGAUGAAGAAAAAGUGUACAUGAUGAAAAUAUUUUUAACCUAGAAGGAGAAUAUAUAUAUAUACCUUUUGUACGGGAAUAAUUUAGAUGUGAUGAAUGGGUAGAUGGUUCCUUUGGAGGUGACGCAACUGGAUUGGUGUGUCUCGCACUAUUGUUGACUUGGGGAGUCGAUACUGGAGAAGGAGCAGGCCCUGCAUGCAAUAAACAAGGAAUAGCUCAUCAAUAUGAAGAGCACUAGUUGGCAUUUUCUAGCGAAGGACUAAGGAUAGCUAUGCCUUGUAGAUGUGAAGAAGUUGGAGCGGAUAAAUUGGUAGAAAGUUUGUAUACCUUUUAUGUGGGAUGAAUUUACAGGUGAUGAAUGGCUGGAUGAUUCUUUCGGAGGUGCUGCAACUGGAAUGUUGUGUGUCGAACUACUGUUGGCAUUGGGAGUCAAUGCUGGAGGAUAAGCAGGUCCUGCAUGCAAUAAAUAGAGAUAACUCAUUUAUAUGAAGAGCAUUAGUCAAUAUUUUCUAGCGAAGGACUAAUGAAAACUAAACUGUGGAGACAAAUUGGUAGAAAGUUUGUAUACCUUUUAUGUGGGAUGAAUCUACAGGUGAUGAAUGGCUGGAUGAUUCUUUCGGAGGUGCUGCAACUGGAAUGCUGUGCGCCGUACUGCUGUUGACAUUGGGAGUUGAUGCUGGAGAAGAAGCAGGCCCUGCAUGCAGAUAUAAGGAAUUAACUCAUCAAUAUGAAGAGCAUUAGUCAAUGUUUUCUAGCAAGUAGGGACAAGUACACAUUGUGUGUGUGAAUAAGUUGAGGGAAAUAAUCGGUAGAAAGUUCACUAUGUUGAAUAUAAAUAUUAAAAAACUAUUCUCUGGAUGCUUAAGUUUUUGGAGAACAACGGUUGUUUUAUAUUCUUUAACAUGGCAUCAGAGCAGAGCAGAAGGUUUUGAGUUCAAGUCCUAUUAGAUUCCUAGUAAAUUAAAUAUAAAUAUUAAAAAAAAGCUUAAGUUUUUGGAGAAUAACAGUUGUUUAUAUAAUUUAACACACUAUACCUUCUAUAUGUGAAGAAUUUACAUGUGGAUGGGUGGAUAAUCCCUUUGGAGUUGAUGCAGCAGGAAUACUGUGUGACGUACUAUUGUCGACAAUGGGAGAUAAUGAUGGAGAAGAAGCAGGCCCUGCAUGCAACAUUUAAGAAAUAACUCAACGAUAUGAAGAGCAUUUGUGAAUAUUCUCUAGAAAAGUAAGGAUAAAUAUAACCUUGUAGAUGUGAAUAAGUUGAAGAGGAUAAAUUGGUAGAAAGUUCUUUACCUUUUAUACGGGAAGAAUUUACAGGUGAUGAAUGACCGGAUGAUUCUUUUGGAGGUGCUGCAACUGGAAUGCUGUGUGUCGCACUAUUGUUGAAGUUGGGAGUUGAUGAUGGAGAAUAAGCAGGCCCUGCAUGCAAUAUAUAAAGAAUAACCCAUCAAUAUUAAGGGAUUAGUCAAUAUUUUCUAGGGAAGUAAGGAUAUAUUGUUGAUGUGAAUAAGUUGGAGGAGAUAAAUUGUUAGAAAGUUCAUUCACCUUUUAUACGGGAUGAAUUUACAGGUGGCGAAUGACCGGUCGAUUCGUUGGGAGGUGCUGCAACUGGAAUGCUGUGUGUUUUACUAUUGUUGACAUGCGGAGUUGAUACCGGAGAAGAAGCAGGCCCUGCGUGCAACAUUUAAGAAAUAACUCAACAAUAUGAAGAGCACGUGUGAAUAUUCUCUAGAAAUGUAAGGAUAAAUAUAACCUUGUAGAUGUGAAUAAGUUGAAGAGGAUAAAUUGUUAGAAAGUUCAUUCACCUUUUAUAGGGGUUGAAUUUACAGGUGGCGAAUGACUGGUCGAUUCGUUUGGAGGUGCUGCAACUGGAAUGCUGUGUGUUGUACUAUUGUUGACACGGGGAGUUGAUACUGGAGAAGAAGCAGGCCCUGCAUGCCAUUAAAAAGGAAAACUCACCAAUAUGAAGAGCAUUAGUCAAUAUUCUCUAGAAAAGUGAGGAUAAAUAUAGCCUUGUGGGUGUGAAUACGUUGAAGUAGAUAAAUUGGUAAAAAGUUCAUAUACCUGUUAUCCGGGACGAAUUUACACGUGACGAAUGACCGGAUGAUUCUUUUGGAGGUGCUGCUACUGGAAUGCUGUGUGCCGCACUAUUGUUGAAAUUGGGAGUUGAUGCCGAAGAAGCAGCAGGCCCUGCGUGCAAUACAUUACAAGGAAUAACUCAUCAAUAUGAAGAGCAUAAGAACACAUUCUCUAGUAAGGAUUUAUAUAUAUAUUUUAAAAAAACUCUAGUAAAGAUAGCCAUACCUUGUAAAUGUGAAUAACUUGGAGGUGGCAAACUAGUAGAAGGUUCCUUUGGAGGCGAAGCAAUUGGUGAGCCAUACCUAUUCCCAUGGAAGCGAGAAGCGUUUGAUGCAGGUGCUGUCCGUCAAAUGUUAAUGCAGAAUCAACAUAGAAAAAUAAGCCAGAGAAUUUAAUCUUUUUGAAAUUGACACCUUUUGGGUGAAAAUUUUCUUUUGGAGUAAUUGGUGGUGUAACUUUUAUGGUGGGGCAGAAAUUGGCACACUAUUCCUUUCUCUAAUAAUAGUUGGUGAAGUAGCUGACAUCGAAGAAAAGCCAAGGGUUGUAUCACAAUCAACUACCCCUGUUAAGUAUUCAUUUCCACUUCUACAAUUAUAAACUAUGGAGAAGAAUACCAUUCGGCGUGGAACUAUUAAUUGGGGAUAUUUGGCUAGAUGAUUCAUUCGGGGGUGGUGCGACUGAAACAUCACUACCAUUUCGACUUAUUGGAGGAGUGAUAGGUGUCGGAGGAACUGCCGGCCCAGCAAACAAUACACCAAGUUAUUUAAACUUAAAAAGAGGUAGAACUAGCAUGCUAAUUUAAGAAAGAUGUCACAAAUAACAAGCACUGCUGGCGAAAUGCUUACACUGGUUAUUUGUAGUAUGCGGCGAAUCUGGUGUCGGAGAUGGCGCAUGUCCAAAAAAAGCCGGUAUAGGAGGUUGAGGAGGUGGCAAAACUGGUAGAAAUAGUUAGAUUCAAGAAUUAAGUAUCGUGCCACAGGGGGCUUGCGUGCAGCCUGUGGCACAAAACAUGCCACGGCACGUGCCAUGGCAUGCCCUGCACCAUUGGUGCACUAUGAUGUGACAGUGACACAAUUUUUGAGUGUUUUAUUCUUUUUUUAACUUAAAUCAUUUCAUUCCAAAGAUCAUCUGUAAAACAUAUGAUUAUAAAAGCAUUCCUAUCCCACCAAAUAGAAGGCAAAAAGGGGAUAGUCCCUUUGUACCAUGCCGGUCGGCAUGGUUGGCACAUAAAUCCCGCGUUAAGUCAAUAAUUUACCGCAUGCUACGGUGCUGCACUGUUAUUAACCAUACCUUUGUUUCUUGGUACUGAGACUGGAGGACUAAUCUUUGGUGCUUCUCCAUUUCCAGUACGCGCAGAUGGUGGAACCGCAUAGGAAGGAGAAAGAUCGUGGGCUAAAAAUGAGAACCAAAAAGAGAAAAAGAUCAUUUGGGAUUUGUGACGAUUAAAGAAUACCAAAUAGUCAAAGAUAGGAAUUUACAACUGGGAAGACUUGACGACGGGCUUUCAUACGGUGGAGCACUUGGCUGCGCUGAUGAUAUCACUGCUUGAACAGCGGGGGGAAAUACGUCAGAAGUAUGUGGAAAUCCAGAGGGAGGAAUAGUUGGAGGUUGAAGCGGAAGAGGCAGUGAAACUGACGCAGAAACCAUAAAUGAAAUUAGAUCAAGUUUGAUAGUAUUGCUCACCAUUACUAAGUGAUGGUAAUCAAUUAACCUUCUUUACUUGGAGCUGGGACUGAAGAAUUAGUAUAUGGUGCUUCUCCAUGAAAAACUGGCUUAGGAGAAAGAUUAUUUUCUGUAAAUUGGAGAGGGAAAGAAAUUUGAUCAAGUUUGAUACAGUAUUAAACUUUAUCAGAUUGUCUCAAAAUUUCAAGAAGCAUAUCCUUAAAUUUUACCUUUAACGGGAUUACCCUCAGACGUCGUGGCUGGAGCAGGUGCAUAUUCUUUUGGUGGUUCUUUAAAAUACACAGGACUGGAUGCUUCGUCUUUCGUAUGAGGAACUGAAGAGGACACGUAUGGGGGUGGGGAUACAUCAAAAUCUGCAUUGAAUCCAACAGAAAUUACGUAGUGAUCCUUCUAAAUAAAAAAUAAACAAAUAAACUGAAAUGGAUUUUUAGUAUGAACCUAAGUUUCUCGGCGGUGGAGAAAUUGAUGGAGCAACCAUAUUUGAGGGAUCAAGUAUCUCAGUUGUGUUAUUUGUUGGAGGCGCAUUUGUCAAGGGUAGCAGUGUCCUUCGAGCAAGCAAGUGCAGUUCUAAUGGUUUUGAGAGUUGUACUACAAAAAUAUUAAGCAUAAUGUAUUAGCAGUUUCAUCUUUUAAGCUCAAAAAAGUGAACCGUAGUGCAAUUCCGACCACAACAAAAGAGCACAUAAGAGAGCACAUGGCACAUAUCCAGUAGAUAAGAAUUACAGUUCAUGAACUCACAGAAACAACGACCAAAAGCACUUACACUUUUAAUUGACAUUUUCAAGGCCCAACAAUGAAGUCAUAUUGCUUUCCAAAGAACAAGCUGAAAACAAUAUAGAAUAUAUGUACAUAUAAAUAUAUAUAUAUAUAUAUAUAUAUAUAUAUAUAUAUAUAUAUAUAUAUAUAUAUAUAUAUAUAGAGAUGUAUAGAACUCUUUGUCCUCAUAAGUAGUUUUCAAUGAUGGAGCUUCCAUUAAAUAUGAUAUAAAGCAUUUGAAACUUAUAAAAAAUGAAUCCGUAAUUUUUCAAAAUUAUAAUAAAAUCCAUCAAGCGGGCAUAAAAUGAAUAGUAAAAACUGAACGAUCUCCUACAAAUGGAUGAUCAGAUCCUUUAAUUUAAGAUCGGAGUUAUUGAUCUAUAUCUAGAUUAUGAAUAGAAUUUUCUAUCAAAAAUUCAAUCAAUUCUGAUUCUUUUACACCGUUAAACUAGAAAGUAUCCCAUACAAGCCAUUAAAAAUUAUCAAUUUUGAGAUCUUCUGAUCCUGAGGUAAAUAAUGUCAAAAAAAUAUGAAAAUUUGAUUUCUAGAAGUUUCAAAUGCCUUAAAUCAUGUUUAACGGUAUGGAUCGUCAAUUCGAAAGUUUUAUCAUCGAAAACAAUUUAUGAGUACGAAGAUGAUCGUGCUUACAAGAGAACAGUAGCUGGACUCUAUAUAUGUAUAUAUCUCUUCUGUAACACAACAGUUUCUCGCUAUUUUUCAAGCCAUAUCCUAACAUUGUUUCCCCUAAAGCACAAAGUCAACACUGAGAAGGCUCUCAAAAGAAUUGACAAAUUUUGUCAAUGAGCUGUCAUCCACACAUCAGCACUCAAGAAAGCAGCGGAAGCAAAUUCGGCAAGACGGAGGCUCACAACAAAACUAAAAGCCAGUCAGCCAAUAGAACACUCUUCAUUGGUUCUUUCAUGUUUAGCUUAUGUAGUGAAGAAACACUCACCGAAAUUUACAACAACUAAAAUUAAUGCCAUAUACAUUUCACAGCAAUGUUUAACUAGCAUGUGGUUCGAUUUUGUAGCCUGUAUACAUUAUACUGUCAUAGAAUAACCCACUGACGGAAAUUGGCCUACUCAGUUAAUUUAUGGUUGAAUGGUUACCCAUAAAAUCUGAUGCUACUUGUUAUUUAAACCUAACCCUGUAAUUCCGCAUGUAUGGGAUUUCCCUGAACAUAGUCCUUAUUAUCAGCCAAUAGAAACCCCAAACAACUCAGACAAUUUACUUCUAAUGCUUAGAGCCACUUGAAAUAAACCUUAAUUCCUAGAUAUCAAAAUGAAAAAUCAACGUUAUUCUGGGAUAUAUCAAAUUCAAAGCAAUAUCAUCUCCAUACAUUCCUCGUUCUUUAGAGGAAUGUUUCCAAUAAAUAAGGAUUCGUUCUUGCAUAUUUUUACUAGUUUUCCAAAAGUAAUCCAUGUCCCGAUCAAACCGGAUUUCCCUAUUAUUUUUCUAAUCACACCAACCCUACAAAUAUACAAAUAGCUUAAUCUAUAGAAAGACCAAGAGGCUCGAUCAAACUGGUUGGCCACCGUGAUCAAUCGGCCAAACGCAUAUCCGGUGUUCAGAUUUAAGCUUCCCAUUUUCUCUAGGAUUGAUAUUGCCUCACUACGCCGCGCUAAUACUACAUCAAAAAGUCCAAUUAUAUAAUAUUUCAUCACGGUUUUUUAAUACUUUAAAAGAUUUUAGAGACGAACAGUUGUUUCACACGGUAUCCGACCGUCGGAGGUCCCAAGAUCACUUUUUUUCACAAGUUCUUAGUUUGAUUUAAUUCAAGCCCAUGUCAUAUUAGAGAAAACUAGAGAAAUGAAUGGCUGUCUAAGAUGAUAAGAUCAACAAAAUCUAAAAACAUCCUCAGAAACUAACAUGGCAACAAAUGGAACUUAUUCAGAUCAUGUUUGUAAGCAUUUUUGCUACCUCCGGGGCCUCGGAUCGCGACGAGAACAAGAAGGAGAACGCCUACAACAGAUGGGCAAAGAAUCAUCAUCAUCCGCCGCCGCCGCCGCCCCAUGCCGCCGCUCCCUCUCUCAUAAUCCAACCCCCUCAGCCCCCCCACAAACUCGCUAAAAACCGAAGAACAUGGACGGAUUUGAUGAACCCACCAGGAAAAACCACUGGAACGAUCCCAAAGGAGUCAAAUUUAAGCAAACCCAUGCAAGGAACCACCAAUUCACAUACACAAAUGUAAAAGGCUAUAAAGAAAGAAGGGGAAAACAAGAAAAGGAUUGAGAUGAAUUUAAAGCAAACCCAUGUGAGGAAACAUCAAUUCAUGUCCAAAGGAAACUGUGGAGAAGAGCUUCUCUCUUCUGGGGGUGAUGAACAGCAAAAAAAGGGCUACAAAGUACAAAGAAAGAGGGGGAGGGGGGAAAGGGGGGGUGUAUGUGUUGGGUUGGGAAAUGAGAGGGGUGGGGAAAUGAGGGGGUGGAGUGCAUAAAAGCCUUGUGUAGUGGGAAGGGGCCAACUCUUCUCUCCUAACUUUUAGAUUCUGUGCUAUGCUUGCAUCUUGGACUCACUUUGAUAGAUUGAGAGAGAGUGAGAAAGAGAGAGAGGACACAGAGGAGACUACUGUUUUAGAGAGAGAGAGAGGGGACAGAGGGGAGUUGAUAUAUAUUUAAUAUAAUAUUCAGAGGUUGUUGAACUUGAACACAGGCAGCAGAGGUCCAACACAGGGGGGUACAAAGUUAUUCAAGGCCUCUUUUCUGUUUAGUGGAGCUUUCUGGUUGGGUGUUUGGUGGGGUUGCACUGUUAAAUUUAUUAUUAUUAUUAUUAUUAUUAUUAUUAUUUUGAGAGGAAGAUUGCACGUUAUUUGUUACGUUUGCAAAGCAGCUACAUUUUGAAUUUGGGACUUUGGCUUUAUUUAGGAUUGCGAGAAGAUUGCGUUGAGAAAGUACGCUGUAAAAAUACUAUAUUUGUGUCCGUACGUAAUAUUACGUUCCGCAUAUCGUGAUGAGUCGGUUACGAUAUAUUUUUCGCGGUCCCAGUGGAGAACGCAGAAGCAUAUCCCUAUAUGCUUUUUCCACAACUCCAUUUUAUCUAAUAGCGUUAGAUAGGCCUCAAUACCAAACUAAGCCUUAGAUACCAACCACCUGCCCUUCUACCACUUGCACUAUGGACGGUUAUUCUGUUAUGUUUAUUAUUAUUAUUAGAGAAAUCCUUAGUUUACAAAAAUCUUUGAGGAUUGCAAACUUGCAAUCUUGACAACUCUCAAUUUUAUAUUAUUUGAGAGAAAGGUCGCAUGCUAUUCGUUUCGAUUUAUUUUUUAAAAAUAAAUUUAACUAAAAAUGUAAAAUAACUAUAUUUCGAACUUGGGACCUCAGAUAUCAACCACCGACUCUUUUGCUACUUGGACUAGGGACGGUCGUUCUGUUACGUUUAUUAUUACUUGAGAAAUCCUUAGUUUACAAAAAUCUUUGAGGGUUGCAAUCUCGACAACUCUCAAUUUUAUAUCCAAUUUUUAGUGUAUAUAUAUAUAUAUAUAUAUAUAUAUAUAUAUAUAUAUAGAACAUGGCGCUGCUGUGCUCUAAGGAGCACGGUGGCCUCCGUGCUCCUGAGCCGUUUUCGAUGAUUGGAGUUUCCGAAUCGACGAUCGCUCCGUUAAGCUUGAUCUAGCUUAUUUGAAGUUUCUAGAAAAUAAUUUUUGCGAUUUUUCGAUAUCAUUUACCUAGCAAUCGAAAGGAUUCAAAAUCAAUAAUUUUUAACGGCUGAAAAUAAAAAUCCUAUAAAAAGUGGUGAUAUAGCACUAAAAUUUUCGAUCAGAAAUAUUGAUCUUUUUAUAGAUAGUAUAAAGAAUUUUCUAUCAAAAUUUCAUCUGAUUUGAAUACUUCUACACCGUUAAACUUGAAUACGGCAAAUAUCAACCAUUAAAAAUUAUGGAUUUUGAAUCCUUUCGAUCACUAGGUAAAUGAUAUCGAAAAAUCGCAAAAAUUAUUUUCUAGAAACUUCAAAUGCGCUAGAUCAAGUCUAACGGAGCCGAUCGUCGAUUCGAAAAUUCCAUCAUCGAAAACGGCUCAGAAGCACGAAGGCCUCCGUGCUCCUGAGAGCACAGCAGCCCUGCUCUAUAUAUUAGAAACGAAUAGCAUGCUGAAGCAAGUUCUUACUUCUUGGCCAGGUCCAGUAACACUAGCCUUUUGCUGUGUCAAUUUUCUAUGAUUGUUAUUCUUUAGUAGGUGAUUAUUUAUGGUGACUCCCUCAAGUAUCGGUUAUUUUGAAAUAACCCCUUCAAACUUUAUUUUUUGAUUGAUAGCCCUCAACUUUUAUUAUUUUUUAAAAUGAGUAAUUUUAGCCAAAAUAUAGAAAGAUUCUACCAAAUAUAUUGACAACUUUACUGAAUUUAAUGGCUUUUAUUGUUUUUUAGCCAAUAAAACAAGGGCAAUUAACUGUUAGUAAUUAAUAUGUUAGAACAAAUACCGCAACGAAAAUCUGAUUGUGAUUAAUAUUUAACUAAUUUUGUAAUAAGAAUAAAAUCAAACUUACAGAUAAACGCAAAUAUCCAAAUAAUAAUUUGAUCUUAUCCGGAAGCGUGCGAGGCACUGCCCUAAGGCGUAUUUCCGUCCUUACGUGCGGGAUUAACCGAAAAUAACACCCCAAGAUACGACCGGAAUUCCUCCUCCUGCGAGCACGAUCGUGAAGGAGGUUGACGAAGAUUCUCAACACCCAGUGGAUAAGGGGAAUGUUCAAAAAUAAAAGAUAAAAGAAUAAAUGGAUAGAGAUUAACCAAUGAUCAAAAAUCUUUUCUGCCUGCUCUAUCUUGNUAUUAUGAAAAUAACCAUCUAAUAAAUUUAUGUCCCAAAAUAAUUUACCUCCCAAUCUUAGAAUUUGCAAAAUUCGUUUCCAAGAUGAACACUAGGAUAAAAUCACGAGAGCAAUUAUAAUAUCAAAAUUUAUCAAACUGAUAAAAGAGUAACCCCGACAAGUUCUGAAAUAUACUAAAAAUUUAAAAAUUAUAAAAUUUAAUCAUGUUUAACAAAAUUCGGUUCAACAACAAAUAGAUUGCAGAAACAAUUUUAAAAUAUUUGAUUUUAAUUAGGUAAUUUGUUUGCAAACAAUAUAUUGCAAGUAAUGUAUAAAAAUAUUAAAUACAAUCAGCAAAAUUAUCACAAUAACUGUGCUAGCUCUUGUAUAUUCAGUCGUGCUAAGAAGUUAGAUAGUUGUGAUAUUAAAUCCAACAAAUGGAGUUUGCAAUGACAGCAACAAUAAUAAAAAAAAAAUGCAAUAGUAUUAAUACUGCUUGUUAGGUGAUCUCGCUCAAAAACUGUGCCUUUAGAAAGUGUAGGUUGAAAUCCCACUUGGAGCAAAAUGUUUAAAAUUAAUUUUGCAGCAGCAACAUUUUUUUUUUUUUUUUAAUUAGCAAAGGAUUUUACUGUAGCAAACUUUUAAACCGUACACUAUAAAAAAUAAUUUUACAGUAGCUUUUUUUUUUUAAAAAAAAAACAAAUUUAAAACACCCUAAAGCAAAUAAGAGAAUAUAAUAAUUGAUAAUUAAACUGUAUGCAUUUUUAGCAAGUAAAUUAUAUGCAAUUGAAUUUGAAAAUACUAAUUCUAAUUUAUUUAAAUUAGAAUGACAAACAUACAAUCAAAUUUGUCAAACAAAAAUAAUACGCAAUAUCUUUCUAUUUUAAGCGAAAUAAUAAUUAAACCACAUACAUGAGUGUGCUAGUCUCCAACAGCAGUGUAGCGCAAGGGCGACAUGAUAAAAUCCCAGUAACAAGCUAUCAUGGAUGGACACUCCUCCACAAAAAUUAAUUUAAUAUCGAGAUUGGCACGUAGCCCAUAUAUAUCAGAUAUUAAACUAAUAGGAACAGAUAUUACACUUCUCUGAAAAUUAUAAAUUUAAUUAGAACUCUGAAUUAAUUGAACAAUUAGAUUUGAUUCAGCAGACCAAAUGCGGCAGAUGUGAACUUUGUUAAAUAGUGCACAAAAUUACAAGCCAUUAAAUUCUAACUUUUUUUUUAAAGAGCUUUUACUGUAGCAACAACUCAAAAACCAUACACAGUAAAGAUUAAUUUCACUGUAGCAAAAAAAUAUUAUUAUUAUUAUUAUUUUUUUAAAAUAUAGACAAACAGUGAAAACUAUAUAUAAUCCAUAAUGUCCGUACCUCUUUUUUCCCAAAAGAGCUACAGUAAAGGCAAUUUUUUUUUUUAAAAAAAUACUCAUCAAAUAAAAUGUAAUUUAAACAAGAAAUUACAAAAUAUGCAAUUAUAGGUUAAAGUGCUAAUCCCAAAAAAAAUUAUAUUUAAAUGCCAACAAACAAAUUAACAAACAAAUUAUAUACGUAUAAAAUUAAUUUAAUACGGAUUAACAUCCGUUAGAUUUUAACCACAAUCAAAUUGAAAAUACGCCUUAGAUUGUUAGAACAAAUACCGCAACGAAAAUCUGAUUGUGAUUAAUAUCUAACUAAUUUUGUAAUAAGAAUAAAAUCAAACUUACAGAUAAACGCAAAUAUCCAAAUAAUGAUUUGAUCUUAUCCGGAAGCGUGCGAGGCACUGCCCUAAGGCGUAUUUCCGUCCUUACGUGCGGGAUUAACCGGAAAUAACACCCCAAGGUACGACCGGAAUUCCUCCUCCUGCGAGCACGAUCGUGAAGGAGGUUGACGAAGAUUCUCAACACCCAGUGGAUAAGGGGAAUGUUCAAAAAUAAAAGAUAAAAGAAUAAAUGGAUAGAGAUUAACCAAUGAUCAAAAAUCUUUUCUGCCUGCUCUAUCUUGAGCAAGAAGAAAAGGAAAAAGACUUAAAAAGGAAAGAGGAUUUUACGUUUUUUCUCUUACGAGAAAGAAGCGGAACCCGCCCAACGUAACGCGAAAGAAACGGAACGGAAAAAAUUCCGUUAGUUUCUUUCUCAUUAAGAAAGAUAAUAAAAUAAUUAAAUAAAAUAAAAUAAUUAAAGUAAUAAAUAAAUAAAAUAAUAAAUAAUAAAACAUCAAAGUGCAAAUAAAAUAAAUUCAAACUCAAAAGUUUGAGUUUUCACCAACAUAAUAAAGUCACUAAAUUUGGGUAAGGAACUAGAUCAAAAAAAAAAAGAAAAAAGAAAAAAAAAGAAGUUAAUCUAGGCUUGUAAUUCUCUUUACUUUUCUCUAUUUUUUAGGCGAUUGUGCAUGAAAACCCACCAUAAAUAUUUCAUAUACAUCUAUUCUUGAUCAUUAGUCGCAUUAUGUGACUAUUGAGCAGAACCCAACCUUCGAAUGAGUCAGGUGUAGGAUCUAUACCUACAUUUAGGGGCCGUUUGAUUAGAUGUCGUUACAAAAUAGUGUAGUUGAAAGUACAUACAGUUAUGAAUGCUGCAGUCAUAACUAUACUUAGUCUAUUUGGUUUUAUACAGUUGCAUCUGCUGCAAUUACAUUUCUUCUAUUUGGUAGUCUGCAGUUGAGAUUUGUAUUUGUAAAUUCUGUCAAAUUUUAGAUAGAAAUGUGAGAUUACCUCUUAUGAGCACAACGUAAUCAUGUUUUAAAUAUUAAUUAAAACUUUUAUAUCUAUAUAUAAUUUAUUUAUUAUAAAAUUAUAUAUAAAUUUAAUAAAUUUUAAAUGUAAAUAUAUUAUAAAUUUGUUCAAAAUAAAAAUUAAGAUAUUAUUAAACUAACAGACUGGAAAAUAAGAAGCGUAUGAAAAAAAUAUAUUGACCGUAAUAGAUAUUACUAACUCCUAUUAAAUUUCAUGAAUAUGUAUUUUUGAAAAAAAAAUAAAAAAAGAAGCGUAUGAAAAAAAAUUACAUUUUAUUUAUUUUUUUAAUGGGUUAGCCGACUCCGACUCAACUGCUGCAGUUGGUAUUACGACCAAUUUGGCUGCAGUACCAACUGCUGCAGUUGGGACUUCUCGUGCAGAUGCAGCUGCAGCAGUUGGGCCUAACUGUACCAAACCAAAUAAAAAAUUAAUAGAUGAAUGCAUUUUCAACUGUAAUAUAGUUGAAAAUAUAUGCAACCAAACAACCCCUUAUAUGUAUUCCUAACUUUGCUCUUUUGGGACCCUCAACCUUAUUUUUUUUAACUAAUUAACACUUUCUCUAAUAUUUUGUUCAAGCUAUUAUAGCUCAUAAAAUUAAAAUUUUAAAUUUAAUAAUUAUGUUAAUUGUAGCAAUUAAUUACUCUAAUUUGAUUUAUUUAAAAAAUAACUCAAAUUACUAAUGGUACAAUUAUCGAUAAAAUCUAAUAAAAAAUUAAAUUUUUAUAUAGUGCAGCGAAUUCUAACAUUCUAAAUUUCUUAGGUUUUUUUUUAGAAAAAAGUAGAGCAGCGCGAUAAUUAUCCACUACAUUUAAAAAAAUAAUAAAUUUAGUUGGAAAUACAAAGUAACUAGGAUUUGAACUUGGAAGUCUCGUAUAGCAAUUAUUAUUCAGUGAGAUGCAAAAUAAAAAUUACAAUAACUUUUUAUUGAAAAAAGGGUAAACUUCAAAUUCGACCUAUGCGGUUUCGCGCUUUCUCACUUUAAUAUCUUGUGGUUUAAAGUGUAUCAAUUUAAUACUCUGUGGUUUCAUUUUUUUUCUUAUGUUAGCCCGUCCGCUAACUUUCGUUAAAUUAUACACAAAAAACUUCAGAUAUCCCAUCUAUAGUUUAUCGAAUAUUCACUUUAAUACCUUUCUUAGUUUUACCUUUGUCACGGAUUUAAUGAAAAAAAAUUAGUUAAGGAAAUAACAAAAAGAGAAAAAUAAAAGGGGUUUUUUUGCAUUUAGCCCCCUAGUAAAUUUUUAUUUUAAAAAUAGCCCUAUCAAAAUUUAAUUUGCAAAAAUAGCCCUGCACCUGCCACGCAGGCGCCACGUCAGCGCCACGCGGGCUGGGCAUGGGCCAGUGUAUUAAGUUAAACACGGUGAACCAUUCACCGUGUUCAAACACGGUGAAUGGUUCACCGUGUUUAGUACGUAUUUUUUCCUAGAAGAAUAGGGAGUUAGGGAUGUUAAUGGGGUAUGGAUAUCCAAAAUAUUAUUCGAACCUAAACCCGAAUAAAUUAUAUAUAUACAUAACUUAUUUUUAUUUAUUUAUACAAUAUAUAAAAUAUCUAAUAAUUUUUAUUUCUUAGAUCUUCAUCAAUCCAAUGGUAUAGAUUUUUAAAAUUAUUAGAUAUUUUAUACCGUUGGAUUGGAUGAAGAUCUAAGAAAUAAAAAUUAUUGGAUAUUUUAUAUAUUGUAUAAAUAUGUAAAAAUAAAUUAUGUAUAUAAAAUAAUUUAUUCGGGUUUAGGUUCGAAUAAUAUUUUGAAUAUCCAUACCCCAUUAACAUCCCUAACUCCCUAUUCCUCUACAAAAAAUACGUACUAAACACGGUGAAUCAUUCACCGUGUCUAAACACGGUGAAUGAUUCACCGUGUUUAACUUAACUACCGCCCCCAGCCCCGCCCGCGUGGCGCUGACGUGGCGCUUGCGUGGCAGGAGUAGGGCCAUUUUUGCAAAUUAAAUUUUGCUAGGGCUACUUUUAAAAUAAAAAUUCUUCAGGGGGCUAAAUGCAAAAAAAGCCCAAAAUAAAAUUAUAGGAUAUGAAAAUGAUACAUUUUAAACCAUAAGAUACUAAAGUAAGAAAAUGUGGAAGCCACAAGAGUAGAACUUGAAAUUUUGUUUUAAAAAAAAUAUUUUUUAAAAGAAUAUGUUUUUGAUGAUUUAACCAAUAAAAUAAUUUUUUAUUCAAAAUUUAUUCUCACUUAGCUACUAGCUUUUGGGGUUGAUCCUCUAUUCCUCUUUGGACAUAACCCCUUUGACACGCACACAUUGUAGUGCUAAUUCUUCUUCUUUUUCCUAUUUUAAUUGCCUCUUUUGUUCUUAGCGUGCCAAAAAAAGUAGAAAAGAGUGGCCACUUUCAACAAAUGUUCUUCUAUAUAAUAAACAAGGGUUAAUUGCAUACAGUUUCCUGCAAAUAUAAUAAAUUAUAAAUAUAUUCCUAUAAAGUUUAGUUUUUAUAAAUUAUUUCUGCAAAAGUCCUAAUAUUUUUAGAUAUGUCACUGCCAUUAGAAUCCAUUAAAAAAGUUUAGAUAAUUAUAGGUUAAAUACUUUACCCCGGUUAAUUUUUGACAUUUUUACCCCCCUUAUAUUAUACUGUUAUUACUUUUGGAGACACAUAUUUGUGAUGGAAAAAUUGAAAAUAUAAAUAAUUUUCUGACGGUUCUCUAACGAUAACAAAUCAGAGGGACAUAUAAAAAUAUUAGGACUUUUGUAGGGAUAAUUUAUAAAAAUUAAACUUUACAGAAAUAUUUUUAUAAUUUAUUAUAUUUACAGGGACCUGUAUGCAAUUAAUCCAAUAAAGAAACUAAAAAGGUGCUAUUAAUGGCAAAAGCCUUUUUUUCAUAUCCUUUUUUGAAUAAAAAAUAGGGAAAGUGCUUUCCUAUGCAUCAUCUUAUCUAAAUAAAACAUAGAUAAAUAUUUUGCGCGAAUAAUAAUAUUAGAAUAAAAAUAUGGUGGAAUCUAGCUUUUAGAUCGUUCAUAGUAACGAGUUUUCUUAUCUUUAACAUACAAGCACAUAAUAUCUAUAUUUUUUUUGGAUGGAAAUUAUAUUAUAAUAUUUUCCAGCAGUCUCUUUCUGCAGCAAAAUCAAAAGCAUCGAGUUAGAAGCAAAAACUUUUUCUUUUUGGAGAAAAAAUAGCGAGCUAUCUGUUUCAUUCAAUAAGAAUAAUGAACUUAACAUACGGGGUGGAAGCAGCUUGGGCUUUUGAAGAAAACAGAGAAACAAAAAUACGAGAAAAAAGAAGAAAAAGAGCAAAAAAAAAAAGGGGGGGGGGGGAGGGAUUGGGUCAAUGGUCAGUUUAACAUGCUCCAACGGCCACGAAGGGUUGUGGAAUAAUGCACGGAAGAUGAUAUUGUUUCUCUCUGUCUAAACCNUCUUUUUGGAGAAAAAAUAGCGAGCUAUCUGUUUCAUUCAAUAAGAAUAAUGAACUUAACAUACGGGGUGGAAGCAGCUUGGGCUUUUGAAGAAAGGGAAGAAAGUACAAGAGGAGAAAAAAAGAAAAAAUGAACUAAAGAAAAUAGAGACAGAGACGAGGGAUUGGGUCAAUGGUCAGUUUAACAUGCUCCAACGGCCACGAAGGGUUGUGGAAUAAUGCACGGAAGAUGAUAUUGUUUCUCUCUGUCUAAACCACCCACCAGAUUGCCAACAAAAAGGUUAAACCUUUUAUUCUCGUUACAGUGUCAGUUAGUUCAGAUGUUGUGAUCAACAAUCCUUGUACGUCGACCGAGUCCUCUGCUAGAACUUCCGAACCAUCCUCGCAUAGGAGAAGAUAUUUAAUGAACACACAAUUACAUAAGAGGUGAUCGCAGAUUUCCUCACUGACCACACAGAAAACGCAGUGUUGCACCACUAUCCGACCUUGUUUGAGUAGCCUAUCAGCAGUAAGAAUUCUUUUGCGUAAAAGCAACCAGGUGAAAACUUUGAUUUUAACCGAAAUUUUCAGACACGAGAUAUGUAAACUCAAUGGGUCUGUUUGUCUGUGGAAUCUUUUUGUCUUUAAACAUAGUUAGAAGCACACUUAAAUUUUUGUUCUUUUAUUCCAACACCACCACAAUAAGACUGGUGCAGUGAGAAUCAGAUAUAUCAUAUUAGACUAAAUUCCAUCAAUAAAUAAUAAUUAGAUAUAGUAAACUUAACUAUCUAUUAAUGAUAAAUAUUGUUCCUUUAGUGGUUAAUAAAAUUAAUAAUGAAGAAAUUACCUAAUUUGACUGUAUUGAUAUUUAGUAUUGAAGCCUUGAAACAUCUUAUAUUUUAUCUCCAUCUUAAUUCAGAAAAAUGCUUCUUGUAUACUCUAUAAAUAGGUUGUACAUUUUACAUCCACCAAUCUGAAGAGCUCAAAAACUCGGUAUUUGAUAAAAAAUAUGAUAAAAUUAACCCAAAAAUAUUAGUGUUUGGAUGGCUAAGAUGGAAGAUCUACAUUUUAUUAAUAGGUAUAGAGUAUUGUUACUUGUGUUUGGUUCAAAUGUAAUCAAAUGACAUGUAUGUGGAUAAAUGUUUAGUUAGUUCGAUACUUUCACUUGUGGUUAUGUUGUUGUUUGCCUUCGUGCAAACCUUGUAUAUCUUGCAAUCUCCUUGUUGACUUGCCUGUAAUAUACAUGUUGUUGGUGCCUUGGGCGGACAGGGAGGUGCUGUCCGUUCGACGUCUGUUCGCGUGCCCAAAUCGACCAAAUUGGCUUCCCCCGGGGCGUGACAUAUAUGGUGGUAUCAGAAGCAGUGUUUGGAUUGGGGAUAAGGGGUUAUUCCUCCCCUUAUCCCACCCUCUAUACCCAAACCCAAAUUUUUUAUCCGAGAAUAGUAGUUCUCGGUUAUCUAAAAUAACCUGGUAUAACUAUCCCACCAACACAUCCAUUUUCUAUAUAUAACUACCCACUAUUUUUCUUAUUCUAUAUUAUCUAUCCAAACGCUAUUUUUCUUAUUCCCGAAAAUAACCCAAUUUUCAUCCAAACGCUAUUUUUCUUAUCCUCAUACUUAUACCUAUCUCUAUAAUAACUAAUUCUUGCUUAUACCUGAACCAAAUGCUACGCGGCCGACUUACACUUUUGGUCCUCAAACUAUGAGCCAUGUGACAUUUGGACAAAUUAUAAUUUACUGCAAUUUGUUGCUCAAGCUUUUGAAAUUAUUGCUAUCAAAUUUCACAACUUAAAUUAAUUGACUAAAUAUUAAUGUGUCGCUAAUAUAAAAGUAAUGUGGCAGCAUUGUGAUUGACAAUACGACAAUAAUUAAAAUAUCGCAUUAAUUUCAUCUCAGUUAUACAUCAAUAUAUAGUCAAUUAAAUUGGGUUCUGAGAUUCGACACCAAUAAUUUAGAAAAAUCGACCUAAAAAUUGCAAUAAAUUAAAGUUUAAACACCAAAGUGUCACCACCCUCAUAGUUUGAGGACCAAAAGUAAAUUAAAUAUGUAGCAAUUUUUUUCGUUAAUAAAUGGGAGAGAAACCUUCCACAGACUUAUAUUAAAGAAAAAUAAAAGUUACCAGUACAGAGCACCACCCAAAUGGAGUGUUUCACCAAUAAAACCUAAAGAAUAAUAUAUCACUAAAGUACCAAUAAUCACUAAAAUCUAUCACCAAACAAACUGCAAAAGUAAUUACCAAAUAGACCCUAAGAAAAAUAAACAAAAAAAAUUCAAAAAUUAUCAAGAUGCAUCAAUAUCAUGACCGCGAUCCCUUGUUGUUGAGCCAGCAUUUUUUUAAGUUACAAAACAGGCCUUAGAAAAAUAAACAAAGAAAAAUAAAAAAUUAUCAAGAUGCAUUAUUAUCAUGAUCGCAAUCCCUCGUUGCUUUUUUUUUUUUUUGAGAGAGAGAAAGCUAGCAUACUACUCAUUUCGUUUAUUUCUUUUAUAAAUAAACUUAGCUGGAAAUAUAAAUCAUUUAGGAUUCGAACUUGAAAUUUCGGGUAUCAACUGCUAAGCCUUUGUCACUUGCGCUAGAAAUUCUUCGUUGUUGAACCAGCAUUUUUGUAGUUACAAAACAAAACAGGCUCUUAAAAAGGAUAAACAAAAAAAAUUCAAAAAUUAUCAAAAUGCAUCAAUAUCAUGAACACAAUCCCUCGUAGUUGCGCCAGCAUCAUAAUUCCUUCUUCGUCUGAAAAUACAAGAAUUCCUUUUUUUUUCUCUUUACCAAACUAUCUGCUCACAUAAAAGCAAAAUAGUUAAUUAGUUUUCACAAUAACCAAGUCAGAAUCAAACACCUCCUCACCAAACAAUCUAUUGUUGUGUUCUCUUCUAAUACACCAACAAAUAGCCAUGACUGUAAUAUCCCAUUCUUUCAUUUCUCCAUUUCAACAACAUCAGAGGAGAGCGAGGAUUUUAUUUUGUUACGCAAACUUCAAAUACCACUACUGUGGUUUCACACUUUCUCACUUUAGUAUUCUGUGAUUUACAGUGUAUCAAUUUAGUACCCUGUGGUUUCAUUUUUUUCUUUUCGUCAGCUCCUCUGUUGACAUUUCGUUAAAUUAUAUACAAAAAAAUUUCAGGUAUCCCAGCUAGAUUUAUCGAAUAUUUACUUUAAUAUCUUUUAGUUUUAACUUUGUUGCUGAUUUAACAAAAAAAAAAAAAUAAUAGAAUAGAUAAUAAAAAGAAAAAAAACAAAACCACGGGAUACUAAAUUACUACACAGGAGUGGUAUUUGAAGUUUUCUCUUUAUUUUAUAAAUAUGCUUAAAACAAAGCCAUAUAGACCCCACAAACCAACAUGUAAAAACGUUGAGGAUUUUCAUAGACCGGGUCUACUAGAUCAUCCCCUUUUUUUUAAAAAAAGGGAAAACUUCAAAAACCCCCCCUGUGGUUUCAUGCUUUCUCACUUUAGUACCCUGUGGUUUAAAACGUAUCAAUUUGCCCCUCUGUGGUUUCGUUUUUCUCUUUUUGUUAUCAAUUUUAUUAUUAUUUUUUUCUUAAAUCAGUGACAAAGUUAAAAUUAAAGGAUACUAAAGUGAAUAUUCGAUAAAUAUAGAUGGUUAUCUGAAGUUUUUUUGUAUAUAAUUUAACGAAAUGUUAACGAAAAAGCUUCCGAAAAGAUAAAAAUGAAACCACAGGGAGGCAAAUUGAUACGUUUUAAACCACAUGGUAGUAAAGUGAGAAUGCAUGAAACCAUAUGGGGGGUUUUUGAAGUUUUCCCUUAAAAAAAAGGGUAAAAUUAGGUCCGGGCCGGGGCAAAAAUUUCUUCCAGAACCUUCCCACAAUUAGUCAUCUCAAAGAGUCAAAGUGAGGUAUCUGUCUUUGUUGGUUUUGAGAAACUUUCUGCAUCAAGAUUAGAAGAUUGUGUAUGUUUGACUUGGACUGCUCAGAUCUGCUUGUCUCGUUGAGGAGUUUUCAAUCUGCCGUCAUAUGUUAAUUUUGUCUUUAUCUAAAAAUUUAUAUAUAUAUAUAUAUAUACAUAUAUAUUUUUUUACGGAAUUUAAUUUUUGAUUGAAAAUAUCAAAGGAAUCAUUAGAGGAAGAUAAAACUCACGCAUAGUAAUGGAGCGGGAGACUUCCCAAACAGGACGUCGUUGGAGAGCUCUCCACUGAAGUUUUAUCUCAUUUGAAAAAUUAUUUUCAUGAAUUAUUUGAAACAACAUAAUUCUUUUCUUUUUUUUUGUAAAAAUGUAUAGAAAUCAUCUAAACUAUGAAUCUUGUUAAGUCGGUUUAAUUUUACUAUCCAAUCUCUCAAUUUAUUUAAUCUGAGUUAGUCAAUAGUAUUUUGACUUUAAAAUUUAAGCUUAUUACUUGCUUUAGUAAAUUUAUAAUUACGAGAAUUGCAUAACGUAUGCUAAUUAAACCUAUAUAAAGAUAAAUGGUGUAUUCAUAUUUUGAAGUCAAAGUAUCGUUCGCUGGUUAAAAUCAAAUAAAUUGAAAGGUGGGACACCAAAAUUACAAUUUUAAAAGAUUUAAUAGCCAACUAAAAAUUAUUCAUAGUUCAGAUCUUGACAGUUUUUCCGAUUCGGCGAGGCUGCGCCUUAUACAAACAAUACCAUGGGACAAAAUUUUAGAAAAUUCUACCUGUGUAUUACUUACAGGGGUGUAAGAUAAUCUCAAACAUCUAACAGUGGAAAAUAUUUUGAGCGGGAGAUCUCCUACGAUGUCUCAUUUGAAAGCCUCAAUCUAUCAUCAUGCAUCAAUUUUAUCUCUAUCUAAGAGUUAUAUCCUGUACUCUGGGGUUUAAAAUUGUUUUUUAGAUUAUAAUAUUAAAAAACGCCUAACGAAUUAUUUGAUGAAGGUAAAAUUAAUAUAUGACAGCAAAUCAGAAACUUUCCAAUGAGGUGUUGGUAGGGAGUUCCCUACUCAAAUUUUAUCCCCUUUACCUCCAAUUAUGGGUAAAACUACUUUUGGGUUUUAAUCAAAAAAUUUUAAAGAGUCAUGUGACUUAAUAUAAGUCACAAGAUGACUAGGAUGUAAGCUUUGUACCAUACUUAUUGCGUGCAUAGAUAGUGAUGUUGCAAUAUCUUUUAAGUACCAAUAAUAAUUUAUAGAAUGUGUUUAUAAUAAAUCAUAUUGUGCUAUAAGUAAGAUAGAAAAGAGUCCAAUUAGAGAUAAUAUAAUAUNNNUGAUUUUUUUUUUUUGAGAUAAAGGUAGCAUGCUACCUGCUUCGUUUAUUUCAUUUAGAAAUAAACUUAGCUGGAAAUGUGAAUCAACUAGGAUUUAAAUUUGGGUCUCGGGUACCAACCACCAAGUCCUUUAGCCACUUGCGAUUGAACAUAAAAUUAUGAAAUAUCAUUUUCUAUUAGCUAGCUUUAGUCUUUUGUAUAAUUGAUAUUUCUAGGCAUUUGAUAUUUAAAAAAUAAUCUGUUCAAACUGUUGAUAUUAUAUGAAAAGUUGGUGAAAAGAAAAAAAAAAAAAAUGAAUUGCCUCCCUCUACUAUCCUUCAACAUUUAACAUGCAGUUGUUACCCAAAAAAUCGAUCUGAUUAAAAUGAUAAGUUUGGCUUUUUAACAGCAACAACACGAACCGACCGUCCCUAGCGCAAAUGGCAAAAUGACUUGGUGGCUGGUACCCGAGACCCAAGUUCGAAUCCUAGUUGAUUCACAUUUCCAGCUAAGUUUAUUUCUAAAUGAAAUAAACAAAGCGGGUAGCAUGCUACCUUUCUCUCAAAAAAAAAAAACAGCAACGACAUGACUACAUAGAGAGACCGUUUGAUAUAGUAUAAUUAGAAAUACAGUAUAGUUGAAAAUAUAAUAGUUACAACUACAUAUAUCUCGUUUAGAUGAAUGCAGCAGAAAGUGUGACAAUUUAUAAAUAAUUUAUUUGGUUAUAUUUAUGUAGUUGAGAAUUAAGUUUCUAAAAUUUUAUCACUUAAUAUAUAUGAUAGUGAAUAUUUUUUAUUAAAAAAUAAGUAAGUAGCCAAGCUUACCUCGUAUUUAAAUUACUAUUUUCAACUGUAGCAAUUGAAACUUGCAUUCCACAAAACGUCGAAUUUAGAUUCGUAUACAGUUAUAACUAAUUGGAAUUGCAACUAUACGCAGUCAAACGACCUCAUCAUGUUUCUAACAAGCUCGUCAAAAUGGUUCAUGUAAAGUCCAAGCCAAACACACUUUGUAGUCACCAAAGGUAAAGGAAGAAUCCAAUUUGAAUUGGUACACUCCAAGUCCAAGCUCAUUGGCUAUAGAUUAGAGAUUUAGAUAAAAAAAAUAUAAAAUUUAUCUAAAUUAUGAAACAUUUCGAAUUGAUUAUCAAAUUUUUACUAUAAAAUUUUUCAAUUUAUUUGAUUUGAGUUAGCAAAUAAUAAAUGGACUUCUAAAUUUAAGCUAAUUACUUUAGAAAAUUUAAAAUUGAAAGAAUUACAUGCAGUAUACUAACUAAACGUAUAAAGAUAAAUAGCACAUUCAAAUUUUAAAAUAAAAAUACUGUUAAUUGACUCAACUCAAACAAAUUGAGAGGUUGCGUAAUAAAAUCAAAAUUAAAAAAAAGUAAAUAAUUAAUACAGAUUGAUUCACAUUUCAGAUAAAUUUUAUAUAUUUUUACAGUACAUUCAGACAACUGGCCGAGAACCUUCGCUCCAGUGCCCACUUCAAUCACGCCGGUGUCGUGUAUUAAUUAGCCCCACGUGUAUGGUAAUUAAUUUUUGCCACGUACUCACACACGUGCGCACAGAGUUCACGUCCUGCGCGUGCACACGUGUGGCACCAGCUUUUAAUAGAAAGAUCCUGUCCUCGUUUGGUAGAAAAAUAUAUUUUUACCUAACAGUAAUUUAUUUUAUUUUAAAAAAUUAAUAAGAAAGUAAAAUAUAUUUUUCUAUUUUAGUGGUUUGAUCGUAUUUCUCACUUACUAUCUACUAAUUACUAUAACUUCUCGAAUAAAUUAAAAAUAUAUUCUGAAUAAAAUAUUUAUAUAUCCAAAUAGUUCUCGGGUACUGAUUGAAUGUAUAAAUAUUCUAUUCGAUAUAUCUCUAUAAUUUACUUCGAAAGCUUUGUAUAUUUGGUAGAUAAGAGUGUGAUUCUAAACUAUAUCGACUUUUUAAGUUAUUUUUUUGGAUAAGAUAAAUUAUCUUGCAUGUGAAUAUGUUAUCUUGUCAAAUCAUAAAUAUCAAAAUUGUUGGCCAUACUUUCUGCCUUGUGAUAGUAAUUCCAUGAGACUAAUAAGUUUUUUUUUUUUUUUUUUUUUUUGAGAGAUAGGUAGCAUGCUACCCGUUUCGUUUAUUUCAUUUAGAAAUAAACUUAGCUCGAAAUGUAAAUCAACUAGGAUUCGAACUUAAGAGCUCGGGUAUUUAUAAUUAGACAUAACGGGAAGAGAUCCAACAAUAGACCUAACAUCCAAAUAGAUUGAGUCAGGUUAAAAUCCGUGAGCGCUGUGACUAACCUCUUAAGUGCAAUUAAUGUGCCCUUCCAAUCAAUAUGUGUUUUUCGAAUAUUUUGUUAGGUCUUACAAACACAAAAAGUUUUCCAUGAGCAAAAAUCAAACUCCUUUCUUUACAACAGCACUAGAAAAUUUUUACUCCCAAUAAUUUAUUAUUGGAUGGCUUCGUUUGGGAUUACGGUGAGAUUGCAUUACGUGUAGGGAUGUAAAGCGGGCCGAGCGACCCGUAGGCCGCCUAUCACGACGUCAAGCCGGGCUGGAGCACGACACGGGUGCUGUAGCACCCGUGCCGGCCCGGCCCGGAAAGCAUUGAGGACCGUGUUGGGCCUGUCCUCUUGGGCCCGAUGGCCAGGCCUGACACGGCCUGAAACGGGUCUGGGCCAUGCCGGGUCGAGGCGAGGCCCGUUGGCCCAGCCACAAGCAUCGGGCCCGUGGCGCGUGCCAGCCCGCCAGAAUGGCCCGAAUUGGGCUGGAUCUCCUGGGGAGAAGGGCCAAGUCUUGCCCGGAGAUCUUCCAAGGCAAGGCCCUUCUCCCUAGGAGAUGAGGUUUUUGGUCCAAUGGACCAAAGAACUUUGGUCCACUUGGACCAAAAACCACUCUUAAUUUUUUUUUAUAUUAUAUAUAUAUAUAUUAGGUUAAAUGUCAUACAGGUCCCUGCCAACAUAGUCAAUUGCAGAAAUAUCCCUGCCAAACGGAAACUCCAUAAGUUAUCCUGCAAAAAGUCUAAAGUUAUCAGAUAUGUCCCUGCCGUUAAGGACUGUUAGAAAAUUUUCGUUAACCACCGUUAAAGUACUUAACAUGGUUAAUUAUAACGUAAAUUUACGAUUCUACCUCGUUCUUCUUCUUCCACCGCCACUCCUUCUUUUCCCUUUUCUUCGUCGCCGUCGAUGGCGUGCGGCGGCGGGUCGGCAGCGACGACGACGGCCGGCGACGGCGAACUCUCUCUCUUUCUUUUUCCUCCUUCUUCCUCUCCCUUUCCCUUUCUCCUUCUUCUUCCUCUUCCUUUUCCUCUUCCCUCUUCUUCCAUCGCCGGCGAGGGAGAAGACGAUCCGACGCGACAGCGAAUCCUCUCCCUCUCCUCUUUUCUUCGCUCUUCCUCUUUCUUUCUCUUCCUCUUCCUCUUCCUCUUCGCCUCUUCUUCGUCCCGGCGAGGGAGGAGAUGCGGCGGCGGCCGCGGGCGACGAACCCUUUCCCUCUUCAUCUUCUCUCCCUCUCCUCUCCUUUCUCCUCUCAUUCUUCCUCUUUCCUUUUUUUCCUCUCAUUCUUUCUCUUCCCUCUUCUUCGCGCCGGCGAGCCUCGACCCGCGCCGUCGCCGCCAUCCGCUCCAGCGGCGCCGAAAGGAAGAGGAAGAGAAAGAGAAUGGGAAGAUUCUUUUGGAGGGAUAUAUUUGUGAGGGCAAAAUGGUCAUUUCACAUGAAAACUGUUAAAAAAUAAACAGUUCUCUAACAGAUGUUAAUUAGGAGGACAUAUCUGCAUAAAUUAGACUUUUGCAGGGACAACUUAUGGAGUUUCCUUUUGCAGGGAUAAUUUCCGCAAUUCUCUAUGUUUGCAGGGACGUGUAUGCAAAUACCCAUAUAUUAUAUAUAUAUAUAUAUAUAUAUUAUAUAUAUAUAUAUAUAUAUUAUAUAUAUAUAUAUAUAUAUAUAAGCAGUAUAUUCAAAUUUGGGUCUGUCGACAGACCCAUUUUUCGCGGGAAAAUUAGCGCCCAUUUUUCUCUUUCCGUACGAAAAAUUUUAAAUUAAGAAUAAAAAUAGAAAUAGAAACAGCAAUGAAUACGUAAGUUCUUCUAUAACAGAUUACUGAUGUUGAAAAUCCUAAAAUAUAAAUUUUUCUAUUUAAUUUCAAAAGUAAGUUUUCUAUAACAGAUUACGGGUGGUGAAUUCUAUUAAAGAUCUUUUUUAUUUUAUUUUAAAAUAUCUUUUUAGAUAUUUAUCUAUUUUAAUUUCAAAAUAUAUUUUUUUUAAGAUAAUGGAUUUUAUUUUUCUAUUUAAUUUCAAAAUUUUAUUCCUAACAGAUUUUAUUUUUCUAUUUUUAAUUUCAAAAGUAAUUUUUGCAUUAGAGAUUAUUUUUAAUUAUUUAUUAUUUAAAAGCAUAUCUUUCUUAAUAGCGUGAUUUAUUAUUUUAAAUUUUUCAGAUACAUAUUUGGCAAUCAUAUAAAAUAUGGUCUAAAAUUAAAAAAUAAUUUAAAAAAAUUAUAAAUUUUUCUAAUAAUUAUUACGUGCAUUUGCACGUACAUUUUACUAGUAUAUAUAUAUAUAUAUAUAUAUAUAUAUAUAUAUAUAUAUAUAUUAUAUAUUAUAAUUAAAUAUUUGUUAUAUAUAAUUAUUUUAUAAAUUUUAAAUUCUAAAUGGAAAUAAUUAUUUAUUUUAUAUUUAAAUUAUAUAUAUUUUUAAAAAAAUAAAAAUAUAAAAUCUUUUUUGGGCUUGUAACAAUCUGAUCCGUUAACAGUAAUAACUCGUUGGGCCCAAACCACCAAUCUAAAAUGCUUAAGGCUAAUUAUUAUUACUAGUGUGUCUGUUACUUAUAAAUCCAUAAGACUCUCCCACAUUAUUCGAUGUGGGACUAUUGGGAUGUUACAUAGGACAUCAGUCCUAAACACACACACAACCCAAGAUCACAAGGCGACCUUGACUUAGUCCUCGUCAGCCCUAUACACAAUACUUAAUCUGUCAUUCCGACCUUGGCUCAGCCAAGACUCAUCUCACAUUUCCGACUGGUGAACUGGCUCUGAUACCAAAUAUAAUGAUCCGACCCGCUAGCAAUAAUAACUCAUUGGGCCCAAAAUGCUUAAAUCCAAUUAUUAUUAUUAAUGUAUCCGUCACUUAUAAACCCAUCAGAUUCUGCCACAUUAUCCGAUGUGGGACUAUUGGGAUGUCACACGAGGGGAGUAUGUGACAUCCCAAUAGUCCCACACCGGAUAAUAUGGCAGAGUCUAAUGGGUUUAUUAGUGACGAAUACACUAAUAACAAUAACUGGGCUUAAACAUUUUGGGCCAGUGGUUUGGGCCCAACGAGUUAUAAUUGCUAACGGGUCGAAUAGUACCGGCCUGGAGCACAGCCCGGCCCGAAUGGGCACGGCCCACAUUACACCUCUAGUUACAUGUGGUGAGAAAGUACGAUGGAAAAAUACAAAUAUGUGUGUAAUAUUCACAGAAGUAUAUCUUUAUAUGCUUUUAUCUGAACUCCAUAUUAUCUAAUAGUGUCAGAUGAGCUUCAAUACCAAAUUAAUCCUUAUUCUAUUUUGAUCCAAAUGUGAAUUUUGCUACUCCGGGGCUUGGAUUCUCCUAUUCUAUCUGUCUAGGCGUCUAGCAACAGGCUUUUCGGGUCGAAUAGACGGAGGUGGAGUUCGAGAAGGCCGGAUCCGGCCCAACUUUUAUCGGACCUCCAACUACGGGCCCAUUUCGGCUCGGUCGGAUGAACUGGCUCGAGCCUCACCGGCCCGUAAAAAACCGGGUCGGGUCAGCUUGUUCCGGUUCAUAAAAAAAUCGAACCGUGCCGUGUCGUGUAUGGUGUGUCCCCACGCCCUGCUACGUUUUCGUCUCCCCGGCCUCGUCCCCCUCCCCCCACACCCCCCAACCGAUCCAUUCGCUUCUCGAAAUAUCUCGAUCCUCUCUCUAGGGUUCCUUCACAGAGAGGGUGAGAGAGAGAGAGAGGGCGAUCGAUCGAACGAUCUAGAGAAGGAUUAGGGUUUCCUUUGAGGGGUUACUAUGGCGUGGAGGCGUCUCCUCACGAAGGUACGAUCCCUCUCCCUUUCCCUUUUCCUCUCCUCGCGAUCGAUCCGUGUAGCGGAGCUGUUGAAGUUAACUAUUUGUUGACGGAUUCGAGAUUUUGUUACUUGUUAUGGUUUUGAUUGAUUUAGGGGCGCGGGUACUCUUUUUAGUUUAAUUUUUUGUUGCCCUUUUUACAAGUGUUGAUCUGAAGAAGCUAUGCCCUUAUUUCCCUAAUUGAUUGAUAUGGCUUAAAAAUCCCACUAUUUCUGUCAAAUUAUACGGUUAAUUGUUUCGUUUUCUACUCUGUAAAUUGGAUAAUGUUAGAGUGAAAAUUAGGGUUCACGGCUAUUAAGUUGAUGGCGCUAAGAACUCGAAGUAGCAACAGAAUAGAUGAAAACACUUGCAAAACCCUUUUUUGUUCCAUCUGUAUGUGCGUCUUUUGUUUAAAAAUCGUGCAAAACGUAACUUUGGUGUUUACGGAAGGAGCAUCUCCUUUGAAGCAUAUAUGAUUUUGGGAGAGAAUUUUGUGCCAUGUCAUCUUUGUAGCUUUCCAGAGUCGCCCAAAAUCCUGAGUGAUUUUAAAAACUGCUCUAGUGCUGCUUCUCUCAGCUUUCUCGCUCCAGUUACCGUCUUAAGUCUCUCUUCCUUUUUCUUUUUUUUUUCCUUUUUUGUUUUUUUCCCUGUUGCUCCUCAAAAGCCCUGUGACUUCUUAUCUAGUGUUGUUUCUCUUAGCUGAUUUAAUGAAACUGGCUAGCUGCCCCACCUCCAAACCCACCCACCUGCACAGCCCAGAAUGGAUAAAUUGUUUGUGUUGGCUAUUAUAGUUUGACAUUUUCUGGCAAACUUGAACUGUUUGGACAUCCUAUCUUAGGCCUAGUUUUGGGGAUGUCUUCUCUAAAUGCACCUUCUUUCAUACUGUGGAAUGACAAGAAGCAGAAAGCUCAUUAGCUUGGCCUAUUUGACAAUACGAAAUUGUUGUUGGGGCCUUUACCAGAGAAGCAUACUACGAGAUGCUUCUCUGGUGGAGGUUGCCUUCACAACUUUGUAGCAUCGAGGAGCCAACUUCUAGCAUGAUCUCUGGUUUUCUUAGAGCUCUAAAGCAUGAAAGUAGAUGCGUCUAGAGAAAGCAGAUGAGUCUAGAGCAAGGUUUUAAGCGCCCGUCGGCACGGACAGUAUCCACCGUGCCGUACCGUACCAACAAGAUACUAGCACGAUACAGACCACGUGCCGAUGGCAUAGCUCAAAACCCUCUGUUCUUUAAAUUAGUAAAUAAUUUUCUCAAUAAAGUUCAAAAAGUGUGAUAAAAAGACAUAAUAAAUAGUUAAAAUAUUCUGUUGCUAAAGAAAAUAAAUAUUUCAUGCUAUUAUGUGUUGGCACACAAGAAGUUUUUUUUUACCGGCACGCAUCGGCACGGCUCGGCACACAUCAUGCCAUACUAUGCCGGCAAGUUUCCGGCACGACCCCGUGCCACUUAAAUCCUUGGUCUAGAGAAUACGUUCCCAAGCUAGACCUAAUCACUGUUUAAAAAAGCGCGCCUAGGCACUGCGCCUAGGCGCCUAAGCUCUAGGCGCACAGGCCAGCGCCUAGACCAGCUCUAGGCGGGCGCCAUGACUCAGGCGCGGGCCUAGGCAGCCUAGGCGCGUGCCUUGGCCUAGGCGCAAGGCGCCCUCAAGGCACGCCUAGGUAAUAUUUAUAGUAACUGGUUUGGAUCCAGAUUUUAUUGGUCUAACGGGUUGAAAUAUCUAAAAUAAACCCAAUACCCUAAACUAAACCCUAAAUAAUCAUCAAUUAUCUCUCUAUUCCCCUCUCCCUGUCCGCUCUUCCCUCUCCCGGUCUGCUCGACCCUCUCCCUGUCCGCUCGGCCCCUCUCCCUCUCCGCUCGCCCGCUCGGCCAUCUCUCUCUCUCCGGCGCUCCCUCUCUGGUUGUCCUUGCUUCUAGCACUUCCUCCUUGCUUCUUCAACUCGCUCGCCUCUUCUUCUAAGAUUUUUUUGUCUCUCCCUUGGCCUCUCUCUAGUUUCUCUUUUAGUUUUUUAUGCGCCUGACCUCUCUCGGGCUUGCGCCUGCGCCUUGCGCCUAGGCUCCAACAGACCUUUGCGCCUAGGUGCGCCUUGGGCUUUUUUCAACACUGGACCUAAUGUUGUUCCUUUGAUGGAUCACGAGUCUUGUAAAUGCUGGAGAGUGAAGGCAAAUUUUAUCUGGGCAACAGUUGCAUGACUGAUAACUUUAGAUAUCAAUAUAAAAUAGAUGUUUUUGUUAUGUGAUGUCCUUUACAAAAUAAUUGGUUUAUCUUAUUCUCGUAUGUUGUUUGUUCUAGUCCUCUCUUUAUUAUUAUGUGAUGUCCUUUACAAAAUAAUUGGUUUAUCGUAUUCUCGUCUGUUGUUUGUUCUAGUCCUCUCUUUAUUAGUUUAUUAUUAAUUGUUUUAAUCCUCUCCAUAAGUUCAAUAAUAUAACUUCUCUUAUUGUAAUAGGUUGUGAAGAAUCAAUUGGAACAUCCAUACAUUCAUGGGUUAGGUGGUCACCCUCGUCUUUCUACACUCACUGCUGGAGCUAGUGGGAGUAUGUAACAUGUUUACUUGAUUAUUUCUUUAACCUUGUACUUGAUAUACAUUUCAGAUUAGUUGCAGAAUCAAUCUCGGUAGCUGAAUGUAUUACUGUCUUCAAGUUCACAUCUCAUAGUUUCAUUAGAAAGAUUUUCAAGUUUGCAAUAUCCAAGCAAUUUGGCUUUUGAUUUCUUAGUAAUGCAGGGCUAUGUUUAACCAAUGUCUUAAUCUAGUUUUCCGCUUAUAGAUAAUUAGGUUAUCAUUUUGUUCCCGAUACUGCCUUCCUAUAACAAACUUAAAUGUAACCCUAUCAUUUCAUAGCCAAAGCAGCACUUCUAUGAGUUGCACUUAUGCUGUCAGAAUAAAGUUGCCUCAGCUCAAUAUUUUGUUUCUCUCUUCAUCAAACUAUCACUUUAUUUGCUUAAUUCAUUCAUUUAUCUUAAUAAGUGAAGCGAUAAAAUAAUGAUUCUGUAUUAUAUUUAUUUCUGUGUGUUUUCUGAUAGCAGGUAAGAGACUUAGAAACUUAUCUGAAAGAUAUCAGUCAAGUUAUGUUGGUGGUUUUUCUCGCAAACUACGGGAUGUGGAUGGAUCAAAUGAAGUUUCAUUGCUUAAAGAGCUUUACAGAAGUGAUCCAGAAAGAGUUAUACGAAUAUUUGAAAGUCAGCCCUCGUUACAUUCAAAUCCUUCGGCACUAGCUGAGUAUGUUAAAGCUCUAGUCAAAGUUGACAGGCUAGACGAAAGCUCAUUGCUUAAAACAUUGCAAAGAGGUAACUUGAGCUUUUGCAUGUUAUAAUCUUGUAGUUUUAACCAUGUGAUUACCAUCAAGGAGGAAUUUUACUUGUCAAUUGAGUAACAUCAAGUGCAUAACUACUACUAAUAUGCUUUUAUUGACAAAGAAUGCAUUUCUAUGGUGCCACUAGCAUUUACUGUUUGCCAACAUCAGAUGUGUUUUGUUUUGUCAUGUUGGAGAUAUCAUCUGGAUUUUUAUGAAGUUCACUAAGCUACUUUACUAUGGAUUUGUUGCUUGAAAUAGCAAAUUUCAGUAAGAGAAUGACAAUUAAGCUCUUUCUAUUUGGAUAUGCAGCAUGCUGGCAUUUUAGAACUUCUCUCUUUUGCGCUGCAGUCUGUUUGGAUCUUUUUCUUGUCCUUUUAUUACCAACUCAAUUCUGUUUUUAUUGUGCUUCAUAUGGAGAUCACCUAUUUUUAGACCUUUCUUGUAAUUUAAAGGUUCGGUCAGAUUGAAUAAUAUUGUUUGACAUGAGAAAAGCAUGUCAGAACCUUAGGUUUAAGUUAGCACUUCUAGAGAUUGUCAUUCUUUCUGAAAGCAUGCUAGAUUUAUGAGGUUUCUUAUUUUAAUUUAUAUUUGUCUUGUUGUUAGUACGAUACAUCACUCUCAGAUAUCGACUGUGAACAUGUGGUUGCUUCAUCCAGUUAUUCUUGUAGCCAUCCUUGAAACUUUCCAAGAUGUCAUUUAAUUGUACAAUUUAUGGCUAGCUUUUCCCUUUUCCAAAUAUGUUAAGAAGUUACAGCUUGUUGAUUCUGGUAAAUAGCUUUUUCACUCUUCAACAUCCACUGUUUUGUCUAGGUGGAAUUUUGUUCCUUCCCAUUUACUAUUAUUGCUUUUUUGAUUGCUGCUGUUGAGUUUUGCUUGUCGUGUUAAUUCAGUUGCUGAUGUCUCUUCUGCAUCUUAUAUGUCCUUGUUCAGUUACAUAUUUGAUCAUUUUACAGCUUUACCUUAUGGGUGAUCUUGUAUUGAAUAAAUUUAGGCAUAGCUAGUUCGCCACGGGAAGAAGAGAGUCUUAACAGUAUUCCAGCUUUGAAGAAUGUGGGCCAAAUAACAAAGGAUGGAGUUCUUGGUACUGCAAGUGCCCCAAUUCACAUGGUGACGGCUGAAACUAGUAACUUUAAGGAGCAAUUGUGGCGUACUUUCCGCUCGAUAGCACUUACUUUUCUUCUAAUAUCGGGUGUUGGGGCACUCAUCGAGGAUAGAGGAAUUAGCAAAGGUUGUAUUUUAUCCUUUCUUUUAUUUUCUUUUCAUGAGAUGUGAUGCGCUGCUUUGUUGCUAAAAGCUGGUCUUUUGGGUUUUUAGUUCUAGUGAAUGAAAGAUCUCUGUGGUGACUACUCUUAGCAGGACUUGGACUGCAUGAAGAGGUUCAGCCAAGCAUAGAUUCUGGUACGAAAUUUACUGAUGUAAAGGGAGUUGAUGAGGCCAAAGCUGAACUUGAGGAAAUUGUUCAUUAUCUUCGUGAUCCUAAGGUAAAGAAUGACUUGUAUGAGUACAUUAUGCAGUUUAUUACUUAAUUCUGGAAUUCGGAGGUUCAAGUUCUUUUCUUUUGUUCUCUUCUGCGGAAUUUUUUCUGCCUUUAUUGUUCCCAAAAUCUUAUGAGGUUUCUAAAGAAAUUCAUACAUUUUUUCUUCUAGGGGUUCUACGUAUCUUGUAAAUACAAAGAUACUGUCAUUUGGUGACUUUUGUGUUGUAGGCUGGGAAUAAUCUUUUGUAGAUGGCUGAUUAAGAAGUUGGAUGUUAUUGAGUCUCGUUAUUUAUUACACCAUUAUAUGAUUUUUUUUAGUUCUUCAUGUAUCAUUGUCUUAACUCUUUAGAUAAGUCAGUGUCAUCUCCAAUCUUGAAGUUCCUUUGUCAUGUCUCGGUUUCUUCGCCAUGAUUAUUCUUCCUUAUUUUUGUUUAUUCUUUUACUACUAACAAUCCAUUAAUAAUUGUUUGCUUUUCAUGUUUGUUACAUGCUGAAGUAACUUGUCAGUCAAAAUGUACAGAGUUUACUCUAACAGUAGUGUAUUCUGAAAUGGGUGCUGAUGCCUAAAAAAAAUGAUUUUACUACCUAUCCUCUCAGUUAUUUUGAUUUUCAGGUAAGUCUGUCUACUUUUGUUCAAUCAUAGCAUCUGCUGUUGAGAAAAAUAAUAGAAUAUUCUGUUAGUUUACUGAAUAUUCUAUCAGCUUUAAGAAAAUUUUGUUAGAGAAGGGGAGGCUACUGUUUAAGUUCUGAUGGAGACGUACUCAAAUGAUAACAACUGUACAGUUAGGUAGUAGAAGCAAAAUUUUUUAAAUUUUACUUGUAAUUGUUUCAAAAUGUACUGCUGUUCACGGAUGGCCUGUUCAUAUUUUUGCUCAAUGUAUAUCCUUGUUAUAAUUAAUUCCUGAGCUGUUUCUGUUUUGUGUUCUAGCGCUUCACUCGCCUUGGUGGGAAGCUCCCCAAAGGUGUCUUGCUUGUGGGCCCGCCAGGCACGGGAAAGACUAUGUUAGCUAGGGCUAUUGCAGGUGAAGCCGGUGUGCCCUUCUUCUCGUGCAGUGGCAGCGAGUUUGAGGAGAUGUUCGUGGGUGUUGGAGCCAGGAGGGUCCGUGACCUCUUUGCUGCGGCAAAGAAGCGAUCUCCCUGCAUAAUUUUCAUUGAUGAGAUCGAUGCAAUUGGUGGGAGCCGCAAUCCUAAAGACCAGCAGUACAUGAAGAUGACGCUGAAUCAGUUGCUUGUUGAGCUGGAUGGUUUUAAGCAGAACGAGGGUAUUAUUGUAAUUGCAGCGACCAACUUCCCUGAAUCGCUGGACAAAGCUCUUGUCCGGCCUGGACGUUUCGAUCGCCAUAUUGUUGUGCCUAACCCAGAUGUUGAGGGCCGACGGCAGAUUUUGGAUUCCCACAUGUCCAAGGUAAGACAAAUGUCAUGUAAUAUAAUCAAUUCAUCCUGUUUUAAGCAGCUCUGCUUGUUUGCUUUUGACCAAUUUAUGUGAUUCGAUGUCUUUCUUACGAUUAGAAAAAUUGUGGUCGCCUCUAAGUAGGCUAGAUGCUGAUCGCAAUUCCAGGCUUGAAUUUUGUCUAUAACAUUACCAUGAUACAGGUCUUGAAGGCGGACGAUGUAGAUUUAAUGAUUAUCGCGAGAGGAACACCAGGUUUCUCCGGUGCUGACCUUGCCAACCUAGUAAACGUUGCAGCCCUCAAGGCGGCGAUGGAUGGUGCGAAGGCAGUGAGCAUGGCUGACCUCGAGUACGCCAAGGACCGAAUCAUGAUGGGCAGUGAGCGCAAAUCUGCAGUGAUCUCCGAGGAGAACCGGAAACUAACCGCAUACCAUGAGGGCGGGCAUGCCCUCGUGGCCAUCCACACCGAUGGGGCCCUCCCGGUACACAAAGCCACUAUCGUCCCCCGAGGUAUGUCCCUGGGCAUGGUUGCCCAACUACCGGAAAAGGACGAGACUAGCAUUUCGAGGAAGCAGAUGCUCGCCAGGCUGGAUGUCUGCAUGGGGGGGCGGGUUGCUGAGGAGCUUAUAUAUGGGGAGAACGAGGUAACCUCAGGGGCAUCGUCAGAUCUCCAGCAAGCGACAUCGCUGGCACGGGCCAUGGUUACUAAAUAUGGUAUGAGCAAGAAUGUGGGUGUUGUGACUCACAAUUACGACGAUAACGGAAAGAGCAUGAGCACCGAGACGAGGCUGCUUAUUGAGAAGGAAGUGAAGGAUUUUCUCGAGAGGGCAUACAACAACGCGAAGACCAUUUUGACAACGCACAACAAGGAGCUCCAUGCCCUGGCUAAUGCUCUUCUGGAGCACGAGACACUAUCGGGAGCGCAGAUCAAGGCAUUGUUGGCCCAGUUAAACAGUAGUAACAACAGUAACCAGCAGCAAGUGCAGGUGGUGGAAGCCCCACAAAGUACUCCAACUGUGCCGACAACACCUGCUGGAGCCGCUUCCGCUGCAGCCGCAGCUGCUGCUGCGGCCGCUCAAGCAGCGGCGGCGAAAGCCAAAGGAGUUGCCCAGCCCGUGGUGGGAUCUUAGCGAGCAGCAGACGAGCUAUUGAGCCAUGGAUAUGUAUAGAAAGUCUUUGCUGGGCUAACCGGAUCAAACAAGAAGAUGAAAACUGAAAAUUGAGCAUAAUGUAUUUUGUAUGUUUAGAUGUUCAAUUUAUGAUGUUUCCCAAAGCAUGUGGAGGGACCCUAGGGGUUAGAGACUUUCAUGGCAGUUGUAUUAACUGGCACUUAAACGAUGCGAGUAAUUCUGUUUUUGUAAUUUUUUUAACCUCGCAUAAUUAUAAUAUUAUAAUAAAGAGUGGAAUGCAACUUUCUCCUGAUGGAAAGUUAUGCAGUGGCACUAUUGCUUGAAACCGCUGAUUUGGCUCCAUCAGAAACUCUUCCAUUAUUCUGCUAAUACUGUAGUAGCUAAGAUUUUUCUUCUUUUUUUCUUUUUACCUUUCUCUGUAAUAUAUAAAUAAAUAAAUAUUGGUGCUCAUAAUGUUCUAUUAUCCUUAUAAAAGUGUUUAAAAUGGCUAGAUAUAAUUGGCUUUUUAUAUUACAAGCAUUAAAUCCUUCUCUUGUAUAAGCUGCAUGUUGGUUAAGAAAAGAAAAUUGAUAUCCACAACAUAAUUUUUGCAUAAUUUUUAUUAUUGACAGAAUAAGUAAGUUCUAUAUAUUGGCUACAUACAACUAUAUAUAAUAUGUUCUGCACAGGACCAUUACGCAUUACACAUGAUGUAUCUGUAACAUGUUCUAAGAUCACACCAUUACGAAUUACACAUCACACACCUCUGGCUCUGGGCCUUCUAUUCAAUCGCCCGGAAGCAGUAAACUAGAGAGAAACUCUUCUUUGGCUUCUUCACAACAGGCACAUCUACAUCUUCUCCCUUGGUCCCCUUACCCCCAUCCACAUUUUUAUCGGAAGCGGCGUCAAAGCUGACCAUAUCCGCCAUCCCGUCCGGCGGCGGGACGGGGAGGUCCUCUUCUGCCGGCAGCGCGAGCCGCCACUCCCCGUCGUCGCCGAGCACCAUCCCUUUGUUCUUCUCCGCCCACCACGACUCCGGUAUGAGGUACUCGUCCUUCAGGUACGCCGACGACUUGUUCACAAGCGCCACGCUCCUUUUCACCUGCGGCUUGAAAUCUCCACCCUCCCCGCUCCACCCCGCCACCGUGUGGAGUAUUCCCUGCAAGAGGGGCUCAUUGGAUUAUCCUAUCAAGAACUCCUAUUCGUAAAUCACGCUGAAGAAUAUGAAACAAAUAUGUUGUUCUUCAAAAGUUUAAGUUAUCAGAGAAGAGAACGGUAUUUUCAAAAUACCUGGAGGUUGUGGUAGUCGCCGGGGUUCUUAGAGUCCUUCAAGUACGGCGACUUCCGCGAGUUCACCACCAGCAAGUCGCCGGCGUCAACGUACCCGAGAAGGCCACUCGGGUACAGCGGAAUGAGAUCCGGCUUAUUCUUAACAUGCAGCACCCGCAGAUUCGGCAGCGACUCCAGCCGCUUCCUGAACGCCGCGUUGCCGAGCUGCGGGCUCCCGAAGGCGAUCGCGGCGACGGGCACGGGCCGGCCGCCGACCCGGGCGAUGCCGUUCUCGACGACGUCGAAGGCGCUGAGCGUGGCGAGCGCCGCGCCCAGGCUGUGGCCGGUGCAGACGAUGCUGAGGCCGCGGCCGGCGCUCUCGGCGGCGUGGCGCGCCACGAGCGUCCUGAUGGCCGAGAGGAACUGCGCGCGCGCGCUCAGCUUUGAAAACGGGGACUUGGGGUCGCUCGACGUGUAUAUCACGUGCCUGCAGCCAACGGUGUUUGGAUUGGUGCGCACUUGCGAUUCGGCCGUAAAUCAAAUUUACAAGCGAAUAAUUUUAAUUACAACUUUUUUGGAAGGGCAUGAAAAGAAAUUAACCCAAUUAAAUAAAUUUUGAAUCGAUUAUUAAUGAUUAGUAAUUAGCAGUGAUCCUGACUAAGCACUCUUACCAUCCCUUCAUGACCUUGGGCUUGUCCAGCUCGCCGUCAUCGCCGGCAGGGGAUGAAGAGAGGAUGUCGUCGAUGGACACGAGCUCCGGCUGCAGCACGUCGGCCCACUCCAGCGUCCGUAUCGUGCCGCGCCACGCCGCGAAGAUGACCCGCCCCCCGUCCACGUCGUCGCCGACGGCGACGUACCCGAUCCAAUUCGACUCCCUACUCCACGCCUCCCGCGACUUUGAGAACAGAAGGAACCCCUCCGGCAGGGAGACCUGCCGUUAAACUAAUUAUUUGCUAUUCUGUUCUGACACCAUAUUAAAGUACGUGAUAUUGACUUAAAUAGAACAACAUCCUAGAAAGCCAAAUCACGUUUAAAAUGACAUGAAGCUAAGCAGGCUGAAUCACAAUUGAGAUUUCUAAAGACUAUCUGUACGCAUUAAGUCAAUUGGUUGCGUAUUUUUAACAGCUCGAUCUUUUAGAUAACUAUUCGUUUCAAGUGCAAUAAAUCUUGUUGUGCGUACCUGGGACGUGGCGUAGAGGUAGGCGGAGACGGCGAGGCCUGCGGCGGGAGCGGAGGGCGGGGGGACGAAGGCGACGCGGCGGAGGAGGGAGGGUUUGGAGUAGCGGCAGCUGCCGCAGUAGGCGGAGUUGCGGUCGUCGUUGAAGGCGUCGUACGUCACCUGGCAGAGGUCGCCGGACAGAAGGAUGAGGCGGCGGAGGGCCGGGUUUAAGGGGUCGAGAAGCCCGCGCCAGUGCUCCGACCCGAGCAGCUCGGCCCAGGUCGGAUUCAGCUUCUCCCCUUUUCCUUCUUCUUGUUUUUGAUCUUGUUCUUGUUUUUUUUCUUCUUCUGCUACUACUACUACUGUUGUUUCUGCUGCUGCUGCUGCUGCUGCUGCCAUAUUUGUGAUGUGGUGUUCUUUUUUUUUUUUAAUUUUUGGGGUGGGGAGGUGUUGCAGGUGGGAUGUUGUAGUAUUAUGGUGGGGAUAGAGAAUGGUUGGUUGAUUGGUUUAUUUAUUUGGAGAGGAUGAGAGUGAGGUGUGUGUCACGUGUAGAGAAGGGCCACCACUUUCACACCUAAAAAAUGGACGUAAAUCUUAAAUCAAGCGAAAAAAAACUGCCCCUUGGUGAGAUGAUUUUAUCUACCGUCUAUCGUACUUUAAAAUUUUAUAUCUUUUCACAUGAUACACGAUAGAUAAUACUGUCUCUCUGUGGGGACCAUCCCUAUAAAAUUUUUGACCUUUUAGGUCCAUUCAAUCGUAAGUUACAGUUUUUUUUUUUAAAUUUUUAGGCUAAAUACACUUUUGGUCCUUAAACUACGAAGCUAGUGACAUUUUGGCCUCUGGAUUUUAAUUAUUAUAAUUUCUGUUCCGAACUUUCUGAGUUAAUAUAAUAAAGUUUCACAAUUUGAUUAAAUUGAUUAAAUAAUGAUAUGUCGCUAGUGUGAAUGUGAUGUAGCAGUAUUGUUAGAAUCACUGAGGCAAAAAUUUUUAAGAUGUUAUAUCAUUUUCACAUAAGCGAUGUGUAAUAUUUAGUCAACUAAAAAGGUUGUGUAAUUUGAUUGUAAAACUAACAAUAAAGAAAUGUUUGCCCACUAAAUCACGCACUGCAUAGUUUAAGGACCAAAAAUAUAAUUUAGCCUAAUUUUUAAUAUUAAAAUAUAAAAAUAAUUGCCUAUAUACCCUCAAAACAUUUAAAAUAUUUUAUUUACAUUUACUUUUUUACUGUUUCAAAUAUAUCCCUCAUAUAUUUUUGUGUUAUUCAAAAAUACCGCUGUUGUAAGUGUCUGUUAAGUCAUCUCGGAUUAAACCUGAGUUAAAUUUCUAUCAUAGUGAAAAAUAGUAAAAAUACCUAUUUUAUUCUUAACUCGAGGGCAAAUAAAAAAUUAAUAAUGAUAGAAGGGUAUAUUUAAAAAGACAAAAAGUCAAAUUAUUUUGUUUGCCCAUAACUUAAGGGCCGACAGUAGUAGAAGGUUAUAUUUAAAAGGAUAAAAUAAUAAUUUUAUUGAAAUAAUAGAUGUUCGUAACCGUUCACUAACAAAGUUUAACUCUAGAGAUAUAUUUAAAAGACUUUGGAAUCUUAAGAGGGUAUUUUUAAUAUCAAUCUUAUAAGAGGGAAAAAUUAAAAAAUUAAAAAAUUUUCAGGAGUAUAUAUAAACAAUUGCCCCUAAAACAUAAUAAGACUAGUAAACAAAAAUAUUGACCAUUAGAUAAAUUGCUCCUUUUUUUUUACAUAUGUACAAAAUAUGUAUCUUAUUGUUUAGUAAUUAAACUGCUUAAAUAAAAAGAUCACGGCUAAAUGUACGCUUCAAAAGGAGUGUAUAUUUUACAAUUCAGAUUAUAUGUGGUUAGAAUUUAUCUGCUAGCCUUAUCAAUUAUUAUUAUUAUCCUUAUUUUUACUUAAAACUCAGAAAACAAAGUUUCAAAUUUUAGAAUUUAAGUCUGUAAAAUGUACACUUAUUUAUGAAUGUUCAUGUAGUAUUUUCUAGGGAAAACUUCAAAAAACUCCCCUAUGGUUUCGUAGUUUCUCACUUUGCCCCCCUGUGGUUUAAAAUGUAUCAAAUUGCUCUCAUGUGGUUUCGUUUUUAUCUUUUCGGUAGCUUUUUCGUUAAUAUUUUAUUAAAUUAUAAAUAAAAAAUUUCAGAUACCCAUCUAGAUUUAUCAAAUAUUCACUUUAGUACCCUUUAAUUUUAACUUUAUCACUGAUUUAAAAAAAAAAUGAAAUUGAUAAGAAAAAGAGAAAAAAGAAAUCAUAGGGGGGCAAAUUGAUGUAUUUUAAACCACAGGGGAGCAAAGUGAGAAGCUACGAAACCACAGAGGGGGGUUUUUGAAGUUUUCCCGUGGGUACCUGCGUGUUACCCACAAAUUUGCGCGUAUGACUACCAACUUUUCCAAUCCAAAAAAUUACGGCUAAAACGGGUAGAUACCCAUUAAGCAGUGGGCAUUUUGGAUAACCCACGGCUAUCCACGGGUACCCGCACACUUAUUAAUUUUUAUUUAUUUAUCCUAAAAAUUUUAAUCUUAAUUUUUUAUUACGUGUCUUUUAUAUUAUGAAAUAUUUUGCUUUAAGACUUUAAAUAUUUUUAUUGUUUGUAAUGAUAUUUUAAACAAUGAGUUAUAUUACUUUUAAAAGUUUUAAAAUUUGCGGAUAAAUUUUUCCAUGCCGAAGUAACCUACGGGUAUAAUAACGUGUCCGCGGGUUAUUCAAUCCGUCCAUUUGCUAGGUCUACGCAUGUGUUUUGCGUUUAAAAAAUAUAAGAGAAAAAAAAAAAAAUUGCGGGUAACCCGCAUACCCACCCGCCCACCCGCGGAUGGGUAUGGGUAAAGAUGUUGGCUACCCAAAAAUUUACGGAUAAAUUUUCCCAUGCCGAAGUAACCUACGGGUAUAAUAACGUGUCCGCGGGUUAUUCAAUCCGUCCAUUUGCUAGGUCUACGCACAGAUAGCAAUGAUUAAUGAAAGCACUCAAUUUCAUUUAGGACUUUUUCUUUAGAAACAGUAGUUCACUGGAGAUUUUGGUUUAAAAAAAAUAAUAAAAAAUUUGAAGAACAAUUAAUGAAAAAUGUUCAGCAAGGUGAAAAUGCAUGAAGUUACGAAAUUAGUCUCAGCACUUCUUUGAAUACAAUUCAAAGAAUUGGAAUUUAGGGAGCGCAUAAAUGAAUGGUUUCAUCUUUUUUCUUUGAGAAAUGCUCGGGGUGUUUACAAUUUUGAAUAUUACCUCAUUAAAUUUUUGACGUGUUGGUAUAUAUAUAUAUAUAUAUAUGGAUGAAUUAAAAUUUAGAGCUUAAAAUAUAAGAUUAAUUGCAUACACGUCUCUGCAAAUAUGGUGAAUUACAGAUAUAUCCCUACAAAGCCCAAUUUUUAUAAUUUGUCCCUACAGUCCUAAUAUAUUCAAAUAUAUUCUUCUGGUUAGAAUCUUUUAGAGAACUGUUAAUUUUUUUAACAGUAUGCUCGUGAAAUGACCUUUUUGUCUUCACAAAUAUGUCCCUCCAAAAGUAUUCUCUCUUUCUCUUUCUCUUCCUCUUCAGACCGCGGGAGCGGAGCUUCGGCGAGGUCGGGGUCGGGUUCGCAGGCAACAAAGAAGAGGGAAGAGAAAGGGAGAGAGGAAGAGGAAGAGGAAGAGGAAGAGGAAGAGGAAGAGAGUUCGCCGCCGCCGCCGCAUCUCCUCCUUCGCCGGCGACGAAGAAGAGGAAAGAGAAAGAGGGAGAGGAAGAAGAAAGGGGAAGAAGAAGGGGGAAGAGGAAGGGGGAGAGGGUUUGCCGCCGCCGCCGCAUCUCCUCUCUCGCCGGCGACGAAGAAGCAGGAAGAGAAAGAGGGAGAAAAGAAGAAGAGGGUAAAAUUAUUAUUUUACUUAUUAAUUAAUUAUAGUUAAGUGUUUUAACUGUGAUUAACGAAAUUUCUCUAACGGAAACUAACGGCAUGGACAUAUCUGAAUAUAUAGACUUUUGUAAGAAUAAUUUAUAAAAGUUGAGCUUUGCAGUAAUAUAUCUACAAUUCACUAUAUUUGUAGGAACGUGUAUGCAAUUAACCUUAAAAUAUAAUAUUGAUAAUACUUUGAAUUUAAUAAUUGUGUUUAGAAUUUAGUAAUUAAUAUUUGGAAACAAAUGCACAUGAUGAUCAUGCAGAAAAAUCUCUCUCAAAAUCUAGUACAAUUGUGUUUAGAAUUUAGUAAAGCUCACUAUCUCUGAUACAAUUGGAAAGGUACAUAUACAGGGACCUUUUGUUUGUCAUUAGAAAUGUGAUUGGUUUUUCCAAAAAAUCUCUCUCAAAGUAAUUUUUUUUUUUUUUUAACAGAAAGAAUAUUUUUUGAUUGUUUAGUUUUUAGAAAAGGUAGUUUAAUUUCUUGGCAAAAACCUUUUUCGGAUUUUUUUUUUUUAGAAGAACAGUGUUUUCGUUUUCUAAGAUUUUUAUACAAAAAAAAACCGUGAAAAAUAGUAUUUUCUUAAAAAACUUAAAAAAUAAUUUUUCAGACGUUUUCGAAGAACCCUACACCCUCUAAGUAUCUUAUGUUUGAAUUGUAGAUUGAUUGGCUUAGUGUCCGCUUGGUAUCAAGAAUCAUUUAAUUCUUAAUAGAUAAAUUAGAAUUAAGAUGAAAAUAAAUAGAAAUAUUGUUUCUACGUUUUUCAAUAAGAAUGCUAAAAUUAUCUCGUAAUUGACUAUUCAUUACAAUAUAUGAAACACACGUACAGAAACAAAAAAAAUAUUUAUUUUCAACCAUUAAAAAUUAUUGAUUUUGAAUCUUUUCGAUUGCUAGGUAAAUGAUAUCAAAAAAUCGCAAAAAUUAUUUUUUAGAAAUUUCAAAUACGCUAGAUCAAGUCUAACGGAGCCGAUCGUCGAUUCGAAAAUUCCAUCAUCGAAAACGGCUCAGGAGCACGGAGGUCUCCGUGCUCCUGAAAGCACAGCAGUCCUGCUCUCUCUCUCUCUCUCUCUCUCUAUACAAAAUAAAUUCGGGUUCGGGUUGGGUUCAGGUUCGGGUCGGGUACAGUCAAAAUCCAUAUCCGAAUUCAUAUCUGUCGGAUUUUUAUUUUUGAUAUUCAUACCCGAAUCCAUAUCCAUUUAGCAUUGAAUAUAUCCGUUUCGUUCGGAUUCGAGUUCGGAUAAAAUUUUAAGUAUCCAUAAUAGAGGACCAAAUAAUGCAAUGUAGGCUAUAUUUUACCUGCAAGGACCAAAUAAGCAUCGAAACGGGCCCUAAAUGUUGGCCCGGCCCGUUUCAUGGGUCUGAGAAGGGAAACCAAUGUCUCGUCGUUUUUGUGUUGGCUCGAUCAUCACUCGGUGUCCUUUCAGUGUCAGCUCGAACUCAUCUCGAACAACUGCUGUGCAAACUGCAAACUACGAACCACACUAGUUUUCACCUUUUACACGAAGCAGAAGAAGCAGAAGCAGAAGCAGAAGCAGAUGCUCUCGCUCGCUCGCAAGCAGUCGCCGCUGCGCCCCGCCGCGCUCCGCCGCUUCUCCGCCCCACUCGCCUCCCCCUCCUCUCCUCUUCCUCCUCUUCCUCCUCUUCCGCGCCCCACCACCGCCAUUAACCCUCGCCUCCCCCCUUCUCCUCCUCCUCCUCAUCCUCUCCUCCUCCGUCGACGAUCCUUCUCCUUCCAAUCACCCCUCGUCGCCGGCGUCGGAGACGACGCUCAAGACGACGACGGCGGCGGCGGCCUCUGCCCCGGGUGCGGUGUCCGCAUGCAGGGCUCUGACCCGACCCUCCCCGGCUUCUUCCUCCUCCCCUCCCCCAAAUCCGUCGACUACCGCGCGCCCCUCGACCGCCGCCUCCCCUCCCUCUCCCUCGACGACCCCCGCCUCUCCCUCUCCCUCAAAUCCGGCCUCUUCCCCCCCGACGACGACGACGACGACGACGACGACGACGACGAAGAAGAAGAAGAAGCCGACUCUUCCUCUUCGUCUUCGUCGUCGGCGGCGGCGUCGGUGGUGGUGUGCGCGCGGUGCCACUCGCUCCGGCACUACGGGCGCGUGAAGGAGCAGGGCGCCGAGAACCUGCUCCCGGACUUCGACUUCGACCGCGCCGUGGCCCCCCGCAUGACCUCCCCCUCCGGCCCCCGCUCCGUCGUCCUCGCUGUCGUCGACGCCGCCGACUUCGACGGCUCCUUCCCCCGCCGCCUCGCCCGCCUCGCCGCCGCCGCGGCCGCCGCCCACUCCGACGCCUGGCGCCGCCGCGCCCCCGCCAACGCCCCCCGCCUCCUCCUCGCCGCCACCAAGCUCGACCUCCUCCCCCUCCCCCACUCCUCCCCCGCCGCCGCCGCGGCGCUCGAGGAGUGGGCGCGCGCGCGCGCGCACGCCGCGGGCGCGGGGCGGGUGGAGGGCGUGCACCUGGUGAGCGCCGCGCGCGGGUGGGGCGUGCGGGCGCUGCUGGAGCGCGCGCGGGAGCUGGCUGGGCCGCGGGGCAACGUGUGGGCCGUGGGCGCCCAGAACGCGGGCAAGUCGACGCUGAUCAACGCCAUGGCGCGGUGCGCCGGCGGGACCGCGACCCACCUCACGGAGGCGCCGGUGCCUGGCACGACGCUGGGGAUCGUGAGGGUGGACGGGGUCCUCGGCGGGCACGCGAAGCUGUUCGACACGCCGGGGAUCCUCCACCCGUAUCAGAUCACGACGAGGUUGACGAGGGAGGAGCAGAAGCUCGUCCACAUGGGCAAGGAGCUCCGGCCGAGGACUUACCGGAUCAAGGUUUGUGGUUCUCAUCUUUUUGUUUGAUUUUGGUACUCUAGAUCUUGGAAUUACUUUUCUACUCGAGAAGCAGGAGUAAGCAGGAGUGAAACGUGUAAUAAAUUCAAUGCCUCCGGCCGGAGCACGAAGUGAAAAUUUGCUUCUUUAUAUGAAAAAAUGGAAGCUUUAGGGAGAAGCCCUUAGCUUUGAAGGGGAAUUUUAAUGGAAAAGCUACUAAGGGUUCUCUAAUAGUUACCCAAAACAUAUAUUCUUACCAGGUUUAUCGGUGCGAAUUUUGGGAGUGUUAAUCGUUGAAACGAAACCAGCAAAUUAGAUGACUUUUCUUUUGAACUGGCUUUGCUCACGCCAGUCUCCUCCAUUUGUUGAUUUAUUCUUUCGAUAGGAACCGUUGGUAUAAAAUCUAGUUGUAUAAGGUUAACAUUUGAUUAAUAACUGUUUGCGAGUACUCUCCUGAGUUCUUCAAUGAAGCCUUCGCACUUUCAAAAUGUGCUUUAGCCAGAACCAAUAUUUUUGAAAAUUUAAUGAUUUUUUCACGAUUCUAAUUAGUUUAACUAACCAGAGUUUUCAACCAUAAUUUAUUUUGUUUGGUUUUAUAUUGAUUUUCUAUGUGUAUACUACAUGUGUCUUUGGGAGUUAAUGAUCUGCUUUCAAGAAGAUCAGGCUUUGAGGCCUUUGAGAGUGUUAGAUGUGAUUCGAAAUUGAUUAUCGACUCAAGUUCGAGUUUACGACUCGCCGACAGCUUUGCGGUGCGACCAAUUUUUGAAAAAAUAAAAUUGUGAAGGAAAAUGAAUGUCUGUGGUGAGUAGCGAAGGGCUCGGGCCGACAGACCCGAACCCGUAGCUCACCACUGACAUUCGCCAGGGAGUGCGGGGGGCUCCGUCUCUCGCGGCACGGAUUGGAUCCGAAAUCCGUUUUGAAUUUUCUCUUCGUUUUUUGCCCUAGAGGCAUGAGAUCGUGGUUGGUUGUAACUUGAAGAAUAUUGUAUUUCCUUUUCGUUCCAGUAGUGAAGUUCUCUCCUCCUCGCCCGUGGUUUUUUACCUUGAAAAGGGUUUUCCACGUAAAUCUGUGUCUCUUUAUUUUCUGCUUGUGGUUUGAUUGUGUUGUGUUCGCCAUUUUUUUCGUUUCCGUUUGUGUGUUUGUCGUAACAGAGAGGAUGAUCUGAUUAAUAGUUUGACCUUCAAUUCGUUUAUGAGAUUUAGAUAACACCCUGAUACUGUACUCUUCUUGUCAGUAAUAUAAUUUCUUUUCUGCACCAAAUCAGCGACCGACAAUUUUUAUCAUACAACUCUACAAGUUGGAAAUGCCGAAAACUGCUACGGCUGUCAUGUUUCUAUGUCAUACAUCUGAACCUGAAAUAAACUGAUGAUGAAUUCUUGGAUGUGAUUUUACUUGAAUUGGCAUCUCUGUCGUGAAAGAGAUAUGUGCUUUGUCAUCUGGUUUCAAAUGGACUGAAACUGAUUGUUGACUAGCAUUAGUGAUAAAUGUUGAUAAAAAGUUUUGGCUGAUAAUUACCGUUUGCAAUAAAGUUGUUUUAUGCUCUUCAAAAUUGCUCCGGCGGAUUCUUUUAGCGUAAAUUUCUCUUUCUUAUGCCCUCUGAGUUUCCAGUCGUGAAAUGUGCCCUGUUGCGGGCUAGUUUUCCAAGUAUAAAGAAAGUGCUAUGAUGAUUAUGUGACAUCUGAGCACAUUUUGAGCCUAUAUUCUUCUCUCCUCAAGUUGCCCUCUUUCUAUCUUUAAAAGGCGAGUAUUAUGUUGUGGUUUGGGUGCUUCUUCGUUAGUGUAAGAGUCGUACUUUAUUAUUGCAGAAAAAGGUGCUAAAAACAUAUUUAUACAUCUUAAACAGCUUAAAAAUGCAUUUACACCAAAAAAUUAACUUGAUUUAUUUGGUUUCUUUUAGUUCCUCUUUUCAAUUUUCUUCCAGUUAGGAAGGGUUUCUCCUGCUAUGUACUUAAAUCUUCAAUAUUUCACCUAACAGGCAGGACAUUCUAUUCAUAUUGGUGGCUUGAUACGGCUGGAUGUGGAGGAACUGUCGGUCAAUACAAUCUACAUCACAGUAUGGGCAUCAUCCCUCCUUCCACUACACAUGGGGAAGACCGAAAAUGCAUCUGCAAUGAUGGACAACCAUUUUGGUUUGCAGCUUCAGGUAUCUUUGAUUUAUUACUCUAACAUUUAUGGUGCUUUAAGCUUUGUUUAUAUUACUUGUUUUUGUACUUGUACUCAAGUCCCCUGCAAGUAAAAGCUCCUAGGAAUGGAUUAUUUUCUUUGUUACUUGUGAUUUAUUUUACUGUGUUUCCUUUUAUCCAUUGCCGUAUAAUAAAGUUUACAAAUAAAUCAACAUCUACAAAAUAAAGAAGUCAAAUUUUUUAGUGCUUUUUAACAUCACAUAACUAAGGAAGAGUCGAAACAAAAAACAGAAACAAUGCCAAAUGUAGCCUUUGAUUGCCUUUGGCGCCAUAUAUUGUUUUUUUCCAGCUCAAAAGUAAACAUUAGGGUUACAAUAGCAUACAUAUUGAGCUGAAUCUUUUGUCAUUUGAAGUUAACGCGGCAAGCCUCAAAAACAAAAAAGAAGCGAAAAGACAAUACCACAUAUGCUGUUAACUCGUCUGUUGUUUCACUGUUGGUCUUCCUCGUGCUUCCAUGUCGCUAUACUCGAUCUGAUGCACUUAACUAAACAUACGAAACUGCAGCCCCCUAUCGGUGAGAAGCGGAUAAAAGAGCUCGGCAAAUGGGUAAGAAAAGAAUUCCGCGUCGCAGGAGACAGUUGGGACGCAAACUCCGUCGAUAUAGCUGCUGCUGGUCUUGGCUGGUUUGCCAUCGGGCUGAAGGGCGAAGCUGUUUUGGGUGUUUGGACUUACGACGGCGUCGACGUAGUAUCGCGAAGCUCCCUCAUCCGCAAAAGAGCAUCCAUCUUCGAAGAAGCUGGGUUCACGGUCUCGAAGAUCGUCUCUAAGGCUGAUUGCUUAUCGAAUAAGGUGAAGCACAACAAAUCCGGAAAGAAGAAGCAGGCCCAAUGCAGAUUAUGCGAAGCUGAUUCGCCGACAGUAAAACCUGAUGAAACUGUGAGUGCUUGAUAUCUCUUGUUGCCUUUGCUUCCCCUUUUUGUGUCUUUUUGUCGCGAUCACUUACAAUCAAAUUCAAACACAUUAAGGGACAGGGAAAACAAGUUGAGGGAGAAAUUGUAGAUGUAGGUGAUAGAUAAGAAAAAUGAAGGGACUUUUAAGUUAUUGAAUUCGCCUCUUUUUGGUUUUUCGCAUAAUCUAAUUCUAUUGAAAAGCACUUCAAACCAUGCCAUCUUUCUUUGUUUUGUAGGAUAUUAGGAUAAGAAUUUACCAUAUUUCCUUAAAUAAUCUAAUCUAAUAUAUAUUGCGGCAAAUGGCGCAACUCGGAAGCAAGAAACUUUACCCAGGAUCCAGAUUUAUUGUGAGCUUAAAUUUUAAACUGAGAUUAAUUUGUUUAAAAUUUAAAUUGUACUCUAUGGUAUGGAUUUAUUCUAAACAUAAAAUUUACAUGGUUUGGAUUUUUUUUUCGAACUUUAAAAUUUAUAUGGAAUGGUUCUGAUCUAUUUUUAAUCUUAAGACUCAAAUUGUACUCUUUGCCAUUUAUAUGACUAAACCACUUGCAUCGAAGCAUGUUGUCAUUUUUAUCUUUAAAGUCGGCGGUUUUGUACAUGUCGUUAACGACUUCACCACUGUUGCUUUUCUCUUGCAUAUUUUAAUGCUGUGCCCAUCACACUAUUUUGUAUUUUCUUAUGCAAUGCACACACACUAUACAUAGCACGUGCGUGCACCAACAAAUAAAUUAAUUAUUAGGGGCUUUUGCUUAUUUAACCUUUUACUAUUAUUCAAAACUUUUAAAUUUAUUCCGAAAGUAUCAAAAUACCUUUCUAAAAUCCAAUGCCUCUAGUAAACCUUAGGGAAAACAAAAAUAUUUGGAGGAAUUUUUUAAAUUUAACAAGAGAUAAAUAAAAUAUUUUUAAAAUUUUGAAGGGCAUAUUAGAUAUUAUUUUAAAUUGUCAAACUCUUUUAAAGUGACAGAGCAUGCAAUGUUAACUUCAAAAAUCAAGCUUUAGGGAAAUUCUAUAGAAUCUUAUUUUAUAUUAGGUCUUUACAAGAAGGUAAAAAUAAAAAUCAUAAUGUAGCAAAGUACGAAAGUGGUCAAGUUCGACUCUCGAAGGUUGGUAAAAUAAAAAUAUGCUAAACUAUGAGCCCAAAAUAGUUUUGGUGAUUUAAGAUAAAUGUCAUCUUUUUCAAAAUUUAAAAGAUUUAACAAAUAAUAAUUCCAUGAUGCACCAGUAAAAGUACUAGCCCUCUGGGGUUUAUUAUUCUAUCAACAAAAAGAAGAUUACGAUUUGUCUUAAAUUCAUUUUAUAGAACGUACACCAUUAAUCUAUAUAAAUAAGAGUAGGUCUCGUGUGCUAUUAGGAGCGCGGAGGCUUCCGUGCUCUUAAACCGUUUUCGAUGAUGAAGCUUUCAAAUCGAUGGUCGGUUUUGUUAAACUUGAUAUAGCGUAUUUGAACAAUCUACAAAAUAAAUUUUGAGAUUUUUUGAUAUCAUUUACCUAGUGAUCGAAAGGACUUAAAAUUAAUCAUUUUUAAUGGUUGAUAUAUGUCGUUUGUAAGUUUAACGGUGUAAAAGUAUUCAAAUCAAAUAAAAUUUUGAUAGAAAAUUUUUUACAUUAUCUACAACAAGAUCAAUAUUUCUGAUCGAAAAUUUUAGUACCACAUCAGAACUUUUAAUAGAGUUGAUCAUCAAUUUGAAGGCUCCAUCCAAAACGGCUUAGCAACACGCAGGCUUUCGUACUCCUAUGAGGAGAAUGUGGUGAUUUAUUAGGCAAUACACCUAUUAUACAGUAUCUUUCCAUGUCCUUUGGAUCCUUGCAUCAGUAUACAGUGAUUGCAAUCCACAUUGAUUGAUAUCUAUUUUGUAUAUAGGUCUUGUAUGCUAUUAGGAGCAUGGAGGCCUCCGUGCUCCUAAGCCGUUUUCGAUAAUAGAAUGUAUAGUGUAGGACCUGUAGGUCUUAUUGCUAUUAAGAGCACAGAGGUUUCCGUACUCCUAAGCCGUUUUCGAUGAUGAAGCUUCCGAAUUGACGAUCGGCUUCGUUAAACAUAAUCUAGCGUAUUUGAACUAUCUAGAAAAUAAAAUUUGAGAUUUUUUUAUGUCAGUUAUCUAGUGAUUGAAAGUACUCAAAAUCAACAAUUUUCAAUGGUCGAUGUAUGCCAUUUGCAAGUUUAAUGGUGUAAAAGUAUUCAAAUCAAAUGAAAUUUUGAUAGAAAAGUUUUUAUACUAUCUACAACAAGAGGCGAAAAUUUUAGUGCCACAUCAUAACUUUUUGUGAGAUUUUUAUUUUCAGCUGUUGAUUUUGAACCCUUUCAAUUGUUAAGUAAAUGAUAUCGAAAAAUUACAAAAUUUAUUUUUUAGAUACUUCAAAUACGCUAGAUUAAGUCUAACAGAGCCGAUCGUCGAUUCGAAAGCUCCAUCAUAAAAAACAACUUAGGAGCACGAAAACCGCCGUGCUCUAAUAGUACACAAAACCUACUCUAUAUAUAUAUAUAUAGAGUGAGGUUACUAUGCUUCUGGAAGUACGGAGCCUUCCGUGCUUCCAGGUUGUUUUCGAUGUUGCGACUUUCGAAUCGUCAAUCUGCUCCGUUAAACUUGAUCUAAAGUAUUUAAAAUAUCUAGAAAAUAAAUUAUGCGAUUUUUUGAUAUUAUUUGCCUAGUGAACGAAGGAGCUCAAAAUCAACAAUUGAAAAUAAAAAUCUUACAAAACGUGUUAAUAUGACAUAAAAUUUUAAAUCAAAAAUAUUGAUCUUAUUUUAUAUAAUAUAAAAAAUUUUCUAUCAAAAUUUCACGUGAUUUGAAUAUUUCUACGCCGUUAAACUUGCAAACGGCACACUACGGCCAUUAAAAUUAUUAAUUUUAAGCCCUUUCGAUCACUAGGCAAAUGAUAUCGAAAAAUCAUAAAAUUUAUUUUCUAGGUACUUCAAAUACUGUAGAUCAAGUUUAACGGAACCGAUCAAUAAUUCGAAAGUCGCAACAUGAAAAACGACAUGAAAGCAUGAAAGACUCCGUGCUUCCAGAAGCACUAUAUAUAUAUAUAUAUAUAUAAUACUACUAUACUAUACUACCAUAUAGAAUAGGCUACUAUGCUAUUAAUAGCAUAAAGUUGUUUGGUGCUACCAAGUUUUUGGCCAUUGGAUUAAGAGAUGUGCGUUAGGAUGAUGUGUGCCCUUUAGGGUUGAGUGGGGUUGGUUGAAUAGUAUGAUCUAACGAUGAAAAUGAUCAAAAGAGUAGAUCUACCGGCGAAAAACUUGAUAGCACCAAAUGCUUCGUGCUAUUAAUAGCAUAGUAGCCGGACUAUAUAUAUAUAUUGUUUUUAAUGUUACCUCUUUUUCUUAUCAUUUUCUUUUCGUUGUUCUGAUGUAUGUAGCUUUUAAUUGAAGAGAGAAACUAAAAUACGUAAAGUACCGGCAAAAGCACUAUAAAAGCUUAGGAAGUGUUUAUACAUUAAUUUCAACUAUAGUAUAAUCAAUCAAUCUGUGCUUCCUAUAAUACCACUGAAAAUUCGACCGUGAUUAAAAUCUAACUAAGUUUGUGAUAAAGAUAAAAUCGAACUUACAAAUAAACGUAAAUAUCCAAAUAAAAAUUUAAUCUAUCGAGAAAUAUGCGAGACACUACUCUAAGGCAUAUUCUCGUCCUUACAUGCGGAAUUAACGGGAAACGACACUUCAAGAGAUGACCGGAAUUACUCCUUCUGUGAGCACAAUCACGAAAAAAGUUAAUGGAGAUUCUUUCAAUACUCAAUAGAUAAGGAGAAUAUUCAAAUAAUAAAAGAUGAAAGAAUUAAUGGAUAAGAAUUAACAUAUUAUCUAAUAUCUUUCUACCUACUCUGUCUGAACAAAGGAGGAAAGAGGUUAUUUUAAAAAGAAAGAGAAUUUCAUGCUCUUUCUCAUUACGAACGGAAUAGGAUUUCGUUUGGCUUAAGAAACGGACCGGGAGAAUAUUCCGUUGGUUUCUUAUGAUUUUUGUGUUGUUCAAGUUAUUUAUUAUAGCGCUUAUAUUUUUCGAUAGAUAAAAAGCUAAUCCUUGUCUCUUCAUUCUUUUAUUUUUUAUUAUUUGAAUAUUCACCUAUUUCAUUGGGGGUGUUGAAAGAAUGUUCGUCAACUUUUUUCACGAUUAUGUUUGCAGGAGAAGAAAUUUCGAUCGUACCUUGGGAUAUUGUUUCCGGUUAAUCCCGCACAUAACUACGUAGGGACGGAAAUACGUUUUAGAGUAGUGCCUCGCAUGCUUCCGGAUAGCUCAAAUUUUUAUUUGGAUAUUUACGUUUAUUUAUAAAUUCGAUUUUAUCUUUAUAACACAAUUAGUUAAAUUUUAAUCACGAUCGAUUUUUUCUUUGUGGCAUUUUUCCCUAACAAAAAGGCCUGUAUGUAGUGAAAAGAAAAAAGGAUUCUCCGCUUCAUUUCCUUACUGGGUCUUAGAUAGAUUUGGAACAAAUUAUUUUCUUUACUUAUUUUUAAUCCCUCACUUACCGAGCUUAGAGUGUGCUUGGAUCUCUAUAAAACUAGAAAAAAAAAAAAGUAAUUUUCAUUUUCAACUUAUUUGGUUUUGACGUAAAAUAAUAUUUUAUGUAAAAUCUUUUUACGGAUUUGAUGAAAAAUUAAAAGUUUUAUUUUUCUCAAAAUGAUCGGAAAAUGAAAACUUUAUGUCCACAUAUCGUGGCCCAUCGGAGAGUAGCACGCGAUCCACGAGGUGAAGCUGUCCUCAUGUUGCACGGUGUAUACCGAUAGUAUAGUACUAUAAACGUGUUGCAUCCAAGAGGUGAAGUUAUCCUCGUGUUGCACGGUGGAUAGGUGAAGCUAUCCUCGUGUUGCACAGUGGAUGCCGAUAUUAUACUAGUCUCGCAGAGAAAAUUGAAGUUGGUGUUUCACUGCUAAGAUUGGGGAUGUAUUUGUGCUAAGGACUCGAAAAGGCUAGUUUGGGUAUGUGGUGCUUGGGCGCUAUAUUAAAUUUUUGAAGGAUAAAAUUUUGUUUCCAUUCUUAUGUAACGAUCCAGCCCACUAGCAAUAAUAACUCGUUUGUAUGGCGAGUCUCGUUUGAGCCAGAGUCUGAAUGACAGGCUAGCGAGACGAGUCUCACAUCGUCUGGUGUUCUUGUGCUGUGUGUGUGAUUGGACUGACGAGGACAUCAGGACCUUAAUGGGCGGAGUUUGUCACACCUCAAUAAUCCCACAUCGGAUAGGAAUGGAAAUGUGAUUGGGUAUAUAUGAGUGUGUCUGGUGUUCUUGAUCUAUGUAUGUGAUUGGACUGAUGAGGACGUCAGGACCUUAACGGACACUAGUAAUAAUAACUUGGUUUAAGCAUUUUGGGCCACCCCUUUUGUUAGAAAAACUUUAAAAUUUAAAAUUUUAAUUUUAAUUUUAAAAAAUUAUAAUUUGUAAUUUCAUAAUUAAAGUUUAUAAUUUUAAAUUUUAAUUUGAUAUUUUAUAUUUUUCAAAUAUAAAUUUUGAUAUUUAUAUUUUAAAAUUUAAAUUUGAUCUUAAAUUUUAAAUUUUAAAUUUAAAUUUCAAAUUUCAAAUUUUGAAAUUUAAUAGUAGUGUUUAAUUUCAUAUUUAAAAAUUUAAAAGUAAAAAUUUUAAAUUUAAAAAUAAAAAUAAAAAUUUUAAAAUUCAAAUUCAAAUAUAACGAGUGAGCUAAUAUCAUUUUUGUAUUUAUAACUACUCAGUAUCCUUCUUAUUUCAUCUUAUCUAACUAAAUGCUAUUUUUUGUAUUUUCAAGAAUAAUCCAAUUUUUAUCUACUUAUACCUCAAUUUAUAUUUAUUCUUAGAAUAGCCACUUUUUGUUUAUCCUCGAAUCUCGUGUUGCACGGUGGAUAACAAUGUUAUACUAUAUAAUAUUUAUACUAUAUAAUAUUUUAUUUAUAUUGAUUAAUCAUAUGAUAUUAAAUAUAACUAAUAUAUAUUAUAUUACAUAAUUAUCGUACAAUAUAAUUUUAAAUAUAUUUAAUAUAUAAAUAUAAAUUACAAUAAUAAUAGGGUGAAUUAUAUAAAUUACAAUAAUAAUAGUGAUAAUUUUUUUUUUGAGAGUUAGGUAGGCAUGAACAACAACUAUGCAAUCAAUUUCCUAGUAGGUACCACAACUAGUUAACAUCACUUGGCUCUCUCAAGUCACAUACAUUAACAUACAAAGCAAUACUUUCUUCUCAUGUCGACGGCUCCAAGGGCUACAACAAGUGAUCACAAUGUAACACUCUUCGAGCUAAUAUUCAGAAGAGUUAUAAUGUAUUCGAAGUUGAGACCACCUGUCGAUGGAAACAUCCCCACCGACUAUACAAGCAACCAGGGACAAGAAUCAUACUUGCUCAUCGCUCAGAAAACAAACAAACAUUGUGUUCACUGAAUUAUCAACAGGGAAUUCCGAUAGCGAAUGAACAGCUGAGGGCUUCUUUAGCUUUGUAAGAAUAGCAAGUUGGCAAAGUUAUUUUUCCAACUAGCAAGAGCCAGUAUAUGCCUCAUCUCGAGAAGUCUUCACUAAGUUGGACAUUUCCAGAACCAUCUACUUGUUUGGAGGGAGGACAUCUCCAUGAUAAACCCUCCAGGGGCCCCAAUAGAACUUUGGCCUCAUGAUAGGCACUGCUUCACCUGGAUGUUCUUCCCAGUACUUCUCCUGCUCAACAAUGGAACAAAAUGGUUAGGGCCCUUAAAAUAACACACAAUUUCUUUUUCUUCUUCUUCCUGUUUAUCAUUUGUAUUAUAUUUCUAUCUAAUCGGUGGUUGGUCAAUUAAAGGUGAACAAGAUUAAGUUCAUAACUCUUAGACACAAACCAGCUGGAUGCAUAUAGAGGCUCAGUUGUGAAGAGGGAUUGAAAAUAAUUGGAAAGAAGAUAUGUCAUUCCACCCUUCUUAUCUUCUAAAUUCAUUCUUGUUGUAAUACAGAUGAAACUGAAGAUAACUGGUCGGAAUUGAACCACUAUGAUUCCUUAGCAUGACGCCUAGGUCUGAAUUUAUUAAUUUGGCAUGUGGAUUUACAUUAGAUUAGUAGCUUUAAAUAACUAAAGAAGGAUUUGAGCAGGUCAAGUUCUUAUUUUUCAUGUAAAACAGAACAGAGGAUUCCAAGAGAUGCUGGUCUUGUGAUUAUAUAAACUUGCAUUGAUCAAGUGAUAUAAGAUAAUAUCUUCAUCCUAUGCCCACUGAACAAAGAGAAAGAAGCCAUACUUGUAUUUUUGUCAGGUCAUAACAGUUUUCCGUGUUUUUAGAACAAAAAGUUUGAAUACUUAUUAUCUUAAAUGAGAUUACUAUUUCAUUGCAUUGUGAUAAAAAAAAACAACAGUUUCAACAAUUCUUCUAUCCAGUAGUAAGUCAUCUAGGAUAGCACAAAUCCUAUAAUGAAAUAUUGCAAAGCAUAAAAAGUGAUAGAAUUUCACAAACAGUAAGAGUGCAAUUAAAAAGAAGAAAGAUUAAAUAAAUUUGAGAGCAAGUUUUGAGCAGGUAGUGCAGUUUCUAGCAAGUAAUGAGGACAACGGCAUAGGGAAUAAAGCCAAAUAAACAUUUGUAUGGUAUUAAAUGAUAAAAUUUUUCAGAUAUUACUUACAUCAACAUAAACAUCAAUGAAUUGUUCAUUACGACAUAAACUAUCCAUUAUCUUUUCCAACUAUAACAAAGGGAUAUAAAACAUCUAAUGGAAUUUAUUCCUCUCAUUCAAAAGAAGUUGAUAGCUUACUUUACAGAGACAAAAAAAAUUGCAAUAGCAGGGAGAGAACUCACAACCUUAAAUUCUACUAACAAAAACCUAACCCCUACCCAAAAAUUCCUCCUCUUAAAUUCCUUAAAUCCCUCUUCUACUUAUAUCCUUAAAUUCCUCCUUUUAACAUAAAACUAACCCGUAUCCAAAUAUAAAAUGCGCGCGCGCAUGAGAGAAAACUAAUUGUGAAAGUGCCCGCAGUAAAUUCUCCAUGAAAUAGUGAGCAACCAGCCACAGUAAGAUCAUUCAUUUUUACUAGCUGGUAAUUUUCGAAUUCUCCCAAUUUCUUUUAUACCUAAAAAUGUAUGGAGACCCCUCAACAAUAGGUGUUUCUAAAAUUGCUCCCUCAACUUCUAAUUUGAAAGGUAAGCUUAUAUUGAUGUGAGCGAUAACUUUAUUUAGAGUCCGUCUCCCGUACUUUCGAAAGUACGGGAGGCCCCGUGCUUGUAAGUUGUUUUCGAUGAUAGGACGUUCAAUUCAACGAUCGGCUCCGUUAGGCAUAAUCUACCCUAUUGGAACUAUCUAGAAACUAAAUUUUAGAUUUUUUUGACAUCAUUUACUAAGCGAUCAAAAGGCCUAAAAAAUGACUAUUUUAACGGUCGAUGUGGCACAUUUUUAAGUUCAACGGUGUAGAAAUAUCCAAAUUACAUGAAAAUUUAAUAGAAAAUUCUACUUAACAUCAGUAGCAAGAUCAAUACUUCCGAUUUAAAAUUUGAAUCCUUUAUCACUGUUUUUUAUGAGAUUUUCAUUUUCAGCCGUUCAUUUUGAGGCUACUCGUUCACUAGACAAACGAAAUCAAAAAAUUAUGAAAUUUGGUUUCUAGAUAGUUCCAAUAGCGUAGAUCAAGUUUAACGGAACCGAUCGCCGAAUCGAAUGUCCCAUCAUCGAAAACAACUUACAAGCACGGAGCCUCCCGUACUUUCGAAAGCAUAGGAGCCUAGCUCCUUUAUUUAUUUAUUUAUUUAAUAAUUUUGACACCCUUCAACAUGGAAAAUUUUCAUUUGAGAUUUAAUAGUGAAAAAUUUUGACUAAAUUUCAUGGCUCAAUUAGCAAUUCGCAUCAAAUUAAACUAGUUUUAUUCACUAUAAAGUAGUUUAAACUAAUAAAAUUGAUGGAAUUAUCAAUCAAUUUGGUACGACCCUGAAUUUAUUCGGCUAAGAUCACUCAGUCAUUCCACAAAAUGAAAAGCUGAGGUGGUCUCAAUCAAAAAUUUAUAGCUCCUACUUUAACACCAAAAAUCAAACAAGGGCAACACAUGAGAUCAUAAUCUAACCUUAGUUGCUUAUACGCAACAAAAUUCUACUAAAAGGGAAGGGGGAAAGAGAUCCAAAAGGAGGGGAUCGUACUAAUACCUUGUAGAGUUGCUCGGUAAUGGCGGAUCCGAUGACCCCCGUGUAGAACGCGGCGACGUAGAGGGAAACGAGAGGGGCGAAGGAUUUGGGGCGGCGAUAGGGCUCGACCAUGUCCCAAAGAACCGUUUUUUCCCACCCGUAGAACUUUCGAUCGGCGUACCACCUCCACACCCUACUCGUCAUCGGCGAUUGCUGUUGCUAUUACCUGCGCAGAAUAGAUCACAGAGCUCUAGGGUUUGCGAGGGGGACGUGAAUUGAGGACGAUCCGUGAACAGAGAUUGGAGAUUUCGCCGUGCUCGAGAUACCGAUGCCGUGGAGAUCGGGGAUUAGGGUUGCGAGCGAGAGAGAGAGAGAGAGAGAGAGAGAGAGAGAGGGGCUCGGAUUUAGGUCCGAUACCCAGGAUUUAAGUGCCCUGGCGCGGACUUUGCCCGAAACUUAUUGGCACGGUACGGUACGACACGUGCAGAUCCGCACUUAUGCGAGUCGAUCAAACAAAUUGUUAUGUGUCAAUACAUAAUAGUAUAAAAUAUUUACUUUUUUUUAGCAACAAAAUAAUUUAAUUAUUUAUUAUACUUUUUUAUUAUAUUAUUUGAACUUUAUUGAGAAAAUUACUUACUAAUUUAAAGAAUAAAGAAUUUUGAGCUGUGCCAUCGGCACGAAAUCUGUAUCGUGUGAGUAUCUUGGUGGCAUGGUGAAUACGGCUCAUGCUGAUGGGCAUUUAAAACCUUACUGAUACAAACCAAGAAUUUUAAUGAUAAUUUCUACUAUUGUAUUCACCAUACCAUAUCGUGUUAACAAUAUAUCAGUACAAUACAAUUUCGUUCUGAUGAUAUAGCUCAAAAUUUUAUAUUUUUCAAUUAAUAAGUAAUUUUUUAAUAAAAUUUAAAAAUUUUGAUAAAGAUAUAUAAUAAAAAAUUAGAAUAGCUUGUUGUUACAAAAAAUAAAUAUUUCAUAUUAUUAUUUGUCGGUAUGCAUGUAUUUUUUAUGACCGGUAUGUAUCAGUACGUUCCGACACGUACCGCACCGUACCGUAGCAGUAAGUUUCCGACUGCACUUAAAUCCUUAAUACAACCUACAACAAAGAGAGUGGAAAUGCAGAGAGAGAGAUUUUUUUCGAAUGUAAAAACUUCAACAGUUGAACAAAUUGCGUGUAAGUUGGAUAAAACUUAAUGGGGAGAGCUCCUCAACAAGACGAUUUGUGGUUAAAUAUAAAUUUUGCUUUUAUUGAAUAAUUAUUUAGAUAUUUUUUAAUAUUAAAAUAACAAAUUUAAAAGAAAGAAGUAUAAUUUUUGGAUAAAAAUAAAAAUAAUACGUGGCAAGAAAUGAAAAUGACACGUGACGACAAAUUAGCAAGAGACGAAAUUUUUUCUUACUAGUUGCUGAGCUUUAACUCAAGUUUUACUUUGGUCUUCCAAUUUUCAAAUUCUAUAUUCAUGUUCUAAAAUUUUGAUAAUAUUAAAAAUCAAGUUAGAUAAUAUUUUUGCUAAACUUUAUUUUCGUCUACAAAUUCCGAAUAAUAUUUACGGUUGAAAAUAACCUCACCAUUUUCUAUUUCCAUCCUCUAGUUUCGGCAAAACAAGCAUCACCUUAAUAGCACUUCACAGCCAACAACAACAGCUGCUUGAAUUAAAUGUACAAAAGUUGUAUCUUUUUCAUUCUUUUCAAAUUAGAAAAUUACAGUAAAAGGAAAAGGAAAUAGAGCAGCUACAUAAAGAGAUGUCUCACAAAGGUAAUGAGGGAUACAUCUACUUCCCAUUGAUAAGAGAAACCAAAAAAACAACAACACUAUGUGCAUGUUCUAUGUCAGCGAAACGAAUUUUGAAUUUCCAGUUAACAAGGAAGAAAAAAAUUUGCUCUAAGCUCCCUGUGAGUUCAAAAAAAUUUCGCAAUAUCUGCUUCCCCUGUUACAGCCCACCCCAGUUCAUGAACUUCUUCACCUCAUCAUACAAAACCAAUAUGGCCGCGGCUCCCGUGCUCCGAAACAUAUUCGACAGCGCCCCACGGUAAAACGAACCCAACCCCUCGAGCCUAUAUAUCUUUCUCCAACAAUCCAAUGUCGAGUCAUACACCGGCUUUUCCAUCCCCGACUGCAUCAUCAUCCUCCUCCGCACGGUAUCCAACGGGUACGAAAUUAAGCCCGCCGUUGUAGUAACCGCCUGCGCCGCGACCCACCUCUUCCACAGUGGGGACUCGUUCGUUAUUAAGCAAUCCUUCACGGUGUCGAAGCCCCCAAAGUAUAGGCCGCGGUGGAUGACCAUGCCGUGGAGGGAGGCGGGGAGGCCACGGUAGAUGCCGCGGAUUCCGUUUUUCUGGUAGAUUGUGUGAAGGAAGUGGCAGAUGCCGCGGAACUGGCGGGAGUCGGUGUGGCCCACGUCAGCAGCGAGGCGGGUGUGCGCGAUGUCGAGAGGGUAGAUGAUGACUAGGGUCGUGCAGCCGGCCGCAGCCCCAGCGAUGAAGUUGGUGGUCGCGAUGGACGUGAAUAAUUGGUUGUUGGCCGAUGUUUCUUCACCUUUUAACAUGGACCUGUAUAGAUCCUGGUAGAAAUAAUUCAUGAAUAAAUUAAUAAACUUGACGACACAAGUUAAGAAAUGGAAUUGCAUGAAAUUUACAAGACGAAAUUUCAGAUGAGAAUUUUAGCAGAAAGUCAGAAACAAAUUGCGCUCUCGGUGUGCGUUCCGGAUUUGAUCAAAGGCCAAUUAGUUGUGGAAUUGUACCAAAGAGUAAGUGAGAGAAUUUGAUGUUAACAAUAUUAUCAGGCAACAAUCUUACAAUGACACCAACCGUCCCUAGAGCAAGUGGCAAAGGGCUUGGUGGUUGGUACCCGAGACCCAAGUUCGAAUACUCGUUGAUUCACAUUUCCAGCUAAGUUUAUUUCUAAAUGAAAUAAACGAAGCGGGUAGCGUGCUACCUAUCUCUCAAAAAAAAAAAAAAAAAAAUAUUACAAUGACAGGUAAUUUGAAGGAGAAUAAGCACAUUUACCCGUCGAAAUUCUUUUCCCUGCACUAGCAGGAUACAUACACCACAUCCAACAUAGAUAAUCAGACAUAUGGUAGCACAAUUUGUUAAAAAUUCCACUUUUUCCCCAUAAGAGCUCUCAUGAAUUAGGGCAAAUAACAGGAGACAUUCUUUUCUCGUGAUUUGUGCCACUUUGAUAUUUCUUCAGGUAAGUUUUUGAGUUUCAAACCAAAACUAUGGCCAUAGAUGAUGGAAUUCCCAGACAGAGAAAACAAUGCAAAUCUAUAAUAUCAAUGAAAAGGAAUUGCAUGGCAAAUAAUCAAAGGCCGAUGAUUGCAUGGAUACAACAGGUGGACUGGUAGAGAUUUAAAGAGUAAAAUCAUGACGGCUCUGCCAGUUUGAAAUGAUAUGCUGUUAACUUCUCUGUUAUACACCGUUUAAAAAUUUGUCUCAUCAGUAAAACCUACCAAUGGUACAUACACCAUCCCAGGUCCUAGCAAAGCAGCAAACCCCAACCAAACUCCUACAAAUAGCAUGAAGUCUUAUGGUUGCCUUACAUGAAAUUAUGUAGCUGCACCCAACUAAAGAGGCAUCUUUGUCACCUGAUUUUACCCAAUAAACUUAUAUGAUGAGACCAAAAAGCUGUACGUUUUGAUAAUUACACCAUCUAAAGAUUUCUGACUCCAAUUACUAGCUAAUUUUAUAACUUUCUAUAUUCCCUACAAGUCAUGCACCACAGAACUGAGACUCGAAUUCUUCCAGAAAAGCGGAAAGUAUGCCUCAUAGAAGUGUUUUACAAAGAAAAGUAAAAAAACAAAGAAUCAAAGCUGAUCCAGCCAAAAAAAUGGAAAGGUUAAAACCGCCUGGCGUUCAUCUAUAUUAUUCUCCUAGCAAGGACGAGUACAUAGUAGGUUCUUCUAACAGCGAAAAAAGGAUAAAUGGAGCAUUCAAGGAUUCACUUUACUGUCUAGAUUUCCAUUUGAAACAUAUUCUUCUUUCAGUAAAGAUACAAUGUGUCACUAUACAUUGACCGGCAAAUGCUAAAAAAUUAACUAAAAUUGGAAUUGACAUCACAUCCAAAGUAAAAUCAAAGCAGUUUAUUUCAAUCUUUAUAUUUAAACACCUUUAUACCCCUUCCAAAGAUUUCUUUUUUUUUUUUCCAAAUAUGCAUUGAAAGCCCAUUCCCUAAUCCCUAAAAGAGAAAUAUGCAUUGAUAGCCCAUUCGUCAAUUUUUCAUUUAAAUAGAUGCUUUAUUUAAAAAAAAAAAAAAACUCCUUCAGCAAUCAACACCCAUUUCAAACACACACAUUUAAAACUCCAAAGACCAUUAUAUGUACUUUUCAGUUCUAUCAAUACCAUCCCAACUGAUAUCUGGCCAUCAUUGGUUACUUAUAACAGCCCAUGUCUGUGGUCAUAGGUAAUGCCCCUAGUUAUCAAUAACCCUCCGCCUACCCAGUUGACUUUGUCCAAUGUGACCCCAAAGACACAAUAUUACAUUCCAUUGCUGAAUAAUAUCAACUCUUGUCCCUUGCUCAAUACGAAAAUGAAUAAUUCAAACCUUGUACCUUUUUCAAUACUCAACUUCGUGAUAUAUCUCAAAGGUCACAAGGAGAAUUAUUUACUGUUGGUGCACUUUGAAUUUUCCAAAAUUCAGACACAACCAAGAUUAAAACGAUAAUGGCAAUGACCUACAGAAUAUAACAACCCAUAUAAGUGAAGACACUACUUCCCAGGGGUAAGUGUUGUAAAUUCUUGCCUAAAGUACUAUAUUGUUUGAAAUCAAGCACACAAUAUAUGACCAAUGUCAAACUUUACCACAAUUGGUCUUUAGAGAAUAAGAGCUCUUGACCAUACCUAACAAAUUAACAAGUAGGAUAGUAACGUUCCACCCAUACUUAAUACAUACUAAAAACCCUUAAAUCCAGUCUAAGGUUGGGGGGAUUCUCAAGCCCGUUAUUGCCUUGCCGCCCACUAAGACCAGUUGACAACUUGACAUAUAUAAUAGAAUGUAGUUUAGUUGAGUGUUCCACCCUUUAUGAGCGUAUCUAAGGCCAAUCGUCCCGUCUCUUCUAACCAGAAUAAAAAAUGCCGAUAUGAAACGGGUUGCUAUUUUAACACACUCAAUGCCGAUAUGAAAGGUUGUUUCCGAAAAUGUUACAUGUUUAACAUAUUGAAUUAAAAGUUGAAAAAAAAAAAUGGGUAUCAAAAAUUCACAUUAAGGCGACAUAUAAUUGAAUUCAAAGAAUUCUUAUGGUAAAAAUUCAAAUAUUGAAAUAAACAUGUAAAAUUUCAAAAAUAAAGCAAACAUGUAAAUCUGAAAAAUUCGGAAAAGAAAAUGCGUAGGGAUAGAACAAAUAAGAGCACGUAGAGAGAAAUGCUUGAUUUGAAGGUUUCCUAAAACUGAUACUAACCAGCAAACAUUGAUUUCAAGUCUUCAAGCAUACACAGGACUGAAAAUAACGAAGUAGAUUAUAAAUACAUAUUUAAUUAAAAUUCUAUAUCACAAAAAACAUGACCACUUGGCCAACAUUCCACAAUGCCAUCAAUGACAAGCUUCUAAAACAAGGUCUGAGAUAACCAUUGUACAUACUUGGACUGGCGAAAAUUACAAAUAAUGCCAUGCCUUCAGGACCGUAAAUACACUUUUUGAUGCUGACAACUCACGCUACCAUAUAAUCCGUAAAGUCAUAAUGGAAGUUCGAUAUGCUAAAAGCUCAGUACCUACAAUGUGUAAGGACAUAAUAAUUGACAAUUGAAGACGAACAAAAUAUUUCACAAGCAACGUGCCAUAGGACACACAAAACAGAUUGGUGAGACUGAUAUACGACAAGGCCAUCAGUCAAACACGGGACUGCUAGUAGCCUUGCAUUUGUUUCAGGCUCAUCCUUUGUAAUCAUUUGUCUGCUUAGCGUUAAAAGGACCCUUCUUCACGACCAUUAGCAAGGACACGUGUAAGGAUAUGCCUUUACUUUCAAAGAUACUUUAAAGUGAUCAACACACACAACUUCCAGUAUGAUCCUGUCUCCUAUAACGACAUGCUUGUUUUAUGAAGAAUAUCAUUGUUUCUAUGACCUCGUUAGCUAUUAAAUGAAGGGUAAAUCUCUCGCAGAAAGUUAACGUGCCAAGAAGCACUUCUUCCCUCUAAGCCAGUUUAAAUGAUGGAAUAGUUGGGCCGCACACAUAUUCCUAAAAUAAAGUGGCAUACUAAAAAUCAACCUGUCCUCAAUCAAUCACACAGGUAAUGGGAUCCUUCAUCAUUCAGGCUUCAUAUAAUGGUUAAUCAAUACCAAUCAUCAACAUGCGCCAUCUGAAAUUAACAGCAUUCACUAAUUCAAGCCAAAAUGUAUUUUUACAUCAUUUGCCCACUAUCUCUACGUAGUCUUCUUCUCACAUUAUCAACAUGCAAUUUCUACAACUUCAAAUCUAAUUCAUUGCAUAAAUUAGCUAACUUAUGAACCACUACGAGUCUACAUAUAGAGCCGAUUGCCCCUCGAUAAUUCAUUGCGUCCUAGAACCAAAAUCUCAAAAUGGAUUUAUCCUCUAUAGGGUUCAGCUUACUUUCGCUGAUAGUAUACUAGAACCUUGAAAACCUAGGACAAUAACAAGUAGAUUCACAUGCAUUAUCAAACCAUCCAGGGCAUAAAUUAAGCUACUAAACGUCAUAACUACUAUCACUAAUUAGUUCCCCAAUCUCAAUUCUCAAACAGAGGCAUUCAUAGCACAAUUUCUCCUCCUCUUUGGCCCUGUAAAAUUAAAUAGAGAUAUAAAUGGAAACAAAUGAUACGCUGUGGAAUCAAAAGAACAGGAAUCCGAUCGUCCGAUCAGAAACCCCGCGAUCGAUCUCCGCAGCGAGGAGGGCGUCAAAGAAGAGGGUUCGACUGCUAGGGUUAGGGUUAGGGUGAGGGUGAGGGCGAGGGUGAGAGAGAGGGAGAGGUGUGCACCUUGAGGGAGAAGUUGAGGGCGACGGAGGGGUAGUAUCGGAGGACGCCGGUGCCGUUGCCGCGCCAGAGGGAGAGGGCGCCCUCGUCGCGCACGGUGCGGGCGACGCAGUCGACGAAGCCGCGGAAGCGGCGGCGGCGCCCGAGGAGCGCGGCGUUCCCGUCCUGCGUCUGGAGCAGCAGCUUCACCCGCUCGAUCGGCGCCACCACCGUGUGCACCGCGCCCCCCACCACAUCCCUCUCGACUCCCUCACCCUCCCUUCCCCAUCCUCUCCCCCUCCUCCUCCUCUCCUCCUCUCCUCCUCGCCCGCCACCAACGACUUCGAUCGUCGCCACCUCCGCCGCCUCCGCCGCGUCGUCGAUCGCUUCUUCUUCUUCUUCUUCUUCGUCGUCGGCGUCUUCGAUUCGCCUACGCCGCGACCUCCUCAUUCGCUUCCUCUUCCUCUUCUAAUGCUUCUCCUCCUCCCUUACUCCUCCUUUAUUCUUCUCUAUUAAAUUAAGAAUAGAAGGUAAGGUAAGGUAAGGUAAGAACGUGUACAAGUUAAGCUCUUACACCAUUUUGAUUUUGAUUUUGAUUUACGGGGGGUUUGGUUUCAAGUAAAAUUAUAAAAAAUAAUUUGUUUGAAAAAAAAAUUUAUAUUUUGUAGUAUUUAUUUUGUAAGGAAAAAAUAAUUUUUUAUCGAUAUUUAUUUAGUUAAAAAAAAAUUACAUUUGUUUGGCUUGGUUUAAAAAAUAAAGGAAAAAAUAUUUUAUGCAGCGUGAAUUUUUGUUUUCUACAUAAAUUUGGCAAAAAAACAAAAACACUUUGUUUUCCUCAAAUUUAGAAAGCCGAAAAGUAAUUUUCAGUAUAUUUUACGGCCAACCAAACACACCCUUAGCUAUCCAAUUUUUCAAAAUUUUAAUUUUAUUAUCUAACUUCUCAAAUUUAAAGUUAACUACUUAUUUUAAAAAAUUUUUGUUUAUAAAAAUUAGAUAAAAUAUACUAACCGAACCUGUAAAAAUAAACGUUGCAUUCAAAUUUUAAAGUCAAAGUGUUUCUGAUCGACUGAAAUUUAAAAGUUUGAAAGGUCAAAUAGUAAAAUCAAAAUUUUAGUAAAAGGUUGGAUAGCUAUAUUGGCUCAUAAUAUAAAUAAUAAUAACUUCUAUAUGUUUUUAAUUAAAUAAAACUACUAUUGUUUAAUAUAAUUAAUAUUUUUUAAGUAAAACUUUUAUAAAUAUUGCUUAUCUAAACUUUGGUCCAUUUUCAUUUAAAUAUCCAAUUUUCUAAUUUUCAAUUAUUAAAUCCAACAUUUCUAUUAAGAAUUCUUGUAGAAAAUUUAAAUCCAUUACUACAAUAGGAAGUAUAAUUACAUAAACUGCAUGAAUAUACUAAUUAAAUUUUAAAAAAACAAAUAAUAUAUUUAACUUUUAAAUUAUUAAAAUUAUUAGAGUAAUUUAAACUAAUAUACUAAAAAGUUAAAGAGGAUAAUUAAAUAUUUAUCCCAAAAAAAUUAAAAUUUUAAAAAAUUAUAUUAUAUAAUUUAAUCAAAGUACACCCAAAAAAUGGGUGUAGAUUUUUACAUCUCUUCAUCCAAUAGUCAUUAUUUCUAAUGAUAAAAUUUAAGAGAAUUAUUUAAAUUUGAGAAUUAUAAGAUGUCCACCAAUUUUUUGGAUUUGUGUAUAGCAUUUAAGCUUAUGAAAUUUUGCCUAUUUUUCUACUUUGAAUUUGAAUUUGUAUAUGUAUAAAAAGAUGAAGAGAAGUACGGCUCUGAAAAAAAUAAAAAUGUAUAAAACUUAUCUGAAUUAUCUAAUUUUAGUAUCAAAUAUUUUAAUUUGUUUGAUUUAAUUAAUUUGAUGGUUUUUCGGAUAUAUAUUUUAAGCUAAUUACUUAUUAUAAUGAAUUUAUAGCUAAGUGAAUUGUAUAAAAUAUAUUAACUAAACUAAUAAUUUAAAAUUCAAAUUAUAAAGUUAAGGGCCACUAAUUGAAGCAAAUCAAAUAAAUUAGAAGAUUAAAUAGUAAAAUAAAAAAUUAUAAAAAUUAGACAGUAAAAUCAAAAUAGGUAAUACUCGAAGUUUUAUAUAUUUUUAUCAAAAUUAUUUAUAAUGGGCACGCAAACGUAUAUACUAUGAGAGGUUGAGAUACACACGUAACGUCUUCAGUGUAACGUUUUCAACAAAUUAUAUCUACAUUUAUAUUUUUUUGGAACAUGAAUUUUGAUCAGAAUAUGUAUCUGAUGUUAAAUUAUGUUUACCAUAUCCAUUUAAAAUAAAUUCAGAUUCAAAUAUAAAUUAAAUUUGUAUUCGAAUAUUAUUCAGAUAAUAAUAUAUACUAAUAUGUAGAGUUGAGCUCGAAUGCUAUUAAUAGCAAACGAGCUCCUGCCAUCUAUUUGUUUUCGAUGAUGGAGUUUCAAAAUCAACAAUCGACAUCGUUAAAUAUGAUCUAUACCACUUGAAGUAUUUAAAAAUCAAAUUCAUACUUUUUCAAUAUUAUUCUCUUGUUCAUCAAGUGGAUACAAAAAUAAACGGCUGAAAAAAAAUAAUCUAAAAUUAGUACGAAAACAAACAAUGCAAUUAAAGAUUCACAAUCGUGUUCAAACUUUAUAUAUCUAUAUUUUAUUCAAUAAAAUUUAAUAUUUUUACUAAAUAUACAUGUAAUUUUAAUGUGCAACUCGCCAUAAAAGGCCUGAAAAAUAAUUUAUCUUCCUAUAAUAUAUAUUUACGUAUCUCUUAUCUCUUAGGCGUGGAAACGGUCAAAUACGGUCAGUUUUUCAAAAAAAUCAUAUUCGCAUUCUUCUUUUUUUUUGAAGCGAAUUCGAAUAUAAAUAUGUAUCAAAUAUUAAAUUUUAAUUUGCAUCCUAUCGAAUCCGGUAUCAGAGUGUAUCCUAACCAUUUUGAACCCUAGCCUACGAGCCAGUGUCGUAGCUCACAUAACUCAAACUUUCGGUAAAGUUUACCACCAUAUUUGUUCCCGUCAUGGUUAGGAGUGUCAAUAGUACGGAUAAUCUUUAUCCGGAUCCAAAUCCGAAUCCGAAUUCGAAUGACCGUAUUUAACUAAUGCUAAAUAAGUAUGAUUUUGAUUACAUGUAUAAAAAAAUAGAAAUUCAACUUAUUUGGAUUCGGAUAUGAUUUUUUUCAAUAUCCAAUCCGAACUCGAACCCAUAUUUGGAGCCGAACCGAAUCCGAACUAGUUUUACAUAGCAUAUUAUAUAAAAAUUUAAAUUUGUAUUUUGAAAAUUUAGAUUUGAAUAACACAUUUUAAAAUUUGGUAAAGAGAAAUGAUUUCAGAUUCCCCGAAUCUUGAGUUUUUUGGCAGUUUCGAUACUGGUUAUGGAUUUUCAAAAUCCGACCGAUUCAGAUUUGAAUUCGGAUUUCAAUUUCAAGAGUUAGGUUGAGAUUUGGAUUUCUGAAAAUAUGCUCUGAAUAUCAUCCGUUAUCCCUUGACAUGGUUAACAUAUUUUUACUUUACCAUCAUACAGUUUAAAAAUAAUUUAUUUUAAUUAGUUGGUAAUUUUAUUUUUAUUUUGUUGUAAAACUUUAUAGUUAAAUAUGGUAAAGUAUAGUUAUUUAUUAUUAUUAUUAUAACUUAUACUUUAUUGCAAAUUGAAGAAAUGUGGUAAGGUUUUUUCUUUUUUUUUUUCUUUUUUUUUUUAUAUUGAACCUGGAGAAAAUUUCUGCAAGCUCCUCCUUUUCACUCUUGGCCUGGAUGACAUUUUGAUUUUUAAAUUUUUUAUUAAAAUUUUAAGUUUAAAUUUUAAAAAAAUUGUUAUAGUUAACUUCUAUAGUCUAAAUUAGUUGACUAAAUAUUAAUAUAUUACUAAUAUAGAAGUGAUGUAACAAUAUUGUGAUUAAUAAUGUGUCAAUAAUUAAGAUUCUAUAUUAUUUUUACAUCAGUAAUGCAUUGAUAUUUAAUUUGAAUUGUCGGACUUGAUUGCAGCAGUGAAUAGUUUUUUAAAUUUUAACAUUUAAUAUAUGUGGCGGUAAGAUUACUACCAACAUAGAAAAAAAAAAAAAUUUCUAUUUAAAGAGUGAUUAGGGAGAUAAAUUUAUUUUUAAUUUAAAAUUAUUCUCCUCGAGUGCUAGCUAUUAGAUACUGCAGCAAAUUUAAAUAUAGUUGCAAUUACUAUAAUUGAGUCUUCUCAUACAGUUUAAAUUUUAACAAUCGAUUUCAAAAAUAUCAAAUUAAAUAUCGAAUUUGAAUCUGUUUAUAAUUACAAUUAUAAUAUAAUUGUAACUACGUGCAACUAAAGUGGCCUUCAAGGCUUCAAUUAUCUUUCCCUAGGCUUGAUCCUUCUAGAAAAUAUCCUAAAAAUAGUGAGAGCAAUAAUAAAAAUAAAUAAUAAUUAUUUUGCAUUUGUGGGCCCCACUGAGCAUCUUUAUAUAAAUUUUAUGGUAUGCGUGGCUCCGCAGCCACAUAUAGAGGUCAAAGAAUUGAUGCCAUGAUUGGAAACAAAAUAAUAAUAAUUAUAAAAAUAAAAAUAAAAUUUAGUGGAGAACUUUUCGAUCCACAUCUCGUUUACGUUGUUUAAUCAGUUAUCACGUGUCAUUUUCUAUCUUUAUUUUAAAUUUAUAAUUUUGUAAAUUAAAAAUAUUUUAAUUUUUAGUUGUUGUUGCGAGCUGAAUUACUUAAUCGUUGGCUUAGUUAAAUAUGUUCUCUUGAAAAACGUUCAAUCAGUAUCUAGAGCGGCUACUGAUAACGACCCUCGAAACUUGCGCCUAUAAGUGAAUCAAGCGAUUCGGCUGAUGAGCCGAGUUCAGAUACCACACUGUAGAUUCAGUUUGGCUGAAGAGCCGAAUGAUAUUUAUAUGUAUUGCCGAAAGAAAAAAAAAUGUUACAGAAAGAUUUACGUCGCUGUGGCGUCUAGUUUUAAAAGAACUACAAAUUUGGAACUACUGCUUAAAAAAGCAAGAAAUGCGGAGAAAAAUAAAAAUUACCAAUAGACUACUUCCAGAAAGCGAAAAAAAUUGCAUUGAGUCGGCAGCCAUAUAGAGGUCAAAGAAUUGAUGCCAUGAUUGGAAACAAAAUAAUAAUAAUAAUUAUAAAAAUAAAAUUCAGUGGAGAACUUUCGAUCAACAUCUUUUAUUUAAUCAGUUGUCACAUGUCAUUUUUUAUCUUUAUUUUAAAUUUAUAAUUUUGUAAAUUAAAAGUAUUUUAAUUUUUAGUAUUUGUUGCGAGCCGAAUUACUUGACCGUUGACUUAGUUAAAUAUGUUCUCUCGAAAAACAUUCAAUGAGUAUCUAAAGCGGCUACUGAUAAUGACCCUCGAAACUUGCACCCACAAGUGAAUCAAGCGAUUCGGCUGAUGAAGAAUCAGACCAGCCGAGUUCAGAUACCAUACUGUAGAUUCAGUUUGGCUGAAGAGCCGAAUGAUAUUUAUAUGUAUUGUCGAAAGAAAAAAAAAAUGUUCACAGAAAGAUUUUCGUCGCUAUAGCGUCUACUCUUAAAAGAAUUACUAAUUUAGAACUACUACUAAAAAAGCAAGAAAUGCGGAGAAAAAUAGAAAUUACCAAUAGACUACUUCCAGAAAGCGAAAAAAAUACGUUUUAAAUAAACUGAUCUUCCUGUUCUCGGAAAAAAAGACCUUUUUGUCGGCCGUCUUCCAUUUAUUUAUACCUCUGCCCGUUAUUUAUUCAGUUAUUUCCCCCUAUCGGCCACAUUCCUAUUUCUGCAAACCACUUUCAUCCGAUCUUAAUUGCAUUGGGCCACAAUCCUAUUUCUGCAAACCACUUUCAUCCUAUCUUAAUUGCAUUGGUUUUAACCGUUCUUUAGUUUUUUAUGCUUCCUUUUCAACUCCUAACGCACCACAUGUUACUUUUUUCUGGUCUCAAAAAUGUGGUGCAUACCGGUUCACCACGUGGCGUAACUUUAGAACGCCAACAGUAUUAAAGAAUAUUUAAAAAUAAUUGAGUAGAAAUAAAACUAACACGUAAGAAGCUCCCCACUAAAAAUUUUAUCCGCUGUACUCGCCAACUUAUUCGACUUCAAAAGCUUGGACUAUUUGGUUCUUCAAACAAGCGUGGAAAAAGAUUUUGUGAAUUAUGAAAAAAAAAGUUUCAGUUUUUCAUUUGUUUAAUUUCAAAGAAAAUUAGUUUUUUUGAAAAGCUUCUUUCCAAAUUUAUAAAAAAAAAAAAACUAGCAUUUUUAUUUCAAAAAAAUCAAAAAUAAAAAUAUUAAUUUGCCAUAAAAUUUGAAAAAUAAUUUUUUUAAAAAAAAGUAAUUUUUUUAAAAUCAAACAAAUGAAAAAUUGAAAAAAAAAAAAUUUCAUAAAAGACUUUUUUUAAAAAAAAAAGAAAUUUCACACUUUUUUAACGAACCAAACAUGGCCCAAAAAAAGCACCAUAAAAUUUUAAUAGUUAAGGGAUUAUUUUAUUUUAUUUUAUUUUAUUUUAUGUAUGUAUAAAAAAUAGGAUAAGAUGAAACUGGUCCACAAGAUGUUAGUUGUGGACAGCUACAUUAUUGAGUAUGCUGGAGAUUGGAAGGUGAAAGAGAUUAAAGCAUGUUUAUUCCUUUGUAUAAAAUAAUUAAUUGUACUUUGAAAAAGUCGCCAAUUGUUAACAUUUGUUUCUGACACCGAAAUUGCGAGGUCAUUCGAUUCCUCGCUUACAAUUGUACGGAUAUAUCUUCCGACUUGGAUUCGGUGGAGGGCGAAGUCGUGCUAUGCCAAAGAGCCCUUAGGCCCUGUUUGUUUCGACGGAAGGGGGUGGAAGUGAGACAAGGAAAGUGAUUUUCGGUAAAAAUUUAUCACUUGCGUCGUUUGAUUCACCGUAAUUUUAUUACUCCCGAAAGUCCAGUUCACCUAAAAUAAUGAACUUGACUUUGCCCUCCCAUGAGGCGAAGUCAAUUACGAUGAAGUGAAAAAAAGACAAGAAUGAAUUAAUGUGUUAGGAUUACCUCUUCUAAAAUAUGAUCAAAUUUGAUUAGAUAAACUUUAAUAUGUUUUUUGUUUAAUUUGUAUAUUUAGAAAAUGAUGAAAAAUAAAUUUGUUAAAUGUUAAUAAUUUUUUAACUUUAGAAUUUUAUUUGUUGCAUUAUUAUAAUUUAUAUGCAAACAAAUAAUAUAAUUUUUUAAAAUUUUAUUUUAUAAUUAUACAUAUAUAUAAUUAUAUACAUAUAUAAUUAUAUUAAUUUUUAUUUAUUAUAAUUUAUUAUUCACUAUAAAUUACAAAUAGACAAUGAUAUCACUUGAAGGUAAAUAUACCGGAGGUGGAGAGCUACACUUUUUACGUCAUUUACUUCCUACCAAACAAACAACAGAACUCGCAGAACUGCACUUUCACCGUUAAAAACAAACAGCAGAAGUGAACUAAUUUUCACCCCAACUCCACUUCAACUCAAAGUCCACUUCUACCCCAAGUCUACUUACGUUGAAACAAACAUACCCUCGGUGGGGGUGGAUACAGGUAACUAGUUGGUCCGCAGAUGACGUGGUACACCUGUUCUUAAUAUCUUGCACGCAAAAGAUAAUUGCUUUGGAGGGAAUUGAUGAGGUGUGAAUUACUAUUAAUUAUUAUGGGAAUAGUUUUUGGGGAUUAAAAAACCUUAGACUCUGUUUAAAUGUAGAAUAAAUUAUUUAUGAGACUCUUUUAGUGUGAUUGUAACUAAAAAAUUUAAUUUCUAUUUUCUUAAAAAAUUUACUAUUUAUAAUUUUAUAGGAUAAUAUAUUUCAAGAUAUGACUUUAAAAACGAAUGUAAUAUUCUAUUCUAAACAAACAUGAUCACAUUCCUUACCCACCAAAUAUAAAAAUUUUGAGUAAAUUUAAAAAAUAUAUACUGAACAAAAUAUUCAUAUAUUUCAACAGUAAUAUAUAUUCGGUACGAAGAUUCGCUUAUACGAUUGAAAAUUAGCAAUUUGAUUUUUGCUCUUUAAAAAACUUUGACAUCUCUAAUAAAGGACUAAAAUAUACCUUGUGCUUUUUGAAUAAAUUAUUAAUUAUAUAAUAUGAUAUACGUAUAUAUAUAUAUAUAUAUAAUUGAGUUAGAAUAACUUGUCACCACUCUUGGUGCUUCUAGAUUUCUAACCCUGGAUGCUACUCAUCAUUAUUAAUAGUCCUUGGAUUAAACACGAUUCCACCUAUCACCAUCAUCUCAAUCUUAAAUUUUCCAUCCAAGGAUUAAAAAUUCAAAAGCACCUACCUUUUGGUACUUUUGAGAGCAUUCUAGCCUCAACUCUAAUAUAAUAUAUAUAUAAUAUAUAUAUACGAAAAAAAUAUUCAUAACAUCAAAAUAAGACCUGACCAGAGGCUUUGUCAUAGGGCCCAGUAAUAGUUAUUCUCACUGCACGUUUGGAUAAAUAAAUCAUAAAACACAUCCUGAGAUUGGAAUUUAAACCGCCAAAUGAACUCCGUAUUGUCGUUUUUUUUUUUUUUUUUUUGAGAGAUAGGUAGCACACACUCGGCCGCGCUACCCACUUCGUUUAUUUCUUUUAAAAAUAAUCUUGGCUAGAAAUAUGAAUCAACUAGGAUUUAAACUUGGAACCUCAUAUUGUUGUUAUAUGACAAUUUUCAUUGAUUCACAUUACUUGGUAUAGAACUUGCAUCUGCAAAGUAUGCAUUCAACCACUAGUUCCUAUUGCAGUUGAUUAAUAUUAGGGACUUUCCCACCUACAUUCAUGCAUUUAAUAUUAAAAAAAAAAAAAGAAGCUAAAGUAUAGAAAAUCUUCUUGCACUUUAGCCUCGAUCUCAAUUACCCCUCCAUAUUAAAAAUUGCAUCAACUAUUUCUACACUUUGUCAUCAUCUCACAGAGAUCCAAAAUUCUAAACAAUUAGACUAAAUAUUCAUUAAAACAAGUUGACAUAUCACAUUGUUCGGCAUCUCAAUAAAUAUCCAAUUUGCAACUCCAAAAAUAUAUAAAAAAUUUUAAAUAAAGAAAUCUCCUAUUUUAUGGAUACUAUCAAAAUUGAUAAUUUAUUGAGCAAUUUAUUAAAUUUUUACAAGUCUACUGCAUUACUUACAGAUAAUUUUUAUCUGCAAAUUUAUUUUUACAAAAUUUUAUAGCUGAACCAAAUAGCUAAAUCCGUUUGAGAUAAUGGCAAAAUGUAAGAAAAUAGUCGAUGCAAUAUUUUAUGGAAGGGUAAUUGAGACAAGCACUAAAAGUGCAAGAGGCUUUUUAUAAUUUAGCCUAAAGAAAAAGGGGGCAAUUUUAAUGCUUAGUAGUUAUCAUUAUCAUUAUUAUACACAUGAAGUUGCAAACCUUAAUCCCAAAAACUUCCAAUUGCUAACACUGUUUAACACCUGGAGGUUGUAACAAAGCUCAUAAAAGCUAAUAAUAAUGCGCAUUAAAUGGCGAAACAGGUUUCUAGAGCGACAUCAAUAAGGACGGUACCUGCGACCGCGAUUACCAUCACCACUACCACCACCGCCACUGCCACUGCCACCUCCUUUUCGGCCCCCGCUGGAGCUGCCACCUCGAUUGCUGCUGCCUUGAUGCGCGGGUCCCAUUGGAGCCCCAGGUUGUUGCCUGCCACAAAUUAUUGGGCCAUUGUUUGCAUCACAGCACGAUAAUUGAAGUAGAAAUGUGUUCUAUAGACAACCAAAAUGAAAUGAAUGAUUAAUAUAGAUGAAGCGGGAGACUCCGGUGGAAAAAAAAAACAAACAAACAAACAAAAAAAAAUGCACCUCGAUCCUUAAAAGCGUGCUUUCAUGAUAUUCAGGUAGUACCUACAUACGUUGUUUGCGCGCUCGUCUAUACUUUCUUCACUUUUCACAGGCUCUGGGAUCAGAUAUUUUCUCUCUCUAAAUUUUCCAAAACUUUUCUUGUUCUAUUUAGUAGUGUAUUUUAAUAUUUUGCGUUGCGCAUUGCAUGCCAACUUAAGCUUAUCUAUAAACAUGUUCGGCGGGCCGUAAUGCCACCAAGGGCAAACAACGAUGUGCUCAUCAAUCACAAUUUGUACUCAGUACUCAUAAACUGCUAGGUUUGAAUCAAAGCUGGCAUUCUAUAUCAGGAGGCGAACAAAAGUAUUUGACAGAUCUAUCUUCUUUUUGUCAUGCGAAUGAACAAAGUGCAACAAUAUUAACUAUGACAGACUAAUAUAGUGAUAAGUGCUCCCUUGAUAGUACCUCCGUAGGUUAUUUUGAUACAUAAACAAAUUAAUAUGAUAUCAUCUUGAAUAUCCUCACACAAAAUUGUUCAGGGAUAGCAUAAGGAUCAUUAAUGCUUAGAAACAGCUAGAGAGAUUGUUCUGUUUAUUUCGGCGAUGAGACCACAUCUUUAUUACUUUCCGGGCAACAGAGUGAACCCACAAACAUGCUAUUGAUCCACUCUAGCAAAUUCAUGUAUAUAUACGCCAAUAAAGUAUGGAUUUUUUCACCUCCAUUUAUAUGGCAUAUAAAAUGAAAUAAAGUUAAUUUUGCAGCACUUACAAUACAUAGCCAACGCGCCCGUCGGGUAAUACCAUUGGCACCAUUGCCAUGCCAGCAGGGUUCGGCCCCCUUCCAUAAAACAUGGGCUGAAAUAAUCAAGGCAAGAAUAGAAAACAAGUAUGGUGAGAAAUUUCUGUUUACAUGUCAGGAGGGGAAAAAAAAAAAAAAAUUUGGGUAGUGUUUGGUCGAAAAUUUCCAUUCCAAGAUAAAGAUAAGUAUCUCCAAUGGGAACUCUAGUUCACAAUGCCAGUAUCCCCAAUUUUUUUGGAUGGGAAUAAUGGGAACAAACAUUAAAUAUAGGCUGCCCAUGGUGAUAGUGCAAUCCCACCGACCGAUGGAAUUGGUAUUCACAGUAAUAAGGCAGCCCACUGGGAAUACCUGGUGUGCUCUAUUCCAGGUAGGUAUUCAAAGAAUAAUACAAGAGCUGGGGAAACAGUGCCUAUUAUAUCCUCCAAAAUUCUGCCUUAAGGUUAUGUUUUUGAUGUUUUCCAGUAGGCCCCAUAAUCAGCCCCACCGGAAAAUAACCUACUACUAGUACCUGAGAAGGCUGAGGGAUCAAAACCCUAUAAAUAUGCACAUGCAGGGUUCGAUCCUCUGCCCGCGAGAAACAGCACGGAUAAGAACCACUGCACUAGGCAGUGGUUCUACCUUAGCGGUAAAAAUUAGACCAUACCUGCAUGGGAGCUGGAGCAAGCGCACCAUAAGCACCUCCCAUUAAGCCAUAACCAAUAGGGAGCGGAUAAUUGGGCAAGAGAGGACCUUUUUGAGCACUAGGUGCUGUUUCAACUUUCUUAUCUGAUGGAGGUUUCGCCAGAGAACAAUCAAGAACAUCACCUAUUUACAAAUGGAUCUGAGAUUAGAACUGAUAGAAAAACAGAAAACAAACUAGUAGACCUGAGCAAACACCAGAAUGAUGGGUCAGGUUCUAGCUGGGUCAGGAUUUAGGGUCAAGUAAGAAUUGCCCAACCUGAGAUCUAGCUAGUAUUUUGGGGCUGAACCCAGUCCAAAAAGACCAGGUCUGCCAUGACAAUUGAAAAAUAAAUAAAGACCUAAAUCUGACCCAAAUUUUCUUAGGCCUAAUUCGUUUAGGCACGUCCAGGCCCAAUGAACCAAAGUUGGACCCAACAGGACCAGCCAAAAAAAAAAAAAAAGAGGCCGGGCAGGUUGGGUUGCUUCUUAUGUCUACAACCAUAUAAGGCAUGCAAAAUUAUAAGUACUAGAAAUACUAAAACUCACCAUCAAGUUCAUACUUCUCAGUGUUCUUAAGCGCCUUCAUGGCCAUCGACCGCUCUUUAAAAUGCACAAAAGCAUACCUCUUCUCAUGACCGGGCUUUGGAGGCGGCAGCACCACCUUAGUAAUCUCUCCAUGGCGUUCAAAAAGCUUUAUCAACUGAUCUUGGGUUACAUUCUUAGGCAAAUUCUUUACAUAAACUGCCUUCACCUUAAAGUUGGUCACAAGAAAAGGAAUUUACAAGAUGCUUAAUUGAGAUAGACUUAUGCAAUCAAAUGAAGGUAAAAAUAAAUGGACAGUCCCUCAGCUAUAGGUCAUUUGAAAUAGACCCGCCAAUAUUUUGAUUCCCUCUUAAACUUCAUUUCGAUUUAAGUAAUUCAGUCUGUUGAAUUGGGGGGAAUUCCAUUAAGGGCUUGCUUGGUUCAAGGGUGGGAUUGAAAUGGAUAAUGGAAUGGGAAUGAAUUGGAAUGGUAAUUGGAUUGGUUCACUCCCCCAAGACGUUUGGUUCAUUUGUGGAUUGGAAAUUGGAAUGAGUUAUUCACAUUCCAUUGUUUGAUUCGUAUAAACUAAAAAAUUAUAGGAUACCAUAAUACUAAUUUUACUCUCAAAUAUAAUUUUAUAUUAUUUAAAAUUUAUGAAAAAUAUAAUACUAUUCUCUAAUAAUUUUUCCAAAAAAAUAUCAAAUUUAUUUUUAAAAACUUUUAUUGAUGUGGGUUAGGGAUAGGGUUUUGAGAGAGGAUAGGUGUUUUUUUUUUUUUUUGAUGAGAGAGGGGUGGAGAGAUCGUAUAUAUACAAGAUAGGAGAGUGAGAUGGUUGCAUCGGCCUUGGGAACUUAGUGGGCUUCGGGAAUGAAAUCUCAAUCCGGGCUAGGAGACCGGAAUCAAGUUGAAGGCUUAUGGGCCAUUCCCAUUCCAGUCCGAAAUAAGAAUCCCAAACCGAUUCCUGUAUAACCAAACAAAAUUAACCGGAUUUGAUCAAACCAAUUCCCAUUCCAUAUCCAAAAUGGAUGAACCAAACAAGCCCUAAGAGUUAACAGCUUCAUUAGUUAUUAGUUGUUAACUUUAAUGAAAGACAUAGUUCAGUCAACAGAAUCCACUAAAUAGAACAGAAUAACUGGAAUUAAAACAAACCAAAGUCGAACGGUGCCGAUUAACAACAAAGGCUGGAGGAUCCAUUUUAAAAUGACCUAUAGUUUAGAAAACAUUUUUCCCUAAAUGAAGAUAAUGCUAUUAAAAUAAAACCUGAGAGCUUGAAGAAGAAUCCCCACUCCUAGGGUCAGCCCAGCUCACUGUGGGGGCAUUAGAAUCUAGCUUGAAUUUGGGCAUGGACAUCUUCUUUCGUGAAUAUUCAGCACAUCCAUGGUUGUAAUACUCGAUAAAUGCAAAGCCACGAUUACGGCUAGAAUUUUGUGGAUCCUACAACAGCACACAAGAAAUAUCAGGUGAGAACAUGAUGCAUUUCAUGCCCCACAAUAAAUCAAAGGAUAGCAUCCAUGUGAUAUUAACAAAAUUCACUGAUUCUUUAAGUGACAAAGUUACCAUUAGAUAUGUAUAAUACAUCAUUACUUAUUACAAGUGUAUAUUGAAAAAAUAAAAAAGAAAAAGAAAAGAAGCCUUACCUUCAUCAAGUCAACAUUAAUAACUCCAGGACCAACUUCACUAACAACCUUCUUCAAAUCAUCCUUCGUCCAGUUUCUAGGAACAUUUCCAAUGAAUAGACGAUGCUUUGCUUGCGAUGUGGAGCACUUUAUCUUCUUCCCCUGACAAAAUUUUCCACACCCAGAAUAGUAUAUAGCAUUAGAAGUCGCAGUAGAAGAAUAAAUUUAAGAUAUGGACCUAAAAGGACAAUACCUAAUUGUAAAGAUUCAAAGACAAGCUCUUCUUGCAAUUUCAUCAAACAAAGAGCUAAAAUGAUGAAAAUGCACAGGCUAAAAUGCAAAAGUUUUUCACUGUAAAUAAUUAGAACGAAAAUUUGAAUCAUCGAUAUUUCUAAAAACUUCUUAAUUACGCACAUUGGUUCAUGAUUUUCGAUAGUACUGUCAUACAAUGUAAAAUAAAAUUUUAAAAACAAAAAAAAAAACACAACCAUUGACGAUCUCCCUAGCAGAUGGAGAGACAAAUGUUUGGAUUUCUGAGAUUAUCCUCUAACAGGAGUUGUUGAAUAUCAAAAACUUAAUUACACGGAAUUCCCUUUUUUGGAACGAGCUUAAGGAGUGGCAUUAUUGGCAGAGAAGACAUCACUAAUUUCAACAUGAUUACAUGAAUCAAUUUUGUAAUGUUUACUGAGAUUAAAAGGGCCAGAUCAUAGAUUCACAUUAAGGGAUAACUUCCAAAUAUGACAAUUUGCAUCUUAAGGAACAAGCAGUUCAAGAUACUAACAUUCAAAAGAAAGGUGGUAUUAUUGAUUGAAAACAAUAGCACUAGGGUGCAUUAAGGCAAGACUAGCCAUUGAACUAGUUCAAACCCCUAAUUAUUUCCAUAUUCUAUAAAUCAUACUAAUUAGCACCAUAAAAGAGGAGAGGGUGAAGGAUUUACUUUAAAUUCAGCAUUUCUCAAAUCUCUAAUAGCCUUUGCAGCUAAUUCUUUCGUUCUGAAAGUAACAAAGGCGUAACCUUUGUUUUCUGAUGAAUCCUUGCCUUUCAUCAUCCUAACCUGCGUUCAUUAAAAACACUAUAUCAAGAUUAACACAAACUGAAGAAACAGCUUAUGACUGGGAAAAAAAAAAACCAACAGCUCACCUCAAAGACCUCGCCAACAGACUCACAGAAAUUUUUCAAAUCUUCUUCUAAAGCAUCGUGAGGAAUAUUGCCAACAUAAACUUCAGAACCAUGAGGAGGAAGAGCAAGGAGUUCAGCAUGCGUUUUGCUUUCAUCCUCAUCAGUUUGAUCAUCAUCCUUUGAUUCACGCGGGCCAUUCGUUCCAGGUCCACUAGCAGUUUCUUCCUCAUCGGGGUCCUCCUCCUCUUCCUCCUCUUCAACGACCUCCUCUUCCUCCUCCUCUAUUUCCUCUACUUCUUCUUCAACUUCUUCAUACUCAACCUCUUCUUCUUCCAUUGUCUCUUCAUGUUCUUCAACUUCAGGCUCCGGCUCAGGCUCAGGCUCAGGCUCAGCAGGCUUUACUGGUUCAGCUGGCUUUGCACUUGCUUUCCUCCUCGGCAUUUAGUGUAUCUAAAAUAAGCUUGCAGGGCAACUGUGGGCAAAGCACAGGAGCCAGAAGCAAAUCGAGAGGGAGGAUAGAAAUAGAGAGAGGAGGAGAUAAAUAGAAAGGCCAGGAGUUGCAAAGUAAGAAUCUGAGCUCAAGCCAAGCCAUGGUAUGGCAAAGGAGUUUCAAUGUGAAAAAGUUUGUCCUUUGAUGCCAAAUAUAGCGGUAAUAGAAACAAACAAGAGAACGUAUUUCGAAUGACGAACAAGGAGGAUGCUCAACAGAUGCAAAAGAAAUGAAAAGAUUUAGAAACUUGCCCACAUACAACUGCUGGUUUAAUUGCAUAAUUCAAUAUAUUCCUAAUCAUUGAAUCAAAGAAAGAAAAAGGACUAACUGAAGGAACAAUUGUCAAUGUAAGACGCAAGCAAUUGGCAUGGAAACAAACAAAGCCAGGAGUAAACACUGCAACCAUAGUAUCUGUUGUUCUGCAGGAUAGAACAAUUGGUUCACCUCCAUCUAAAGUAUGUGAAAUUGCUAGGCAAAAAAAAAAAGCAAAAAAGAAACAAAACCUCUACAUACGACAAUAUUUCAAAAAACUAAUUAGCCAUUAAAGAGAAUAAUAGCAGCACAGUACUAAGAAUCCAAUCCACAGAGAAUAUCAUUUCAUCAAACAUAAUUACGUAAAUACAUAUACAAAAAUAAAUAAAAUUUUACCAAAAUUAAUGAUGCCACAACAACACCUCGCCAUAAAAUUUAGGCUAAAAUGCAAAAAACCUCCCCUGAAAUAUUGUGUAGUUGCAUAGUUCCCCUAUCUAUAACCCAAAAAGAAAAGAAAAACUAAAAGAUCUAAUGAAAAAUAUCUCUAUGAGGCUACAGCAUUAAGAGAAGGGUAAAAUCGCAAACUUGCUCUUUUGUCGAAUCCUCCUACUCAACCACCACCUUCUAGUCCUCCCUAUUCUCUCCACCUCCUACAACUCAUCCCCCUUAUUCUCUUCUUCCAUCAGUCCUCCUUUACAGCCACCACUUCCUCCUCGACGCAUCUCAUUCUUCACCUCCUCUAUCAUCUCAUCCUCUCCUUCUACUCCACCUCCUAGUACUCUCCAUAGUCUAGGAUUCAGCAAAGUUCGGACAAGGAAAGGACUAUGGGAAGAAAAUUAAUCUACGGAUGAAUAAAUAAGUCUAUGACUGAAUCAAUGAACUGUAAUAUUAGUAAAUCAAGAUAGCUAGAUGGAGAAGGAAAAAUCCUUGAUUGGAAAGAGUGCCAAAGAAAAUUAUAUUCGUUAUCUUAAACUAAAGUCAGUGAGGGAAACUGGUGAGAAACAAUUAAUAACAAAGAAUCACCUCUUAUUUGUCAGUAUUCUAUGACUUAUAAAUGUUAUAGGUUAAACUGAAAACUUCUAAAAGACCAGUACAAGACUAACUGCACUAGAAAGAGCCAUACUCAAAACAAAUUAACAGUCCAUAAAGUGCAAGCUUCAAUAAAACCAAAUGAGAUGAUUUUGAGAUGAAAAAGAAAAACUACAUAGCCCUCCUAACAAUAAUAGGAUCACACCAAACAACUCAGAAUCAGCUAUCAAUUUGUUGUGAAUCAACUCACAGGAGAAGCAUGCCUCAUAAAACUACGUCCAAUAUGAGUAAAAACUGACUCUGGUUAGAGAGAGCAUCAAAUGAACAGGACUAGAAGUAGAGAAUCAGCCAAAAAUCUACUGCAUAGUAACUCACAUAAAAAACAUCCUUGUGAAGAUACAACCAAUAAAGAAAAUGAGUGGGUCCUAGGAAAACUAAAAGAUCUCAUUCCAAACAGUUCUGAGAACAUGUAAUCUGUCUCACUUCCUCCCAUAAUUGCUUACAUAUACUAAAACCUUGUAGUAAACACUAAACAGCGGAAACUCCAUUAUCAAACCAAUAGUUCGCUUAAUAAUUGUAAUCAAUGACUAAAAGUUGAUGAAACACCCUCUUUAUCGACAUAUAGUCCACCAACUUUCUACAAAAACAUAAGCUUAAGACAACACAAGCAAACAAUAGUUUCACCAAUUACGCUUUUCAAAAACAGUAAAACCUGCACUACAUAGGAAACCAAUAGUGAUGUCAAAUAUCAGCUGCUAACUCUUCUAGAAAUAACAAAGAUCAGCAAAAAGCAAACACUCCAAGCAUUCAGGUUAGCUACAGAAUUAACACCACAGAUCUGGAGCAGAAAAAUUAACGAUCAAACAAAUCCAGCUUAGCAGAUCCAUCAACUACUAAAAGGAUAGCAUCACAUCAACAAAUUCGAAUCACAGCACGAAAAAUCUCGUAUAAACCCUAAUUAACACCUUUUUGGGCCAUCAAACAUCCCCAAUCUCAGCUCCCUCGGUCUCAACUGCUGUAACAACAAUCGCAAGACGCCGGUGACCAUAAAAUCGAAUAAAAUCUUCCUAAAUUGCUCACAAAGCUUCGAUCUUUCGAAGGGAUCAACGUUUACAACAAAGAAUGGAGAUCAUUAUGGCGAAGAGAUGAGAUCUCAAAUCAAUGUAGUGAGGAGGAGAGGGGAUCUGAGGGGGAAUACUCACCACGAGAGGAGGGAUUCGGCGGGAAUCGAGAGGAUGAGAGCGAAAUCGAAGCAAAAAAAGAACAAAAGGAACCCUAGAGAGCGAACACAGAGGUUGGGAUGGGGUUCGAGUCAAUUAAGAAUGCCAGAAUUACGAAAAUACCCUCUUCGGCGUAGGAGGUUCUGGGAGGAGUUAUUGCCUAGACCGGGUCCACAGCAGCAGCCAAUCAGAGCACUUCACAUCGGAAAGUCUAUGAGAAUAGCCAAAAAUGUCGUUUAAUAGACCAGUUGUGCCACGUCGACUACGAGCCAAACGGGCCAAUAAGUUGUAUAGGGUCAAAUUUAUGGAGUGCUUUCAUUUAUUUUGAAUACUAGUGCUGGAUCCGCGCUUCACAGCGGCCGAUAAAUUAAAAUAUAUAAUUAUUAAAAUUUUAAAAUUAAAAAAUUAUAAUUAAAUAAAAAAAUUAUAAAAUAGUGUUACGUAGUAAUGUACAUUACAAAAAAUAUUUUUUUUAUUAAUAUUUUCUUAAUUUUAGAAUAGUAUAUUAUUCUAACAAUUUUAUUUAAAAAUUAAUCAAAUUUAAUAGUUGUAAAAACUGUUCUAUAAAUACUUUUUUAACUAAAAAGUUAAAAUUGGAAAACUUAUGUCAAAUUGUCGAAAAGGUGAAGAUGUCUUUAACUUGUUAAAAUUGAUUGAAAAAAAUAUUUCUUACAUGCACAUGAUAUAUAUUAACAUUCUAUACACCACAACUUAUAUUAGAUGAUAAAUAUUUUGAUAUCAAAACUUAAUUAAAUAUAUAUUAUCUAUAAAGUUAAUAAUUUAAAGGGUAAACUUCAAAUACCCCCUUGUGGUUUCACUUUUUCUUACUUUAGUAUCUUGUGAUUUAAAGUGUAUCAAGUUAGUACCCUGUGGUUUUGCACUUUUUCACUUUAGUAUCAUGUGAUUUAAAGUAUAUCAAGUUAGUACCUUGUGGUUUCGCACUUUAUCACUUUAGUACCAUGUGGUUUCGCACUUUAUCACUUUAGUAUCAUGUGGUUUAAAAACCACAGGGUACUAACUUGAUACAAAAAUAAAACCACAGGGUACUAACUUGAUACAAAAAUAAAACCACAGAGUACUAACUUGAUACACUUUAAACCACAGGGUACUAAAGUGAUAAAGUGAGAAACCACAGGGUACUAACUAGAUACACUUUAAACCAUAGAGUACUAAAAUGAAAAAGUGCGAAACCAGAGGGAGAGUUUUUAAAGUUUUCCCUAAUUUAAAUUCUAUUUAAUGAAUAAGAUUUUAAAAUAAAAAACAAAAAAAAAAUAAGAGUCGAAGAAUUAAAAAAAAUACAAAUAAAAAAAUUGAAGAUGAAACAAGAGCUAUUACAGUAAAAAUAUAAGAAGUAUUUAAAAAAAAAAACUAUAAGAAGAAGUAUAUUUAUAGCAGCAGUAAGAUUUAAAUAUUAAAAUAUCAUAUGUUUCACAAUUCGAGCCAAAAAAUUAUAACUAAUUAACAUUUAACACUUAAAAUAUUGUGUCCCUUAUAGUUUGAACAGAAAAUAGUAAUCCAAAAGAGUUCUAGAAGUAAAGUUUCACGCAUUUUAUAGUUUGAGGACCAAAAGCACAAUUUACUUUUUUAUACCCAAACGCUAAUUUUUUACCCGAUAACAGUAGUUCUCGGUUACCUAUAAUAACCGGUUACAACUAUCCCCACCAACACCUCCAUUUUUUAUAUAAAACAAUCUAAUAUUUUUCUUAUUCCAUAUUAUCUAUCCAAACGCUAUUUUUUAAUCUCCGGAAACAACCCAAUUUUCAUCCAAACGCUAUUUUUUUUAUCCCCAUAUUUAUACCUAUUCCUGUAAUAACUAGUUCUUACUUAUAUCCCAACCAAACGAAAAAAUUAGCCAAUUUAUAAAUAGAGAGUGGGUUGAACAUUGGAAUCCUCAACCUUCGGAUUCCAAUGUCCGGAGAAAGUGGAAACGUGAGUUUCCACCUAAUUAAUCCACCUUAUUAAUUAAAAAUAAUAAUAAUAAAUACUAAUAAAUAAGAAUAAAAGAAUUAAUAAAUCAAAGAUAAAAUAAUAAUAAUAAUUAGAAAAUUUUGGAUUUUGUCACCAACAAAUGGCCUUUAAAUGAAGGGGAUUUAUGAUAUACACUUAUCUUUUGGGGUGUAUCAAUAAUAUUUUUUUUCCUUUUUUAAUAAAAUGCUAUCUAUACGGCUAUACAUUUCAUUAAAGAGUAUACAUUUUAUGCUCUCAGAUUCUAAGUUUCCCCAAACUCUUUGAAAUUUUUAAUUAAAAAAAUGAUAAUAUUAUGAUAAAUCCUAGCCACACAAAGCAUAUGGUGGAAGAUUUAAGCUCCAAUGCCUUUUUUUUUUUUUUGCUGAAUUUUAAUUUAGUCUUUGUAGUUUAGCAUAUUUUUAUUUUGCUAUCCUAUAAUUUAAAAAAUAAUACUUAACUAUCUAAUGAUUUUAUCUUUAUUUUUUAUUAAAAAAUCUAUUAUCAAAUAGAAUAGCAAAGUGAACUUUUUUUUUAAUAUCCACAGGAUGAUAAAGAGCAAUGUUUUAAACUACAGGAUGACAAAAUAAAAAUUAAUUAGAUUGUGACAUUUAAGUGUAACUUUUUAAAGUAAAAAUGAGUUAACCCACGAAUGGGUCAAAUUAACGUUUACCAUUUUUUUAAGGUGUUUUCAAUUUAUUUGCCACAGUCCAGAAUAUAAUUUUUUAACAUUCAAUUCUAUAUAUUUUUAAUAAGCAUGUAAAUAAUGAAUAGCAGGUGCAUAGGCUAUGAGCAGGAUUAUAAAAAAUUAUUGGUUAAAAUAUAAAAAAAGCUAUGUUAAUAUCCAUCGUUUUCACAUUUUCAGCAAAAUUUAUUUUUUUUAAAAAAUAAAACAUUUAGCGUCCCUCCUUUCUCUGAAAAAAAAAAAAAGAUUGUAGCACUUAACUUUUAUUAUAAUAAUUCCGUUUCUAUUUCACGUAUGAAUUAUAUGGUACAACCAAAAAACUUGUUAAAAUACUUAUUAUAUUCCAAAAAAUGGUGAGAAUGUAUAAGAAUUUUAUAUUUUCCCUCAAAUUAGAUAAAUUCCCGACUAUAUACUAAUUAACUUUUUUCCAUCAUAUAUUCCAAAGGGUUUAAUGAUAUAUUAGUAAUUAGCCGAUUGUUUUUUUUAGAAAAGUAAUUACCCGAUUGUAGUGCGUAAAUUAUGUAUAGAAUAGUGACGAAAUUAUAAUAUUGUUGGGAGCCGAACGUCCUGAUCCUUGACUUGGUCAAAAAUCUUCCUCAGGAAGCGCGUCGGGAUGCGGAACGGCUACGAUUAAUGACCCUUGAAGUUUGCGCCCUUCGACCGGAUCAAGCAAUUCGGCUGAUGAGGGAUCGAAUCAGCCGAGUUCAAAGACCUUUACUAUAAACUCAGUUCGGCUGAAAGAGCCGAAUGUACAGAAUGCACAAGAUUUUAGGUCGACUGAUGAGCCGAAUAGAUGGAAUACACAGUGACCGGUCGACUGAAAGAGCCGAAUGCCUUAAUAUAAAAAAUGAAGUUAGGAACUCAUACAAAACAGAGUGUGCCUAAAGGGCAUACAGACUCUGAAAAUUUAGAUUACAACAGAGUGUGCCCGUGGGGCAUACAGACUCUAUAAAUCUAACUUAAAAAUUACUCCUAGAAAAGCAAUAAAUGCGAGUAAAAAAGAUUACAUGUAGACUACUCCUAGAAAACAAUAAAUAUAGAAAAUGACAAUAUUGAAAAUACGGUGGUAUUCUCGUUCAGGAAAAAAAAAUCCAAUUUACAGGUUUCAAAGUUACUAUUUAUAAUAUCUUAUCAGCCUAUAUUAUUAGUUGGUUAUAGUAGCGGGGGAAAUGGUAUAGCCAUGAUCAUAAAAGUUACGCCCUACUUCUCAACCGUUCCCGCCUAAACGCUUUUGAUCUUCAGGCGUCUUAUUGCCGACUCCUGGUGUACCACGUGCCAUUAUUUUUUUAGCUCAUACGUGGAUUAGGUCGGCGUGUUAAUUUUUUGGUAUCAACAAAUAUUAUUGAGUUAAGUACUAUAAUUUUAAAUUUAAAGGGGCAAGUAGAGAUUUUUAAAAGACAAAAGGUAAAAUAGAAAAAUAGUUAUUGCUUUUCACCCCACAUGAAUAAAAUUAUGAUUUUUUUUUAUUUGUUUCUCAUAAGAAAUGUGAUUGAAUUUUUUUUACGAUACCCACUAAGUACAUUAUUUUUUUUUACUUAAGACAUUUUUUUAAAAAAAAUUAAUGAUAUAAGAACUUAAUGGACUUGUGAAUCUUUAAAAAAUUGAGGUAAAAAAUAAACUGGACUUUUGUCAUGCUAUAGCGGCUGUUAUAGUCAAUACUUCCUAUGGUUUUAAUCUUUUAUUUUGGCCAACUUGUAUAAAAAAUCUAUAAGUUUUGAGCUUUUGAAAAACUAAGCCGUCAUUUUUGAUUUUUAGAUUCGGUCCGGAUUUUCAGCAAACUGACCAAAACCCUUAUAUCUUUUUAUCGCGUUCUUUUUUUUUCUCGCCGAAGAAGGCGACGGAGGCGGAGGCGAAAGCGGAGGUGGAGGCAGAAACGACCCCUUACCUCUACCCCUCACACCCUCGCCCGCGCAACCCCCGCCCACCCUCGCCCUCCUUGUCUCGGACCCCGCCGACCCUUUUUUUUUUUUUNUGCGCCGCUUUUUUUUUUUUUUUCUCUCCGACCCUCCUCUACCGCCUCUGCUGCUCUUCGCGGUGAUAGCGAGUACGGUAACAUGUCUUCUUCCUCCCCUUCACUUUCCACCUUAACUGGAGCGGAUUUUCUACCUACCAAACAAACCCGCUAUCCCUACUGCCGCCACCGGCGACGAAGAGGAAGUGCUUCUCGGGGCCGAGAAACACGCCGACGAGUGAGAGGGACAAAAAUAGUUACACAGGAGCAUCUCGAUUAGCAAUUAAUUUUAUUUUAAAAAAAAUUAAAAGGUUAAAAACUAGAGAAUAAUAAAGAAAAUUAGAAAAGAAUGAAGAAGAAGAUGAAGUUACACUGUUAAGAUUAAAUCAUAUUAUUUUAAAAGAACGUUGCACUAUUAUGGGCGUAAAUUGCACUCUUUGAAAUAUAAAUUGCACUCUUUAAAAUAAAAGUUAUAUUCUUUAAACGAAAGUUGCACUCGUUGAGAGAUAUUUACAAUGUUUUUUCUCUUAUUAUACUUUUUGAGAUAUAAACUGCACAUUUAAAAUAAAAGUUACACUCUUUAUAAGAUAUUUAUAUUAUUUUUUUCUUAAAUAUUAUGCUAUGUAACGUUUAAUUUAAAAUAUUAUUAUUAUUAUUAUUAUUUUGAAAGAAAGAGAGUUGUUGCAUGCUUUAUUUUUUAAAAAAUAAAAUAAACUAAAAAUAUAUACCGCGUACGGUAGGCAGCUCGUGUUGAGAAAAAGAAGUGGGUACAUCAAUCAUACAUACAUGUUGCUAAAGCGGUGCACGGAUGACGUGGUGCACCAGGUGCAGCCAAACACCCCAAGAAGUCGUCAUUCCCCUUACCCUCAUCCUCGGCUCCUCCUAUCCUCUUCCGUAUACAGCAACAGCACUCGUACUCGUUUCCGUCCCCCGACGCUCUCCUUCCCCAAAACUCACGAAGGGGGCGACGAAGAACCCGAACCCCCACCACCAUCAACUCCUCCUCCUCCUCCUCUUCCUCCUCGAGAUCGAUCGCGGUGUAACAAGCGCAGAUCCCUCCUCCUCCCCUUGGUCCUCCCAUGGCGACGCGGUACUGGAUCGUCUCUCUCCCCGUCCAAUCCUCGGCUCCCGCGCUCUGGGAUCGCCUCCGCGAAUCCAUCUCCAAGAACGCCUUCGACACCACUCUCUACCGCGUACCCUUUUACCCUCUCCGAUUCCAUGAUUCGAGCUCCUCGGGUAGCUCUGAUCGGAUCUAGGGUUUGGUUUCUUCCUCUUCCUCACGUCGUUUUCGAUCUCUUUCUUGCAGUUCAAUACGCCCGAUCUGCGAGUUGGAACGCUUGAUUCGCUGCUCGCUCUCAGUGAUGACCUCGUCAAGGUGCGAUUAUACCCCAUUUUCGAUGUCUAGUUUGGUUUUUUUUGGUUUGGUUUGGUGUUGAUUGGUUGGGAUCGCAGUCGAAUGCGUUUAUAGAAGGGAUCUCGCAUAAAAUUCGGCGCCAGAUCGAGGAGCUGGAGAGGUCUUCUGGCGGGGAAGGGGGCGCGCUCACGGUGGAUGGGGUUCCUGUGGAAACCUACAUCACGAGGUAAGUUAAUACUAAGUUUCCUCUCGUGGAUAAUGGGGAAAUAGUUUGAUUUGAGUGGCCGUUUUUGACUGCAGAUUUGUUUGGGACGAAGGCAAGUAUCCACCGAUGUCACCUCUGAGGGAUAUUGUAAACAGCAUUCAUACCCAAGUAGCCAAAAUUGAGGAUGAUAUGAAGGUCAAUCGAAAUUUCUCUUUGAAGCACUCCAAGUAAUCAUAUUCAUUUUAUAGCAUUGACUGCUGAAUAAAUAGAGCAAAAAUUGGGUUAUUAAUUGAUGAUUUAUAAUGCAUUGUUCAUUGUUUAUACCUAUAGGUUUAGUAUUUUAAAUGGCUUAUACCCUAUGCUCUAGGUUAUCGAAUGUUGAAUCUAGAGUUGUUGAGAUUUGAUGGUGUUUGAUGAUCAUCUUUCUAGUUCUACAAUCACACAAAUAUAUACAAACUUAACCUUGCUUACUUUUCUAAGAUAGAUUCUAGUGCCAGUAGAGACCAUAACUUUAGCUGAAAUGCUGUAGUAGUGUAUUUAUUGUCCAAUGGUUAUCAUGACACCGGCAUUGACAUCCUAUAAUCUUCUAUUGAGACCUAUAAAUAUCUCAAAAUGCUGUUUGAGAUGAUAGGCUUCUGUGUGUUUGCCGCCCAGAAAUGAUAGCCAUAAGUGAAAAGGAUAUCACCUUUCUUUAAAACGAUCCUCUUUGGAGGAAAGCUGAUGAUGAUAAAGUUUUGCUGCUAUAGCCGUCAGCAUUCUUGUGUUUGGUGGCAUAUGCGAUCAAACAUAUCCAUGACUGAACAUGUCACGCCCGGUCCCCAGCCGAAGCCUGCCCAGUGUGUGCCCAGACCUGCCAUAUGCUAAGAACUUAUAAGAUGUCUACAACAAACAUGACGAAAAAGCACAAGAUAAUAAUAAAAUCUAACAUGAUAUCAAAGCACGGAACAUAAACUACUCUCUAAUGACAAGUAUAGAAAAGUAAAUAACUAAACAACGAUAAUAAUCCUCAAAAUACAUACACCAAGGAACCACAUAAGUAAAAGCUAAAUACAAAAUGGUGGUCUCUAUACAACAAGGACAAAACACCUCUCCAACAAAAACAAAAAGAGAGAUGACCACCUAGCAAAAUCUCCAAGCUAAGUCUAGCUAGACGCGACCCCGUUGCCGCGGUCCCUAGCCUCUUCUGCAUUGGAUGGCUCUGUAAACAAAAAUAUCAACAAAAUGGGAAUGAGAACUAUUAGUCAAUAGUUUCCAGUGGGUAAGCCGCCGAUAUCAGCGAAUUACACCACUAGGUCACUGAGGCAUAAGUAGUAAAAGCAUAAAUAGAUAGAUAACAUGAUUAAUAAGCAAUUAUUAAAUCACUAAGCUACUAUGCCUCCGAUUAACAUGAUAUUUAACAUGUAAUAAAGCUACUCUAUCAUGAAUGAGCAUGUACGACUAGUAUGCACUAUCUAGUAGUGAUGAUCACAUUACAUAUUUAAAUGUCAUUGUUCAAUUCAACUAGGACCUACACAAGUGUAGUCUGGUUUGCGCCGUGCCUAAUGGUCCUGUGGUAGUCAACAUUCUCCCUUUAGAAAUAAGUCUCGCCCAUGGCAAUCCACUUCGGCGCCCAAUCCCGCACAGGCGAGCAUGUGUCGCGUAGGCUAACUCCGGAGUGCAGGCUUGUAGGGAGCGAUCCUCACAAGCUUGUGCGAAUGAGCACGUUGGCAAGCAAGCAUGAUCAACGAUAUAAAGUCCUCGGUUAUCAUGUCUAAAAUAUGGUACUAGCACUAGCAACCCAAAGGUCGGAUGCUAUGUCACUUUGUAGAGGUUUAGUCAUAUAACUAAGUCAAGUAUCGCUACAUGAAGUUCAUGCUAUCUAUGUCAUGUAUAAGUCAUUGGUCUACAAGCAUGUUAAACCUUUUAUUUCACUAAUCAUAACAUGAGUUCUAACAUGGCAUGAAGGAUAUCAUUUCACUUACAAGUUCAAUAUACAACUCUCUCUCUACUAUAUAGAGGAUGUAAAACUUGACAUGUAACAUGUACAUCUUAGACAUUCAAAAAUUCAUUUAGACUACAUCUAUCAUGAAUAUGCAUGAUUUUCAAUUUUAGAACACAAGGAAUGACAUAGGAGGAGUUCACCCAUUUCGGUAAGGUCAAAUCCAUCGGAUACUCCUCGAACUCCUUUGUUUGCGCGAACGAAGUUGUCCACAAACCUCCUAGCACCCUAACAAAAAUUCUAAGGGGGUUAGAAGCUUCUAACAAGCUCCCCACGAAAUUCCUCAAAAAUCAUGCCAAAAAAUAGGUAGAAAAUACCUCAAAUGGGAAAAAACUCUUCCAAAACUCUAAUGGAGGUUGGGAGGCUUCAAUUCCAACCUAAAAGGAAGUUUUGGAACCAUCAAUUAAGCCCCAAAGGCUCUACCAAGAGAAAACCCAAAACGAAAUCCCAGUUUUCCAUAACUAGGUCUAACUCCAAAAAUCCUCCCAAAAACACAACCCAAGGGAGUAAUCAAACUAUUAACUUUCUAUAGAGCUCCAAACCAAGCUAAGAUGGAGCUAGGGUUGGAGAUAAUUCUUCAACAAAGCUCUAUUCUUCAACUUCAAGACUUCUCCAAGGUCCAAGAACAACUAUCUAUGAAAAAGGAGAAGAAAGAGGAGAUCAAACCACUAAAAUCACAAACCAAGGAGAAGAAAGCUAGAGAGAGGAAAAGAGGGGACUUACCAAGCUCUCUUUCUAGUUCUAAGCACAAAGAACCCUACAUGGGGGUGUUGGGGGUUAUAUAGCAAUGUAACAAUCCCCAAAAUGACGCUCAAAAGCACCCAAAUAGCAAACUGCACAAAACACAGUUUAUUGCACUACGUACUGGUACUCGAAUUGGAGUACUGGUAUUCGGCACCCAGACCCGCAAAACCCGAGCCUCGGUCAAUCGGGUUGGUUACGAUGUACCGGUACUAGCUCGAUGCAGUACCGGUACCCGGCCUAGUACUGGUACUCGACGACUCCGUACCGGUACUCAGCACCCCACAGCUCAAAACCCGAGAGCAGCCUUCUCGAUCACGCGUUGGGGUUCCGGUACCCCACUCAGGUACCGGUACUCAGUACCUCAAAACUUGCAGUUUGCAGAUUUUGGUGCUAAGGACUCCCUCUCGCGUUCACGAAACACAAGUAAUAGGUCGGUACACAGUCAAUGACCCCCAAACACACCAAGAACAGAUCAAAAUACUAUUUUGACACUGGAACCUUGCAAUUUGCUAAAGUUCAGUGUAUUACAGAACAUGACCAGUUACACAGGUUGUACUUCUAUACUAUCAGCAAGGGCUUUGGUUUAGCGGGGAAUCCCGACCAUAGUAACAUGAAUGAGGCAAGUAUGCAGCAACUUAAGUGGGGCUUGGAGAAGGGAUGGGAGACGACAUUUAAGGCCCAUUUCAUAUCUAACUUGUUCCAUACUUCCUAGAACCUGCCUUGAGUCACAUUGAAUUACUAUAUUUUUAAAUAAAUGUAAUAAAAUUUAAGAACAUAUUUUGCAUGUUGAAAAUAAUAUACAAUUUAUAAUUUUGUAGGUAUGGAUGUAAUCAAUAUAAGAUUGGAAGAUUUAGAUGGGAAGCUUUAGAUUUCUCUAUGUUGCACAUACAUGAAACCAAAUAUGAACACAAUAUUAUACAAAUAUGGCAAUACGCCAAUAUGACUAGUUUAAAAAAUCUUAUGAUAUGAUAGGUGGGGGAUAUGGGACUAAAAUUAUUUUUAAUAAAUACUUAUGAACUGUUUAUAUAUGACAAUGUAUGUUAAAAUACUUCACAUGCUUAGAUGACAUAAAGCAAUAAACUCAAGAACUUGUGCAAAGAUAUAAAUAUAUUUGAGAUUUUUUCAUCACGAAAUAAAGCUACUUAAACCAUCAUUAUCUUGAGUUUCAUCAACCAUUAAUCCAUAAUGUGUGUCAUCCAAAUGCCUGGAUGAGAUAACUUAUAUCACAAAUUUUGGAUCUGUAACACAUGAGAUAACUUGUGCGUCCUUCAAGUAUCCCUCAUGUAUCAGGUAUUUUCUAAAAUGUUAAAAUAUUGGAUACUUCUAUGACUUAUUAAUAUUUGUGCAUGUGUCAGGCGCUUCGGUAUCGAAAACUUAUAGGAUAGGGGCACAACAGCUAGAAUGAAGUGUCAGUGCUUCAAAGAAUGUUCUUCUAUUACAGUUUGGACUUUGGAGUUGAAUAUUCUAGGUUGUUUGCCAUCAUACAGCCCUAAGAGCGAAAAAAAUUUUCUUCCCUUUCUCUCUUUGCAUAAUAAGCUGGCGUCAGAUAUUUCCUAAUUUAAUCAGCAUAUUAGAAGCCAUUCAUUGCUGUCCUCUUCUGUACAUUGCAGGUUCGAGCAGCAGAAUAUAAUAAUGUGCGAAGUCAGCUCAAUGCAAUAAAUAGAAAGCAAACUGGAAGGUAUGACCUAGUGGUUGGCUUUUGCAGUACCUCCUACACAAGGGUUUACAAUUAUGAUAUAUAAAUAUAAAAUCUCUCGAAUGUUUUGUUUCUUAUUUUAGUUUUGUCUUAAUCUUCUGAUGUCUAAAACUGCCUUUAUACCUGUAACAGCUUAGCAGUUCGUGACCUUUCUGACUUGGUAAAGCCAGAAGAUAUCAUUACAACAGAACAUCUAGUGACUCUUCUUGCUGUAGUACCCAAAUAUUCUCAGAAGGACUGGUUAACAAGCUAUGAAACGUUGGCUACCUAUGUGGUAAAGAUUUAUGAUGAUUAUGAUGGUGUAAUUGAUGCAAAUUUGAUGCCAUUAUUAUCACAAUUGAUUUCGUAGUUUUGCUAUUUAUACUCAGUCAGUCAGUUCUUUAUAAAUGUUCUUCAUUCAUGUUUUAAAAGUACCAAUUAUCAACAUAUAAAUGGCAAAAACUGACUUAUAUGCAUAGCACAUACUUUGCUUUGCUUUUAGGUUUUAUUUUGCUAAUUUUUAAAUUUUACAAUGUAGGUACCUAGGUCAACAAAAAAGCUACAUGAAGACAAUGAAUAUGCUCUCUACACAGUAACACUCUUUGCUAGAGUUGCUGACAAUUUUAAGAUCAGUGCACGUGAAAAAGGAUUUCAGGUGAGUUUAUUUCCUAUCUAUUCAUUUCUUAAGCAUGUUUUGAGUCGCAUAUAAUUGAGAUUUCUGUUGGCACUCGUUUAAAGCUGAAGUACAUUUAUGGAUCUUAUGCUGUCUCAAGCUUUCUGCUUGCAUGAUUUUCUUCUUGCUUAGCCUUAGUGGUUAUUUCACUAAUGAAUUCUUCCUCUUGUUUCUUUUGGCUUAGAUUCGUGACUUUGAAUAUAGCCCAGAAACACAUGACAAUCAGAAAACUGAACUGGAGAAACUAAUGCAUGAUCAGGAAAAUAUGAGGGCCUCUCUUCUUCAGUGGUGCUAUGCUAGUUAUGGCGAGGUAUAGGACUAUUAUUACAACCUAUGUGAAUAUCUAACUUUGUUGGAUGUUAAACUAAUUGCUCUCAAAGAGGACCAAUCUCCAGUUUUAUUUGGUUGAACUGCUAUCAUGAUUUGCUCAUGAGGCGUUCUUCACAUUAUUGUUGCUCUGUGCUAUCUGUUAUAUCAUAAGAAUAUAGUUUUGGUUGCACAAUCGGAGACCGUAAUUUUAUAUCUAUCCACUAUGUACUUCUAAGACAAUCGGAUCUCUUAGAGCUGUCCACAAUCUUGGGGGCAGUAGACAGUUUCCUGUUGCUUUGACCAAUGUCCUUUUUUGGCUUAUAUCACUAAUUUUGGCACUUUCAACAAUAGUCUGGCAAACCAGUGUAGAGCUGCUUUUCAAAACCAUCUAACAUUGGUUUUAAUUAAUUGUGUAAGCUAUCCUCGAAAGUAGCCGGUACAGUAGAUCUGAGCAAAAUUUGCCCAGCCCACACAACCUGGCCUCCCUGGCCUGCAUUUUGUUCAUUAACCCAACUUGACUAGGUUCCGCCUAGUCAUUUGGACCGGACCAGGCUUGAUAGUUCCAGAGUGGGCUUGGUCCAAGCUAGCAUAUCUUAACCUAGUCCGAGCCCUGGCUCGUGUUGGACUUUGCUUAGCUCCGUACUACAGCUUAGCUCUGUAGUACAGGUUUCCUUGUUCUGUCAUUUCAUGUAGUAUUUCUAUCUUAAACUUUUAUGUCAGAUCCACUUAUUUUUGCAGCAUGAUGUCACAUAAUCAAUGUAUGUUUCAAUGUAUAGACCAUGCUGUCUUUUCUGUCCUAGUAAUUUUUCUGUUUAUCAACAAGUACAUAGCGAUCGAACAACAAAUAGAUGCAUAAUAAGCUUCUAUCUAGGGUGAUCAUCGCAGGCUAUAUCUUAGAUACUUACGGGGAAAAAAAGGAAAAAAAAAAGAAGUAAGAAACCGACAUUAUGUGAAGGCCAGUUUAAGCAUGUAUAUAUAUCUGCCUAUUUGAACAUAUUAAUUAAAAAAUUGAAGUUCGAGAAGUUAUCCAUCAGUUCAAACUUCUACAAUUAUCUAUAUAUUAUCCUCAUUCAUUUUUUUGUAGGUUUCUAGCGAUCAAUUAAUUUUUAAUUUUGCUUACACAGGUUUUCAGUUCCUGGAUGCACUUCUGUGCCGUACGAGUCUUUGCAGAGAGUAUUCUCCGAUACGGUUUGCCUCCGUCAUUCCUGGUAUCAACACUUCUUCCCUGCCUUUCUAUUAUGGCCGCUCAUAUCACACAAUGACAUGAUGUUUCUAUCAAUCCAAAAUUACUUUCAGUCUGCUGUGUUAGCACCAACUACUAAAAGCGAGAAGAAAGUGCGGGCUAUCUUGGAACAGCUUUGUGGCAACGUCCAUAGGUAUUUGAAAUGUUGUCUAUACUUUUCUCCUUCUAUAUUGCAAAUUUUAUCUUUUGUUAACUGCGCUAUGAACUACACCAUCAUUGAUGUGUAAUUUAUCAUCUGUUAGCCUUGUUCUAGGGGGCACUUCACCUGAAAAUUGCCAACUUGGCCUGGUUUCUAGGAAGAGCUUAUUAUCUGCAUGAGAUGGUUUUUAGCAUACAUGCCCCUACAGAUAUGCGAAAUUGCACAACUACCCCUGUAAAAUUUGUAUUUUCAUUUGUGCCCUUGAACAUGCAUGCCACUUGUAUGCAAAAGCACGGGGUGUCUAUGCUAAGAAGUUUUGCAUAGAUAACCUUCAUAGGGCAUUUGGGGAAAUAGACGAUGUUUUCAAGGGUACACACGGGUAAGCUUGGAAAUUCCGACUUUCAGGGGUAUUUGCCUGAUUUCACACAUUGCAGCAGUCCAUAUGCAAAAUCUCGAAUCUAGAACUUUUAGCUAGAGUGGGGACCCUAAAUUUCAGAAAGUCCAACAUGAAUCCGCUGCUUUGGGCUUCACCGAGAAGCUGCGUUGAGAAUUUAAUGAAAAAGCUGGUAGGUCUCGUAGAAGAAAUCUAUAUAAACAUCAAUUAAUGCGUAAAACUAUCCAAGUCAAAAAAAAAACCCUGGAAGCGCACAGCCUGCCACAGCCGGAGGACCAACUAAUGCAUCUAGGCAUGGUCUUAAGACUUAUUUCUUGCUGCUUAUAGGUAAUGUGAUGCUAACUAAAACUUCUACUCUUUAUAUUUCUUUUUUUAGCAUUUACUGGAAAUCCGAAGACGACGUAGGCAUUGCCGGUAUGGGCGGCGAAGCCGAGGCUUAUCCCUAUGUAUCCUUCACUAUCAGUCUUGUUUAAUAUCAAAUUAACUUCCCAAGCUGUUUUCUGCUUGACCAGGGCUUUUUCAAAAGUAAUUAUCAUUAAUUUUCAUCCCCCAAUAUACCAUCCGAGAGAUUCUCGAUGUAUAUUAUCCUUUGUGACAUGUUCGAUUCUUUCGUUGCUCGCGUUUUACGUAUCCCGAAUUUUGUUCUUUGGGUUGUAGCCGAUGAUCAUCAAUAAAAUGUAACAACAGUGCGAAGUAAAACAUUGUGAUUAUAUCCAUGGAGGGUGAUGCCAUGUAAGUAAUAAUCUGAACUCAUCAAUCAGAAUAUUAUUAUCUCACCCAUCAGAAGCACUUAUUGAUCUGUUUUUGCACUUCCAUAAAAAGAUCUUUUUUAUGCUGCGCUCCUCUUUGGGUUUGCAAUAUUUUUGUGUAUAUUGUCGUAUUUAUUAUAGAAUGAAUUGCUAUGUGCUAUAUUGCGAGGUUAUUAUUGGGUAUUAUAACUGCACUUUUUUGCGCCCAUUUCUCGCGGGCGAUUUCUCAUUGGUUGUGUAGGUGUCUAGUUCCAGUUGAAUCAGUUUCAAAAUUGUUUUCGGAACGGGACGGUGUUUUUCUGAGUGUGAGCACCUAAAAUUCUUUUUAGGGGCAAUUGUUUAUAUACUCCUGAAAAGUUUUCGAUUUUUUUAUUUAUCCCUCUUACAAGGCUAAUAUUGAAAAUACUCUUCUUAUUUUUCAAGUCUUUAAUAUACCCUGUAGUUAAGUUCCGUCAGUGAGCUGCCGUUAUCUCUGAAAAAUUAUCAUUUUAUUUAUUCUAAUAUAUUUUUGUACCGUAACUAACUUUUCUUAUAUAUUCUUCAUAUAGCAAAUAUUUUUUUAAUUUGUCCUUCAAAUAUCAAUUAAUUAAUAAAGCACGUUGGGAGCGAGCAGAUGAACAGAUGAGAUUGCUCACAGCUAAAUCAACCUUGGUGGCUGGAGGUAUAGUUAGUUAAUUCGGAUUCAGCAAAAAUUCGGUACAGAUAUAAUUCGUCUUUUAAUUUUUAAAUUAGUUGAAAAAUACGACUAAAAAACGAAUUCGGCAAUUAUUUAGAUACGUGAUUUAUACGGAUAUUAUACGUUCACCGAUUAAAAUUUUAGGAUAAAAAAUUCAGCUAUAUAAUAAAUAUAUAAUAAUUAAUAUACUAUAUAUAUUAUUAUUAUAAUUUUUAUAUAUAAAUUAAAUAUAUUUAAAAUUAUAAUAAAUAUAUAUUAAUAAUAUAUAAGAGUUAUAUAUUUAAAAAUAUUAAUAAAUAAUUACAAAUUUAUAAAUAAAAUAUUAUAUAAUAAUAUUUCUAUAUAAAAAUAAAAUACUAUAUAACUAUAUAUUUAUAAAUAAAAUCUAUAUAUAUAUAAUGUGACGGAGGUCCACGUGGACCUUCCUCUCACCCGGUCACGAGGCCAAACUGGGCUUCGGUGGACCCGCACACGCUGCUCCUUCCGCGCGCAACACCGCGCCCUCUUGCUCCCCGGCUAGGGCGGUGCAAACGAGCCGAGCUCGAGCCGAGCUUAUGUCAGCUCAAAUUCGGCCUUGAAAUUAAUUUCGAGCCUAAAUCUAGACUCAAGCUCGGCUUGAAAUUAAUUCGAGCCAAGCUCGAUCGAGCGAGCCUAAUUUCGAGUCGAGCCGGAGCUCGAGCUCUAAAUGAGCCGAUGAUAAUUCUGGAGUAUUAUAUAAUCAAUAGUUUAAUUUUUAUAUAAUAUUACUACAAUUUGAUGCAACAUGUCCAAUAGUUCAAAAAUACAAAAUAAUUGUAAGAAAUGUGAGCUAGGGUGACUGCCUGACUGGGUGAAGGUCAAGAGAAGAGAUGAGAGAGAGAGCAGGAGAGAGAAAGAGAGAAGAGAGAGAGAGAGGAACAAAAAAUAAAGAUUUGGGAAUUUGAAUGUUAUCAUGUUUUUGGUUAUGUGCAACAGUAAAAGUCAGAAAGAAAGAGAAAGAUAGUGUGUUAUGUAAAUUUAAAAUUGGGCUCAAUUGCACGAUUGUAUUUGUUUGGGUUUAUUUUAUAGGUCAACAAUAAUGGCCCAAAUUAAUUAAAGCUUAUAUAUAAUUAAAAUACAUUAUUAUUUAUAAAUAUAUUAUAUAUAUAUAUAAUAUAUAGAUAUACAUUAUAUAUGUGUAUAUAUAUAUUAUAAGGCGUCCGGCUAUUAUACAUAUAUAUAUAUAUAUUAAUAUAUAUAAUAUAUAUAUAUAUAGGUCCGGCUAUAUAUAUAUAUAUAUAUAUAUAUAUUACAUAUAUAUCUUAUAUAUAUACUAUAUUAGGGUCCGGAUAUAUAUAUAUAUAUAUAUAUAUAUAUAUUAGGGCUCCCGGUACUAUACUAUUAUGAGUAGGAUUCCCUCGUACUCAUAAGUUGUUUUCGAUGAUAAACGCUUCCGAAUCGACGAUCCAACCGUUUAAACGUUAUUUACACAUUUAAACUUCUUAGAAAUUAAUUUUAUAUUUUUCGACAUUAUUUACUUUACGAUCAAGAGGUCACAAAAUUGACAAUUUUAACGGCGGUAUGGGAUACUUGCAAGUUUAACGAGUGUAAACGAAUCGGAAUUUGUUGAAUUUUUUAUAGAAAAUUCUAUUCACUACAUAGUAAAAGAUCAAUAGCUCCAAUCUUGAAUUUGAAGGAUCCAAAUCAUCCUUUUUUAGGACGUCCAUUCGAUUUUGACCGUUCAUUUAUGCCACUUGAUGGACUUUAUUUGAUUUCGAAAUUUACGAAAUUUUUUUCUAGUAGUUUCAAUACUAGAUCAUAUUUAACAGAGAUGGAUCAGUCAAUUCGGAAGCCUCCAUCUAUUGAAAACAACUUAUGAGUACGAGGGGCUCAAUACUCAUAAUAGUAUAGUAGCCAUGGCCUAUAUAUAUAUAUAUAUAUAUAUUAUAUAUAUAUAUAUAUAUUAAUUAUAUAUAUAUAUAUAUAUAUAUACUAUAUUAUAUAUAUAUAUAUAUUCGAGCUUUUCGAGCCUAAUCUGCGAACGAGCCGAGUAAUAUCAAGUUCGGCUUGAAAUGAAUUUUGAGCCUUUUAUUUGCUUCAAGCUCGGCUCAUUUAAUUUCGAGUCGAGCUCGAGCGAGCCGAAUAUCGAGCGAAACAGAGUCGAACGCGAGCCGGCUCGGUCGUUUGCCAGCCCUAUAUAUUAUUAUUAUAAUUUUUUUAUAUAAAUUAAAUAUAUUUAAAAUUAUAAUAAAUUAUAUUAAUUAUAUAUAAGAGUUAUAUAUUUAAAAUACUCAUAAAUAAUUAUAAAAGAUAUAGUAUAUAUAUAUAUAUAUAUAUAUAUAUAAUUAUAUAUAUAGGUCCGGCUAUAUAUAUAUAUAUAUAUAUACUAUAUACAUAUAUAUCUUAUAUAUAUAUACUAUAUUAGGGUCCGGAUAUAUAUAUAUUAUAUAUAUAUAUAUAUUAGGGUCCCGGUACUAUACUAUUAUGAGUACGAUUCCCUCGUACUCUAAGUUGUUUUCGAUGAUAAAGCUUCCGAAUCGACGAUCCAACACGUUAAACGUAUUUACAACAUUUAAAACUUCUUAGAAAUUAAUUUUAUAUUUUUCGACAUUAUUUACCUUACGAUCAAGAGGUCACAAAAUUGACAAUUUUAACGGCGGUAUGGAUACUUGCAAUUUAACAGUUGUAAACGAAUCGGAAUUUGUUGAAUUUUUUAUAGAAAAUUCUAUUCACUACAUAGAAAAGAUCAAUAGCUCCAUCUUGAAUUUGAAGGAUCCAAAUCAUCCUUUUUUAGGACGUCCUUCGAUUUGACCGUUCAUUUUAUGCCACUUGAUGGACUUUAUUUGAUUUCGAAAUUACGAAAUUUUUUUUUCUAGUAGUUUCAAAUACUUAGAUCAUAUUUAACAGAGUGGAUCGUCAAUUCGGAAGCUCCAUCAUUGAAAACAACUUAUGAGUACGAGGGGCUCCAAUACUCAUAAUAGUAUAGUAGCCAUGGCCUAUAUAUAUAUUAUAUAUAUAUUAUAUAUAUAUAUAUAUAUUAAUUAUAUAUAUAUAUAUAUAUAUAUACUAUAUAUAUAUAUAUAUAUAUUCGAGCUUUUCGAGCCUAAUCUGCGAACGAGCCGAGUAAUACUCAAGUUCGGCUUGAAAUGAAUUUUGAGCCUUUUAUUUGUUCAAAGCUCGGCUCAUUUAAUUUCGAGUCGAGCUCGAGCGAGCCGAAUAUCGAGCGAACAGAGUCGAACGCGAGCCGGCUCGUCGUUUGCCAGCCCUAUAUAUUAUUAUUAUAAUUUUUUAUAUAAAUUAAAUAUAUUUAAAAUUAUAAUAAAUAUAUAUAAUUAAUAUAUAAGAGUUAUAUAUUUAAAAUAUCAUAAAUAAUUUAAAAGUUAUAAAUAAAAUAUUAUAUAAUAAUAUUUCUAUUAUAUAAAUAAAAUACUAUAUAAAUAUAUAUUUAUAAAUAAAAUUAUAUAUAUAUAAUGUGACGGAGGUCCACCGUGGACCUUCCUCUCACCCGGUCCACGAGGCCAAACUGGCUUCGUGGACCGCGCACACGCUGCUCCCUCCGCGUGCAACACCGCGCCCUCUUGCUCCCGGCACGCGGACGGCCUCGGGCGAGAUAGGAUCGUCGCUGCAGCCUUCUUGCUCUCGGUGCCGGCCAAGGCGGCGGAGGAGGACGACGACAACGACGAGAGCGGCGGAGGAGGAGCUCGUGGAGGAGCCGAUCCUGGAAGGGAGGAGCUCAUGGAGGGCACGGAGCUUGCGCUUCGAGAGGGCGGAGAGGUUGGCGGCGGUGGAGGCGCGCGGGGAGGGGACCAAGGGGCGGAGGUGGUCGCCCCAACGGAAGCGCCCGGAGAGGACGACGUCGCGGAGGGACAGGAGGGAGUCGACGACGGGGCGGGGGAAGGAGGAGCGGAGGUUCGAAGGGGUCGCGGUCCUCUCUGCGACGAUGGGGUUGGGGUCGGGGUUGGGGACAACGAUAGGAGGGAGAUCAGGAGGAUAACUUAAGGAAUUAGUAUAAUAUGGUAGGAGGCAAAAUAUGUAUUUUAUUUAGAUUUUAACUCUAGUAUAUAUUUAACCCAUGUUUAAUCCGAGUUAAAUUAACAAAGGAUAACUGUAGGGGUAUUUUAAAAUAACGGUGGAACAUAUGAGGGGCAUUUUAGAAAGAAAAAAAAAAAAGCAGGGGUAGAUCGGAUAUAUCCAAGCCUAUGAGGGUUAUAUAGGCAAUUAUCCCUUCUUUUUAUUGAAAAAUCAGUUUUAUUUACUUUGAAAAAAUAUAUCUGCUUUUAUUUGUCAGAAUUUUUAUUUUUUCCUAAAUGGGAAAAACUGAAAACGGAAAAUAUCAUUUAAUCUGUCUUUUUUUUUUUCUUAGGACUUCUUUAUGAGCAGGACUAUUGUGCUAUUAAAAGCCCAACAGUUUUUGUGCUUCUAACUUUCUAAUCAUUCUUUAAAUUUGAUGGGCGGUUAAAAUGAGGGAGGGAAGAGAUAUUGGAGAAAAAUUCAAGAAGGAAAAUUGAAACACCUAAUACUUUUUUAAAGGGAUAUUUCUUUUCAUUUUCAUUCUAAUCCUCCAUCAAACUUGAUGGGUAAAGUUAGAAGCACAAUGAUUGCUGUGCUGCUGUGUUUCUAAUAGCACAAUAGCCUUGCUCCUCCUUUUACACUAAUCUUAUAAUUUUGUUUCAAUUGUUGAAAUGAUUUUUUUUUAAUUUUAUUUGGCUAAUUAAUCAUUUUUUUUAUCACGUCAGUGUUAUAUUAGAUAAAAAUGACGAACAGAUCGUUCACUGUCUUUAAAAGCGAUUGAAUUAUUUAUCUUUUUUGGAUGGGUUGUUAAGAUUUUUGUAGAUUGUUAGGAAUUGAAUUAUUUAUCUUUUUUGGUUAUUGGUUGUUAAGAUUUUUGUAGAUUGUUAGGAUUGUAUGUGAAUCGUUGAAAUUUUUGAAUGAUUGUUAUGAUUAUUAUAUAUGAAAAAUGGAAAUAAAUGGUAAAUAUUUUUUGUUAAGAAAAAUGUGGUAAACGAUUCGUCGUUUUUCAAUUGUUCUUUCAUCCUAUUGCUGAGUUGAACAAAAUAGUAUUAUUGGGCUAAAUAAAAUCUUAUAAAGUUAUUUUGUAAUUUAUAAUUUUUUAAAGAAUUAAAUCGGAAAAGGUUCCUUUUUUCCUGCAUACCAAACUAGUUCCAUUUUCCAGUUGGAAAGAGCUUUUAACGAGUCUUUCAUUCCACGACCACAAAGCACUUUUCUGCAAAGAACAAUAUUUUGUAUAUUACAACUAAAGUAUCUGUUCCUUUUGUUUUUAAAAUUUUAUUUUGUUUUAUUUAGUGGUUGUGCAUGCAGAUGAAACUGCAAACACACACAAAAAAAAUGAAAAAUAAAAAAUAAUUGUUUCACGGGUAUCCUUUCUAUGGAAGAUGUUUGAAUAAUUGCUUUCUAUUUUUUAGCUUUUUAUAUAUAUUGGUGCUUACUAAAACAACAUUUUUGUGGAACGUCUAAUGCACUAUUCAAACUGCAUAUUCAACACACCUUAGCCUAGACAUCCAUCCAUAGUAGUAGUAUAGUACACCCUCCCAUGUCGCCCAAAGCAAUAACACUUCAGUGUUUAAAAUGUCUAGGCAUUGUUGUAGACUGUAGAGGGAAAUAUAUAUAUAUAUAUAUAUAUUAUUUUUUUUUUGAGAGAUAAAUAGCACACUACCCACUUCGUUUAUUUCAUUUAGAAAUAAACUUAGCUAGAAAUGUGAAUUAACUAGAAUUCGAACUUGGGUCUCGGGUACCAACCACCAGGCCCUUUUGCCACUUGCGCUAGGGACGGUCGGUCUGUAGAGGGAAAUGUUGAACAGGAAAUAUGACCUAUUUUGCAAAGAGCAAAAGUUAAACAAUAGCCAAAUCAUGAAAAACACCACCUGUUGCAUUGAAUAUGAUAUUCAUUAUAGACAUCUUAUUAUACUACUUAUUUAUUUAUCAAAUACCAUAUGCUUUUUUUAAAAAUAUUCAUGUGUCCAAAUAAGAUUAAGAGGAUAAAUAAAGAAAUUUUAUGAAUGCUCUAUUAUUCUCUAUUCCAAUGGAGAGAAAAGAGACGUUGAAAAAAAGGAGAAAAACAAAGAAAGAACAAAACUAAAAAUUUGGAGGGAAAAUUAUUUUCUUUUGAAUUAAAACUUGGAGAGGAAAACAAAAAGAAAAAAUAACCGUGAGUAACAGUCGGUUUCUUUUCUCCCAAAAAGUGCAAGAGAGAGGUAGAGAAAAUGAAAACAAAAAAAAUUUGUUUUCUCUUUUCUUUUUCUCCAAAUAUUCAAACAACAGAGAGAAAAUUUUCAUUUCUUUUCUUCUCUCCUUUUAUCUCCCUCCAAAUGAAAGCAUUCGUAUGCAACACACAAAAUUCUUCAGCACCACAAGAUUACCACAAAAUCAGAUGAAAUAUCUCAGUUGGUGACAUCUCAACAUAUCACAAUUACACAUGAUAUAAUAAUUUGACGAAACACAUACUAUGAAUUAUACUCAUAAGUCGUUUCGCAAUGAGAGAGCUUUUGAAUUCACUAUCCAUAUCAGUAAAUAUAAUUUAGAACAGUUGAAGCAUCUCAAAACCAAAUUUAAUAAUUUUUAAAUUUAUAAUACAAUCUAUCGAACGGGUAUAAAAUAAACGGUCAAAACCAUACCUCCAAGAAAUAAGGAAUACAAUUUCUUAAAUUCAAAAUCGAUUUUAUUGUUCUUAAUCUAUUAGUGAAUAAAAUUUUUAAUUAAAAAUUCAACUGAUUCUGAUUCUUUUACAACGUUAACUAGGAAACGCCCACACAACCCGCUAAAAAUGUCAACUUUCAGUCCCUUUGAUAAUAAGAUAUAUAAUAAUAAAAAACUAUAAAAAUUUAAUUUUUAGAAUAUUUAAAUAUUUUAAAUUAUAUUUAACGGUAUAAAUUGUCGUUGAUUUGAAAACCUUUUUAUCGAAAAUAACUUAUAAGCACCAAGAUGAUUGUAUUUGUACUCAUACAAUGAUACAGUAGCCGAACUCUCUCUAUAUAUGUAUAGACACAUCUCUAUAUAUAUAGACACACCCCACACGUUUCUCACAGCUUGCGGACCAGGCGCGAAGUUGUUGUUUUCCGCCAUUUCUCGGUGGAAAACGCAAACCCAGGUUCUCCAAAUGAAUCGUAAAAUAAUUUUGCGGAAAAUUUUGUUUCGUGGAUAAACAAACAAGCAGAAAACUGUUUUAGGCUCUGAAAUCAGUUUUUGGCUCACUUUUAUGGCGAACCAAACACAGGCACAGCUAAGCGAAAUUGCAAUUCAAGCAUAGAGUAUCGGCACGGAAGGAGAAGAUAAAAGAGGCAAAUCAUUUACUUUUACUGAUUUUUGUAACUAAAUACAACAAGUUUCACAUCUCACUUCAUCAAAUGAAGGGUAAACAAACACAAAAAAAUUAGUGUGCUCUUUGAGUCAUCAAAAGCCAUACCUCUUCUGAGAACCUUCUUCUAGGCCGAGAUCUGGAGAACCCAAAUCCUGCAACAAAACCAACAUAAAAAGCUCUCUUUUGCACGCCGUUUACUGCAUUUGGGUACGACUGGGUAUCUGACGCAUCAAGCACUGAGUUAUAUAACUUUCUGACAAAAGAGGAAAAGGAAGAUCCGAAGUUCAGACUUCACAAAACAGAACAUUCAGUAAAGUCUGCCGCUGCAAUCAUGAGAACCGCAGAAACAAUCUUUCCGCUUUAUGUUGCCAUCUGAAUCACGGACCUGAUCUAUCAUGUAGUUAUAGUGGUAUGUUAACUCCUGAAGCGGAGGGAUAUUUUCAGCGGCAAAGAACAUUAUGUGCGGCAUCCUCUUAUCGUCAUGGUCGUACAGAACAUUUUGCGCGUAGAGAUUCGGCGAACAACUGUGGUUAAUGAAUCUCCCGACAUUUCCACACUCAGCUGCAUCGAUUGUGAAGCCCUUGUCCUGCACAGUGUCGCAAUUAGAACUAGACUGUAGCCCAGGAAUAAUACUCGGGAGCCCUUCCCAAAGAGACUGAUCAUCGUAGUUAUGACCGAUAUCAAAGAGGUAGUCGUCGUUGCUCCUCUGUUCAGCCUCUUUAUCCUGAAGCAGCUCGCCUACAUAUUCGCAUAUGAAGCUUCCGGACGGAAUAGAACUCAAGGAUCUGACUCCCCACCCUCUCGACAGGGUCUUGAAUAUUUCUAGCUGUAUUUUGAUACCAUGCUGGCUCACCCGGUUGUGGCACGAUGGCGGACACUUGCAGUUUGGCCCGCACUCAUAUAUAAGUGGCUUCGCUUGAACAAUAGCGCCGUUGAAAUUAAAUGGAAUUUCCCCUCCAUUUUUCAUCGCACAAGCGCACUUGGCAGAAUCCGAACAGCCGCCAGAACAGUCGCAACCCAUGGGACGAGUCUUGGCGUACCAUGGUGGAUAUAUGAUCUUGGUUAUAUAUUGAAACGGCGGCGGCCGCUCAUCAUCGAUUGUGUUGACCGCACAGAUUGGUAUCUUCUCCUUGCCUUGAGAUAUAUCACGCACGCAUAAACCUUCACGGACUUUCAACCUUUUUGUCUUGUUAACUACAUUUAGGGCAAGUUCGGGUUGCCCUGGCAUUCGUCUCAACUGGAACUUAAAAACAGAAACACCAUGGGGCCCUUUCUCACUCCAAUACUUCUCAACAAGGUACAAUCCUGCGUAAGUGAAUGUUGAGACCAUCUUAAUUCUCCCAUCAGAGCUAUCACUCCCUUUAUGCUCUUUAAAGCCAUGUAUAACCCUCACAGGUGUCUGCAUGUCAAUGCUGUUUUUGAGUGCUAGGUUCCCACGCUCGAGCUUCUGGUCUUCCGCUUCUUUCUUACCAGCAGGUUUUCCUCCCGCGCCAGAAUAUAUUAGUAUAUCCGAACUGUCGAUGUCAUCAGGGUAGCCGCCAGAAGCAACGAUGCUUGUCGCAAGACGUAGACCAUUUUUGACUACAGAAUCUAUACCUCCUUGAUAAGGGCGGUGAAGUCCAACAAUAGAGAGCUCCACCCGAUAGUGGAAUUCGUCCCCGACUUCAACCCCAGGAACGUUUCCUAAUACUGCUUCACCAGAGUUAACAUACUCAUUGCACCUUUUGAGGACUGCAGCUGCCUCUAGAUCGAUCCUGCCAAUCUUGCCCGAUUCCUUUGUUGACUUGGCUUCCUCGCCUUUCAACAACUUUCUACAAACCAACUGAAACAAUCGGAGGAUUCUCCUGACCUUGGUACGAUCAUCAAUGUGCUUCUUGUCACUUCCCUUGCGAUUCCAUUCAAUAGGAACGCACGGGGUGAUGUUGACACUUAAUUCCCGUUUUCCUUCGUAAGUGGUUAAUUCAUGUUUUCCUUGGUACAUGGUUAGUGCUUUUGCAUUCUCAUAAUCCUGAGGCAUCACAUCCUCUUCAUCUUCUUCUUUCAAUUCAUCUACUGGUCGAGAAACAGAUUCACCCCUUGAGGCAAGCUUCUUGUUCAAUACCCUUGCAUCCUUUUUUACCUUAAUUUUUGAUGAACUGGAAGGCGAAUUUCCGAAAGAAGUCCUUUUACUCUGCCGCCACGGACAGUUUUUGGCAGACAUAAGAGCUUGCACGAUUACCGUCUCACUGUAAGCAUCCAAAGAAGCAUCUCCUUCGCUCUGAUCAUCCGCGUCCUGUCUGAGCUUUCGUGGAACAGCAUCUACAGACUUGACGAAAUCGAUCCUAUCCUUCUUAACAAUUUUUUCAAUUGACAACGCUUCAAUUGAUUUCUCUGCCUUUUUUUGGCUAAUCACUAGAGAUCUUUCACCACCAUUCGGACUCUUGUUUCUAACCUUUUCAAGGGAAGCAACUUUUGCUCCAAAUUUCCUCUCACCAUCCAUACUCUCACCCUUCAGUUUCUCAAUAGAAACAGCUUUAACCGACACGAGCGAACUGGUAUUUAUAUCUGCCUCUAGCAUCUUACUAUUAUCCAAGUUAGUUUUGUCUUUCAUAGAUUCCGACGAAAAAUCUUGAAGAUCAAGUUCUUUGCCAGUUUUCCGACUGGUUUCAGAUUUGUCGCCACCAUCAAGAGAACUCUUACUUUCCGGCUUUUCAACCAAAACAAUUUGCCCGGAAACUUCUGAAGCUGCUUGCUGGUUUCCUUCUGAUUUUUUCUCACCAUUCGAGUUCUUAUUUGAGUCAGCAGCUUUCGGGCACUUCUCUUUGCUCGUACGGGUAGUGUUGUUCCUCGCACACCCGACCGGAAAGCGCCGAAUUGCCGAUACCGCUCUUCUUUUAGGAGGAGGGUAAAUCUUCGACGUCAGCCACCGCUUCUCGCCACCGAAACCAUUUAGUUGGCACUCCAAAUUUUCAAAUUUUUCAGCUUGAUCAGAAGAGCUCUCUAUUCCGUUUUCCACCAGAUCCUUUGCGGCCUGCUCAGAACUACCAUCAACUCUUUCCUCCGGGGGUCUGAUUUCAACUCCAAGUAGAGUUUCUGAACCCUUAAUUUUCUCCUCCAAAGAACCAUUUGAUCCAUGCUUUUCCUCUAAAGGGGACGCCCCCGCCAUUUUGUUCGAUUCCGAAGUUCCCGCUGCCGCUUCUCUCGAUGAAACCCUAACCCUAACUAACUCCACGACCGGCGGGAGAACAGGGCCAACGGAAGCACGAAUCGCCCCGUCGGGAUCCAAACCUGGAUCCGGAGCCAUCGCAAUCGGCUUCGGAUCGGCCGUCGCAGGGAAUCGGCCGCAGCCCUUGGGCCAACGGCGCGCGACGGAGAGCUUCCGCGGCUUGAGCUUGAGCGCAGGAGCCGCCAUGAUCGGAGCAGGGGCCUCGAUCAUAGGGAGCGACCUUGGAACACAAUCACGCGCCGCGGAGGAGGUCAAAUCGAAUCGGAAGGAGGGCAAAAUGAAACCCUAGCUACGACACGCGAGGGAGCGGUAGAGGGAGGGGAGAGAGAGAGGUGCGAUACAUACAUUGGACUAGGGUUCGAGGGGAAGCUCGAGAGAGAUCGAGAGACCACCUCACCUCGAUAAUGGUGGAGGAGGAGGAGGAGAACAGCGGUGCCGCGCCGGAGAAGGAGGUGGCGGAGGGGAGGGAGAGAGAGAGAGAGGCGUUAAAUGCCAGAAAUGGGAAGUGAAAAAUGAAAAGUGAAAAAUGAGAAAAAAAAAUUACCCUUUUUAUAGUGGGACUGUUGCGGAUGGUGCUCGAAUAAGGAGGGGGCCGAAUUAUGCGGACGGCGCUGGUCGUCCGGAUCGACCCCACGAUGCGCGGCGGUUUAGCGAUCUCGACCGUCCAUACUGGACGGUUGCGAUCGCACUCUAACGCGACUUUGUAAUCGGCAAUUGAGAAUAUUUCGGCGCCGAGUUUAUACUGGUACAUGCAAACAUCAUUCUUCUAUCCGGUUGUGUAUCACCGUACACUUCCAUAGAAAUAUUUUGCAAAGAGGUGUUAAUUACUCUUUCCUAAAAGCUUAACUUGGAUACGGCGCCGUUGGGCGAACAAACGAAUCAACAAUGCCAAAAAUGUGUAGCUCAGUACGGGCCGAUCGAGCGAUCUCCGCCCUACAGAACAUACAAGAUCAUUAAAUUCUCUCACAGGAAGCUGUUCAUGAAUCUGAAUUCUCGCAAUUCUUCCUCACGACUUCGAACGAAAACAUUAGUUGUAAGUGUUUCAUUGUAGUACAUGCUUAAAACACGCCUUAUUUUGCAACAUUCCACAAUCUAUCUCCGAUCAUCUCAUAAACCAAAAGAAACCCGCAAAUCUCCUCAUAUUCUCACCACCCUGAACAUAGUUUUGAGGACAAGGAUUAAAAUAGCGGCUCGUGCAAACUACGUGCUACCACGCCGUGAAUAACAUUCAAUAGAUUCUUUUGAAACCAUCAAAAUCUGGCGUGGAAAUUAUGUUUUGUGCACCAACUCCUUGACCGCGUCUGCGAGGGAUUGCUCGCCCCGAAUGCUCUCGACCCACUUCGCGUUGAUCCGCACCCGCUCGAGGCUCUGCUUCAGUGCUCUCUCGAAGGAGGGUUUGACCCGGCUAGCGAAGAACUCUUCGACUUCCACAGCUUUCUCAGAGGAGUUAAACUGGUAGUAAAACAAGUAAUACUUUAGUAAGGAAGAUAACUAGUACUACUAAGUGGAUAAACAAUGCAGAGAUUGUAGGUUUCAUCCGAUACCGGCGAUACAAUCGCACUGACGAAUCUUGAGAUUAAAGAGCUUGCUGCCCAUGUCUUUGAGAUAUAGUCCCAGUUCUCCUGCAAUACAUAUAUGUAUGUUAAUGAAAUUUUUCGAUGUAUAACCAUGCGUAAGAUUUCUUCGUACCUGCUCUAUGUUUCUUUAUCUCUUUUUGUUACUUCUAUAUUUUACUAAUAACUAGGGGUGUACACAGUUUGGUCCCAAACUGAAAACCAAACCGAACCAAACCAAAUAAAACUAUUUAGUUUAUAUGGUUUUCAGUUCGAUUCGGUUUUCAAAUUUAUUAAAAUUCGGUUUCUGGUUUCGGUUUCGGUUUCGGUUUGAACACAUUUCUUAAUCGAACAGAACCAAAAACCGAAUAGUAAUAGUUUUACAAAUUUUAUCUGAACUAAUUUAUUAAAUUUUAUAUUUAUGAUCAAAUCUUGAUCAUAUAUCAACACAUUUUUCAAAGUUCUAUGUUUAUAAUUAAAUUUGUUGUCUAAUGAUUCAAUUUUUAAUAUCAAAUUAUAAAAUAAUUCAUAAGAAAAAUUUUAAAAAAAAUCUGAAAAUUAAUUGCAAAACCGAACCAAAAGUAAUUCGUAAUUUUUUCAAAUCGAAAAAUUCGGUUCAGUUUGAGAUUUGCCUAAAAACCAAACCAAUGUCCGCAAUAGGAGUAUGGGACAUUAUUGCGACAAGCAUCGAAUAUCAUAAGGCUAGAAAAGUUCAAGAGAAAAGACAACUUUCUAGGGUUGUGGAGUACAUAUUGAUGUAAAAGCUUAAAUAUCAAACCUCGUUCAGCAUCGGCAUUUGACGGUCUGAAGCAUGAAAUUGCUUUUCCAAUUAUAUGAUUAAAACUAAACCAUAACACAGUACAUUAGUAUAAUAUACGGCGUUAGUUGUUUUUCCAAUUAUACUUUUGAUUAUUGCCCAAUCAACAAUGAUAGUCGCAAAUCAGAACAUUUCAAUGCUAUUGUAACCUCCGAAAGUCCACUUAGGCAACAAUUAGUUACUAAUAUAGUCAAAUUGUAUGGAGUUCAUAACCAAAUGACAUGUACCUUAAGCCAAACCCAUGCAGUUUCACGUCCUUGCCUGCUGAUCCCAAGGCCGUAAAUUGCAUCUUGAUUUCGAACCUAAACAAGCAGACAAUUGAAAAAGGACAAAAAAAAAGAUCUUGUCAAGAGCCAUUUCAUUGAGAGCACUAAAAAGUUACGAAGAUUAAAUACCAACCUUACGGGUCAAUAGAAAAUUCAGGGCCUCGAGGACAAUUUCCUUAUCGGGGCAAGAUGCCAAAGAGCCUAGAAACAAAGGGUGGGGAAAAAAGAAAAUUCAAGAAUGACAAGUUAGCGAAAGAAAUAACAACGAAACCCAAUGUUGAAGCUUGAACCCUUUUCGAGUACUUUUUCGUAGAUUCAAUUCUAACAAUUUAGUCCAUUAAGUUUGUCCAGCAUAAUAGUUGUCUUUUCUCUAGUCUACUACAAGAAACGAAACACCACAUCAGCAUCAUCAACAUAGUUAGAGGACAAGACAAUUUUUGAAGGCAGGCCAUGACAGGAAUAUGUUGCUGUGGCAACUUUUCAAUAAGGUAGAGUAAGAGAGAAAAGACUUUGGACUAAAGUGUUACGCAGAACAAACUUCACGGACUAAAUUUUUCACAUUGAAAUUUUAAGGGCGUUAAAUUAAAACAGAAUCAAACUUCAGAUACUAAAUUUUCACCUAACCUAUUAGUUAAAAAAAAUUAAAAAAAAAAAUUUGUAGACUGUCUUCGCACAGUGAGACGUUUAAUUACUUACCUAAAACACGUACUCUUUCCUGACUUUGAUCCGUCUCUGUGUAUAUCCUUAAGAGAGAUUCAAACCCAGAUUUAUUUGAGGUGCUAACAGUUUGCAUUACACCAAGGUAUGCAGCCUAAAUGACAAUUUCAAAGUACAUUAUUUACGAAGAAAUUAGACUAAAAACCAGUAAAAUAAUAAAUAUCUCGUUUCAACCUUUCUAUUAUCCGGAGGCAAGAGGGGUGUAUUUCGGUCAUUUAAGAAGAUAUUGAAGCGCUUUACUGCUUCAUUUAUAGUCUCUUCAUGACCAAGUCUUACAAGCGCAACUAAAAGAUCGGAUCUUAGCAUUACAUCCAAGUGGUUUUCGCCAUCCUUAGGAUCCCAACCUAAUUUUCUGAAAAUAAAAAUACUACGAGAUUGAGCACAAGGGAAAAGUAUAAGAUUGUUUGACAAUAUGCUAAAUCAGAAUAAAUUGCACCUAUCUCACAACUUAUACUGCCUAAAAUUGAGGAAUUUACCUUUUAUAAACUCAUCUAACUGACAUAUAUAUGCACAUAACUAUCCAGGAAUACCAAAGAAAAAUAUAGUAUGUAAUAGAGAUAUUUAUGUAUAUCUGUGCAGAAUCAUUUAUUUACACGUAGACCCCGUAAAAUCUGCAUAUCCAGAGGUACAGCUUGAAAUUGCAGCUUUUUCUUCCUUCUUUUCAUGGAAGUAGUCUCUUAAGAUGGGGAUCGAUCAAUUCUCCUUUUUUUUGUGCGUUGGGGUAGGUGGAGUGCUGGUUAGAAAAUGUUUUCAAAAGAGAACUAUUUUCGAAAGUACAGAGCUAUAUAUAUAGAGAGAGAGACUUAUGAGUAUAAGGUGAUUGUACUCAUAAAAGUAUAGUAGCCAGAGUGCGGGGUUCUCUCUCUCUCUCUCUCUCUCUCUAUAUAUAUAUAUAUAGAAUGAAGCUAGAAUAUUUUUCAUACUAAAGGAAAUAGUAUUUACUAUAUACGUUUUAGACCUUGGAUACUUAUAAUAGGGUUUAGUGGUGGUAGGAGAAAAGUAUUGAUCCAAGGGCUCUAUAAAGUUGAUAGUAAAUACUGUCCAUUUACUAUCAAUAGUAUUCUAGGCGAACUAUAUAUAUAUAUAUAUAUCUAGUUGAGCUAGAAUACUAUUGGUAGCAAACGAGCUCCAUUGCUAUAGAUUUUGUUUUCGUCUUUUCGAUGAUAGAGCCUCUAAAUCAACGAUCGGCACAGUUGAACAAAAUCUACAUCACUCGAAGAAUCUAGAAAUCAAAUUUAUGUGUUUUCGAUAUUGUUCUCUUGCACAUCAAGUAGACACAAAAAUGAAGAGCUAAAAAUAAAUAACCUUCAAAAAGUGAUGAUGAGAUUUUUGUAAUCAAGAUCAAGAGUAUAGAUCUUGUUUUAAAUAGUUUAAAAUUUUUUCUAACCAAAAUUUAAUUGAUUUAGAUUUGUUUACACAGUUAAACAAGCAAACCCCUCCCAUCGACCUUUAAAAUUAUAAAUUUUGCAACCCUUUGAUCAUUAGAUCAAUGACGUCGAAAGGAUUUGAAAUUUGAUUUCUAGAUACUUCUAGAAUAGAUCAUGUUCAACGGUGGCGAUCGUCGAUUUGAAGACUCCAUCAUUAAAAACAAAUCAGUAGCAACGAAGCCCGUUUGCUACCGACAGUAUUCUAGCUCAACUCUCUCUCUCUCUCUCUCUCUCUCUCUCUCUCUCUCUCUCUCUCUCUCUAUAUAUAUAUAUAUAUAUAUAUAUAUAUAUAUACACCUUGUGAUCAAAUCAUGUUAAAAUGAACAGUACAAAUUGAACAAUCUUUAGAAAUUGAGGAUAGAACUUUUAAGUUCAAGGUAAAGGAUGCUUGAGCUUGAUCUAGAUAGUGUAAAAUAUUUUCUAUUAAAAAUUCAAUAAAUUUAGAUUCUUCUAUGCCGUUAAACUACAAAGUCAUCAUAUUAGCCUUUGAAAAUUGGCAAUUUUGAGAUGGUUCGAUCAUAAGGUAAACAAUGUCGACAAAAUAUAAAAUUUUAUUUAUAAAAACUUCAAAUACCCUAGUUCAAUUUUAAUGGUGUGGAGCAUCAAUUAAUAAACACCCUAAAGUCAAAAGCGAGACUAUCGUAAGGGAGCCCUCUAUAGUAUAGGUGCAUUGCUCUCUCUCUCUCCCCCCUCCAAUUUAUAUUUUAGUUACUGAAAAAGUUUAAAGAGAUGCCAUGCAGAAACUGACAUAGGCCAUCAAUAUGCAUUAAUUAUCAUGUCUCGAUUAUACAUACUUUGCAGCAGACAGAAGAAGAUUGAUGAGAAAGAGUUUGAUGUCAUUGGCCAACUCUGGAGUGGCAUCCAUUACCACAUCUGCGAUCUUACAACUAAUCUGCAAGCCAAAGAAAAAAGUAAUUACACUUGAAAGAAUAGAUUAAAAAUGUAACGUAAGAGGUGAAGGUAUACACACCACUAUUACGUGAGAAAGCACAGUAUAAUCGAACUCUUCACCAUAAGCACUCAACAAGAAAAGUAAAGAUGACAAUGUUUGUUUGCAGGCCACAGAAAGGGCAUAUGAAUCUUCUACUACGCCUGCAUUAGAAAUAUUAGAAUGAUCAUAAUUGACAUCGAAGCUUACUUGAACAAGAUUGGAAGGGGCUUUUUACAUAUAUAUCCCUGCAAAAUAGUCAAUGUACAUGUAUACUCCUGCAAAAAGUGAGUUAUUACACAUAGCCCACGAAAGUGCAGCUUUGUACCAAAAUAUCCAUACCUCAUUCAGAAGUCAUCUGAUCCAUGGAUCAAGGUAGUAUUCGACUAGAAUAAGUUUUUUAGUUAAGGGCCACUUUAUGUGACUUCAAGGGUAUAGGAAGUUCUUAAGAUUUGAAGGGUACAUAUACUACCAAAAUUGAGAUUUUACAACAAUAUACAUAUAUGUAAACAUCGUAUUCUACUAGGAUAAGGUUUUUAGGAAAGGGCAACUUUAUGUGACUUCAAGGAUAGGGAAGUAGGUUCUUAAGAUUUGAGGGUACAUACACUACCAAAAUUGAGAUUUUACAACAAUAUAGAUAUAUGUAAACAUCUCAAUUUGGAAAUACAGGUCAAUUAAUCAGUACUUAAUCCUAUUACCUAUUUUGUCCAUUAAAGAGAGCUUAUUGGCCUGUACUGCAUAUCUAAUUCCAGCAGCAAGCUCAUCAUCAUAUUUCACUCUGUAAAAGCCUGUUUGGUCUACAUUCAACUUAAUCCAGAAGCGUUCACCAUUCUCAUUGUUCGGAUCAUGAGAACUGACAAGCUCCUUUAUGUCCAACUUAUGAUAUUUUGAUUUCAGCAGAAACUUUUCCUGGGGAUUAUAGGAACCGCAGCAUAAUGUUACAGGAAUAAUCCACAUGCCAGUACCAGAAGAUCCAUCAGAUAAAAACUGUGCCUGCAAAGAAGAAGCAAUGUCAAAUGUUAUUGGAAGGAGGGGAACCAAAAAAAUAAAAAACUUAAUAGAACUACAAAAGCACCAUUACUCCUUUUUUUAAAAAGAUCAAGCUCUUGUAUGAUCAACAAGGUAUGAUCAAAUGGAACAUAUGAGGUGAUUGCCACGAAAGACUUAUUUAAAGAAGAGAUAAAUAUAUUGGACUAAGCAACAGAAAUCUAAUUGGCUCUUGUUGGGGAAAAAAACAAGAAGAAUAAGUUAGAGCGAUUGUUGAGUGUUAGGAGUAGGUAAAUGCUUUUCUUAGUUGCGAUAAAAAAGAAACAUGUAAAGAAUUCUAAAAGACAAACCUGCUCAAGCUCCAACUCAUGCUUUUUAAGGUUUGCAUAAAUAACAGGAUAUCCUUGUUGCUUUGUCCACGAAUUCAUCAAAUCCUUGACAGGUUCUCUGGACUUCUCUUCAAGAACAGCCCAAAGGUCUUCAGUCUUAGCAUUUGAGUAGGUGUAUUUUUUUAUGUACGAAGCGAGAGCUUGCUGAAAUUUAAAAUUAACAAACGUAUCAUCAAUAAAACAUAUAGAUAUGAACAAUUCAUGACGACUAGCCCAAGGAGAAAAAUUAGACUGUAGAAAGAGUAAAAAGAAAAGGCUAAAAUACAGAAAAUCAGUUGGAUAUAUUAUGAUUUGCACUUUAAUCAAAACCUAUAGAUAACCCCAUAGAUAACCCCUCAAUUUAUUUGAAAAUCUUACAUUUUUACUACCUACAGGAGGGAGUAAAAUGCUGACGUAUCACAAGUGUUGAGAUUAUCAGCAGGGUUUAAUUAUCAAAAGGGAUAAGUGUAAAUCACCCUAUAUCCAAGGCUGUAAUCUGCAUUUUAGCCAAAAAAAAAAAAAAAAGCUACUAAGCUGCAAAAAGAACAUCUUCAGUACCAGAAUUUUGUGCUCUGAAUACGAUAUAUAACAAAUGAACGCUCGCUAUUACAUGAAGCGUGAAUAAUUGCAGAUAUAGAGGAAUUUCACAUCAGUAAUCCCAGAAAACAAACUCAAAACUCAGAGAACAUUAAGCCAUUAAGGAAGAAUUUAAAGCGAAACUGGGGAAAAGCUGACAACCAACCUGGAAAGAUUCCGCACCAAGGUAACUCUGCAGCAUUCUGAUAACAGAGGCACCCUUGUCAUAGCUUAUCGAGUCAAAAAUUGCAUCAAUCUCAUUGGCAUGGUUUAUUUCGACCUGAACAAAUGUGGAAACAUUUUGAGGCAUUGUAAAACAUAGCUCUUACCUACAAAAGGUAUGCGGGACAAUCACAUAUCCAUAUAUAAGUAUGCUCACGCAUGCUUGCGAACAUACUAACGUAUGGAUGUGUGAAUGCCCUACAUCCCUUUUCUAGGUAAGAACAUACUUUUAUGUAUGCAUACUAACAUAUUUAUGCAUGCAUGCAUGCAUGAUAUGCGAAUAUCCCACAUCCCUUUUGUAGGUAAGAAGGGGACAUCACUUUCCUAGGUAUGGGUGUGCGUUACCUCAAUAGGAUGUGAUUCAGAAAGUGCAUCAAGCAUAAGGCCCGCAGCAGUUUCUUCAAGAAAUUGAGUCCAAAUCUUCCAUUCAGGGAACAAGGAAUCUACUGCUAAAUAGCUCACCUGUUAAAAGAGCAAAACAGAAAUGCAACAGAAGUUUCUAUUGUAAGUUACAAUCACUCAAAAUGGCAAGAAUAAUAUUACGUCCCUUACCCAUGAUGCAAAUCCCUCAUUUAGCCAUAAGUGUGUCCACCAUUCCAUUGUCACCAGAUUUCCAAACCAUUGGUGUGCCAACUCAUGUGCUACAGUAAUCGCCACCUAAGAAGAAUUAAACAGGUAGAACAAAGAGAGAAUAUGUUAGAUCCAAGACAAUUUCGCUCUCACGGUGAAGCGCCAUCAAGCACAGAUUUAAUCCAAAUUUUGAAUAAUCUUCAAGCAUUAAGAACUAAAGUAAGAGCCAUCAAGAAUUAAGGACUGAUCACCGAUUGUUUGUUUGAUGCUGAUGAUAAGCGAUCAUCAUAGAGCAAAGCUGUUUCUCGAUAAGUGACUAAUCCAUAGUUCUCCAUAGCACCAGCAGCAAAAUCAGGAAUAGCUACCAUAUCCAAUUUGGGAAGAGGAUAAGGCACCGCAAAAUAACUAAGAAAUGAAAAUGAACAACUGUUAAUGAUCCUAUAAAAAUUUCCAACUAAUGUAAAUGAAAACGAACAACUGUUAGUGAAGCUACAGAAAUUUUCAGAUGUAUGUAACAAAAGAACUCAUGCCAAUUGAUGGAUAAAAUUUGACAACAAAUCAAAAUUAAUUACUUCUCAUAGAGUUGAAGCGACUUCACAGCAACAUCUAAAGCAAACUUCCCUUGACUGCUCUUACCAACUUGACAAUAUACGCGAACUUUUGUACCUAAAGAAAUAUGCACAAGCCCAUCAAUUUAUCUUCUAUAUAAUUUGGAAGGAAAGAAUGGGACUGGUUAAAGAAUAGGUUAUAUACUUCUAUAUCGUACCAUCUGGUAAUUUGUCUUCUAUAUAGUCAAAUAAACCAACAACAAUAGCCACCAAGUAAGUUGACAUAAUUGGUGAUUCCUCAAAAGAGAGUGUCUUGACAACUCCAUUAACUUUCUCUUCAGCAACAGGCAUAUUGGAUAAUGCUACGAGCUCAGAGGGUACUUCCAGUGUAAUCUUGAAGGUAGCCUGAAGACAUCAGGAUAGGAAAAGAAUAUGACACUGGUGUAGAAAUUUUCAAGAACAACAGUUAGCCUAAAAUCAAAGAUGAAGGCAAAACAGCGGGGCAAAUUGACUGAAUCUAUUCAGAAAAGCACUAAUAGCUUUUUCAUAGAUACAACAUAGAUCCGUUGACAAAUUUGUGCUGCUACAAAUAUAGAAGCUUCAAAUGGGGGACUGUUUUUGGGGUAUAAAGCUUAUUUAAAUUUCCACCAUAGCAAAAGCUCCAAGCUUUUCAUUUUGCAAAGUGCUAAGCUUCCACUUUUCAGAGUAGAGAAGCUAUUUAGAAGCUGGGUAUUCACUAAGCAAUCUAAACUAAAAGUUUCGAGUUUUUGGCUUUUCUGGUUUUAGAUGAACACACUAUUUGAGUUUUUGCUUUUAGAUGAACACAACAUUUUAUUUGUUUACAGAGUUCAAGCAGUAGCAUCACCAUUCAAAUUAAGCAAAAGUUUAAGGGCUUCAGGAAAAAAAAAAUAUACAAAUGCUUCUGAUGGAUCCUUUCUCUAAUUAGUUUAAUGACUUUUACUGGUGUUUGGAUCUUCUAGUAAUUUAUACGUAUUGCUUCAUGCGUUGUAAAGCACUCAACUAAGUAAACAAUCCUUCAUAUUAUAAUUUACUAAUCUUUAUUAUGGUUGUGCCAAUAGAUCAUAGAUCAAAACGAAAUAAUACAAAAAAGUUUUCAACAUGAAAUUCUUUUAAAGGAAGAGGCAUGCAAGAGAGUAAAAUGAACCACAGUUUGUUUCAUUUGAGCAACUUGAUGGUUCUUCCUUGGCAAAAUUUAGCCACAUUGUUUGGUUUAUCUCAAACAAUUUAUGUGACUACUGACUAAGUUCCUGUUAAAGCAGAUAUCUCACCCUAAUUCUGCAUAGAAGAGACAUCAAAAGAUGUCGUAGUUAAGUAGGCAUCCUAAAACAAGCCAUAGGCUGGAUUAGUUCCAUCUGUGUCUACCAAGAUACAAAUGUAAGCACCUUAAAUGCAGGUUCGUCCCAGCAUGGGAAACACCGUCUAGCAUCAACAGCCUCGAACUGCGUCACGGCCAUGUUUCUUAUCUCCCCAUUAUACUCGUACUUACUGCACGAGAAAUAACAUUAACUAGUCAGAAAAGUAUUUACACAUUAGAAAAAAAAAAAAAUCAAAACAUUCUAGAAGAUUAAGCUUUUACAGAAUAUUGGUGGUUUCGCAUGGUAUGAUAACAAAAGGUCCUGAGAUCAAGUCUUCAUAGGCUGCUAUAUUUUAAAUUUUCACCUGUUAAGUUCAAGUCCAUGCUUGAAACAAUAUGAGGAGUUUUAAAUAUAAAUGAGAGAAUAACAGUAGUUUCAUAUAAUAUCAUAGCAGAUUGUCGUUUAACUUCCUCUCAUUUAAGUUAAGUCUAACUUAUCGAAAGUCUCGUUUUCAUAGUAAAACAUCAUUCUCUAAAAAAUGAAACCAAAUUAUUCACAUUAUCGAUCAAACUCCUACAUACGAACAGCUAGUUACAAAUAAAAGAAAAUAGAGAUCAAAGUCAAAACGAAUUUACCUUCGGUAGAACCCCCUCAUCUGGUCAUUUAGGGUCCCUGUGAACCCAAUUCUCAGUUCCCCAUCCCCAAUAGGAAGCGUCGUGUCGAACCCCACAACCAAGAUCUCAUCCUCCUCCACUGCGACGACCUCCGAGGGCUUGAGCUCCUGCAAUCACAAACACACCCCAUCGAGACCACUGUUACCCAAAAGAUCCAUCAAGUAGGACACGACUCAGCAUCGAUUCUAACAUCCCCCACUCAUGUGCAUUCUGAAUCUUGCACUACCCGAUAUGUCAUAAAAUGGCGGAUGUCGGAAUCGUACUCAUGCCCCAUUGGAGUGGAGGGGGCUCGAGACCAUCUCUCAUAUUAUAUUAUCCAAAUGAUUGAUGUAGCAAGAAAAGGUUCGGCCGUCCUAUAUGCACUAACUGAAGAGGUAACAACAGAGACAACAGAAUGAUUGACUGAAGUAUACAUCAUAAGAUGACAAAAUGCAGGAAUCAAACUCAGGUCCCAUUGAAAUGAAGGGGCUUAGGACUAGCAAGGAAAAGGUCCAGUUGUGCAUGGUGAGCAUCCAGUAAAGAACACUCCGUGCACCAACAAAUGAGAUUACAAAAAGAAAAGACAACUGAACGACAGACGACUGACAGAAUCAUAUACCACAGAAUGGCAGAUAUAAGAAUCGAACUCAACUCAAAUUCUAUUAAAAUGGAAGGGCUCAGGACUCUUUGCCUUAGAUUCUAAGUUUACUAUAUAGCAAGAAAAAUAAAAUAAAAAUAUUUUUAAAAAAAUUAUGAUGGGAUGGUUGACCCCCAAAAAAAAACAGAUCCUGGGGGAUCACCUCGGAGGAUCCGGGGGUAGUGAAGCGGACGGAGGCGGGGUCGACGGCGAGGUCGGCGGCGUUGAGGACGAGGAAGCGCGUGGAGGAGACGACGGCGACGGCGAUGGUCGAGGAUCCCGAGAAGGCGCAUCGGGCGAGGUCGACCCGCAGGGAGAUGACGUACCGCUUAGGGUUUGCGAACCGCGGGAGGCGGGCUUGGCCUUUGAAAUCCUCCACGCUCUGCUGCUCCGCCUUCGCCAUUUUUUGCGCCUCUCUCUCCUUCUCUCUCUCUCUCUCUGUCUCGCUCUUCUUCUUUUUCUUUUUUUUCAGGCCCGUUUGAUGAUUCUUCAAGUAAAAUGACUGAUUGAUUGAUAUAUUUGUACAAAUAUUAUAUAUAUAUAUAUAUAUAUAUAUAUAUAUAUAUAUAUAUAUAUAUAUAUAGAGUGAGACUAUUAUGAUAUCGGAAGCACGGAGUCUUCCGUGCUUCUAGCUCGUUUUCGAUGUUGCGACUUUCAAAUCGUCGAUCGGCUCCGUUAAACGUGAUCUAGAGUAUUUGAAGUACCUAGAAAUAAAUUUUAUUAUUUUUUGAUAUCAUUUGCCUAGUGAUCGAAUGGGCUCAAAAUCAACAAAUUUCAAUGGUCGUAGUAAGCCAUUUGCAAGUUUAACGGUGUAAAAAUAUCCAAAUCAUGUGAAAUUUGAUAGAAAAUUCUUUAUACUAUAUAAACGAGAUCAAUAUCUUUGAUUUAAAAUUUUAAUAUCAUAUUAUCACAUUUUGUAAGAUUUUUAUUUUCAGCCGUUGAUUUUAAGCCUCUUCGUUCACUAGGCAAAUAAUAUCGUAAAAUUAUAAAAUUUAUUUUCUAGGUAUUUCAAAUACUCUAGAUCAAGUUUAACGGAGCCGAUCGACGAUUCGAAAGUCGCAACAUCGAAAAUGAGCUGGAAGCACGGAAGGCUCCGUGCUUCCGAUAGCAUAGUAGCCUCACUAUAUAUAUAUAUAUAUAUAUAUAUAAGUCCGCUUCACCGUAUUUUUAUGAGUAUUGACUCUCUUAUACUCAUAAGUUUUUGGCUCUAGAUUUAUUUUAUUGAUCAUUUUUCACCUGUAGAUCAUACUAUUCAACCAACUACCCACUCAACCCUAGACCGUGGGACCACUAUUAUUUUAAGUGGGGACCACCAUCAUCUAACCAGACAUCCAUCAAUCAACGGUUUAAAAUUUAUGAGUAUAGCGGACUACUAUACUCAACCCUUAGGGGACCACUAUCAUUUUAAGUAGGGACCACCAUCAUCCUAACCAGACAUUCCAUCAAUUAACGUUAAAAUUUUUAACAGACAUCUCAUAAAUUUUUAACCGUUGAUUGAUGGAUGUCUGGUUAGGAUGAUGGUGGUCCCUACUUAAAAUGAUAGUGGCCCCUAGGUUGAGUGGGUAGUUGGUUGAAUAGUAUGAUCUAACGGGUGGAAAUGAUCAAUAUAAUAAAUCUAGGGCCAAAACUUAUGAGUAUAAGAGAGUCAAUACUCAUAAAAAGUAUAGUAGCCGAAUCUCUCUCUCUCUCUCUAUAUAUAUAUAUAUAUAUAUAUAAUUGAACUAGAAUACUUUUAGAAGCACCAACCUCUCGGUGCUUCUAAGUUUCUAGCCCUUGGAUCUACUUCUUUAUUACUAAUAGUCUUUUGAUUGAAGGCUAUUCUACCUACCACCACCUCCCACCACCUACCACCAUCAUCUCAACUUCACGUCACUCCAUUCAAUAGCUAAAAACUCAAAAGCACCGCCUUCAUGGUGCUUUUGAGAGUAUUCUAGCUCAACUUUACUAAUAGUCUUUUGAGAGCAUAUUUUAAGUAACUAAGUUUACUUUAUUCUGCAAAAAUGAUUUGAAGACCAAAUAUUAUUUCAUUGUUGAUUGUUGAUAUUUGACCGAACUCAUAACUUUUAGUUAUAAUAAAAAAUUUUCAUACCGAAUAAGAUAUUAUUGGAUAAUUUAUUCUAACAUUCAAAUAUGAAAGUCCUUUUGAUUUAAUAUUUUUUUGCAGUUGAAAGAUGCAGCAGUUAUGACCGUUUGAUUUGAUACAGUAAAAAAUAUUAUAAUUAUAAAUUAUUUAUUUAGUUAUAUCUAGUUGAAAAGUGCAAAAGCAAUAGGCUAAUUGAUAGAUACAGAGUAUGAUAAAAUAAUGAAAAGUGCUUCUUUUUUUUUGACAUUUGGCCCCCUCAAAUAUUAAAUCAAUUAUUUAAUUAUUUUAUCAUAUUCUGUAUCUAUUAAUAUAUUAUUUUAUUCUUGAAUGAUUCACCGUGUUCAAACACGGUAAACUAUUCAUCAUGUAUGAAUAUAGUGAAUAAUUCACCUUGAUCCGUACUUAUAGUCCUUCUAUUUCGUGAUCCGUCCUUGUAUUCCUCUUAUUCCUUUUUUUCGAUACUUAUAUUUUUUUCACAGUACCAAAUGAGUGCAGUGUAUUAGAGCUACUUAUACACCCGGUCCAUAACGACAACCCAGCAAGCGAGUAUUUUGACGAGUAGACUCUUCCUCGGCGGGGUGUUGUCGAUUCCUCGCCGCUCUUCGUUCUUCAACGCAGCCUCAUUCGCAGCGUGGUAUGCGACGCUCCGCAGAAAAUAUCCUCUAUGGGGAUUUCUCGCAACAGGGCGGCGUCGUCGUCGUCGUCGGCUUCGCCAUGCGCUCAGCUUCGAUCGGCUUACCACGAUUGCUUCAAUAGGUCUCUCUCUCUCUCUCUCUCUCUCUCUCUCUCUCUAGAGAGCUCUCUCAUGGACUUAGGGUUUUGUGUGGUGGUGGUGGUGGUGAUGGGGUGGAAUGAUGUGUAGGUGGUAUUCGGAGAAGUUCUCGAAAGGUCGGUGCGAGGAGGAUGAGUGCGUCGCAGAGUGGGACAAGUACAAAGCAUGCCUUGUUGUAAUCUCUCUCUCUCUCUCUCUCUAUCUCUCUCUCUCUCUCUCGCCACUCUCCUUCGUUUAUUGCAAUACUUUAAUUUUGCAUUAUUUGUUAGCGCAGUUCGAAUUAACGUGUUAAUUGUGUGAGAUUAAGAGUUGCUUUGGUGCUUAGCCUAAGAGAUUGGGCGUAAAAGUUGAUCCUUGUUAGCUCAAAUCUGAUAAUUAUGUGGGCGAUUACCAGUUGUUUUGGUUCUUAACCUAAGAAAUUGGGCGUAAAAUUUUAUCCUUGUUAGCUCAAAUCUAAUUAACAUGUUAAUUGGGAGGUAGUAGGAUUCGUUUUGAGUGUAGAAUUUGAUUCUUGUUAACUCAAAUCUGAUUAAUGUGUUAAUUGGGAGGGAUUAGGAGUUGCUUUGGUUCUUAUCGUAAGUAUAAUUUGAUCCCUGUUGGCUCAAAUCCGAUUAUCGUAUUAAUUGUGUGAUAUUACAGGUUGUUUUGGUUGACAUUUACGGGUUGUUUUCGUCUCACCUAAGAAAUUGGGCGUAGAUUUUGAUUCUUGUUAGCUCGAUACUGAUUAACAUGUUAAUUGCAUGAGAUUUAAGAGUUUUUUUGGUGUUUAAUGUAAGAGAUUGGGUAUAAAAUUUGAUCCUUUUUGGUAGAAUUAUAAUGCAUAUAAGAUUUAGUCUCCUCACAUUUUCUUCUAUUUUAUUGCAGUUCCUUUCCUUUAUUACUGCAUUAUUUGCUAGCUCAGUUCUGAUUAACAUGUUAAUUGGGUGAGAUUGGGAGUGGUUUUGGUGCUUAAUUGUAAGAAAGUUGCAUAAAUUUGAUCCUCUUUUCAUAGAAUUAUACUGCACGUAGGAUUCUGUUUAAUUGUUUCUCCACCAUUUCUUCUAUUUAUUUCAAGUUGUUGCCUUUAUGAUGCAGCAAAUAAAUCUCUUUUUAUUUUCAAAUGCAAUUUUCUUUUAUUUUGUAGGUUCGUGUUUGAUUCGGACUUAAACCAUUUGGUUUUAGUUGAUUUGGCUAACCCAAACCCUUUUCUCCCAUAAACAAAAAAAAAACAAUCCCAAGAAGACCUUUGGAAUUCCCCAAAAACAAAGACCUUUGAAAUUCCCAAAUUUGCUUCGUUUUCAAUGCAUGACUCUUGGGUGACCGUGUUGUGUUGAAAACGAAAAGGCAAUAAUUUAUUAUCAUAGGACUCUCAACACUAUAAAUACAUGGUUCUUGAGACCUUAAGGGGAUAUAUUUGGAUGAAUAGAAAAAUUCUACUCUCACUCUUUAUCCUUGGUGUUCUACUUCCCGGUGUGAUCAUCGACGCUUCUUCCUCGCGCCGAGAUCGUCUUCUUCCUCAACUUGAUUGUUGUCACUUCUUCCUCGUGGCAAGAUCGGCUUCUACUUCUACCCCUCCUCUUCUUCCGAGUCACUGCCUCAUCGUCUUCUUCCCCGUUGCCGAAGUUCUACCCGUGGUGUACCGCCCUCCUCGUCGAUCGUGGAUCCCCCGCAAUCGUGUGAACGGUGCACUUUUUGUAUCUCCUAUCUCUUGAUAUCCUAUUAUCCCCUUUUAAUCUAGCCUUCCACCAUUACCAACCAUAUUUGCCAAACAACCAAACCUAAAGCUUUAAGUCCGAUAAAGCCGAAUUUACCUUUUGGAACUAGUAUAUGUAUUUUCAGUUGGUUGUUAUUAUCUCAUAUAUUGAAGGUUUAUCAUCAUCUUAGUAUUACUUCGAUUCGAUUCUAAUUUGUCUUGCUGAAAUUUUUGCUUCCUUGCUUAAAGUUCAUCGAAAUUGAUAAAUUGAACCUAGUUUUACCUUUAAACAAAAGUAAACUUGAAAAUUCAAUUUUGGCAACCUCUCGGUUUGCAUCACUUUACUACAUCAUUUGUUAGCUGAAUUGUGAUUAACAUGUUAAUCGGGUGUUCUUCUGCUGCUUGACGUAAGAAAUUGGGCAUAAAAUCUGGUCCCUUGUGCAGAAUUGUAUUGCAUGUACAAUUUUGUCUCAUCACCUUUUUCUUCCAUCAUAUUGUGAAUUCUCAACUUGACUUCAUUAUUUUCUUCUACUUUUUACAUUAUUUCUGAUUACAAUGUUAAUUUGUCGAGAUUACGAAUCGUUUUUUAUUCUUAAAAAAGUGUUUGGAUUGGGGAUAAGGGGAGGGAUAACCCCUUAUCCCCCCCCCUUUAUACCCAAACGUAAAUUUUUUACCCGAGAAUAGUAGUUCUCGGGUAUCUGAAAUAAGCUGGUAUUACUAUCCCCACCAACACCUCCAUUUUCUAUAUAUAACUACUCAAUAUUUUUCUUACUCCAUAUUAUCUAUCCAAACACUAUUUUUUCUAUCCCCGGGAACAACCCAAUUUUCAUCCAAACGCUAUUUUGCUUAUCCCCAUACUUGUACCUAUCCCUGUAAUAGCUAGUUCUUGCUUAUACCUGAACCAAACAGUACCUAGCCAUAAAAUUGGAUCCUUCUUCCUGGAACUCCUAAAUGUGACAUUUCUCCUCUCCACCGCUCUUAUUUAUUGAAAGUUCUCUCAUUUAUUGCAUUUUCUGCUAUUUCUUGGCUCACAAAUAUAUCAUGUUUAUUGGGCGAAAUUGAAAAGUCGCUUUUAUGCAUGAUUUAAGAAAAUUGGGCGUGAAUUGGAUCCUUUCUUUCCUAUAACUACUGUACAUGAGACAAUGCAUCUCUCUUGUUUUCUUGUUCGCAAUCGUUUUCUUGUUCACAAAAUUAAGUGCAAUGGAUAUUUCGAUAGUGCUAAUUUAUUUAAGUAGCAAGAACAAGUGGGGAUAUCAUCGUAUGAUAGAUUAUCUUAAAGGGAAUGUGGCCUUCAAAACUAAAGGUUGAUCUUGUUGUCCUACUAGCAAUCGAUCAUCCAUCAAGAGGAUAGUGGUUGACCUAGAUCUUCUAGGCUCGCACAUAUUACCCCAAGGCAAGGAAUAUAUCUUUUGAUUCCCAUAGUCCAGUGCCUCGGUCUAUGAUCAAGGCUAGGGAGAUUUCGAAAGGAUGAAGAAAGAUCAUUUAUUCAAUCUAGAGAUCCAACGUUUUGUGUUUGAUCUGUAAAUUCAUCUACAUGUAGAGAAAUCUUUAAAUUUAUCUAUGUGUAGAGAUGUACUAUAAUUUCCUUGCCUAGAAAGAAAGAAGAAUUCAAACCAAAUCAAUACAGUUCAAGAUGACAACAAUUUUCUUACUAUGCAAAAUGGUCUUUGCAAAAAGAAAAAAAAAACUUAUCUUCUCUAAAAUCUUAAGCAAUUACUAAAUGAUAUUUCAAUCAUUUGAACUCAACAGUCUUUUUAUCCUACAGAAGACCAUUAUUGCACUGAAGGGAUACUUAUUAAAUAUAAGCAAAAUGCGCCGGAAGGGUUGGCUAGAAAUAGAAGGAUCUUGUUUCCAUAUGUGUAAGAGCACAAGUAUUAACAGAAAUAGAUAUCUGUAUAGAUAAGAGAGUGCUCCACUCAGUCUUGGACGCCCUAAAGUUUCUUUUCCUAAAGUGAGUUGUAUCUUCAUGUACUUUUAUUAUGUGAGUGUUUCUCCACACUAAGUAGCAUGAGGUUGAAUUGUGAUACUUAGAUGUAUAGACAUUAAUCUUUGAUGCUAGACCAAAAAUAGUGUUAUGCAUGCCUAUGUAGUAUUUUCUAGCACAAGCGAAGUUCGCGAUGCAGUAAUUCAUGUGACGAAGAAUCCAAGUUCUUUUGGAUGAUAGUAGUAGUUUCAGGAUGAGCAUCAUGCUCAAACAUUAAUAGUUAAAACCUAUAUCAACAAAAUUUCUGGAUUAGUUUCCAAUUCCACUAUCAGCAUUGACAGCUUAUACUUUUCAAUGGUUCUUAAUCAAUAGGACCUGUGUGAAUAGUGCAGUACUUUGACAAGAAGCAAAUAGAAGACAAAGGCCCAAUUAGAGAAAAUAGGAGUUUAGCUUGAUUCCUAAUCAAUACCCUCAAGAUAAUUUCUAAAAUCUUUUUCAGUGAUUGAGAGGCAUGAACUAGUUUAUUAAGAGUAGUUUUUGGAGGGUUUUGCAAAAUAUGACAACUAGGAGGCUUCAUAGAACUUUUAAAAACACCAGCUGUUACUUCCAAACUUCUUAAUCCUGUGGAAAAAUCAUAUAAUUGUUCUUUUACCGUUUUCCCACAAAAUGGUGAAUCCAUAUGCAUUUGCUUUAAUCACUUUUGAACACUUUUGUCCUAACUCCUCAAACAAUUCUCUUUUUCCCCGAGGAUUGAGCUUCUGAUGAUCAAAUUUUUAUCGUCCCUGCUUUGCAGCAACACUUAGAAGACAAGCAUCUCAGGCAAAUAUUACUAGAGUCUGAAGCCUCACUGUAUUCCGUUAAAGCUGAUGCGGGCUCUUCCGGUGAUGCCAAUGUCACCUCACACUAAUUGCUGGUGCCAUAAGCAAGGUGCACUUUUUGCUUUCAUUUUGGUAAUCACAAAUGUGUGAGUAUAUAUCCUUAACAUUGGCCGAUUUUCAGAUUGAUUUUGAAGCUAUGAACCCCUUUCAGGCUAUUUAGGAGGGUUCUCCAUCUAUAAGAUUUGGAGAAUUAGGGUUCUUUUGGUGCCCCAAUGAAGUAAUACAACAUUUUACAUGUCCUUAAUAAUAGCCUUUUUGUUAUAGCGGGUAAAAUAUAGACUGUUCAUGCACUGUUUGUUUACCAGUUAUUACUAGCUUAAGUUAUUGUGAUCUACGUUUCUUCUGUCAUGCUGAACAUGCUGUUGUUUGUGGAACUAAAAAAUUAUGGUUUGAAAGAGAGUUUUAUAUGUGCUGGUGUUUCUUCUAUCCAAGCGAAUAUUGUCCUGUAGUAUGUAAACUUUUAAUGUGUUUUCUCUUCGCCAUCCUUUCGACUGGAAAUUGCUAAGACACACCUUUAACAUGACCAUCCAACCUUUUAAAUUGUAAUGGUGUCGAUUAAUAUCUUGGCCUAUACAUGGCUGCCUCUUAUAAAAAGUCCAACAACAAAUACUGCUACAGAAAUGUCCCUACAUACACUAUAUUGCAUCCGACGCUCGAUUCCGUCCAAAUGGCGGCGGGAAAAAGAGUGCGCGGGAGAGAUAUAUAUUUAUAGAGAGAUUAAGAGAGAGCGAGAGGGAGAGAGAGAGGGUGGGGAAUACUUGAUGUCUUGAGAGAGAGAAAAUAAAGCUAGAAUACUUGAUGUCUUAGUAAUAGAUUUUUCAAUGCUUGCGGUAUUUUAUAUAUAGAACAUCACAUUCAAAUUAAAAAUUAAUUUUAAGAUAUGAAUUUUCAAAAAUUAGAUGCGGUGCAUGAGUCAUAUGGAUACACCACGUCAAAGUCUAUUACUUAUGCAUCAAAGUAAGAUUUGAAAUUUUAAUUGUAAUAUUUUUUUGAGAGAAAGGUAACAAGUUACCCGAUUCGUUCAUUUUUUUAGAAAUAAACUUUGUUAGAAAUGUGAAGCAACUUGGCUUCGAACUUGGAAACUUAGAUACCAACCAUCAAACCCUUCGCCAGUUGUGUCAGGUACGGUUGGUGACUAUUCUAUGUAUUGUUAAAUGCUAAAAUGAAAAUUUAUGAUUCUCUAUAUGUAGAUGUUUUGAAUUUCGGAGAAUAUAUCUAAAUGGUUAGAUCUUAUUAAGGUAUAUAUUAGAGAGUUUUACGAAGUGUUACACAUGAGAUUUACCUAUAUAGCUGAGUGCAUGUAAUAUUUUCUGUGGGCCAACCUAUCGAAAAUUUGAAAUAUUUGAAUUUGUUAUCUAACAAACAAUAGUAAUUUUAACGCUAUUAAGCUAUUAAUUUUAACAUUAUUAAAUUUUAAAAACUAUCAAUUUUAAAAAUUUCUUGACAAAUAACUCAGUCCGCACAUUAAUUUCAAUAUAUCUAAUGACAAACUACUGAAAUUAUAUUUAAACAGUUUUGUCAGGUAAAUUUGCAACCAAGAAGAUCAUUCAAAGUACAGUAGAUAUAUAGAAUUUAGCUUUGGUAUUCAAGUUAUUUUAAUCUCUCUUUUCAGUCGGUCAUCAAGUGUUGAAAAAUUUAUUGAUCUUAACUUAGUAUUCAACUCCAAACUAUAAUUGAUGGUAAGUUUCUAUCAAAAUCUGAACAUAUUAUUAUUAUUAUUAUUUAAUUAAAACCAUCUAGCAACUAUGAUCCUGCAGCGAAGCGUGAGCCUUCACUAGUUAUUCAUUUGUACAUUAGCAUAGCAUAAGUAGUAAUCCACCGUAUUUGCAACUCACACUUAGCAGAUCCUUAGAAAUGAAACCGUAGCGGCCUCAACCAACAACUAAGUACCAUUUUGAAACAGACCCCUCAAACUUUAUUAUUAUUUUUUGUAUUGUAUUUACAGUUCACUAUCUGCAGAUCCUUGGAUAUAAAACCGUAGCUGCAUCAGCUAACGACUAUGUAACAUUUUACAAUAGACCCCUCGACUUCAUUCCCUUUUUCUUUGACAACCCGUCAAGUUUUGCUUGUUUUAGUUAAAUUUGGGAUUCCUAACGGAGCCAUUGGUUUUGAAAUGAGCAAACGCAGAGGAGGAUGGCCCGAUCGAAAUAUUUGACGAAGUUGAAGGACCCAUUUUGAAUUGCUUCGAACGCUUUCGCCUCAGCAGAUCACACAGCAUUGAGGGUAGUCCUCAGUAACUUGUACAUAAGAAGGUAUGACAAUGUACGGAUUAAUUACGGGGUCGUUCGGAUCGUCUUCUUGUCGCCGUCUUUCGUGGGCUCGUUUUUCUUCUUGUCCUCCUCCUUGGCUCGCCCGACGUGGGAAAUCUCAGCGUGCCAUUACUUCCUCACCUUGUUAGCGACGCUCACUGGGUCGACGUCCCCGACAACGGUGAGCUUCUUCUCCUUCGUGUCCAUCUGUCCAUGGAGAUGGAAUCAAUCCCUGUUGAUGUCGUAGGCAAAGUGUAGAUCAGGUUUGUGUCUACAUGGGUUUAAUUGCUGAAGUUAUUAGGGUAAAAUGUACAGGUAGCCCCUGUAGUUUUGCCAUAUUGAGAUUUAACCCCUGAAAACUUCAGUUUUUCCAGCACAGAUUUUUUUUGCAUUUUGCAAUCAUAUCCUUGAUCCCAUAUUGCCUAACUUUCAUCUUGUGACAUCCCGGUCAGGUGAUGGGUAAUUACUUGUUUAAAAAAAUUUUGUUUUAAAAUUUUUAUUUUUUUGUCGUUAAACAAUUUGUUGCAAGCAAUCUAUUAUUUCUUCCUAUACUAUUUCCUAUAGAAACUCUACUUAAGAAAAGUAAAAAAAUAACAAUAAUAUCUAACGUGGUCGAAACUAUUUAAGCAAAAAUUUUAGGACUCGGUAGUAAGCAGAGGUGACUUUUACUCUUAUGUUUUCUAAUGACUUACUGUCAUACAUAUAGGGAGAGAGACAGAGAGUGUGUGUGUGUCUAGCUUAUAUGCUUUCAGAAGUACGGUGAUUUUCAUAUUAUCAAAUUAUUUUCGAAGCUGGGACUUCUGAAUUGACGAUUGUCUCCGUUAAACUUUGAUUUAAAAUAUUAGAAGUAUCUAGAAAAUAAAUUUCGUAAUUUGAAAAUAUCAAGAGCAUUGAAAGUAUCUGAAGGUAGAAAUGAUUGGAAAAAUAGAUGUAAUGGUGGAAAAGUUGGUAAACCAAGCGUUUGGUGCUGCUAGAAGCACCACAAUCGAACUCUAUAGAAUUUGGCUUAGAUUACUUUUAAUAGUAUUUGAGUUUUCUUAUUAUCAAGUUUAUUAUUCUUGGACGAAAAAUUGUAGGGUUGGGAUAAGAGUAGUCCCCUAAUAUCAAAGAGGUAGUCGUCGUUGCUCCUCUGUUCAGCCUCUUUAUCCUGAAGCAGCUCGCCUACAGAUUCACAUAUGAAGCUUCCGGACGGAAUAGAACUCAAGGAUCUGACCCCCCACCCUCUCGACAGGGUCUUGAAUAUUUCUAGCUGUAUUUUGAUACCGUGCUGGCUCACCCUGUUGUGGCACGGCGGCAGACACUUGCAGUUUGGCCUGCACUCAGUAUAUAAGUGGCUUCGCCUGAACAAUAGCGCCGUUGAAAUUAAAUGGAAUUUCCCCUCCAUUUUUCAUCGCACAAGCGCACUUGGCAGAAUCCGAACAGCCGCCAGAACAGUCGCAACCCAUGGGACGAGUGUUGGCAUACCAUGGUGGAUAUAUGAUCUUGGUGAUAUAUUGAAACGGCGGCGGCCGCUCAUCAUCGAUUGUGUUGACCGCACAGGUUGGUAUCUUCUCCUUGCCUUGAGAUAUAUCACGCACACAUAAACCUUUGCGGACUUUCAACCUUUUUGUCUUGUUAACUACAUUUAGGGCAAGUUCGGGUAGCCCUGGCAUUCGUCUCAACUGGAACUUAAAAACAGAAACACCAUGGGGCACUUUCUCACUCCAAUACUUCUCAACAAGGUACAAUCCUGCGUAAGUGAACGUCGAGACCAUCUUAAUCCGCCCAUCGGAGCUAUCGCCCCCUUUAUGCUCCUUAAAGCCAUGUAUAACCCUCACAGGUGUCUGCAUGUCAAUGCUGUUUUUGAGUGCUAGGUUCCCACGCUCGAGCUUCUGGUCUUCCGCUUCUUUCUUACCUGCGGGUUUUCCUCCCGCGCCAGAAUAUAUUAGCACAUCCGAACUGUCGAUGUCAUCAGGGUAGCCGCCAGAAGCAACGAUGCUUGUCGCAAGACGUAGACCGUUUUUGACUACAGAAUCUAUACCUCCUUGAUAAGGGCAGUGAAGUCCAACAAUAGAGAGCUCCACCCGAUAGUAGAAUUCGUCCCCGACUUCAACCCCAGGAACGUUUCCUAAUACUGCUUCACCAGAGUUAACAUACUCGUUGCACCUUUUGAGGACCGCGGCUGCCUCUAGAUCGAUCCUGCCAAUCUUGCCCGAUUCCUUUGUUGACUUGGCUUCUUCGCCUUUCAACAACUUUUCUACAAACCAAUUGAAACAAUCAGAGGAUUCUCCUGACCUUGGUACGAUCAUCAAUGAGCUUUUUGUCACUUCCCUUGCGAUUCCAUUCAAUAGGAACGCACGAGGUGAUGUUAACACUUGGUUCCCGUUUUCCUUGGUAUACGGUUAAUUCAUGUUUUCCUUGGUACAUGGUUAGUGCUUUUGCAUUCUCAUAAUCAUGUGGCAUCGCAUCCUCUUCAUCAUCUUCUUUCAAUUCAUCUAUCGGUCGAAAAACAGAUUCACCCCUUGGGGCAAGCUUCUUGUUCAAUACCCUCCCCCUCCCCUCCUUUUUUAUCUUAAUUUUUGAUGAACUGGAAGGUGAAUUUCCGAAAGAAGUCCUUCCACGGACAGUUUUUGGCAGACAUAAGAGCUUUGCACGAUUACCGUCUCACUGUAAGCAUCCAAAGAAGCAUCUCCUUCGCUCUGAUCAUCCGCGUCCUGUCUGAGCUUUCGUGGAACAGCAUCUACAGACUUGACGAAAUCGAUCCUAUCCUUCUUAACAAUUUUUUCAAUUGACAACGCUUCAAUUGAUUUCUCUGCCGUUUUUUGACUAAUCACUAGAGAUCUUUCACCACCAUUCGGACUCUUGUUUCUAACCUUUUCAAGAGAAGCAACUUUUGCUCCAAAUUUCCUCUCACCAUCCAUACUCUCACCCUUCAGUUUCUCAAUAGAAACAGCUUUAACCAACACAUGCGAACUGGUAUUUAUAUCUGCCUCUAGCAUCUUACUAUUAUCCAAGUUAGUUUUGUCUUUCAUAGCUUCCGACGAAAAAUAUCGAAGAUCAAGUUCUUUGCCAGCUGAUUUCCGACCGGUUUCGGAUUUGUCGCCACCAUCAAGAGAACUCUUACUUUCUGGCUUUUCAACCAAAACAAUUUGCCCGGAAACUUCUGAGGCUGCUUGCUUAUUUCCUUCCGAUUUUUCUCACCAUUCAAGUUCUUAUUCGGAUCAGCAGCUUUCGGGCACUUCUCUUUGCUCGUACGAGUGUUGUUCCUCCCAAACGGCCACACCCGACUAGAAAGCGCCGAAUUGCCAAUACCGCUCUUCUUUUAGGAGGAUAAAUCUUCGACAUCAGCCACCGCUUCUCGCCACCGAAGCCAUUUAGUUGGCACUCCAAAUUUUCAAAAUUUCUAGCUUGAUCAGAAGAGCUAUCUAUUCUGUUUUCCACCAAACCCUUCGCAGCCUGCUCGGAACUACCAUCAACUCUUUUCCUCCGGUGGCUUGAUUUCAACUCCAAGUAGAGUUUCUAAACCCUUAAUUUUCUCCUCCAAAGAACCAUUUGAUUCGUGCCUUUGCUUUAAGGGUGCGUUUGGUUCGCACUAUGAAAGAUUACUAAAAAUAAAAAGAUAUUCGAAAAUUUUAUUUCUAUUCAUUCUAUUACUAAAAAUGUAGUAUUUCGGUGUUUGGUUCAUACGGUCAUAUUAUUUAGUCAUGUUAUUUAAGAUUAUAAAAAAUAUACAAUUUAUUUAUUUAUUUUUUUUUAAAUAAUACUAUAAAAAAUUUUAAUAUUUUUUUGAAAAAAAAAGAGAAUGAGAGGGUUAAGAUUUUAGAAAAAAGAGGAAAAGAAAUAAUUAGUUUAGAGAAAGAUAUGAAGUUAGAGUGUAAAAAAAAAUAAUACCUAAAAAAAAAUAAUACCAAUUAGCCGGUGGAUGGAAAAAAAAAAAGAGAAUAUCCGAAAGAAAGAAAGAGUGGAUGGGAAGAAAGAAAGAAAAUAUUCGGAAGAAAGAAAGAAAAUAGAUAUAUUGUAAUUAUCCCAAUCCAUUGAUAUAAGGAUACCUACCAUCCCUCAAAGGAAUGAGAUUAGUAUUUUGAAAUGCAUUUCAUUCCUAAGUAAAUCUAAUAUUACCAACUGAAUUUUCAAACACCGUCAUACAUUUUUAUUCCUAUUGAAAUCUUACCCCCGCCAUUUAUUCCGAAGUUCCUGCUGCCGCUUCUCUCGAUGAAACCCUAACCUUAACAAACUCCACGACCGGCGGGAGAACAGGGCCAACGGAAGCACGAAUCGCCCCGUCGGGAUCCAAACGUGGAUCCGGAGUCACCGCAAUCGGCUUCAGAUCGGCCGUCGCAGGGAAUCGGCCGCAGCCCUUGGGCCAAGGGCGCGCGACGGAGAGCUUCCGCGGCUUGAGCUUGAGCGCGGGAGCCGCCAUGAUCGGAGCAGGGGCCUCGAUCAUAGGGAGCGACCUUGGAACACAAUCACGCUCCGCGGAGGAGCUCAAAUCGAAUCGGAAGGAGGGCCAAAUGAAACCCUAGCUACGACAUGCGAGGGAGCGGUAGAGGGGGGGAGAGAGAGGUGUGAUACAUACAUUGAACUAGGGUUCGAGGGGGAGCUCGAGAGAGAUCGAGAGACCACCUCACCUCGAUAAUGGUGGAGGAGGAGGAGGAGGAGAACGGCGGUGCCGCGCCGGAGAAGGAGGAGGCGGAGGGGGGAGAGAGAGAGAGAGAGAGAGAGAGAGAGUGGCGUUGAAUGCCAAAAAUGGAAAGUGGAAAAACGAAAAGUGAAAAAAUGAGAAAAAAACAUUACCCUUCUAUCGUGGGGCUGUUGCGGAUGGUGCUCGUAUAAGGAGGGAGCCGAAUUAUUGCGGACGGCGCAGCCCGUCCGGAUCAAACCCCCGAUGCGCGGCGGUUUAGUGAUCUCGACCGUCCAUAUUGGACGGCUGCGAUCGCACCCUAACGCGACUUUGUAAUCGGCAAUCCAGAGUAUUUCGGCGCCGACUUCAUAUUAGUAUAUGGAAACACCAUUCUUCUUUUCUCGUGUAUCACUAUACACUUCCAUACAAAUAUUUUGCUAAGAGGUGUUAAUUACUCUUUCCUAAAAGCUUAUCUUAGGCUACAGGGCCCGUUGGGGAACAAACGAAUGGACAAUGCAUAGCUCUGUAUGGGCCGAUCGAGCGAUCUCCGCCCUACAGAACGUACAAGAUCAUUAAAUUCUCUCACUGGAAGCUGAUCAUGAAUCUGAAUUCUCACAAUUCUUCAUCACAACUUCGAACGAAACCAUUAGUUGUUAAGUGUUUCAUUGUAGUACGUGCUUAAAACACGCAUUAUUUUGCUACAUUUCACAAUCCAUCUCCAAUCAUCUCAUAAACCAAAAGAAACCCGCAAAUCUCCUCAUAUCCUCACCACCCUGAACAUAAUUUGAGGACAAGGAUUAAAAUAGCGGCUCGUGCAAAUGACGUACUACCACGCCAUGAAUAACAUUCAAUAGAUUCUUUUGAAACCAUCAAAAUCUGGCGUGGAAAUUAUGCUUUGUGCACCAACUCCUUGACCGCGUCUGCAAGGGAUUGCUCGCCCCUGAUGCUCUCGACCCACUUUGCGUUGAUCCGCACCCGCUCGAGGCUCUGCUUCAGUUCUCUCUCGAAGGACGGUUUGACCCGGCUCGCGAAGAACUCUUCGACUUCCACAGCUUUCUCAGAGGACUUAAACUGGUAGCAAAACAAGUAAUACUUUAGUAAGAAGGAUAACUAGUACUAUUAAGUGGAUAAACAAUGCAGAGAUUGUAGGUUUCAUCCGAUACCGGCGAUACAAUCGCACUGACGAAUCUUGAGAUUAAAAAGCUUGCCACCCAUGUCUUUGAGAUAUAUUCCCAGUUCUCCUGCAAUACAUAUAUGUAAAUGAAUUUUUUUUUAUGUCUAACCAUGAGAAAGAUUUCUUCGUAUCUGCUCUAUGUUUCUUUAUCUCUUUUCUUUACAUCUAUAUUUUACUAAUAACUAGGGGUGUACACAGUUUGGUCCCAAACUGAAAACCAAACCGAACCAAACCAAAUAAAACUAUUUGGUUUAUAUGGUUUUCAGUUCGGUUCGGUUUUCAAAUUUAUUAAAAUUUGGUUUUCGGUUUCAGUUCGGUUUGAACACAUUUCUUAAUCAAACAUAACCAAAAACCGAAUAGUAAUAGUUUUACAAGUUUUAUCUGAACUAAUUUAUUAAAUUUUAUAUUUAUGAUCAAAUCUUGAUCAUAUAUCAACACGCUUUUCAAAGUUUUAUGUUUAUAAUUAAACUUUUUGUCUAAUGAUUCAAUUUUGAAUAUCAAAUUAUAAAUUAAUUCAUAAGAAAAUUUUUAAAAAAUUCUGAAAAUUAAUUGCAAAAUCGGACCAAACCAAAUUAAUUCUUUUGGUUUGGAUUGGUUCUGAGUAUAAAUCGGUUCGGUUUGGUUGUAAUUUUUUUCAAAUAAAAAAAUCCGGUUCAGUUUGAGAUUUGCCUAAAAGCCAAACCAAUGUCUGCAAUAGGAGUAUGGGACAUUAUUGCAAUAGGCUAAAUUACAGAAAACUCCCCUGUAAUAACCCGCUUUUUCACUUUCCCCCCCUGACAUUUAAAAACCUACACUUUGCCCCCUUGUAAAAUGAAAAAUGUGCACUUCCCCCCUAUCGUUAGGGUUCCGUUAGGGGUUCUGUUAAAAAAUAUUUUUUUAUACCGAAAAUACCCCGCUGCCUCUUCUCUGAUGCUUCGCUCCCUCCGGCUCACCGCUUCGCCGCCUCGCUGCCUCGCCGUCCUCCACUGCUUUGCCCUCUCCCACAUCCCCUUCGUCCUCCUCCGCCGCCUCGCCUUCGCCCUCGUUGUCCCUGCCUACCUCUCCAUCAACACCCAUCUUAGUAUCCUCCCUACUGUCGCCGAAAUCGAUGGGCGGCGACGGUGUAGGAGGAGAAGGGGAGCAGGUGGAGAAGAAAUUGGAGAGGAAUUGUGGCCGAUUGAGGUGGAAAUAGCGGCGGAUCGAAGGGGCUGCUGAGAAAGCUCAGGAAGAAAACAACAAUGGCGAGGGGCAAAAUGGUCAUUUUACACACCGUAACCCCCCUGUGAACAUUUUUCAUUUUACAAGGGGGCAAAGUGUAGGUUUUUAAAUGUCAGGGGGGGAAAGUGAAAAAGCGGGUUAUUACAGGGAGGUUUUCUGUAAUUUAGCCAUUGCAAUAAGCAUCGAAUAUCAUAAGGCUAGAAAAGUUCAAGAGAAAAGACAACUUUCUAGGGUUGUGGAGUACAUAUUGAUGUAAAAGCUUAAAUAUCAAACCUUAUUCAGCCUCGGCAUUUGACGAUCUGAAGCAUGAAAUUGCUUUUCCAAUUAUAUGAUUAAAACUAAACCAUAACACAGUACAUUAGUAUAAUAUACGGCGUUAGUUGUUUUUCCAAUUACACUUUUGAUUAUUGCCCAAUCAACAAUUGAUAGUCGCAAACCAGAACGUUUCAACGCUAUUGUAACCUCCGAAAGUCCACCUAGGCAACAAUUAGUUACUAAUAUAGUCAAAUUGUAUGGAGUUCAUAACCAAAUGACAUGUACCUUAAGCCAACCCCAUGCAGUUUCACGUCCUUGCCUGCUGAUCCCAAGGCCAUAAAUUGCAUCUUGAUUUCGAACCUAAACAAGCAGGCAAUUAGAAAAGGACAAAAAAAAAAAAAGGCAAAUAGAAAAGGACAAAAAAAAAAGAAGAUUUUGUCGAGAGCAAUUUCAUUGAGAGCACUUAAAAGUUACGAAGAUUAAAUACCAACCUUAGGAGUCAAUAGAAAAUUCAGGGCCUCGAGGACAAUUUCCUUAUCGGGGCAAGAUGCCAAAGAGCCUAUAAACAAACGGUGGGGAAAAAAGAAAAUUCAAGAAUGACAAGUUAGUGAAAGAAAUAACAACGAAACCCAAUGUUGAAGCUUGAACCCUUUUCAAGUACAUUUUUGUAGAUUCAAUUCUAACAAUUUAGUCCGUUAAGUUUGUCCAGCAUAAUGGUUGUCUUUUCUCUAGUCUGCUACAAGAAACGAAACACCACAUCAGCAUCAUCAACAUAGUUAGAGGACAAGACAAUGUUUCAAGGUAGGCCGUGACAGGAAUACGCUGCUGUGGCAGCUUUUCAAUAAGGUAGAGUAAGAGACAAAAGACUUAGAACUAAAGUGUUAUGCAGAACAAACUUCACGGACUAAAAGGUUCACAUUGAAAUUUUAAGGGCAUUAAAUUAAAACAGAAUCAAACUUCAGAUACUAAAUUUUCACCUAACCUGUUAGUUAAAAAAAAAAAAAUUGUAGACUGUCUUCGCACAGUGAGACAUUAAAUUACUUACCUAAAACACGUACUCUUUCCUCACUUUGAUCCGUCUCUGUGUAUAUCCUCAGGAGAGAUUCAAACCCAGAUCUAUUUGAAGUGCUAACAGUUUGCAUUACACCAAGGUAUGCAGCCUAAAUGACAAUUUCAAAGUAGAUUAUUUACGAAGAAAUUAGACUAAAAACCAGUAAAAUAAUAGAUAUCUUGUUUCAACCUUUCUAUUAUCCGGAGGCAAGAGGGGUGUAUUUCGGUCAUUUAAGAAGAUAUUGAAGCGCUUUACUGCUUCAUUUAUAGUCUCUUCAUGCCCAAGUCUUACAAGCGCAACUAAAAGAUCGGCUCUUAGCAUUACAUCCAAGUGGUUUUCGCCAUCCUUAGGAUCCCAACCUAAUUUUCUGAAAAUAAAAAUACUAAGAGAUUGAGCAUAAGGGAAAAGUAAAAGAUUGUUGACAAUAUGCUAAAAUCAGAAUAAAUUGCACCUGUCUCACAACUCAUACUACCUAAAAGGCUAAAACUGAGGAAUAUUAAAUUACCUUUUAUAAAAUCAUCUAACUGACAUAUAAAUGCACAUAACUAUCCAGGAAGACCAAAGAAAAAUGUAGUAUUUAAUAGAGAUAUCUAUGCAUAUCCGUGCAGAACAAUUUAUUUACAUGUAGACCCCGUAAAUUCUGAAUUUCCAGAGGUACAGGUUGAAACUGCAGUUUUUUCUUCCUUUGUUUUUUUCAUGAAAGUAGUCUCUUAAGUUGGGGAGUCGAUCAAUUCUUUCUUUUUUUCUGCAUUGGGGCGGGUGGCGUGCUGGUUUUCUAUUAGAAAAUGUUUUUUAAAGAGAGCUUUUUUCGGAAGUACAGAGGUGUAUUUUGAAGGUUAUAUAUAUAUGGAGAGAGAGAGAGAGAGACUUAUGAGUAUAAAGGUGAUCGCCGUACUCAUAAAAGUAUAAUAGCCGGAGUGUCGAACUCCCUCUCUCUCUAUAGAAUGAAGCUAGAAUACUUCUCAUAGUAAAGAAAUAGUAUUUACUACAUACUUUUUACCCCUUGGAUACUUAAGGUUUAGUGGUGGUAGGAGGAAAAGUAUUGAUCCAAGGGCUAUAAAGUUGAUAGUAAAUACGGUACAUUUUACUAUCAAUAGUAUUCAAUAUAUAUAUAUAUAUAUAUAUAUAUAUAUAGAGAAUAGAAUUUGGCUGGAAUACUAUUAAUAGCACCAAGUUAUUGGUGCUAUUAGGUUUUCAGCCCUUGGAUGAAAAAAUGUGCGGUUAACAUGAUAGUGGUCUCCGAUUAGGUUGAUAGUAGUUCCCUAGGGUUGAGUGGGUGGUUGGUUGAAUAGUAUGAUCUAACGGUUAGAAAUGAUGAAAGGGAUAAAUUUAACAGUAGAAAAUUCGGUAGCACCAAGCGCUUGGUGCUAUCGAUAGUAUCCCAGCCGAACUCUCUCUUUCUCUCUCUCUCUCUCUCUCUCUCUAUAUAUAUAUAUAUAUAUAUAUAUAUAUAUAUAUAUAUAUAUAUAUAGUAGGGCUAGAAUACUUGUAAGGGUGCGUUUGGUUCGAGUUAUCCUGGCAGGAUUACAGGCAAUCCUGCCAGGAUAACUAUGUUUGGUUAAUCCGCUAUGUAAUCUAGUCGUUAAUGUAGGAUUACAAAUCAAGCAGGAUUACAUCGAAAAUAUUAACGGGAGGGGGGUCAUGUAUCUUGCAUUACUGAAACCCGUUAAUACUAAUAUUAUGUAAAAUGACAAUUUUACCCUCCAACAACCCCAAAUCUAAUUAACAGCAUUAUUUUCAUCUCUAUCUCGCCUUCCCCCCGGCCCUCUCUCUCGCAUGCCGCUUUCUCUCGCUCUCUCUCUCUCUGGAUGUCUCUCUCUCUCUCUCUCUCUCUCUCGCACGAACACCUAUCAUCUUCUAUUGCGUCGUCCUCCCAAGUAAUCAUCACGAUCUCCUUCCCUCCAUUCGUCAUUUCCGCAAUAUAUAAUAUAUAUAUAUAUAAUAUAUAUAAUAUAGCCGGCUACUAUGCUUUAAUAGCAGAAGCACUUGGUGCUACAAGUUUUCCCCGUUAGAUCUACCCUUUGGAUAUUUUCACCCGUUAGAUCAUACUAUUCAACCAAACCCACUAAUGGGGCAAUCAUCCUAACCACACUCCUUAAUCCAAGAAAACUUGGUACACCAAGAUUGGUGCUAUUAAUACAUAACUAGUUCUAUAUGGUCCCUAUAUGUAUUAUAGCACGGACACUUGGUGCUACCAAGUUUUCCGUUGUUAGAUCUGCCAUUUUUAUCAUUUUUAUCCGUUAGAUCAUACUAUUUAACCAACUACCCACUCAACCCUAGGGGACCACUGUCUUAAAACCUAAUAGCACCAUGAUGGUGAUACUUGUAAAAGUAUCAUAGCUCAACUCUCUCUCUCUCUCUCUCUCUCUCUCUCUCUCUCUCUCUCUAUAUAUAUAUAUAUAUAUAUAUAUAUAUAUAUAUAUAUAUAUAUAUAUAUUCGAGCUUUUCGAGCUUUUCGAACCUAAUUCGAACGAGCCGAGUAAUACUCAAGCUCGGCUUGAAAUGAAUUUCGAGCCUUUUAUUUUGUUCAAGCUCGGCUCAUUUAAUUUCGAGUCGAGCUCGAGCGAGCCGAAUAUCGAGCCGAACGCGAGUCGAACACGAGCCGGCUCGCUCGUUUGCCAGCCCUAAGGGGGAGUAAGGGGUACAACUCUUUGUAAUUUAAAAUUUUAAAUUCCCACCCCUUCAAAAUGGUGUUUGGGUACAAACGGCCUCUAAAGAGUAAUUUAAUCAACCCUCUAGUUGUUUAGAAUGAUUUUAAGGAAAAUAUUUGCUUUUGAAAAAAGUACGAUCGAGAAUCAACGAGCCAAAUAGAUAUUUGGACGCGGGAAGUCAAAUAGGAACAUUAAUGACGAUGGGAACGCACAGAGGUGGCCCAGAAUCCCAGCAACGGGGACUGGGGGGGGGGGAUCACGGAGCCUUUUUUUUUCAAACCAUAAUGACGCAUGCUUUUACCCUUUUAUUAUACAUUUAAAUAAAUAUAUAUUGCGGUGGCUUUUCCUUCCUAUUUUGGUCUCCUGACUCUUUUCUUUGAACGCAAAGCCGUAUCCUUUUGGCCUCCAAAGAGUGCGCAUUCAAAUUUUCUACAACAUCAGGACAAUUUCUAAUUAAAGACCACCCUCUUUUUCUGCUUAAUUAAUUAAUAAUUAGUCUUUGUAUAAUUAGCUUCUCACCGCUUUCCAAAGCCAAGCCAAUCUCUCUCUCUCUCUCUCUCUCUCUCUCUCUCUCUCUCUCUAAAUUAUUGAUCUGAACUCCGUCCACCGCGUCACACAUUGACCGUCGAACCAUCUACCCUCCAUCUCAUCGUUCCUUCAAAUCAUCGGCACUCGAUUAAUUUCAUUAUUUCUUUUUUUUUUUUUUAGAAAAAGAUAGCGUGCUAUCCGCUUCAUUCAUUGAAAAAAUGAAUUAGGUCAUGGGAGUGAGACAACUAGAGCCUCUAAGAGGUGGGACAAAAUAAAUAAAUAAAUAAAUAAAUACUUGAAUUUAUAAUAGAACAUACAACUAUUUCAUUUUUUCUAACUUACAACUUAUCAGGAAUUCAGUCAAUAUUAUUUUAGAAGAAGGAAUAAAAAUUAUUUAUGUAGUGUGAUCAAAUAAUCCCAAAAUUAAUAAAUUUUCUAUGGCGUAUAUGAGCCAUUAGCUCGUUUAACGGUAUAGAGCAAUCAAAAACUACUUGAAUUUAUAAUACAAAACUUUUAUACGAACUAGAAUAACGUAUGAUCAAUUGAGAAAGCCUAAUCUCUAUUUUUUAUCAGGUUAUUCGUUUUCGACCUUUCAUUCUUUGACUUUUUUUGAUAGACUUGAUAAUCAUUUUUAAAUAUUAUUAAAUUUGAUUUCUAAAUAUUUUAAAUAGAUAGAUCAACAUCAACAGCUCCGUUUAUCAAACUAGAGUUCUGAUUAUCGAAAAUAACUUUGAUGUGCAUCCGAUCAAGUUACAAUCAAAGCUCCAAAGUUUUAUAAGGUUAUUUGUUUUCGACCUUAUUCAUUUUUCAAUUUUUUGAUAGACUUGAUAAUCAUUUUUAAAUACUAUAAAAUUUGAUUUCUAAAUAUUUCAAAUAGAUAGAUCAACUUCGAUGGCUCCGUUUAUCAAACUAUGUUGUGAUCAUCGAAAAUAACUUUGAUGUGCACUCGAUCGAGUUACGAUCGAAGCUUACAAAGGAUGAAAAGGAUUAAAAAAAAAAAAAAAAUUUCUUGUGCAGACACAUUUAACCAUAUGAAACUUCUAUUUUUUAUGAAAGCGGAAGAAUCUAAAUAAACGUCAAUGACCCAUCUUAUUUUUUUUCUCCCAAUAUGCUAAGAAUUGGAAAGAUAAAGAUAUAUUUUUUAACAGGUCUAGGCAAAUUUUUCUUGUCACAAGUUAUAUCCAUGCCUCCUGUUGGCGCAAGAAAAAUAGUACCAGCUAGUGCACAAGUAAAAUAGCGUUAGCUGCUGCGCGGCUUAAUACGUUUGUUUAGGUGGCGUAGACGAAUUAAAAUAUAAUACACGGUGCACUAAGAGCCGAAAACUAGGAGGCCCUGGGCAGGAACAGAUGAAAACGUGGACAAGAAACAUGGGAGUAAUUCCCGCGACCAAUAAAGAAGCGACUGUAGUGUUCCCCCACGAUGCGAGUUGCACGGUAACUGCAGGUUAAUAAUAGUACUAUAAAUAACAUAAAGACGCCUGAAAUAAGGGCCUUUCUCCUCUGUGAACAAGAAGACCACUCUAUUUUCAUCAUUUCUUUUAUUUUCUAGGAGUAGAAAACUUUUGUAGUCUUUUCUUUCCUACAUUUUAAGUUUUUUAAAGAGUAGUUAGCGAUAGGAGUGGCAUAAUCUUGUAAGUUUUCAGUUUCUAUCACAACCAACUCGGCUCUUUCAGUCGAGUCUGCUCUAGAUCUCAGCUCGACUUAUCAUUUUAAGGAAGAAUCUGAUUAAGCCGACCACUCAACCGGAUUGCUUGAUCGUGGGGCACUCGAGAUUUAGUUCGAGAACCAAUCUGGAAUUAAGACUCAUGUAACUCGGUCAAUGACUUGACUUGGUCAACACCUCCACAAGUUCUGUUCGCAAUCCAACCCCCCUAAUGCUAGAGCUAUUCUAUAUAUGUGCAUAUAAGCACUUCUUACAUUCAAUUUAUUCAAAUACUAUUAAUUUUUACUAAUUUUAUCAGCUUUUUAACUUUAAAAAUAUUUAAAAAUUUUCGAUCCUUACACAAAUAGGUAUACAACGUACAUCUUACUAAUAAGGUGUAGAUGUACUAUAUAAACUGUACAGCUCCGAAUUUCAACUUUAAAAAUAUAAAUCAUGUUUACCUCAUCGUAAUUUAUACUUUUUAACUAAUUAAGUAGUUUUCACAUAUGUUAGUUUGUAAAGUUUUAUAAAUUUUAUUUAUAAGUAUAAUGUCAUUAUAUUAUUAUUAUUAUUAUUAUUAUUAUUUUAAAAUAGGCGCACAAUUAUUUCGGGGGAAAUCAUCUGACUUUCCGCGUUGGUCAUGUGGGACCCGCACGGUAAGCAACGUUUUCAAGCCCUAGUAUAUAAAUAAAUGGGUAUGAUUGCACGAAUUAAUUCGAACAAACAUAUUUGCUUUUUAUAAACGAAUUAAAUUAAUAAUAACGGCUAAGCACACCCGACAUGCUUUGACCUUACAAUUUGAAAAUUACUUUUUCGGGGUGUGAUAAUAUCAUCUCGUAAUAAUUGACCAAUAAAGAAUUGGUUUUUUUAUUCACAAAUAAAAAUUAAAAAUGUAUAUUUUGAAAUACACCCAUCAAACCUUUACGUUUCUGUGAUUGAGACUCUCUCAAUUUAUAAUAAUAUUUUUGCUUAUGUAAUUGUAGCUAAAAGUAAACGGAUAUUUUAUUGAAUUUAUUGAUAAUCUUACUAAAAUUUUAAUAUAUAUAAAUAUAAAAUAUACUCAAAUUAAAAAACAAAGAAAUUGAAAAGCUUUUACCAAAACAAAUAACAGUUUAGAGUCUAUAUUAAAUUAGUACAUAGUUAAGGAGUCCGGCCGUUCUGCUAUCGAUAGUGCACCUACGUUUAGUGCUACCAAAUUUUUCACCGUUAGAUCUAAUCCUUUAAUCAAUUUUCAUCCGUUAAAUCAUACUAUUCAAAUCAACCAUCCACUCAACACUAUAGUUAGUUAAUUAGGAUUCGGCAAAAAUUCAGUAUGAGUAUAAUUCGAAUAAAAUUCGUAUCUCAAUUUUUAAUUUGUUAAAAAAUACGGUUUAAAAAACGGAUUCACCAAUUAUUCGAAUAAGCGAUUUAUACGGAUAUUAUAUGUUCACCAAUUAACAAUUCGGGAUAAAAAAUUUGACUAUUAAACUAAGAUUUUUUUCUCUAGAUUUAUGCUAUUAGCAUACAUAGUUAUAAAUUCUUAAAAAUAUAUAAAAAAAAGAGAGCUACAAAAUAAAGUAAAUUAAGUAAAAAAAGGAAGGCCUUUUUGCAAAAAAAAUCCACUUAUUUUGGGCUUUUGCAAAACCGGGUCACCUUUUUCGUUUUUGCAAAUUCGGUCCGCUUUUUCAGCAAACUGACCAAAAUACCCUUAUUACUUUUUCUCUUUCCUCUUUCUCUCUCCUCUUGGUUCUCUCAUUCUUUUUUUUUUCGCCGAAAAAAAAAGCGAAGGCCAGGCGGGCGCGCCGCCGAAGCACCGCCAGGCGGGCUCUUCUUCUUCUUCUUCUUCCUGCAGGAGCAAUUUUUUUUUCUCUUUUUCUUUUUCUUCUUCUUCUUCCUCCUGCUGGAGCNGGAUGAUUGGAUCCUACAAUUUAAGAUCGAAGUUAUUAAUCUUUAUCUAGGUAGUGAAUAGAAUUUUCUAUCAAAAAUUCAACCAAUUCCAAUUCUUUUACACCGUUAAACUAGCAAGUAUCCCAUACCGGCCGUUAAAAAUUGUCAAUUUUGUGAGCUUUUGAUCGUAAGGUAAAUGAUGUCGAAAAAUUAUGAAAUUUGAUUUCUAGAUGUUUUAAAUGCUCUAGAUAAUAUUUAAUGGUAUGGAUCGUCGAUUCGGAAACUCUAUCAUUGAAAACGACUUAUGAGUACAAAGAUGAUCGUACUUAUAAGAAUAUAGUAGUCGGACUAUAUAUAUAUAUAUAUAGAGAGAGAGAGAGAGAGAGAGAGAGUCCGGCUACUAUACUCUUAUGAGUAAAGAGCCUCUUGUACUCAUAAGUUUUUCGCUGUUUGACCCACCCUUUAAUCAUUUUUACUCGUUAGAUUAUACUAUUCAACCAACCACCCACUCAACCCUAGGGGCCCACUAUCAACCUAACCGUAAUCACUCUCAUCCUAACCGUACAUUUUUUCAUAUCAACGGCCAAAAAGUUAUUAGUACAAAGAGCUCUAUACUCAUAUAAGUAUAGUAGCCCCAGCAUAUAUAUAUAUAUAUAUAUAUAUAUAUAUAUAUAUAUAUAUAUAUGUAUGUAAUUUUCGAUAUUGUUCUCUUGCACAUCAAGUAGACACAAAAAUGAAGAGCUAAAAAUAAAUAUCCUUCAAAAAGUGAUGAUAGGAUUUUUGUAAUCAAGAUCAAGAGUAUAGAUCUUGUUUUAAAUAGUUUAAAGAAUUUUCUAAUCAAAAUUUAAUUGAUUUAGAUUUGUUUACACAGUUAAACGAGCAAACCCCCCACAUCAACCUUUAAAAUUACAAAGUUUGCAACAUUUUGAUCAUUAGGUCAAUAAUGUCGAAAAGAUUUGAAAUUUGAUUUCUAAAUACUUCAAGUAGUAUAGAUCAUGUUUAACGGUGUCGAUCGUCGAUUUGGAGGCUCCAUCAUUGAAAACAAAUCAGUAGCAACAGAGCUUGUUUGCUACCGACAGUAUUCUAGCUCAACUCUAUAUAUAUACCUUGUGAUCAAAUCAUGUCAAAAUGAACGGUACAAAUUGAACAAUCUUUAGAAAUUGAGGAUAGGACUUUUAAAUUCAAGAUUAAAGAUGUUGAGCUUGAUCUAGAUAGUUUAAAAUAUUUUCUAUUAAAAAUUCAAUAUAUUUAGAUUCUUCUAUGCCGUUAAGCUACAAAACUCGUCGUACUAGCCGUUGAAAUUGGCAAUUUUGAGAUGGUUUGAUCAUAAGGUAAACAAUGUCAACAAAAUAUAAAAUUUUAUUUAUAAAAACUUCAAAUACCAUAGUUCAAUUUUAAUGGUGUGAAGCAUCAAUUGUAACACCAUAAAGUCAAAAGUGAGACUAUAGUACCAGAGCCCUCUAUAAUAUAGGGGCAUGGCGCUCUCUCUCUCUCUCUCUCUCUCGCUUCCUCCAAUUUAUAUUUUAGUGACUGAAAAAGUUUAAAGAGAUGCCAUGCAGAAACUAACAUAGGCUAUCAAUAUGCAUUAAUUAUCAACCAUCGAUCAUACAUACUUUGCAGCAGACAGAAGAAGAUUGAUGAGAAAAAGUUUGAUGUCAUUGGCCAACUCUGGAGUGGCAUCCAUUACCACAUCUGCGAUCUUACGACUUAUCUGCAAGCCAAAGAAAAAUGUAAUUAUACUUGAAAGAAUAGAUUAAAAAUGUAACGUGAGAGGGGGAGGUAUACAUACCACUAUUACGUGAGAGAGCACAGUGUAAUCGAACUCUUCACCAUAAGCACUCAACAAGAAUAGCAAAGAUGGCAAUGUUUGUUUGCAGGCCACGGAAAGGGCAUAUGAAUCUUCUACUACGCCUGCAUUUGAAAUAUUAGAAUGGUCAUAAUUGACAUCGAAGCUUACUUGAACAAGAUUGGAAGGGGCUUUUUACAAAUAUAUAUCCCUGCAAAAUAGUCAAUGUACAUGUACACCCCUGCAAAAAGUGAGUUAUUAUACAUAGCCCAUGAAAGUGCAGCUUCGUACCAAAAUAUCCAUUUCAUGUCAGAAGUCAUCUGAUCCAUGGGGCAAGGAGGUAUUCUAAGAAUAAGUUUUUUAGGAAAGGGCCACUUUAUGUGACUUCAAGGGUAUAGGAAGUUCUUAAGAUUUGAAGGGUACAUAUACUACCAAAAUUGAGAUUUUACAACAAUAUACAUAUAUGUAAACACCGUAUUCUACUAGGAUAAGUUUUUUAGUAAAGGGCCACUUUAUGUGACUUCAAGGUAUAGGAAGUAAGUUCUUAAGAUUUGAAGGGUAUAUAUACUACCAAAAUUGAGAUUUUACAACAAUAUAGAUAUAUCUAAACAUCAUAUAUGUAAACAUCUCAACUUGGAAAUAUAGGUCAAUUAGUCAGUACUUAAUCCUAUUACCUAUUUUGUCCAUUAAAGAGAGCUUAUUGGCCUGUACUGCAUAUCUAAUUCCAGCAGCAAGCUCAUCAUCAUAUUUCACUCUGUAAAAGCCCGUUUGGUCUACAUUCAACUUAAUCCAGAAGCGUUCACCAUUCUCGUUGUUCGGAUCAUGAGAACUGACAAGCUCCUUUACGUCCAACUUAUGAUAUUUUGAUUUCAGCAGAAACUUUUCCUGGGGAUUAUAGGAACCGCAGCAUAAUGUUACAGGAAUAAUCCACAUGCCAGUACCAGAAGAUCCAUCAGAUAAAAACUGUGCCUGCAAAGAAGUAGCAUUGCCAAAUGUUAUCAAAAGGAAGGGAACAGAAAUAUUGAAAAAUUAUAGGAGGACUACAAAAGCACCGUUACUUCUUUUUUAAAAAAAGAUCAAGCUCUUGUAUGAUCAAUAAGGUAUGAUCAAAUGGAACAUGCGAGGUGAUUGCCAUGAAAGACCCUUAUUUAAAGAAGAGAUAAUAUAUAGGACUGAGCAACGGAAAUCUAAUUGGCUCUUUGUUGGGGAAAAAAAAAUGAAGAAUAAGUUAGGGCGAUUGUUGAGUGUUAGGAGUAGGUAAAUGCUUUUCUUAGUUGCAAUAAAAAAGAAACAUGUAAAGCCAAAAUUCUAAAAGACAAACCUGCUCAAGCUCCAACUCAUGCUUUUUAAGAUUUGCAUAAAUAACAGGAUAUCCUUGUUGCUUUGUCCAUGAAUUCAUCAAAUCCUUGACAGGUUCACCGGACUCCUCUUCAAGAACAGCCCAAAGAUCUUCAGUCUUAGCAUUUGAGUAGGCGUUUUUUUUUAUGUACAAGGCGAGAGCUUGCUGAAAUUUAAAAUUAACAAACAUAUCAUCAAUCAAACAUAUAGAUAUCAACAACUCAUGAUGACUAGCUCAAGGAGAAAAAUUAGACUGAAGCAAGAGUAAAAAGAAAAGGCUAAAAUACAGAAAAUCAGUUGGAUAUAUUGUGAUUUGCACUUUAAUCAAAACCUAUAGAUAACCCCUCAAUUUAUUUGAAAAUCGUACAUUUUACCACAUACGGGAGGAAGUAAAAUGCUAACAUAUCACAAGUGUCGAGAUUAUCAGCAGGGUUUAAUUAUCAAAAGUGAUAAGUGUAAAUCACCCUAUAUCUAAGGCUGUAAUCUGCAUUUUAGUCAAAAAAAAAGAAGAAAAAGAAAUACAAGCUAGUGAGCUGUAAAAAGAAAAUCUAUAAUUAAAGGUACCAGAAUUUUGUGCUCUGAAUAAGAUAUAUAACAAAUGAACACUCGCUAUUACAUGAAGCGUGAAUAAGUGCAGAUAUAGAGGAAUUUCACAUCAGUAAUCCCAGAAAACAAACUCAGAGACCAUUAAGCCAUUAAGGAAGAAUUUAAAGCAGAACUGGGGAAAAGCUGACAACCAACCUGGAAAGAUUCCGCACCAAGGUAACUCUGCAGCAUUCUAAUAACAGAGGCACCCUUGUCAUAGCUUAUCGAGUCAAAAAUUGCAUCAAUCUCAUUGGCAUGGUUUAUUUCGACCUGAACAAAUGUGGAAACAGUUUGAGGCAUUGUAAACCAUAGCUCUUACCUACAAAAAGGUAUGCGGGACAAUCACAUAUCCAUAUAUAAGUAUGCUCAUGCAUGCUUAUGAACAUAGUAACGUAUGGAUGUGCGAAUGCCCUACAUCCCUUUUCUAGGUAAGAACAUACUUAUCACUUAUGUAUGCAUACUAACAUAUUUAUGCAUGCAUGCAUGCAUGAUAUGCGAAUAUCCCACAUCCCUUUUGUAGGUAAGAAGGGGACAACACUUUCCUAAGUAUGUGUGUGUUACCUCAAUAGGAUGUGAUUCAGAAAGUGCAUCAAGCAUAAGGCCAGCGGCAGUGUCUUCAAGAAAUUGAGUCCAAAUCUUCCAUUCAGGGAACAAGGAAUCUACUGCUAAAUAGCUCACCUAUUAAAAGAGAAAAACAGAAAUGCAACAUAAGUUGCCAUUAUAAGUUACAAUCACUCAAAAUGGCAAGAGUAAUAUUAGGUCCCUUACCCAUGAUGCAAACCCCUCAUUUAGCCAUAAGUGUGUCCACCAUUCCAUUGUCACCAGAUUUCCAAACCAUUGGUGUGCCAACUCAUGUGCUACAGUAAUCGCCACCUAAGAAGAAUUAAACAGGUAGAACAAAAGAGAAAAAGUAUGUUAGAUCCAAGAAAAUUUGGCUCUCAUGGUAAAACACCAUCAAGUCCGAAAACCAAAUAAACUCAAGCACAGAUAUAAUCCAAACUUUGAAUAAUCUUCAAGCAUUAAGAACUGAAGUGAGAGCCAUCAAGAAUUAGGAUUGAUCACCGAUUGUUUGUUUGAUGCUGAUGAUAAGCGAUCAUCAUAGAGCAAGGCUGUUUCUUGAUAAGUGACUAAUCCAUAGUUCUCCAUAGCACCACCAACAAAAUCAGGAAUAGCAACCAUAUCCAACUUGGGAAGAGGAUAAGGCACCGCAAAAUAACUAAGAAAUGAAAAUGAACAACUGUUAGUGAUCCUAUAAAAAUUUUCAACUUAUGUAAAUGAAAAUGAACAACUGUUAGUGAAGCUACAGAAAUUUUCAGAUGUAAGUAACAAAAGAACCCAUGCCAAUCGAUGGAUAAAAUUUGACAAUGAAUCGAAAUUAAUUACUUCUCAUAGAGUUGAAGCGACUUCACAGCAACAUCUAAAGCAAACUUCCCUUGACUGCUCUUACCAACUUGACAAUAUACGCGAACUUUUGUACCUAAAGAAAUAUGCACAAGCCCAUCAAUUUAUCUUCUAUAUAAUUUGGAAGGAAAGAAUGGGACUGGUUAAAGAAUAGGUUAUAUACUUCUAUAUCGUACCAUCUGGUAAUUUGUCUUCUAUAUAGUCAAACAAACCAACAACAAUAGCCACCAAGUAAGUUGACAUAAUUGGUGAUUCCUCAAAAGAGAGUGUCUUGACAACUCCAUUAACUUUCUCUUCAGCAACAGGCAUAUUGGAUAAUGCUACGAGCUCAGAGGGUACUUCCAGUGUAAUCUCGAAGGUAGCCUGAAGACAUCAGGAUAGGAAAAGAAUAUGACACUGGUGUAGAAAUUUUCAAGAACAACAGUUAGCCUAAAAUCAAAGAUGAAGGCAAAACAGCGGGGCAAAUUGACUGAAUCUAUUCAGAAAAGCACUAAUAGCUUUUCCGUAGAUACAUCAUAGAUCCGUUGACAAAUUUGUGCUGCUACAAAUAUAGAAGCUUCAAAUGGGGGACUGUUUUUGGGGUAUAAAGCUUAUUUAAAUUUCACCAUAGCAAAAGCUCCAAGCUUUCCAUUUUGUGAAGUGCUAAGCUUCCACUUUUCAGAGUAGAAAAGCUGUUUAGAAGCUGGGUAUUCACUAAGCAAUUUAAAUUAAAAGUUUCGAGUUUUUGUCUUUUCUGCUUUUAGAUGAACACACUAUUUGAGUUUUUGCUUUUCGAUGAACACAACAUUUUAUUUGUUUACAGAGUUCAAGCAGUAGCAUCACCAUUCAAAUUAAGCAAAAUUUUAAGGGCUUCAGGAAAAAAAAAAUACAAAUGCUUCUGAUGGAUCCUUUAUCUAAUUAGUUUAAUGACUUAAUACUGGUGUUUGGAUCUUCUAGUAAUUUAUACGUAUUGCUUCAUGCGUUGUAAAGCACUCAACUAAGUAAACAAUCCUUCAUAUUAUAAUUUACUAAUCUUUAUUAUGGUUGUGCCAAUAGAUCAUAGAUCAAAACGAAAUAAUACAAAAAAGUUUUCAACAUGAAAUUCUUUUAAAGGAAGAGGCAUGCAAGAGAGUAAAAUGAAUGGAAUUGGGACGACUAUUCAGCCUAUUAAAAUUCCAAAUUUGGUAUCUGACCCACAGUUUGUUUCAUUUGAGCAACUUGAUGGUUCUUCCUUGGCAAAAUUUAGCCACAUUGUUUGGUUUAUCUCAAACAAUUUAUGUGACUACUGACUAAGUUCCUGUUAAAGCAGACAUCUCACCCUAAUUCUGUAUAGAAGAGACAUCAAAAGAUGUCUAGUUAAGUAGUCAUCCUAAAACAAGCCAUAAGUCGGAUUCGUUCCAUCUGUGUCUACCAAGAUACAAAUGUAAGCACCUUAAAUGCAGGUUCGUCCCAGCAUGGGAAACACCGUCUAGCAUCGACAGCCUCAAACUGCGUCACGGCCAUGUUUCUUAUCUCCCCGUUAUACUCGUACUUACUGCACAGGAAAUAACAUCAACUAGUCAAAAAAGUAUUUACACAUUAGAAAAAAAAAUAAUCAAAACACUAAUUUCUAGAAGAUUAAGCUUUUACAGAAUAUUGGUGGUUUCGCAUGGUAUGAUAACAGAAGGUCCUGAGAUCGAGUCUUCGUAGGCUGCUAUAUUUUAAAUUUUCACCUGUUAAAUUCAAGUCCAUGCUUGAGUUUUAAAUAGAAAUGAGAGAAUAACAGUAGUUUCAUAUAAUGUCAAAGCAGAUUGUCGUUUAACUUCCUCUCAUUUAGUUUAAGCCCAACUUAUCAAAAGUCUCGUUUUCAUAGUAAAACAUCAUUCUCUAAAAAAUGAAACCAAAUUAUUCACAUUAUUGAUCAAACUCCUACAUACGAACAGCUCGUCACAAAUAAAAGAAAAUAGAGAUCAAAGUCAAAACGAAUUUACCUUCGGUAGAACCCCCUCAUCUGGUCAUUUAGGGUCCCUAUGAACUCAAUUCUCAGUUCCCCAUCCCCGAUAGGAAGCGUCGUGUCGAACCCCACAACCAAGAUCUCAUCCUCCUCCACUGCGACGACCUCCGAGGGCUGGAGCUCCUGCAAUCACAAACACACCCCAUCGAUCACGUCUAUCGAAGACCACUGUUACCCAAAAGAUCCAUCAAGUAGGACACAACUCAGCAUCAAUUCUAACAUCCCCCACUCAUGUGCAUUCUGAAUCUUGCACUAGCUGAUAUGUCACAAAAUGGCAGACGUCGGAAUCGUACUCAUGCGUCAUUGGAGUGGAGGGGGCUCGAGAGCAUCUCUAAUAUUAUAUUAUCCAAAUGAUUGAUCGAGCAAGAAAAGGUUCGGCCAUCCUAUAUGCACUAAUUGAAGAGGUAACAAUAGAGAUAACAGAAUGAUUGACUGAAGUAUACAUCAUAAGAUGACAAAUGCAGGAAUCAAACUCAGAUCCCAUUGAAAUGAAGGGGCUUAAGAAUAGCAAGGAAAAAGGUCCAGUUGUGCAUGGUGAGUAUCCAGUAAAGCAUACUCCGUGCACCAACAAAAGAGAUUACAAAAAGAAAAGACACCUGAAUGACAGACAAAUGGCAGAUAUAAAAAUUGAACUCAACUCAAAUCCUAUUAAAAUGAAAGGGCUUAGGACUCUUUGCCUUAGAUUCCAAGAUAUCGUUUGGUUCGAGGAUAAGCAAAAAGUGGCUAUUCUAGAUAUAGGUAUAAAUUGAGGUAUAAGCGGGAAUGAGAUCAAUUUUGCGUUUGGAUAAAAAUUGGGUUAUUCUUGGGAAUAAAAAAAAAAUAGCGUUUGGUUAGGUAAGAUGGAAUAAGAAAGAUAGUGGAUUUUAUAAAUAAAAAAUAAUAAUAUUACCCUCUUAUUAUAUUUAAAUUUGAAUUUUUAAAUUUUUAAAUUUAUAUUUUUAAAUUUAAAAUUUUAACUUUGAAAUUUUAAAAUUUGAAAUUUAAAAUCUCAAAUUUUAAAUUCAAAAUUUUAAAUUUUAAAUUUCAAACUUUAAAUUUAAGAUCAAAUUUAAAUUUGAAAAAUAUAAAAUAUCAAAUUUUAAAUUUCAAAUUAAAAUAUCAAAAUUUAAAUUUAAAAUUUAAAAUUUAAAAUUUUGAAUUUAAAAUUUCAAUUAAAAUUUAAAUUUAAAAUCUCAAAUUUUAAAUUCAAAAUUUUAAAUUUUAAAUUUCAAACUUUAAAUUUAAGAUCAAAUUUAAAUUUGAAAAAUAUAAAAUAUCAAAUUUUAAAUUUCAAAAAUUUAAAAUAUCAAAAUUUAAAUUUGAAAUUUAGAAUUUAAAAGGCCAAUUUGCAUAAAAAAUCCACAAAUUUUUAACUUUUGCAAAACUAGACCACUAUUUUGGAUUUUGCAGAUUCGGUCUGAAUUUUCAAGACACUGACCAAAAUAUCUUUAUUCUCUUUUCUCUCUCUUCUUUUUUUUCUCUUUUUUUUUCUCUCUUUUUUUUUACGCCAUUAUUGUCGAGGCCAUGGACCUCUGCGCCCUCGAGCACAUCGCCGUGCUCAACACCGCCAACCUCCCCUGCGACUCCGCCCUCCUCCCCUCCCACCUCGAGUCCUGCUUCCGCGCCCUCAAAUCCUUCUCCGCCGCCAACAAUGGCACGCCGCUACCGCUCCAUCGAACCAAGAGCGCCGCGGCACCCCCUUCGCCGGUCAAGCCCAAGACGCCGACUUCUACGGGGACAGAUCUUGCUGUUGUCGCAAGGAAGGGUUCGAAGCCAAAUUCCCCAUUUGGGCUCUCUCCGCCCCCUCCGAUCGCGCCGCGGAGCUCUCAGAGAGGCAUCCCCUUCCCUCUCCCCUUCACCGUUGCGGCGCCAUACAUUGAUGUGUUGCUUCGCGUUCUCGCCCAAGAAGUCGGCAACGGCAUCGUCAUCGCCGAGGAGUGGCAGCGGCAACGGCGGCGGCAGCAAAGGGACGAGGGAUUUGGGGAAGGGAGAGAAAAGAAUAGAGGAAAAAAAAAGAGAGGGAGAGAGAGAGAAGGGAGCUUACACCAUUUAUACCAUUUAAAUAGUGUAAAAUGAUGUAAAAUCUAUUUAAAUGGUGUAAAAUAGUGUAAAUGGUGUAAAAUGCUGAGCUUACACCAUUUUACACUAUUUACCACUUACACCAUUUUACACUAUUUUGGAAAAUCUCCCCUCGUCCUCCUCAUGGCCAAGGUCCCUCGUUCUCGCCGCCUCCGACCAUCACUCCAUCCGGCGGCAGUGCUCAAGGCGAAGGCGGUGGCGACAGCGGCGCUAGAGGCGAAGGUGGAGGCGACGGCGGCGAGAAAGGGGCUGUCGAAGAAGGGUUGGCUGCUAGAGGCGGCGGUCGUUGCUGGCCCGCUGCUGCAUACCCUCCUCCCAGCCGGCCCGCUCCCUCGCUGGCGCCACCCCCGGCCCCCCUUGCUCGCCUUCGAAAUCCCCUCUGUCGCUGCCUCCCUCAACCCCAACCCCAACACCAACGUCAACAACAUCAACAUCACUGACCCCGACACCACGCCCACGUCUCCGCUUCGGGUGAUGAUGUCGGCGUCGUCCUCGCCGGAGAGCAACGGGUGCAAAUUACAGCAAUGGUAUCAUCAUACCGGCGGAGGCGGAGGCAGAGGUGAAGAGUCGGAGAGAAAAAAAAGAGCGUAAAAAAAAAAGAAGAGAGAGAAAAGAGAAUAAGGGUAUUUUGGUCAGUGUCCUAAAAAUUCGGACCGAAUCUGCAAAAUCCAAAAUAGUAGUCUAGUUUUGCAAAAGCUGAGAACUUGUGGAUUUUUUAUACAAAUUGGCUAAUUUAAAAUUAUAAACUUUAAUUUUAAGAUUACAGAUUUAUAAUUUUAAAAAUUUAAAUUUAUAAAUUUUAAAAUUUUAAAAUAAGAAUAGGAGUGGGAACAAUUAAUAAAAAUAAUUUAUUGUAAUAAAUUUAUAAUUUUUUUAAAAUUCUGCUUAAACUUAAAUUUAAUAAAAAGAAUUUAUUAUAAUAUUUAAGGCUAAAUUACAAAAAAACCCCUGUAAUAACCCGCUUUUUCACUUCCCCCCCCUGACAUUUAAAAACCUACACUUUGCCCCCUUGUAAAAUGAAAAAUGUUCACAGGGAGGUUACGGUGUGUAAAAUGACCAUUUUGCCCCUCGCCAUUUUCGUCUUCUUUCUCAUCUUCCUUAGCCGCCCCUUCGAUUGGCCGUGAUUCCCACUUCAAUCGGCCGCGAUUUCUCUCCAUUUCCUUCUCCACCUGCUCCCCUUCUCCUCUUGCAUCCUCGCCGCUCCUCAAUUUCGACAAUAAUAGGGAGGAAAUCGAGGUGGGUGUUUAUGGAGAGGUAGGCAAGGGCAAUGAGGGCGAAGGCGAGGCGGCGGAGGACGGCGAAGCGGAUGUGGGUGAGGGUGAGGCAGUGGAGGACGGCGAGGCGGCGAGCCGGAGGGAAGCGAAGCAACAAGGAAGAGGGCGGAUGGGUAUUUUCGGCAUAAAAAAAUAUUUUACAAUGGAACCCUAACGGUAGGGGGUGAAGUGCACAUUUUUCAUUUUACAAGGGGGCAAAGUGUAGGUUUUUAAAUGUCAGGGGGGGAAGUGAAAAAGCGGGCUAUUACAGGAGGGUUUUCUGUAAUUUAGCCAAUAUUUAAAUAUAAUUUAUUAUAAAAUUUAGACCAAUUUGCAUAAAAAAUCCACAAGUUUUGCGUUUUUGCAAAAGUGGGCCACUUUUUUCGAUUUUGCAGAUUCGGGCUUGAAUUUCAGCAAACUGACCAAAAUCUCGCUGUAGGCACCGGCGACGACGUUGAGCACGCUGAGCCCGCCCACCGUGUACCCCGCGUUCAGCUCCCCGCAGCACCCCACCAGCCCCAGCCCCUCCUCCGCCUCCAGCUCGUCCAGCAGUGUCAGGUUGAAGUCCCCCGGCACUGCGAACACCUCCCUCACCCCCACCUGCACCAGCCGCCGCGCCAGGUGCCGCCUCACCGUUGCCCCCUCCUUCACCUUCUCCCCUACCUUCCCCCUAACCCCGCCGGACAUCGCUCGCGCCGCUCCGCCGGACAUUCUUCUUUUUCUUCUUGCGGGAGUGACUCCCCUUCGUCCAUCUCCUGCAGGAAGAAGAAGAAGAGAAAAAAAAAAACAAAAGAAAAAAAAUGGUGCAAAAUUUUCUAAAUGGUGCAACCUUAAUCUAAAGAGUGUAAAAUCUAUUUCAAAAUAGUGUAAUUUUUAUAUCAAAUAGUGUAAUUUUUAUUAAAAUAGUGCAAAUUUUUUUUAAAACAGUGUAAUCUUAUUUUAAGAGUACAAUUUCAUCAUCUUCUUUCUUCUCCUAUAUUUUUUUAUCUUUUCUGUAGGAAAAAAAUAAUUUUUAUUUUUAUUUUUUAUUAUUCUUAUUUUUUUUUAUAAUUUUUUUUUGUCACCAUCUCUCCCUUGCUUUCUAUAGCAACCACCGCGACGUUGUCAGAGGCGGUCUCGCCACCUCCGACAAUGUCUCGGCACUUCGACGCGCGGUGGAGGAGAAGAGUCUGCGUCUCGACGUUGUCGUGCCCUAGUGGAGAAGAAGGGUAGCGACGCGGCCUCAAUAGGGUUGGAGGCGAGGAGGGCGGGGGUGCACCGGCGAGGGCGAGGACGUGCGAGGCAGAGCGAGGCGGGCUGUUUCCGCCUCUACCUCCGCUGCCUUCUUCGGAGAGAAAAAAAAGAACGAUAGAAAAAAAAAAGAGGAGAGAGAAAAAGUAAUAAGGGUAUUUUGAUCAAUUUGCUGAAAAUUCGGCCCGAAUCUGCAAAAUUGAAAAAAAUGGCCUAUUUUUGCAAAAACGUAAAACUUGUGGAUUUUUUAUGCAAAUUGGCCUAAAAUUUAUUAUAAUAUUUAAAUAUAAAAAAUACGUAUUAAUAUAAUACAAUUAUUAAUUUUAUAAUAAAAAUAAUGUAUUAUAAUAAUAUAUGAUAUAUUAUAUUUAUAUAAUUUAAUUUUAAUUCAAUUUAUAAUUUUAAUUAAAUUUGAAAUUAAGCAGUGGAAUAGCACUAUUCCACCAAAAUGGUGGAAUAGCAAAUCCCUUGCUAUUCCAAGAUAACCGGAAAUAGCAAGAUUUAAUCGGAAUAAAAUAUUCCGGUAGAAAAUCACCCCGUUUGGCGGAAUAGAAGGGAUAACUUUCGUUAUCCCCACUUAUUCCCGAACCAAACAUGCUUAAGUCUACUAUAUAGCAAGAAAAUAAAAUACAAAUAUUUUUCUAAAAAUUAUGAUCGGAUAAUUGAACAAAAAAAAAAAACAGCAGUAUAAUAUUAUCGUAUCGGAUCCUGGGGAUUACCUCGGAGGAUCCGGGGGUGGUGAAGCGGACGGAGGCGGCGUCAACGGCGAGGUCGGCGGCGUUGAGGACGAGGAAGCGCGUGGAGGAGGCGACGGCGACGGCGAUGGUCGCGGAUCCCGAGAAGGCGCAUCGAGCGAGGUCGACCCGCAGGGAGAUGACGUAACGCUUAGGGUUUGCGAACAGCGGGAGGCGGGCUUGGCCUUUGAAAUCCUCCACGCUCUGCUCCGCCUUCGCCAUUUUUCUGCCUUUCUCUCCUGCUCUCUCUCUCUCUCUCUCUCUCUCGCUCGCUCCUUUUUCUUUUUUCUUUUUUUUUUUGGCCCAUGUGAUGAUUCUUUAAGUAAAAUGACUGACUGAUUGAUUGAUUUGUACAAAUAUUAUAUUAUAUCAUAUAUAUAUAUAGGGUCCAGUACGAUCGCCCUCGUACUGAGUUGUUUUCGAUAAUAAAGCUUUCGAAUCGACGAUUCACACCGUUAACGUUAUUUACAUCAUUUAAAACUUCUAGAAAUCAAAUUUUAUAAUUUUUCGACAUCAUUUACCUUACGAUCAAGAAGUCACAAAUUUGACAAUUUUUAACGGUCGGUAUGGGAUACUUGCUAGUUUAAUAGUGUAAAAGAAUCAGAAUUUAUUGAAUUUUUUAUAGAAAAUUCUAUUCACUACAUAGAUAAAGAUCAAUAACUCUAAUCUUGAAUUGAAGGAUCCGAUCAUUCUUUUUUAGGACGUCGUUCGAUUUUUACCGUUCAUUUUAUGCCCACUUGAUGGGUUUUAUUAUGAUUUCGAAAAUUUACGAAAUUUAUUUUUUAGAACUUUCAAAUACUCUAGAUCAUAUUUAACGGAGUGGAUCGUCGAUUCGGAAGCUCGAUCAUCGAAAACAACUUAUGAUUACGAUGGCUCUAAUACUCAUAAUAGUAUAGUAGCCAUAGCCUAUAUAUAUAUAUAUAUAUAUAUAUAUAUAGAGCGUCUGGUAUGCUUAUGGAAGCACGGAGCGCUCNUUGGUACUAUUGAGUUUUCGGCCGUUGAAUGAAAGGAUGUGCGGUUAGGAUAAUAGUGAUUCCCGGUUAAAUUGAUAGUGGUCCCCUAGGGUUGAGUGGGUGGUUGGUUUAAUAGUAUAAUCUAACGGGUGAAAAUAAUCAAAUGGUAGAUCUAACGGUAGAAAACUCAAUAGUACCAAGGGCUUGGUACUAUCAAUAGUAUAGUAGCCGGACCAUAUAUAUAUAUAUGGUCCGGCUACUAUACUAUUAUGAGUACGAUCGCCCUCGUACUCAUAAGUUGUUUUCAAUGAUCGAGCUUCCGAAUCGACGAUCCACACCGUUAAACGUUAUUUACAGUAUUUAAAAUUUCUAGAAAUCAAAUUUUAUAAUUUUUCGACAUCAUUUACCUUAUGAUCAAGAGGUCACAAAUUUGAUAAUUUUUAACGGCCGGUAUAGGGUACUUGCUAGUUUAACGGUGUAAAAGAAUCGAAAUUUGUUGAAUUUUUGAUAGAAAAUUCUAUUCACUACAUAGAUAAAGAUCAAUAACUCCGAUCUUGAAUUGAAGGAUACGAUCGAUCCUUUUUUAAAGACGUCGUGUCGCCAGUUUUGACGUUCAUAUUUAUGGACACACUUAAUGGAUUUUUUAUGAUUUCGAAAAUUUACGAAAUUAUUUUCUAGAGUUUAAUAACUCUAGAUCAUAUUUAACGAGUCUGAUCAAUCGAUUUGGACGUCAUCAUUGGAAAACACUUAUGAGUACGAGGCUCCAUACUAGUAAAGGUUAGAGCAUAGCAGCUAUAUAUAACUAUAAUAUAUAUAUAUAUGGAGUCAAAUUCAAAUAACAUAAGUGUACAAUGAUAUUUACACUCUUUUUGAACCGUAGAUUUAAGUACAUCCAAGGAUUGAGAUGAAACAAUGGGCAACUUUUUGUUCUUUGCUGAAACACUCUUCCUAUUAUAGGAUUUGACAUCACGCAGUAGCCUUGGGUUUCACUCCUUUUUUUUUUCCCCUCCAUUUGUAAACCUACUGUAUAAUCAGUUUUCUUUACUAACUGAGAUGACUUUGGUGAUAAUUUCAAAUAUAAGUAAAAUUUUACAGCAAAAUAAUUCAUAUAAAAACUGACAAUAUUUAGAUAAAAAUUAUCAACAUUUUAUUUCUUUUCGAUGCUUUUUGGAUGGUUGCAAUUGAUUUUAAUACACUGAAAUUUAAUUUUAUAAAAAAUUCAAAAUUUAAUUAGUGCAACAAUUCAUAUCAAAAUAAAUAAUAUUUUUUAUAAUUAUUUAGCAAAGUAAAGUUCAAUGGCAAUUAAGCAAUGUGACAAAUAGCUAAAUGCUAAGCUAUUUAUCUAACUCACAUGACACGUUAAAAAAUUAGUGGACAAUGUACGUUUCAUAAUAUUACUUAAUGUGAAAUCAAGGCUAUUAAGUGGUGUCACAUCCUAUGGAGAGAAGAGUAUUUUGACAUAAAAAUAAAAAAGUUGCCAUUGGUUUACCUCGAUCCUUGGAUAUUUAGAUCAACGGUUCAAAAGAGGUGUAAUACUGUUUAUUAUUACACUUAUGUUAUUUGACUUGACUCUAUAUAUAUAUAUAUAUAUGUUAGAGCUAGGCUCCUAUGCUUUCGAAAGUACGGGAGCCUCCGUACUUGUAAGUUGUAUUUCGAUGAUGGGACAUCGAUUGCGGCGAUCGGUUCCGUUAGACAUGAUCUACGCUAUUGGAACUAUCUAGAAACCAAAUUUCAUAAUUUUUUGACUUCGGUUGCUUAAUGUGAACGAGUAGCCUCAAAUAUAACGGCUAAAAUAAAAAUUCAUAAAAAUAAUGAUAAAGGACUCAAAUUUCAAAUCGGAAGUAUUGAUCUUGCUAUUGACGUUUAAUAGAAUUUUCUUUUAAAUUUUCAUGUAAUUUGGAUACUUUAACACCGUUGAACUAUUAAAACGUGCCGCAUCGGCCUGUUUAAAAUAGUUAUUUUUGGGACCUUUUGAUCGCUUAGUAAAUGAUGUCAAAAAAUUAUAAAAUUUGCUUUUGAUUGUUCAAUAUAGGUAGAUUAACCUAUAGAGGCGAUUCGUCCGAAACGUUGCUAUCAUCGAAAAAACUUACAAGCACGGAGGUCCUAACGCACAAAACCAUACCCAAGUAUUCGAAAGUAUAGUGACGCUAUGCUUCUUCCUCUCUCUCCUCUCUCUCUCUCUCUCUCUCUCUCUCUGCAAUCCUCUCUCUCUCUAUAAUACUUAUAUCAUAUAUACCUAUUAUAAAUUAUUAUAUAUAAUUAUAAGUAUAUAUAUAUAUAUAUAUAUAUAGUACGUCUCCCGUGUUUUCGAAAGUACAGAGACAUCCGUGCUUGUAAGUUGUUUUCGAUGAUAGGACAUCCGAUUCGACGAUCAGCUUCGUUAGGCAUAAUCUAUGCUAUUUGAACUAUCUAGAAACCAAAUUUUAUAAUUUUUCGACUUCAUUUACCAAGCGAUCAGAGGGUCUCAAAAAUGACUAUUUUAACGGCCGAUAUGGCACGUUUUUAAGUUUAACGGUGUAGAAGUAUCCAAAUUACAUGAAACUUUAAUAAAAAAUUCUACUUAACAUCAAGAGCAAGAACAAUACUUCCGAUUUAAAAUUUGAGUCUUUUAUCACUGUUUUUUAUGAGAUUUUUAUUUUCAACCGUUCAUUUUGAGGCUACUCGUUAACUAGGCAAAUGAAAUUAAAAAUUAUGAAAUUUGGUUUUUAGAUAGUUCUAAUAGCAUAGAUCAUAUCUAACGGAACCGAUCGCCGAAUUGGACGUCCCAUCAUCGAAAACAACUUACAAGUACGGAGGCCUCCAUACUUUCGAAAGCAUAGGAGCCUAGCUCUCUCUCUCUCUCUCUCUCUCUCUCUCUAUAUAUAUAUAUAUAUAUAUAUAUAUAUAUAUAGAGUAGAGCUAGAAUACUUGUAAAAGUAUCACCCAAGUGAUACUUGUGUGUUUUUAGACCUUGGAUGUAGAGAUGUGAGGUUGAGAUGAUGGUGGUAGGUGGUGGUAGGUGGUGGUAGGUGGAAUAGUGUUUGAUCCAAGUACUAUUAGUAAUCAAAAAGUAGAUCCAAUGGCUAAAAACACACAAGUAUCACUUGGGUGAUACUUGUAAAAGUAUUCUAGCCCUACUCUAUAUAUAUAUAUAUAUAUAUAUAUAUAUAUAUAUAUAUAGAGAGAGAGAGAGAGAGAGAGCUAGGCUACUAUACUAUCUAUAGUACNUGGAUAAUAUUUAUUAUUAUUUGAUUACUAUCAAUAUAUCAAUCUAUAUCAACUCAUGAAUGCAGAACCCUAAAGAAGCCCGCACCGCGUUUGGCGGGGGCUUUGCGACUUUUUUCGCCUCUCCGCCUUCGCUGCGGUGGUCCGCCUUUUCUAUCGGGAAUGCAGCCGUCUUUCCGUAUGGCACUGCGUUCCCCCCUCGCUCGCCUUUCUUCCUCUCCGUCUUCGCGGAGGUGGUCCGCUUUGACUUUUUCACCCUCUCUGCCUUCGCUGCGAUGGUCGAUAUCCUCCCUCGGGAACGUAGACGUCUUUUCAUAUGGCGCGGCGUUCCCCCCUCGCUCUCCCUUUGUCCUCUCCGUCUUCGCUCACGUGGUCCACUUGCUCCCUCGCACACAGUCGUGCCUCCGUACGGUGUGGCAUCCUCUCUUGCUCUCUCUCCCACGUAUGCUGUUCCGUGCGGCCUGUCGUACGGGCAGUAGGGCGCCGAGUCUUGCAGCCGUGCCGUCGGCGGUGUGGGCCAGAUAUUUUCCUCCACUGCACGUGCUAUCUUGUACGGUCCGGCGUGGGUUCCUCACGUGGUUUGGGUCAUGGUACCUGUUUGGUGUUCAUUAUUAUCAUUAAUGAGCAUUAAUGAGGGGUGUAUACAGUGGCAUCUUUUUUUUCCAUUGUGCUGUCCUAUAUGUUCUCUCUUUCGUCUCUGUUUACACCGUGGUGGUCUGUUGCCCUCCAUGAUCACAGCCGGGCUUCCGUACGGCAUGGCAUUCUCUCUCUCUCUCUCUCUCUCUCUCUCUCUCUCUUUNAUAUGAGCCGUUUGCUUAUUUAACGGUGUAGAGUAAUCCAAAUUGCUUGAAUUUUUGAUAGAAAAUUCUUUAUACUAUUUAGAUAAUGUUUGAUAGCUCUGAUUAUGAACUG
rnacentral:lncRNA from 1 species